AUAAAUUAUAUAUAUAAGAGGCAAAAUCCUAAAUGGCAAUGUAUUCAAACAAAUAGAAAUGUUUAUAAAAACCUAAAAAUAUUUAUCAUUUAACAAUGACUGGACAAAAUGAAACCUAAUUAAUACAAUAAAACUAAAUCAGAAAGAAAGAACAAAAUUAAAUGAGUCCAUCGAGUAAGUCUUUCUUGCAAUUAAUUUUGACCACUGAAUCGGAUCUAAUCAACAGCAAGCCUAACACAGUCUUCGUCUUCAUCUUCAUCUUCAUCACCAUCACCGUAAUCAUCUUCAUCUCCACCCUCCAUCUCCCUCAACUCAACAACAUCCUCUCUAUCAAUUGUCCUUACAUCCACCUCCACCACCAUCCAAAACCCAUGGCCCCCACUCCUCUCUACCACCUCCUCCAUAAACGAGGUUGUUCUGGGUAUCAGGUAUUUGAAGACGGUGCUCCCAAGUUCCAAGCUGGCCAGAAAGUUUGAUACAUAGAGUUGGCGCAGUAGGGGCAGAUGAAGCACUUGCACCGGCACUCCAAACACUCUGACGACUUUGGGACUCACAACAUCCUCUGCCGGCAUCUCCUCCCCUUCCCUCGUGUCUGUGCCUACUACCCGCUGAUAUCGGUGUUUGAUAUGGAUUUCCAUGAUCCCAAUGGCUUCAGAUAUGGAAUGGAGACCGUAAAAGGACAAAUCGCACAAAAGGGUGUUGGACUUCAUUGUGGGUGAGAGUAGCCGAACUACAAUUUUGUAUGAGAGGGUUUUGCUAUAUCCAAAUAUUUAUAGAUAGACACGAAUGAGAAUUAGUAACCGAUUGAGCUUUGAACUACAUGUUGAAGAUUCUCCUGGUUUGGUUUGGUUUCUAAAACCGGUGGAAAGUAAAGCUUGAAAGGAGAGGAGAAGAUAUAGGAUCGCUACACGUAGGUUACCGUUGGACAAUAAAAGGAAAUUUUAUUCUCUAUUUCUAAACAAUUGGAUUUCCUUUGGAUACGUGAUUAUUUGGUUUCUUUUGUCGCUAACAAAAUUAGAGAACACCUUUUUCCAAAAUACAGAAAGCUUUGGAUUAGUUGAUAAGAAAUAUAAUCACUUUCUAUUAUUAGUUUGCAAUUUUAGCCACGUCAUCGACAUUUGGAGUGCUUUUUGAAAUUUUGAAUUGGGCUUCCAUGGACCGGCCCAAGGGACAUCCUGCACACAUUCACAGUAUCUUUUAUGCCCAGCUUACCCCACCCCGGCACAUUGGAUGCUUUCCAGCACUUUGUAUAAAUAUCUUGUUGCCGGCCGAUGUGGGAUGACCUCGGCGCACCAUUAAGCCAACCUUGCUGUUGUUGUCAUAUCGUACAUGUUUUCUAUAUGUAUUUAUAUUACAAACUAACAUUAUAUCUAAGAUACAUGAAUGUAAAUCCUACACUUAAAUGUAAUUAUAUUAUAAAUAUUUCAUAAUACAUAUAAAUUAAUUAGAAUAAAAUUAUUAUAAAUAAAUUAUUUUAAAUAUAGUGUAUUUUACAUAAUAUUUAAAUACAAAAAUAAAUAUAAAUUUAUAAAUAAAAUUAUCAAUGUUGAUACAUAUAUCAUUAUUUUUUUUUUUUAUAUCAUUGAACACAUCCUCUAAAUGUAUAUUUAAAUUAUGAAUAUAAUCAUUGAUUAUCAUAAAAUAUAUCUUUUAUAUAUAUUAAUAAAACAAUCUCAAAAUAUCUAUUAUUACUUCUUAUAUAAUUUCUUAAAGUUUUUCUCAACAUUUUCAUAAAUUUUAAUCAGUUUUUAUCUCAUUAAUAUCUUAUGUCAAAACAUCCAUCAAUAUUUUUCGAUAUAUUCCGAUACAUCCAUAAAAUUAGAUUACUGAUAUAUUUAUAAAAAUGAAUAUUUUUAUCCUUGAUCAUAGUCAUAUAUUUUCAAUUGUCUUACACAAAUAAAUUAUUCAUUUUAUUUUUUAAUAAUAUAUUCAAAUGUACAUUUGAUAUCAUCCAAUCAUUUGAUAUAAAUCAUCCUCCAAAUAUCAUUAUGAUCCAAAUAUCUUAAUUCUACAUGUUGAAGAUUCUCCUGGUUUGGUUUGGUUUCUAAAACCGGUGGAUCGUUACACGUAGGUUACCGUUGGACAAUAAAAGGAAAUUUUAUUCUCUGUUUCUAAACAAUUGGAUUUCCUUGCAUUACGUGAUUAUUUGGUUUCUAUUGUCGCUAACAAAAUUAGAGAUUAUUUUUUUCCAAAAAAUAGAAAGCUUUGGAUUGGUUGUUAAGAAAUAUAAUUACUUUCUAUUAUUAGUUUGCGAUUUUAGCCACGUCAUCGACAUUUGGAGUGCUUUUUGAAAUUUUGAAUUGGGCUUCCAUGGACCGGCCCAAGGGACAUCCUGCACGCAUUCACAGUAUCUUUUAAACUACUGAUAUAUUCAUAAAAAUAAAUAUUUUUAUUCUUGAUCAUAGUCAUAUACUUUCAAUUUUCUUAUACAAAUAAAUUAUUCAUUUUAUUCUUUAAUAAUAUAUUCAAAUAUACAUUUGAUAUCGUUCAGUCAUUUGAUAUAAAUUAUCCUCCAAAUAUCAUUACGAUCCAAAUAUCUUAAUUCACCAUCUCUCAGCUCUUUUGAUUUCUCUUUUUUUUUUUUUUUUUUUUUUUUUUUUUUUUUUUUUUAAAUCUACAUAUUAUCCUAUUUAGGAUUUUUUUUAUUUUCCUUUUUUCUUUCACUUUUAUUUCCAUUUUACAUAAAUAUUUAUUUAUUUUUAUUUCUCAUACAAGUAUAGAUACAAAAUGAAUGCAUUAAUAAUACCCAAUUUUAAACACAUAAACUUAAUACUUUUUUAUCACAAUUUAGACAUAUAAUAAACCUGAAAUUUAUAAAAUUUAAAUUAACACCAUUUCAUAAUUCUAUAAAUAAUUUUUAUUAUUUAUCAUAUUAAUAUGUCAUUAACUAAGAAUCCUAAAUUUCACACAUCAAAUUAUUUUAAAUUUGAUUCCUUAUUAAUUCCAACCUUUCUGAUUUUAUAUAUUAAUAUUCCGAAAAAUAAAUUUUAUUUUAUUUUAUUUAGUCAUUUAUUUAUAUCCCAAGCUUCUAUAUUUUCAAAGAUUUCUUCUCAAUAAUAAUUUCAACUUGAAUCUCUAAAGGUCAAGCAUCUUUGUAAGUAGCCAUGUUUUUAGAGUUUUAUCUCAAUGUAUGCUAACGGAUAGGCAUUUGUGAGACUUUUUAGGAAAUCCAUGCAAAGCCAAAGGGGAAUAUGUGAAAAUUGAUUUUUUAAAGAAAAAUGUUUAGAAUAAUUAGAGUUUGUUUCAAACAAAGCCCAAGAGAAUAUAUGUUUAGUAUAAAUUGAGUAUUUGAAAGGAAUAUUUAAAUAAAGGAUUUUCUUAGUGGAUGUUUGGUAAAUCAAGCCAACUUAAUAACUUAAAGAGAUUUAAUAACUUAAUUUAAGUUUAAUGUGGACCCCGUAUUUUCGCACGAUGCUUUCCCACUCAAUGGCAAAACUCAAUUUUUAUUUAUUUAUUUAUUUUGUGAAAAAAAAAUAUGAUUUUUAGAAAAGAUUUGGAGUCGCCACUUAUUUUUGUUUCAUUUUUAAAGAAAAAACAAAAUAAGAAAGAAAACCCUAAGUGUGACUCCUUAUUUGGAAAAGAUGGUCUAUGAAAAACCAAAUCUGGGCUUGGGGGUCAAGUUACUUAUUGGGAAGGUACGAUAAAAACCGUAGCACCCCUCUAGACCCUUAAAAUGAGUCUCUACUAAAUAUGAUGAAGCAAACAUGACAAUUAACUAGUAGAUCAAGGGAUACCCAAAAUGAUAUUACACUAGAAGCCAAACAUGCAUGGAUAAUGGUCAAAGUGAGAGCGUGUGCGUACCUUAGCAACAAACGAUAAUGUGCUAUCAUGAAAUGGGGUUAGUGCACAAUAAUGAGCAUAAAAUAUGUCACUAGCAUCACUAAACAGGAUAAGAAACUACCAAUGACACACAUGACACUUCACUCAAAUUUUUUUUUUAUUUUUUUAAGAAGAUGUCACUAAUGUUGGGCCCCCACCAAAGCCCAAUUUAUUUUUUCAUGAAUCAAUUCCAUAAAUUCCAUCACUUUGAAAUUACAGAAUUUAAUUCAUACUUAUUUUAAAACAUUUAAAAAUCAAGGAAAAUAUGAAAUGAAGCUUGCCGAAAAGAAAAUGGCAGUAAAGUUUAUUGAAAAAUGGAUUUUUGGGGCCUAAAAAAUCUAUGGAUGAAAAAUUGAAGAGUUGAAAUGAUUUGGAAACUAGAAUUUUCUAAAAUUAGUUUUGAAGGACAUGGGCUUUGACAAUGGGCUAGGAAGGUGUACAUGCAAAAAUGGGGUCAUGCACGUGGACCCGAGGUGCAACUAAUACUACAUUGGUGGUUGAAUGUAGGAUACCAACAACAGAGAGAGUUGAGGUGGACUGUCCAAAAGCAAAAGUCGUCUCCCAAGAAAAGGAGUUGAAGAUUGGAACAAUGGUGAUGAUUGAGUGUUACCAAAAUUUAAGCUAGAACCAAAUGCCAGAGUUAUUCCCUAAGUUGAAGUGGAACCAAAAACUGAAGGUGAUGACCCAAAGCCUAAUGAGCUUGAUACUCCAAAAAAAGACGGAGAAGAACUAGCUUCAAAUGGAGGAGUUGAUGAUGUUCCAAAUAUAGAAGUGUUGCAGAUGAAGUCGAUCCAAGAAUAAGGGUGCUUGGAGCUCUAAAUGCUCCACUAAAUGAAAAGACUAGGGAGCUUGAAGCACCAAAUGCAUUGCAUGUGCUACCAAAUGUUGAAGUUGGCAUUGAACCAAAGGCAAAAGUGUUUGUAGCACUAAACGCGGGCGUAAUACUAGCAACAUCAAAUGCUGGUGUGCUUGUGGCCGCAAAGGCCGAGGUGUUACUAGCAUUGAAUGCAGCUUGACUUACACCAAAAGACGUAGAGGAACCAAAUAGACUGCUUAUAAAUGUUGGUUUCGCCUAUUGAAAAGCACUUCCAAAAGGACUUGUUUGAAUAGGAGUGGACCCAAAACCUCCAAAACCUAGCUUGUGCCCAAAUAUAAAGAUCAACCAAAUGAUGAUGACAUACUACUAAAAGCAAGAGUUAAAGAAGCUCCAAAAGCAGGCAUUGAACUUCUAAAAGCCGGUGAGGAAGAAGUGCCAAAUGUUGUUGUGGAAGGCAAUGGGGAAGAAGAUCGGGUUGCACCCAAACACACCAGUUAAAGUGCCACCAAAUAUUGAAGACACCAAGGUUGGGAACAAGCACGCACAGGCUACACGCGCAUGAGAAGGAAAGUGAAGAAAUUCAAGUGAAAGAAAUAGUGAGAAUAAUGGGAUUGGAGGUGGGAUGAAUGGGAAAGGUGGUAAGAUAAGUGGGUUUAUAGGGUUGGGUGUUGAGUGAAACUGUAGACAGUGAAGGAAGUGGGUUCGGUGAUGGAACUAGCUGUUGGCAGUGGGCAUGAUAGAUGAGGAGUGAUUGAAUGGGCAUAGUGAUGGGUGUGUUGGGUAUGAAGGGUAGUAAGUUUUUCAAAGGUUUUAUGGGGCCAUGCAUGCAUGAUUCUUGUGCAUGUGGGUAGGAAACGAAUAGCUGGGCAAAAGGUUGGGCAGGUGUGAAUGAAGUUGAAGGUGGGAGUGUGGUGACAGGUUCAGUGGAUUGGUGGAAGGUUGAUUAGUGGAAUGACCUGUCUCCUUUGCGAUUGCCAAUUGAUCACUUGUAAUCAUCUUAACACAAACUCCAAGGUUAAGUGCCCUGCAGAAGGUCAUAGCACUAUCAUGUCUUGGAGGAUCAAACAAGGGAAACAACCCACAAAAUGUCCAAGGACCUCUAGAACUUUCUUUAGUUUGUUCUGGAAUCUCCUAAUAUGCAACCCCAAGAGAUUGCAAACCCUUUUCAGCGAACUUGUCAAUAAUGGCAUGGACUUUUCCAGCAAUUUCUUCUUUUUCUUGGCAACGAUUUAUAAUCUGUUCAAGAGCUCCUUUGCUGGCCUGAAUCUAGUUAGUAAUUGUAGUACGCUUGUCCAUGGGAUUAAAAGGCAAAAAAUGCAUUUCUAUGAUGUUUGUGCAUGCCUCCUUUUCGAACUAGCAUCAAUAACUCUCCAUUUCAGCCAAGUUACAAGCUUGGCAUAUUGGAAUCAGUAGCCCAGUAGAGAGAGUCAACUCACGUCAGUCGCUUUGAUCGAAAGUUCUGUCAUUAUUGUUGCCCAAAUAUAGACUUUGUACAGUGGCUCAUAAUUUCCAACUUCAAAGUGUUGUUAAGGCGAUGCCCUCCAAAUCCCACUUUGAGUGUCAAGAUGGUUGUGUGAAGAUUGGCAUCUGAUUGCAGACUCAUCAAGCUUGAGCAUCCGAAGCUGAGAAGCUCUGGAAGAUAGCAAAUAUAAGGACUUUGAGAAUCAACCAAUCACUCAAAUGAAGCAAUAACAACACCCAUGCGGUCAUUGGCCAACUUAGGUCCUACACCUAGUAACGGUGACUCAGAAUAUAUUUCCACUAAACCCAAUCCCAAAUUAUAGUAGUUGUCUUCUUAAGCAAACCAACAAACUUAGAUCAAGCCCAUGUUUGACAGUGAUUAGAGACUUUUCAUAUGAAGAAAAUUGCUAGCAGAUAACUUUACCAUUCUUGGUCCUAUGCGACAAACUUUAGCAAGGGUUGAAUCAUCUUAAGAAAGUUGACAGCAUGUAGCUUUCCCGUCUGAUUUGGGACUCCUUUUAUGCUUAGUUGUGUCAUACAGAUCCUUACAACCACUGUUAUUGAUAUAGUGGUUACGUUCCAGGUUCAGCUGAUGGGGUGCAUCUAUCAGCAUGGUAGAGGCUUCGACCAAAGCAUUCACAGCACCAACCUUCUCAUAAUGAUUUAACUCAAGUUUCUUUUCUCUAGACUUUCCAAUGCGGUCCAUAUAGUUCUUUAGGCAUCCGAAAAUCUCCAACCCUAAGUGAGAUAUUUAACACCCUAAGCACAACAAAAAUAGAGGAAUAAAAGCAAAGAUAGGAAUCAAAAGGAACAUUGAGGUUAGAGUAAGUAGGAGAACAUGAAACACAUAGAUGUAUAGGGCCUCAUUUCAUGUGACGUCCAUGGGCUCAAAAUAGGUGGGAUUAACAAAUCAAAGAAAACCCAAAAAUAGAGUAUGUAUAUAGAAGACUACAUUCAACUAAAACAAACAAAUAACUUUUCCUACCCACACCAAAACAACAAAUUAAUGCUUAAAACUAGAGCUAGAAACGUCAAGAUGAGUUUAAACAGGAGUUAAAACAUGGCUCCUUGAACAUCAGUCGGCAAACAACAUUCAAGAGUCAACAGAAACAUUAAACAACGUUUAUCAUCCAAUAAUAAAAAAGAUAAGAGAAUAAUGGAAGAUGAAAUGUCUAAAGUUCAUACUAGCAAAUUGCCUCCCUACCAAUAAGACUAGCUCGGCUUCAAGCAGCUCUAUUUCUUCUUUCAAACCUCCAGCGAACCAUAGCAAAAUCAGCUUCCUUUUCUCUCCCCUGAACCGAAUCAUCCUACUAAUGCCCAGCUCAACACCUCUCUGUACUCUUUUUUUCUUCUUUCAAAAUCCCUCCAAACACUCUCUAAUCCCUUUCUCUUUCUUUCUUUCCUCUUCUUCCCAAUUGGUUCCUCUCAAGCCUUUCUCUCAUAGUCCCCGUUUCUUCUCACUCUAUUCUCAACUGUUUUUUUUUUCUUUUCAGCCUCCCUUUCUUCCUCUCAGUUGCCACCUCUUGUUCUUGCUAAAAAAAACCUCAUUUUCCUAUCUCUACACUAGCUCACUUUUCUUCUCAAAACGUCCCCUGUUUUUUGUCCAGCUUUCAAAACACCCACCUGCUGAAAACCUCUUCAAUCACGCUCCCUCUCUCCAUCCCGUUUUCAGUUUUUUUUUUCUUUUUUCUCUUUAAAUCCUUUUCUCCAAGCUUUAGUUUUUCUCUUAAAAAAACUCGUCAUCUCCUAGCCUCAUCCUUUCCCUCAAAACAGCUCACCCAUGCUUUGUUUUUAUUUCACUUCUAGUUUCAUCCUCCACCUGUUCCAUUGUUCUCGGUUCAGCAAAUACGUCACCAUCCUCAACCACUACCAUGGCAAGUUGGUGAAGUCUUUUUCCAUGUAUCUCAAUCAUGCAACUUGGCCACCUCAUGGAGAGGUCGUCCUCCACUCUUUUCCCAACUCACUCUUAAGGUGGUAAGAAAAAAAAAUUCUUCCAUCCGACGGGUCUACAAAUAUGCUCCUCUUCAGUAGAGUUCAUGAGUGUAAGGAAUAUGAACACUAGAGUGAAAAGAAAGUGUGACUAGUGAGUGAAAUGAAGUGAACUCUACCGAAGUAAAAGAAAGACCCCUAAAGGUACAUAAGUAGAACACAAACUCACUCAAACCAAAAAGGAACAAAAGGGGUUCUAAAAUAUUAAGAGAAUGGUAGCUCUCGGAGUGCCUCUAAAGUUGCGCUAUGGAUCCAAACUCCCUCUAAGAUGUCUCCAAAAGUGACUCGAAGAUCAAUGUCAAAGUUGAGUAGUAGUCAAACAACUUAGGAGCAGAAAGAUGAACAUAUAUAAAAGAAAAACUACACAUGCACCACACAAGAGCACGAAGUGAGGGGCUCCAAUGAUACAAUCAAAACACAAGCUAUGAGCUCAAAGAGCUAUAUCACACACAAUGGAGGAGGACAAACUCUGUAAAAUCACGACUUCGAAAUGCCUGAAAUAUGGCUCUAAACGCCAAGACUAAGACGAAUGAUUUUGAACAACUAAACUAUGACUUUAAAAGCCUGUGAGAGGAAUGGCUCUGAAGGCCUAUGAAAAUGGUGGCUCUGACCACCUAAAAUUGUAGAAGUGAGUGGCUCUAAACGCCUAAAACUUGAAGAGAUGACUUUGAACACCUAAAUUGGAAAAGAUGGCUCUAAACGCCUAAAUUGGAAGAGAUGGCUCUAAAUGCCUGUACUGAAGACAUGACUUCGAAUGCCUAUACUGAAUACAUGGCUCUGAAAGCCAAACUAUGGAGAGAUAAUAGCUCUGAAUGUGUGAAACUGGAAGAGAUAGCUCUGAAUGCCUAUGAAGGAAAAUGGUGGCUCUGAACGCCUAAAUAGUGAAAAUGGCUCUGGAUGGUGAGCUCAGGGCUUUAAAUGGUAAGAAUGAUUCUAGGUCAUAAAUAAGAAGAACGACUUUGGGUCAUGAGCUCAAGGCUCUAACUACUAAGAAUGACUCUAGGUCAUAAAUAAGAAUAAUGACUCUGAAUUGUGAGCUCCAGGCUCCAAAUGCUAAGAAUGACUUUGGGUCAUGAACAAGAAGAAGGACUUUAAAUUGUGAGCUUAGGGCUUUAAAUGUUAAGAAUGACUCUAGGUCAUAAAUAUGAAGAACGACUCUGGGUCGUGAGCUCAACGCUCUAAAUGCAAAGAAUGACUCUGGAUCAUAAAUAAGAAGAACGAAUCUAGGUCGUGAGCUAAGGGCUCUAAAUGCUAAGAAUGACUUUGGGUCACAAAUAAAAAGAAUGACUCUGGGUUGUGAGCACAGGGCUCUAAGUUCUAAGAAUGACUCUGGGUCAUAAAUAAGAAGAAUGAAUCUGGGUCGUGAACUCAAGGCUCUAAAUGCUAAGAAUGACUUUGGGUCAUAAAUAAGAAGAACAACUUUAGGUCGUGAGCUUAGGGCUAUAAAUACAAAGAAUAACUCUGGAUCAUAAAUAAGAAGAACGACUCUAGGUCGUGAGCUCAGAGCCCUAAAUGCUAAGAAUGACUCUAGGUCAUAAAUGAGAACAACGACUGUAAGUCAUCAGCUCAAGGCUCUAAAUGGUAAAAAUGACUUUGGGUCACAAAUAAGAAGAACGACUCUGAGUUGUGAGCUCGUGGCUCUAAAUGCUAAGAAUGACUCUAGGUCAUAAAUGAGAAGAACAACUUUAGGUCGUGAGCUCAAGACUCUAAAUGCUAAGAAUGAAUCUGGCUCAUAAAUAAGAAGAACGACUCUGGGUCGUGACCUUUGGGCUCUAAAUGCUAAGAAUAACUCUAGGUCAUAAAUAAGAAGAACGAAUCUGGGUUGUGAGCUCAAGGCUCUAAAUGCUAAGAAUGACUUUAGGUCAUAAAUAAGAAGAACGAAUCUGGGUCAUGAUCUCAAGGCUUUAAGUGCUAAGAAUGAGUUUAGGUCAUAAAUAAGAAAAACGACUAUGGGUCGUGAGCUCAAGGCUCUAAAUGCUAAGAAUGACUCUGGGUCAUAAAUAAGAAAAACGACUCUAGGUCAUGAACUUAGGGCUAUAAAUGCUAACAAUAACUCUAGGUCAUAAAUAAGAAGAACGACUCUAGGUCGUGAGCUCAAGGCUCUAAAUGCUAAGAAUGACUCUAGGUCAUGAAUGAGAAGAACAACUCUAGGUCGUGAGCUCAAGGCUCUUAAUGCUAAGAAUGACUCGGGUCAUAAAUAAGAAGAACGACUCUGGGUCAUGAGCUCAGGGCUCUAAAGGCUAAGAUUGACUCUAGGUCAUAAACAAGAAGAAUGACUCUAGGUCAUGAGCUCAGGCUUUAAAUGCUAAGAAUGACUCAGGGUCAUAAACAAGAAGAACGACUUUAGGUCGGGAGCUCAGGGCUUUAAAUGCUAUGAAUGACCCUGGGUAAUAAAUAAGAAGAACGACUCUGGACCGUGAGCUCAGGGCUCCAAAUGCUAAGAAUGACUUUGGGUCAUAAAUGAGAAGAACGACUCUGAGUUGUGAGCUCAGGGCUCUAAAUGCUAAGAAUAACUCUAUGUCAUAAAUGAGAAGAACGACUCUAGGUCGUGAGCUCGGGGCUCUAAAUGCUAAGAAUGACUCUUGCUCACAAAUGAGAAGAACGACUCUAGGUUGUGAACUCCGGGCUCUAAAUGCUAAGAAUGAAUAUGGGUCAUAAAUGAGAAUAACGACUCUAGGUCGUGAGCUCAAGGCUCUAAAUGCUAAGAAUGACUCUGGGUCAUAAAUGAGAAGGAUGACUCUAGGUCAUGAGAUUAGGGCUCUAAAAGCUAAUAAUGACUCUAGGUUAAAAAUGAGAAUAACAACUCUAGGUUGUGACCUCAGGGCUCUAAAUGCUAAGAAUGAUUCUGAGUCAUAAAUAAAAAGAAUGACUUUGGGUCGUGAGCUCAGGGAUUUAAUUGCUAAGAAUGACUCUGGGUCAUAAAUUAGAAGAACGAAUCUAGGUAGCUCAGGGCUCUAAAUGCUAGGAAUGACCCUAGGACAUAAAUAAGAAGAAUGACUUUGGGUCAUGAGCUAAGGGCUCUAAAUGCUGAGAAUGACUUUAGGUCAUAAAUAAGAAGAACAACUUUGGGUGGUGAGCUCAAGGCUCUAAGUGCUAAGAAUGACUCUGGGUCAUAAAUAGGAAGAACGACUCUGGAUCAUGAGCUCAGGGCUCUAAAUGCUAAGAAUGUCUCUAAGUCAUAAAUAAGAAUAACGAAUCUAGGUCAUGAGCUCAGGACUCUAAAUGCUAAGAAUGAAUCUAGGUCAUAAAUAAGAAGAACGACUUUGGGUCGUGAGCCGAGGGCUCUAAAUGCUAAGAAUGACUCUGGGUCCUAAAUGAGAAUAACGACUCUAGGUCGUGAGCUCAGGGCUCUAAAUGCUAAGGAUGACUUUGGGUCGUAAAUAAGAAGAACGACUCUGGACCGUGAGCUCAGGGCUCUAAAUGCUAAGAAUGGCUCUAGGUAAAAAAUGAGAAGAACAACUUUGGGUCGUGAGCUUAGGGCUCUAAAUACUAAGAAUGACUCUGGGUCGUGAGCUCAGGGCUCUAAAUAUCUAAAGUGAAGAAGAUGACUUUGAAUUCUAUACUAAAAGAAAAUGACAACUCUAAAUGCUAGCCAUGUAGCUCUGAACGCUGAACUAAAGGAAAAUAAUGGCUUUGAAUGCCAGGCUGACUAAUGGCUUUAAAUGCUAAACUGAAGAAAUAUGGUGGCAUCUAAAUGCCAAGUUGACCAAUGGCUCUGAGUGCCAAACCGUGAAAGACAGUUGAAGGGGAAUAUGGCCCAGUGUGGCGUGUUGGCACAACUUUCGAUCCACAUAUCACAGAGCCUUUAGCUCAAGAUACUCUACUGGAGGAGCACAUUGUAGUCUCAAAUGAAUGACCCACUGGGGAGUCUCAGGAAAAAUAGUCCAUUGGGAAAGCUAUCACCACAUCAACAUAACAAUCUAUUAAAGAGUCAUAUGUACUAGGACUGUCAAAACUCCUCCAAAGGCUCAUCUCGACAAAAUCAUCAAAACUAGGACCAACAAAGAAGACUAUAAAAGCUAAGUAAGAAAUCAAUCAUCUCGACAAUAGAAAAAAUGAGGAAUAUGCCCCAGUAUAGCAACUGAUGCAUCCCGCUAUGUAGGUAACCAAAGAAAAUAUGCCUCAAUAUAGCAACUAGUACAUCUAAUCUGUCCUGAUGACUUGAGCAUAACUCAAUGGGGAUGUAUAAGAGAUCUGACAUGCACUCCACUGAAAUGAUGAUAGGCCUAGAAGCUAAUUGAGUCAACAAACCACCCUCCAUGAGCUUCUGGAAAGCUCGGUUCAAAGGCAUACCUAGCUGGGAGAACUGUCGUGUCGGCCUCUGCACAAAAGGAUUAGUAGGUUGUGGGGCUCGGGGCCAAGGGUAUAAAGUGGGAGGUCUCUUUAAGACCUGUGUAGUAAAAACAGACUCUGAGGUCGGGUGUAGGUAUGUAAGAGUCAUGGUCCUGGAAAGAGCGGGCGGCCUAUACUGAACAUAAUGUUGUGGGUAGUAAGCUCCUGAAGUCUGCCCAACUAUCUAAUAGCGUUUAGGAGGUCUAAGUCCUGUUGAAUUAAUAAUACCCACAUCUCUUGGUCUCUGUCCUCCUAAGGGCUUCUUCCCCUUUGAAUCAGAAGGAGAAGACUCAGGUCACAAUCCUUUAACAACAUAAUGUUGUGGGUAGUAAGCUCCUGAAGUCUACCCAACUAUCUGAUAGCGUUUAGGAGGUCUAAGUCCUGUUGAAUUAAUAAUACCCACAUCUCUUGGUCUCUGUCCUCCUAAGGGCUUCUUUCUCUUUGAAUCAGAAGGAGAAGACUUAGGCCACAAUCCUUUAACAAUGACCUCUUCUAUACCAUACAAUGCCUACACCAAAGAGCCAAAGUCCACGUGUGGGAAUCCCAUCAAAUGCCUAGCAAAUCGAGACAACAAGCUCCUCAUAAUCAUGUUGAUCUGAUCCAUCUCAGAUGGCCUAUCAAUGAUCUGGGCAAUCUUCUCACUCCAACGGGAAAUGAAUGAUGUGACUGUCUCAUCGGGCUUCUACCUCAAGGCUUCCGACUCCCUCCGUGAGACAUCUAUGAUAGCGUUAAAUGCAAACUAUCGUAAGAACUCUUGGUUUAAAUCAUCCCAUGUACGAUGGUGUAACACAUCCAAAGAAGCAAACCAACGGUGGGCCGCCCCACUCAAGGACUUGGGGAAUAGCAUAAUCAUUUGAGCAUCAUCUAAAUCAUGGGCCCUCAUCACGUACUGUAUAGUCUCAAAUGAAUACGGGGGCAUCCAAUCCCCGUGUAUCGCUCAAUCUCUAGCAUCUCGAACUUGGUCGAUAAACUGGCCACUGGUGCUCCAUCAAAAUCCUCCCAGGUAAUAGCUUCGUUUGAAGUCCUCAUCUAUUUCAUCAUCUACUUAAGUCUAUCCAUAUGAGCAUGUGGGUCCUCUAGGAUUAGGGUAGGCACUAUGACAGGAGGCGGGGCAAUCUCGGUCUGACUCUAUAAAGUAAAUGGAGUAAGCUAUGGAACUGUCUAACCAAGUAGAGGAGGUGGCAGAAUAAUGAGACCAUACUGCACACCCAUCAUGAACUAGAACCUGUUGGGCCUGCUGCCCAUUCAUCCUCUAACCAAGACUAGUUAUGGCCUCAUAGAUCGAAGCCAUAACAGUAGUGAAUUGAUCAAUUGUAACCACCUGUGAAUCCAUAUUUUUCUGAUCUAAUUGGUCUGACACUCUGAUCAAUCUACCUCCAACUCUAAUCCAAGAAGCUGAACCCAGAUCGAAUGUAUCAAUACUUCUACAAUAGUGGAAAUACUAUAUAAGAUACAGUGUAAGGGAAACUCUAUGAGGAAUGUCUAUCAACUAUGCAGGAAGGUAACCUGGAAGUAUUCAAACUAAUAUCCAAUUUUGAGCAAAUAUAUAAGAGACUACUACGAAGAUAACUAAACCUAUCACUAUUGACCUGACUCUGAAGGCCCAUAGAUGCACCCACAUGUAAGAAGAGAAUCCUAAUAAGAGGAUUUAAGGCUCAACCUACAAGGCCAAAGGUGGCUCUAAAAGGAAAAUGGUGGACUUUAAAGGAUCCCCAGCAGAAGCGAUCAUACCCUCCAACGGUACACAACUCUCUACACACCUCUGAAAAGACGGGGCGCUUCCAUGCAAGAUGGUCAUCACUUCCACACAUGCACUACCUCGACAUCCUAGGGGGGUUUCCUAUAGUGAAAGUUUUUGCAACUCUCAGCACUCGAUAGUCAACUAAAAUGCACAGUGAGUGGUGUGGGUACAUCUGAAAAGCCUAUAAAGCUAAAGCAUAAAAAGAAACACACUGGUCACACAAAAUAUCCAUGAAACCUAGCUCUGGGCUAUAUAGGUCUUCAAAGAUCGAACUCCUAUCAACACCAAUGUGUCAGUCUCCUCCAGAAUGCUCCCAAACAUUGAUAUAGCUCGUCUUUAGACCCUACUCCUAACCUCUAGCUCGGUCAGAGAAAUAAGCACACAUAAGGCCUCAAACUUGCAAAUGUAAGAACUGAAAGAAAAUGAAAUGACCAAAACCAUAGGGUUAGAGGUAAAGGGAUAGAUAUGCGAUCCACAUGGACAAGCAACAUGAAAACACACAAGAAAAUAGCAGUCAUGCACUAAGCAGCUAUGAAAAGAACAGGUAUAUCACCCAUGUCCAUGAUUCGUCCCUAGCAGCGGCAGUGGCAAAGGCACCAUUUGAUUCGAGGUUCAAUCCCCGGCAACGGCGCCAUUUGAUUCAUGCCUAGUUGGUGUCUCAGCUGAUUCGUGUCCAGCUGGUGCUCCUUGAUUGAGGGAGUAAUCAACAAAAUUUAUAACCUAUAACACCAUAUACUAGGGUAGCAAAGAAAAAGCUACUAUAGUAUAGUGGCUCUAGGAUCGUUCACUGGGAAGGAUUAACAAGCUAUCAAUGAUACCAAUUCAAAGUGAAUUGGUCUUGUUUCAUUUCAAGGUUAGCUUAAGAAAUAAAACACAAACUUUGGUUGGUAAAGAUUUAAACUAACUAACAUAACAAGUACUCGGAAUAACUUAGGAAGAAAAGCAUUCCUUGGAGAGUUAGGUUCACUGGGGUGGUUCCUCAUGCAAAAGACAUAGCUCCGGUCAGAUGGUUCAUUUCCUCGCGUUAGAGAUUCAACCUAUAGUCAAUUCUCUAACCGGCGUUUUACAGAUACAUCCUUCAAUUAGAUUUCACUUUAAUUCUCUCACUGAUGCAACUUGCAAUGAUUUAAGCCUCUCACUAAGCCGUAACCAUUCAAGGUGAUCUUUAACCUUGGAUUACCCGUCAAAAGCUCGCAAGAGAUAACUAAUGGAUGUCUCCUUGAAGUCCAAAAGCUUACCAAGUGUUGGCUAUUCUAGAAAAUCCUACCCUAAAGUCACCUCCCAGAGGCUCGCAAGGGGUAAACUAGUGCAUUUCCAUGGUUGGAAAUCACUUGCCUUACCAAGUGUUGGCCCAGGUGACUCUAAGGUGUUUUAAUUUAACUAAAAACAUAGAAAUCACUAAAGGAUUUCACUUCCUUUUCAUUAUUAGCUAAAACCACAAAGCUUUGCAUUCUUGCACUUGGAACCUUCCCCGGCAACCUUAGCUCCAAGGAACUAGAGGUUUAGUUACUCAUUCUCUGGGGAAAAUUCCUCAGAGAGUUCAUAACUUAGCAAUAAAAUAAAAAUACAAAGUGAGAAGGUAAGGCAAUACAAAGAACUGAACUUUACUUGCUUACCCAAAACUUUACAAAAGGAUCUCCUCUCUGAGAACAGGCUCCCGAGAGGUAUAUAUAUGAACAUAAUUUAAAACUAAUUAUUACAUAGAUAUUUACUCUUUUUACUAACUUAAAAGCUAAGGAAUCUUGUAAUUGGUGGCUCACAAGGAGUAUUUUGGUAUUUAGACAACAAAAAUCUAAUGUAAAAUAUCUCCCAAUGUUGGUAGCAGAUAUCGGGAUGCUCCAGGAACCAUUUCGCAAGAGAAAAUGGUGUCUGCGAGAUUUUGCAGACACUCAAGAGGGCUGCGAAAUCAUUUCGCAACAACAUGCUAUCUUCGCAGGGCUGCGAAGUUGGCUUCCACCUUGAGGUUCCCAGCUUCCCUCUUGCGGUAUAUGUCGGGCAUCUUCAGGAGGGAAUCCACAACACUGUACAAAAAGGCUGCGGAAUCACUUCGCAACAAAAGGGUGAUUUCGCAACACUUUGCAAAAUGCUUCCUUCAGCUUGGAGUGAUUGGAUUGCAAUGGCUGCAACUUCUUCGUUUCAACUCCGAAUUGCACACUGUUUGAAGCAGUGGAUUGUUGACUUCCUGAACUUUGAAAUGGUAUAUAGCAUACAUCAAUUGGACUUCAGAAAGUGCUCCAAAAGUGGCUGCUACGACUGUCAUCAAGAAUAUGCUUCAUGGCAGAUUCUCUUUACUUUUUCUCCUUGCAUUCCGGAUUCACUCUUGGCAAAUGACUUCUAAGCUUUGCCCAAGAUUCCUCAUAACUCUCCUCAGUCUUGAUUUGCUUUGGUGAUCAAAAUACUAACCAAAACACCAAAACUUACACAAAGUAAUUAAAAUUGCUUUCAAGGGUCCUUAACAUGCCAAUUGAGUUAAAAGGCCUAAACUACUACUCAAAAGUGUUUAAAAGGAUUAAUUAUAGGCUAUCAAAUAGCACUUUUUGAGUAGUAAUCACUCCCCCCAACCGACAUAUUGCUAGUCCCUUAGCAAUAUAGGAGAGAAAAAUGAAAAUAAAAAGCAAACUAACCUAUAAUUUACAACAUCAUGCUGAAAGAAAAUAAUUCUCAAGUGGCAUGAUGAUCUAAUUCUCACAUGAAAAAAUUAAAGAAAUACAAACCCAAAUUUCAACAAGAGUUAUAACAAACUAUGCUAAACACUGUCAAUCAAGGGAGUGCAUUAUGCAAACUGAAGUUUUAAAAUCAUUUCCACUUUCAAGGAACCAAACUUUAAUCUUCCACAAAAAAUCUAUGUGUAUUGGUUCCUUAGGUUCCGAGAAUAAUAUGCUAAACUAAUCUCUCCCCCCAACCUAUCUCUUUUCAACACUUAGCAAACUGACCAAAAUCAAUAAGAAAAGAACACACUUUCAUUUUUUUUUUCUUUUUUUUUUUUAAGGCAGCUUUAUGGGGUACUCUUUCUGACUUGUCCAUGUAAUGGGGGUCCAUCGAUGACUUCCAACCAAUUAAGGUUUAGGGCACCAAGCUUUAAGGAUCUUUCAACCACUAACUCCUCGGAUUUUUCCCCGGACUUUUAAGAAUGAAUUUCUACUACCCAAGCACCUACCAUAUGCUAACUCUACCUAUUCACCCUUAUAACGAGCAUUGAGGUCGGUGACUCCCAACCAAUUAAGGCUUAGGGCACCAGGCUUUAAAGAUUUUUACCAUAUACCCCUCAGACCUUGCUCGGGUUUCAAGGCAAGCAAACAACUUUCUUUAUUUCAAAGGCUCAUUGGCCUUUUGCAGGGUGUUUCAAUUUUUAUCAAAUGAGGUCAAGUAUACCAAGUCCCAAAAUUAUCCUAAGUCAAGAGGGAAAUAGCUUUUCAUAUUAUAAUCGGAAUCUAAUGUGCACAGUGUGUGAAUAGCUUAAAGUGGAAGAACUAAAUUCAAUUUCAAUAGAAGUUUCAACAAUUGAACCACUUUAGUGAGCAUAAUCCAUACUCUAAGUCAAGUGAAAAACAACAGUUCAAUUUCUCUUGGUUUAAUUUGAAAAUUUUUCCUCAAGAUUCAUGGAGAAUAGAAUAAAAAGAGUAAAAAGUAAAAACUACAACUAAUUAACCAAUAUAAUUGCAUUACCAAAAAGACUUAUCAUACUUCCUUCCUCAUUCCCCCCAACCGAACUGAGCAUUAUCCUCAAUGUGAUAUGAGUAACUGUAAUUAAAGGAAGGAAGUGGUACCUCCUGACUGAUAUCAAAUUCGAAUAUUGAUUGGGGAAACCAUAUGUUUCAAAAAGAAUAGAAUAUGUGAGAAAAGGAAAUAAGAAUAAAUUAAUGCUAACUGGUAACAAAAAAUAUUAAACUUGUAUUACUUUAAAUUCAGUUGAGUACAAUGUAAAAGAAAAGUAAUACAAGCAAUCCCAAAUAUAGUACCAAAAUAAUGGGAUUUCUUUUCAACUAAAAAUAAAAAUAAAAAUAGUAGAUAUAUAAUAGUCUGAUGAGUGGGUGGUGCUGGGGCUAGGCAGAUGGGUCUGCCUCUUCAGUAGGUGCUUCAGCUAGGGCUUGGGGCUCUGGAGGAUGAGACUCUGAGGGAUGAGAGUGUGGCACUGCUGGAGGAGAAGUGGAGGGCUCUACAGCUGGUGGCAGAUCGAAAUGAAGCUGGAGCUGCCUUAAGAUGGCAGCUUGUUGAGCCUGAGUGGCCAACAUCUGCUCUUGGCAUGCUCUAAUGGCUGCCAUCUCUUGAGCAAGACUGCUCUGAGAAGCUGUGAGAGUCUCCAAUGCACGACACAACUCUUGAUAUUCAGAUAUAGGAAUGGCCAUCCUCGGUUCAGCUGAUGUGGAUGGCUGAGAUGAAGCUGGAGCAGCUGGUGGAGCUCUAGGAAUGGCAGGAGCAGCAACUGUUAUACCCUCAGGUAUGUGUCGUGGGGAUGCUCUCCUUGCAGCUGGCUGAGGUGGCUCUUGCUGAUCAAUUUUAUAGGUCGUCAUGUUGUUCCAUUUAUCAAGAGUGAAUGGCUCACGGCAAAUGCGCUUUCUCUCCAGCUGAGGCUCAGAAGGAUAUCCCAAGUGCUCCAGAAUUUGGCAUAGCAGCCUUGGAAAGAGGAGGGAUUCGCAAUCAGCUCUCUGAAGCUUCUUUUUGUGCACCUUCUCUUCGAAAUAGAGAAGGGCUGCCAAGAUCAGAUGAUGAGGCCCAAAGAAAAAUCCUUCUGACAUCUUGUAAAGGGCUUUUAAGAGGACUCCCCUUCUUUGAGUCCAAUGCUGCAAUGGGUAGAGAUUAUGACGCAAAAAUGCAUCAAUCAGAAACAUGACUGGAGGAAGCUCCCCCCUCAACAAAUGUGAUCAAUUUGCAGCUCCUCUGGAAAGGGUGCGCACCAUCUCCAGCUCAGUAGGAUUGGUCCAAGCUCUAAAAUCAUCGAAUUGGGUUGGCUCAUAGGGAAUUUGCAGGGCUUCAGCAAUAUGGCGUGCUCCCAAUAUGCCAUGCCUCCCAUCAAUAGUGAAAUGAAUUAAAGUUGGAUCCCUGACCUGGUUGGUUGUCAUGGAUUGAUAGAAAUCCAUGGCUACCCUUGGGUAGAAAAAGUCUCUCGGAGUCAGCAGAUGCUCCAUAUGGUACCUUCUCAGCAGGUUGAAUGACUGUGCAAGCUCCGGCUGCAAUCGGAAUGUAGCUAUGUCAAAGCCUAGCUCGGAGUGGAAUGGCCGAGUUCUACAAUCCAAAUUUCCCUCAAUUGGGGGCUAGGUCAGCAUCGGCCUGCUGAUUACUUCUUCCGGAGCUAUUUCAACCAGAAUUUGGGGCUCUGGAAGUGGCGGCUGAGGCUCUUGAGAUUUUGCUUGCGACGCCAGAGAUGGCACCGACGACGGAACUGGCGAGGAUACUGGAGUUGGAGUCGGUGAUGGAAUCGGAGAAGGCUCUGGAGAUUGCUCAGUCAAAUCGAUGGGUUCUGAGCUCUCCACCCUGGGUCUCUUUUGCGAUGGCCGACCUCUUGACCUGGUUAGGUAUCGUUUUGCAGGAGGUUUUGGCGGCGCGGGCUUCACCGGAGGAGGAAUUGCUUUCGGCUGCGGAGGAUUAGGAAUAGGAUCUGGAACUGGUUCCUUUCGCAGGCUUUUCUUGCGGCUCGAAGGAGAUGAAGACUUAGCCCUUCUUGUUCGCGCCAUUUCAGAUUACCGAAGUUUGGCCGACAUUGCUGAUCGAAGAAGAUGACCGGAGACUUGCGCGGUGAGGCUCGAGGAAGAAGAUGAACAGCCUGCGAGAAUGGCGUGCUCUGAUUUUGAAACCCUUUUCGCAGCUCAAAUGACCGGUAUAAAUAGGAAUAACGGAAGACUAAGGGUCAGUUUGAGUUUCGCAGCAAAACGCCAAUUUCGCAGCAAAAUGCCAUUUUCGCAGCAACUUCGCAAUGCAUUUCGCAGCUGCGAAAUUAAUGUCACUGUGCUGCGAAGUGGCACACGUGUGCCAAAAUCUCUUUCGCAAUUGCGAAACACCCUGCAGAAUGGGACUUUUGUUGUGAAAUCUGGGCUUUAACACUUCGCAAGUCGUUUCGCAGCUGCGAAAUGGGGGCCCCUGUGCUACGAAGUGGCACUCGUGUGCCAAACUCGCCUUCGCAGCUGCGAAAAUUCUCGCAGAGAAUCACAAAGUGUUGCGGAAUGGUUUGGCAACGAAAUACUCAUUUCGCAGAAGUUUCCUUCAGCCUGCGAAAUCUCGCAGAGCUCUGUUUUUCCUCUGUUUUCACUCUGUUUUUGCUCCGAUUUCGAUCCGAUUUUUUUUUCUUUCAAUUUCCUUGAAAUUUCUUCCACCUGAGAUCAUUCAAAAAGAUUAAAAUACACCUAAAAACAUGAUUUAAGAUAAAAAAAACUAAGAUCAAAUGUAUGGAAAAAACUUGAAAAUUUACAAAAUUUACAAAAAUUUUGGACUGUGGUAAACCACGUCCAGCAAACCCUUCUUUGCUUAGGCUUUUUGAGGCUCAAGGAGGUUGAUUGCCUCAUUUUCUAGUUUGAAUGGCUCCAUGAAUGGCUUGAGACGAUAUCCAUUGACUCUAAAGCUGUCAUUGCCAUUUGAAUUCAAUAAUUCCACCACUCCAUUGGAAUAUACUCGGUGAACAACGAACGGGCCUAUCCACCUUGACUUGAGCUUCCCAGGAAAGAUAUGGAGUCUUGUGUCAUAUAGUAAAACUCUUUGCCCUUCCUGAAAUUCCUUGUUGGAGAUGAGUUGAUCAUGCCACUUCUUCAUCCUCUGUUUUGCAACUUUGGAAUUGAUAUAAGCAUUAUUUCUUAAUUCCUCCAUCUCAUUAAGGUCUAGAUAUCUCUUUUCUCCGGCUCUGAUCAAGUCCAUGUUCAGCUUCUUUAUUGCCCACCAAGCCUUGUAUUCAAUUUCCACAGGGAGAUGGCAUGCUUUGCCAUAGACAAGACGAUAAGGAGACAUCCCAAGAAUAGUCUUAUAAGCUAUUCUAUAUGCCCACAAUGAAUCAUGAAGCCUAAUAGACCAAUCUUUUCUACUGGAAUUCACCACUUUCAUCAAUAUGUUCUUUAUUUCCCUGUUAGCUAGCUCAACUUGCCCGGAAGUCUGAGGAUGAUAAGGUGUAGCUACCUUAUGCUUCACUCCAUACUUGGAUAACAGAGCUUCAAAAGGUUUGUUGCAAAAAUGAGCACCUCCAUCACUGAUUAUGGCUUUGGGCACCCCAUAUCUCGAGAAAAUGUUCUCUUUAAGAAACUUGAGAACCACCCUGUGAUCAUUUUGUUUACAGGGGAUUGCCUCAACCCAUUUAGAAACAUAAUCCACCCCCACCAAGAUGUAAGAAUUACCAAAAGACAUUGGGAAAGGUCUCAUGAAGUCAAUGCCCCAUACAUCAAAUAGCUCAACUAUUAGUAUGGGGUUCAUAGGCAUUUGGUUUCUUUUUGUUAGCUUUCCAAGCCUUUGGCAUCUGUCACAACUUCUACACAUGAUGUGGGCAUUUUUGAAAAGAGAUGGCCAGGUAAACCCUGAUUGCAACACCUUCAUAGCUGUUUUCUGAGAGGCAAAGUGGCCUCCACAUGCAUUCUCAUGACAAUGAGAUAGAAUCCCUUGCUGCUCAUCUUCAGGGACACAUUUCCUUAUAAUCUGAUCUGCACAAUACUUAAAAAGAAAGGGCUCUUCCCAAUAAUAAGCAUGAAUUUUGGCAAAGAAGUGUUUCCUAGCCUAUGCAUUCCACUCACUCGGAAUUUCACCAGUUACUAAAUAAUUAGCAAUAUGAGUAUACCAAGGAGUUUUCACUACGAACAUGAGUGAUUCUUCAGGAAAAUCAUCAUUAAUAGGCAAGGGAUGGGAAUUAUGUGCUAUAACUAACCUCGAAAGGUGGUCAGCUACCACAUUUUCCACUCCUUUCUUAUCCUUGAUUUUGAGAUCGAAUUCUUGUAACAAAAGAAUCCAUCUAAUCAACCUUGCUUUUGCAUCUUGCUUUGUCAAUAAAUACUUCAAGGCUGAAUGGUCAAUGAAGACAAUGAUGAAAGAGCCCACUAAAUAAGCAUGAAAUUUGUCCAAAGCAAAUACCACAGCUAACAAUUCUUUCUCUGUAGUUGUGUAGUUCCUUUGAGCUUCAUUCAGUGUUUUACUUGCAUAGUAAAUCACAUAGGGCUUCCCAUCUUCCCUUUGGCCAAGCACAGCUCCUAUAGCAAAGUCACUGGCAUCACACAUCAGUUCAAAGGGUAGUUGCUAGUUAGGGGCUCUCACUAUUGGAGUUGUUGUUAAAAAUUUCUUCAGUUGAUCAAAGCUAUUCUGACACCUUUCAUCCCAUAUAAAUUUAGCAUCCUUAGCUAACAGCUCACAAAGAGGUUUUGAAAGACUUGAAAAACCUUUUAUAAACCUCCUAUAGAACCCUGCAUGGCCAAGGAAUUGCCUUACUCCUUUUACAGUUGUUGGGGAUGGUAAUUUGACAAUAAGCUCCACCUUUGCUUUAUCAACUUCAAUGCCUCUUUCAGAGAUGAUAUGACCAAGGACAAUUCCUUGACGUACCAUAAAAUGGCAUUUCUCCCAGUUGAGCACCAGGUCUUUUUCAAUGCAUCUGUGAAGAACUGCUUCCAAAUUAACUAAGCAUUCCUCAAAUGUAUCUCCAUAUACGGUGAUGUCAUCCAUGAAAACCUCCAUAAUUCGCUCCACCAUAUCACUGAAAAUACUCAACAUACAUCUUUGAAAUGUAGCAGGUGCAUUGCAUAAACCAAAAGGCAUUCUCCUGUAAGCAUAUGUUCCAAAUGGACAUGUAAAAGUGGUCUUUUCUUGAUCUGCCACAUCAAUUUCAAUCUGAAAAUACCCUGAAUACCCGUCCAAGAAGCAAUAGAAUGGAUGUCCAGAGACUCUCUCCAGCACUUGGUCAAUAAAUGGCAAUGGAAAAUGAUCCUUCCUGGUUACAGCAUUCAACUUUCUAUAAUCAAUACAUACCCUCCAACCUGAAGUGAGGCGUGUAGUAAUUUCUUCUCCUUUUUCAUUCGGAACCACUGUGAUCCCUGACUUCUUUGGUACCACUUGAGUAGGACUCACCCAAGGGCUAUCAGAUAUAGGGUAAAUGAUUCCUCCUUGAAGUAGCUUCAGCACCUCAGCUCGCACCACCUCUUGUAGAUGAGGAUUCAAUCUUCUUUGAAGUUGAUGAAUUGGCUUUGCUUCCUCCUCCAUAUAUAUAUGAUGAGUACAAACUAAAGGACUAAUGCCUUUCAAGUCAGAUAUUUUCCAUCCUAUUGCCUUCUUACACCUCUUGAGAACUUCUAUUAAACAAUUCUCUUGAUGACUGGUCAGAGAUGAAGAUAUCACAACAGGACAUUGAUUAUUUUCUUCAAGAUAUGUAUAUUUCAGCUCCACAGGUAAAGGCUUCAGAUUGAGUUUUGGAAUUUCUUUUUCAGCAGCUGCCUCCUCUUCUUUAUUGAACAAAGGUAGAAUCUCUUCUAUCUUUCUCCAACUUUGUAGAGUAGCAAGCAUAGUAGGAGAUUCAGACAAACCUUCCUCAAAAUUCACAAGACUUUCAUUCAAUUUGUCUUGCAUAUUUUGAUUACAGUGCUCCUCCACCAAAGUAUCAAUAAUGCACAGCUCUUCUGGACCCUCUUUUUCUUCCAGAGUGAUUUGCUUUUUAGACAUAUAGAAAAUAUUUAGAUCCAGUGUCAUGUUGCCAAAAGUGAGUUGCAUCAGCCCAUUCCUACAGUUGAUGAUUGCAUUUGAGGUAGCAAGAAAUGGCCUUCCAAGGAUGAUAGGAACUAAAUUAGCUUCCUUUACAGUAGGAUCUGUAUCAAGAACAAUAAAAUCUAUCGGAUAGUAGAAAUUAUCCACUUGAACCAAUACAUCCUCAAUUACCCCUCUUGGAAUUUUCACUGAUCUAUCUGCUAGAGAUAGAGUGAUUGUUGUUGGCUUCAACUCUCCAAGUCCCAAUUGCUUGUAGACAGAAUAUGGAAGCAAAUUCACACUUGCUCCCAAAUCUAGCAAGGCUUUCUUCACUACCUUUCCUCCAAUCAUGACUGAAAUGGUAGGACUUCUCGGGUCUUUGUACUUCAAAGGAGACUUACAUUGUAAGAUUGCACUUACUUGCUCAGUCAAGAAGGCUUUCUUGUUUACAGUCAACUCUCUUUUGAUAGUACAUAAGUCCUUAAGGAAUUUUGCAUACGUUGGAACUUGUUUAAUCAUAUCCAGCAGUGGAAUAUUGACUUUCACUUGUCUCAAUACUUCAAGGAUUUCAGCUGCAUUUCUAACCCCCUUUUUCCCAUGUAAUGCUUGAGGAAAAGGUGGAGAAGUUGAUUUCUUCAGCAUUUCUUCCUUCAGAAGUUCCUUCUCUGGAAUUGCAUUCAUUGUUGAAUCAGAGUCCUUCUUUUCUUCACUGAUCUCACUUUCUUUAUCUUCCAUUUCCUUCCCUUUCUUUACUUCUUCUUCUUUCUCAACAUGUGGCUUGGAUGUUGGCUGCUCAAUUUUUUUACCACUCCUUAGAGUGAUCAAGGCUUUGACAUCUUUCAUCUUUGAUGAUUCUCCCUCUUAGCUUUCCACUUCAUGGACACCUUUGGGAUUUUGGUGAGGUUGAGAAGGAAAUCUUCUCUUUUCUUGCAAUGUGUUCAAAUUUGUAAGCCUUGAAAUUGAAUAUUGGAUGUUAUCAAACUUUUGGUUCAUAUCAUUUUGCAUUCCAUCCAUCCUUUUAUUCAACAUACUCUCCACUCUAUCAAUUCUUUGAUUGAUUUGAGCAUUGGUGGCUUCUUGCUUUCCAACAAAAUCUCCCACUACCUUGCUGAGAUUAGCCAUUGCUUGUUCAAGACUUGAAGAUUGUUGAGAUGGUGGAUCCGACUGCUGGUACUGAGUUGCUCUGGCCUUCCAUGAGAAAUUUGGAUGAUUCCUCCAACUUGAGUUGUAGGUAUUUCCAUAAGGCGCAUUGUUAUUGGGCCUGAAUUGUCCAACAACAUUUGCUUGAUCUCUAAACAUCUCCCUUUCAGCUGAAAUUGCAGGGCAUUCCUCCACCAAAUGUUCAUAUGAUUGACAAUUGGGACACAGCUUCACUUGCACUGGUGCUUCAGCAACAGCUUGCACUUCAUGUAUUCUUUUCAGCUCCAGCUCCUCCAAUCUUCUUGUCAUAGCUGCCAACUUUGCUUUCAUAUCAUCAUCUUCUUUUAAAGUAUACAUCCCAGCCUUUGCAUUGUAAGCAUUCAACUGAGACUUCAUCUUUCCCACUUCUCCUUUAGUUGGUUCAUCCCAUCCCCUUGAAACAUCAGCUACAUAGCUCAAGAAAUCCAUAGCUUCCUCCGGAUUUUUGCUCAUGAAAUCUCCUCCACACAUUGUCUCGAGGAGUUGCUUCAUUGAGGAGGACAUACCAUCAUAAAAAUAGCUCACCAAUAGCCAAGUAUCAAAGCCAUGGUGAGGGCAAGCAUUUAUAGCUUCCAUGUAUCUUUCCCAACACUCAUAGAAUUUUUCAUUCUCUUUAGCUGAGAUGUUUGAAAUUUGCCUUUUCAAGCCAUUUGUUCUAUGAGUGGGAAAAAAUUUCUUGAGGAAUUCAGCUUGUAGAUCAGUCCAAGAACGGAUACUCCUUGGCCUUAAAGAAUUAAGCCAAAUUUUGGCCUUAUCCUUUAAAGUAAAGGGAAAUAAUUUAAGCCUCAUCAAAUCAAUUGAAGCUCCUCCCUCUUUGGAAUGUAUUACAAACAUCUUCAAAUUCCUUGAUGUGUGCAUACCGAUUCUCACUUUCCAUCCCAUGGAAAGUUGGUAGAAGUGGAACAAGAUACGAUCUGAUCACUAGCUGCUCUGUAGGGGGCACUAUACAUGAUGGUGCACUCAUACGAGGUGGAUGCAUGCGGUCCCUCAUUGAUCUAAAUUCAUUGAGAUUGUCUUGACGACCUUGGUGACUAUGCUGAUCUUCAGGUGUAGCUUCACUGAUAUUCAAGAUCACUUCGAAUUCUUUUCUCUGAGGUGUAUCACACUUAACAAGCCUUCCUCGGCUGUCUCGUAUCCACUUUGGCAUACACAACUAGUAUCUAUCUAUAACUUAAAUAAAAACAAAGGACAACAAAAGGAAACAGGGCUACAACAACAAAAUUAAACUAGGCUAAAUUUUAAAAGAUAAACUUAGAUUAUGAACAAACAAAGAAAGAAUGAGAAUUAGUAAAGUGAAAGAAACGUUACCAACUUGUGAUGAAAAUCACAAGUGCUAAAAAAUGGUAUCACUAUAAACUUGACAUCUUCCCCGGCAGCGGCGCCAUUUGAUUCGUCCCUAGUAGCGGCAGUGGCAAAGGCACCAUUUGAUUCGAGGUUCGAUCCCCGGCAACGGCGCCAUUUGAUUCAUGCCCAGUUGGUGUCUCAGCUGAUUCGUGUCCAACUGGUGCUCCUUGAUUGAGGGAGUAAUCAACAAAAUUUAUAACCUAUAACACCAUAUACUAGGGUAGCAAAGAAAAAACUACUAUAGUAUAGUGGCUCUAGGAUCGUUCACUGGGAAGGAUUAACAAGCUAUCAAUGAUACCAAUUCAAAGUGAAUUGGUCUUGUUUCAUUUCAAGGUUAGCUUAAGAAAUAAAACACAAACUUUGGUUGGUAAAGAUUUAAACUAACUAACAUAACAAGUACUCGGAAUAACUUAGGAAGAAAAGCAUUCCUUGGAGAGUUAGGUUCACUGGGGUGGUUCCUCAUGCAAAAGACAUAGCUCCGGUCAGAUGGUUCAUUUCCUCGCGUUAGAGAUUCAACCUAUAGUCAAUUCUCUAACCGGUGUUGUACAGAUACAUCCUUCAAUUAGCUUUCACUUUAAUUCUCUCACUGAUGCAACUUGCAAUGAUUUAAGCCUCUCACUAAGCCGUAACCAUUCAAGGUGAUCUUUAACCUUGGAUUACCUGUCAAAAGCUCGCAAGAGAUAACUAAUGGAUGUCUCCUUGGAGUCCAAAAGCUUACCAAGUGUUGGCUAUUCUAGAAAAUCCUACCCUAAAGUCACCUCCCAGAGGCUCGCAAGGGGUAAACUAGUGCAUUUCCAUGGUUGGAAAUCACUUGCCUUACCAAGUGUUGGCCUAGGUGACUCUAAGGUGUUUUAAGUUAACUAAAAACAUAGAAAUCACUAAAGGAUUUCACUUCCUUUUCAUUAUUAGCUAAAACCACAAAGCUUUGCAUUCUUGCACUUGGAACCUUCCCCGGCAACCUUAGCUCCAAGGAACUAGAGGUUUAGUUACUCAUUCUCUGGGGAAAAUUCCUCAGAGAGUUCAUAACUUAGUAAUAAAAUAAAAAUACAAAGUGAGAAGGUAAGGCAACACAAAGAACUGAACUUUACUUGCUUACCCAAAACUUUACAAAAGGAUCUCCUCCCUGAGAACAGGUUCCCGAGAGGUAUAUAUAUGAACAUAAUUUAAAACUAAUUAUUACAUAGAUAUUUACUCUUUUUACUAACUUAAAAGCUAAGGAAUCUUGUAAUUGGUGGCUUACAAGGAGUAUUUUGGUAUUUAGACAACAAAAAUCUAAUGUAAAAUAUCUCCCAAUGUCGGUAGCAGAUAUCGGGAUGCUCCAGGAACCAUUUUGCAAGAGAAAAUGGUGUCUGCGAGAUUUCACUGACACUCAAGAGGGCUGCAAAAUCAUUUCGCAACAACAUGCUAUCUUCGCAGGGCUGCAAAGUUGGCUUCCACCUUGAGGUUCCCAGCUUCCCUCUCGCGGUAUAUGUCGGGCAUCUUCAGGAGGGAAUCCACAACACUGUACAAAAAGGCUGCGGAAUCACUUUGCAACAAAAGGGUGAUUUCGCAACACUUUGCAAAAUGCUUCCUUCAGCUUGGAGUGAUUGGCUUGCAAUGGCUGUAACUUCUUCAUUUCAACUCCGAAUUGUACACCGUUUGAAGCAGUGGAUUGUUGACUUCCUGAUCUUUGAAAUGGUAUAUAGCAUGCAUCAAUUAGACUUCAAAAAGUGCUCCAAAAGUGGCUGCUACGACUGUCAUCAAGAAUAUGCUUCAUGGCAGAUUCUCUUUACUUUUUCUCCUUGCAUUCCGGAUUCACUCUUGGAAAAUGACUUCUAAGCUUUGCCCAAGAUUCCUCAUAACUCUCCUCAGUCUUGAUUUGCUUUGGUGAUCAAAAUACUAACAAAAACACCAAAACUUACACAAAGUAAUUAAAAUUGCUUUCAAGGGUCCUUAACAUGCCAAUUGAGUUAAAAGGCCUAAACUACUACUCAAAAGUGUUUAAAAGGAUUAAUUAUAGGCUAUCAAAUAGCACUUUUUGAGUAGUAAUCAGUCCACACACAAGCUAAACGAGAAUAUGACAAUCAAAAUGAAUAGCAACAAAGAUAACAUGCUAAGAAAAUGAUCAAGAUAAUAUACAAGCAAGAGAAACAACACUAAGACAAAUGAGAUAUACAACAAUAUGAGCAUACAUGUCAAAAUGAGCAGAAUAAUCAUGGCAAAAGCAGAGUUAAUAUGUUAAGACAGAUAAGAGAAUCAAUGAAUAUCAUCACCAUGACAAUGUCGCAAAUGGAUAUAACAAUCAAGCAUAGAAAAUCGCCACAUCAAAAUCCUCAAUGUGCUAUGAUCACUCAAGCAUAGAGAAGCAACAAGGGAAGGUAUCCAUCAAUCGAUUAAUCAAACGCCACAUUUGUCUCAUCUUAAGUUCAAGUUUGACCCUUUAAACAUCCCCAACGGAGUCGCCAUUUUAUAGACCUUGUAUUUUCGCACAAUGCGUUCCUACUCGAUGGCAAAAUUCACUUUUUAUUUAUUUAUUUAUUUGGUGAAAAAAAAAUAUGAUUUUUAGAAAAGACUUAGAGUCACCACUUAUUUUUGUUUCAUUUUCAAAGGGAAAACAAAAUAAGAAAGAAAACCCUAAGUGUGACUCCUUAUUUGGAAAAGAUGGUAUGUGAAAAAUCAAAUCUGAGCUCGGGGGUCAGCUUACUUAUUAGGAAAGUACGGUAAAAACUGUAGCACCCCUCUAAGCCCCUAAAAUAUGUCUCUACUAAAUAUGAUGAAGUAGACAUGGCAAUUAACAAGUAGAUCAAGAGAUACCCAAAAAGAUAUUACACUAGAAGCCAAACAUGCAUGGAGAAUGGUCAAAGUGAAAAUGUAUGCAUACUUUAGCAGCAAACGAUACUGCGCUAUCAUGAAAUAGGGUUAGUGUACAAUAAUGAGCAUAAAAUAUGUCACAUGCAUAACUAAACAGGAUAAAAAAAAACUACUAAUGGCACACAUGGCACUUCACUCUAAUUUUUUUUUCUUCUUUUUUUUAAGAAAACGUCACUGAUGUUGGGCCUCCACCAAAGCCCAAUUUAUUUUUGUAUGAAUCAAUUCCAUAAAUUCCAUCACUUUGGAAUUACAAAAUUUAAUUCAUACUUAUUUUAAAACAUUUAAAAAUCAAGGAAAAUGUGAAUUGAUGCUUGCCGAAAAGAAAAUGGUAAUAAAUUUUAUUGAAAAAUGGAUUUUUGAGGCCUAAAAAAUCUAAGGAUGAAAAAUUGAAGAGUUGAAAUUAUUUGGAAACCAGAAUUUUCUAAAAUCAUUUUUGAAGGACAUGGGCUUUGACAAUGGGCCUAGGAAGGUGGCCAUGCAAAAAUGGGGUCAUGCACGUGGGCCCGAGGUACAACUAAUACUACUGAUUCGUUCCCAAUUGGUGUAUCAAUUGAUUCAUGUCCUCUUAAUGGUCCCCGGUAACGGCGCCAUUUGAUUCAUGGUCAACUGGUGUACAUUGAUUUCGGUCCUUAAACGGGAGUAAUCAACAAAAUUUAUAACCUAUUACACCAUGUACUAGGAUAGCCUCAGCUAGCAUAGCAUAGUGGCUCUAGGAUCGUUCACUAGGAUGGGCUUUCACUCCACAAUUGAUAUUAAUUCAAAGCUGAAUUUGUGCUUUUUCAUUUCAAGGUUACCUUUAAAAGAAAACAUAAAGAAGUUUGAAAAGGUUGGUUUUAAGCUAACUAAAAAUAGUAACUGAUUUUAAUUACAAAUAAAAGUGUUUCUUGGAGUUUCAAAUCACUAGACUUAGGUUCCUUAUACAAAAAGGGAGUUACGGUCACUUGAAUCUUUUCCUCACAUUGGGGAUUUAACAUAUAAUUAUUUCCCAAACCGGUGUGGUACAGAUGCUUCCCCUUAAUGGGUUCAAACACUAAUUCCCUCUCACUGAUGCAUCUUGCAAUGGCUCGUGCCUCUCACCUAGCAUUUGCCACUCAAGGUGAUCCUUAACCUUGGAUUACCCUUCAAAAGCUUGCAAGAGAUAACUAAUGGAUGUCUCCUUGGAGUCCAAAAGCUUACCAAGUGUUGGCUAUUCUAGAAAAUCCUACCUUUAAACUACCUCCCAAAGGCUUGCAAGAGAUAAACUAGUGUAACUCAAUGGACGAAGUCCACUUGCCUUACCAAGUGUUGGCCCAGGUGAUUUUAAGGAAUUUUAAGUUAAUUAAAAAGAUAAAAACCAUUAACGGGUCACACUUUCUCUUCAUUAAAAGCUUAAAUAACAAAACUUCCAAUUUUUGCAUGUGGAAACUUACUCGACUUUCUUCACUCCAAGAGACAAAUAGCCUAACCACUCAUCCUUUGAGGAAACAUCCUAAGAGUUUGAUUUGCUAGAAAUAAAAAUAACGAGAAAACAAAAAUAUGAAGGAAAGGCAGAGCAAGUGCUCUAUAGAUAUAUUUCUUACUAUGAUCCUCCUCUCGUCGGAUUACAUAUAUUGGAUCUAUGAUCCCUUAUCUUUACAUUGGUUCAAAGAUAUAUAUAUAUAUAUAUAUAGAAGAUAUUUUCUAAGAAAUAUCCCAAUAAUAUCUUUGACUGAUUACAAGGAGAAAAUAGAAAUUUACACAAAAUAUCUUGAGACAAAAUCUAACUGAGUCGGCUGCAAAUAUCUGAGAUUGCACAAGUGGAUUUCGCAAGGUGAUUCACAUGUUGAUUUAUCCAUUUUGCAAGUUUGAACUUUGAUUUUGCAAGUUGAAUUUGUGAUUUCGCAACUUGGUUGUAAUUUCACAACUUGGAGAUGAUUUACAACUUGAUUUGCAGCUUGGAGGUGAUUUUGCAACAUGGUUUGUAACUGCGAAAAUGGAGUUUCAACUUGCAAAGUGGCACAUGUGUGCUUGUAGGUGGUUUCGUAGCUAUGAAACACCUUGCGAAAUUUCGCAAGUGGAUUUCAUUUCGCAGCUCAUUUCGCAGCUGCAAAAUUUUUGCUCAGCUUUGUGCGGUUGUCUUCAAACGGCCAUAACUUCUUCGUUUGAGCUCCAAUUCGCACACCGUUUGAAGUGUUGGACUCCUAACUUCCCGAGCUUCGAAAUGAAAUAUAGUAUGCAUGAAAUAGACUCCAGUAAGUACUCAAAAUGUGUCCAAAAUUUGCUAUCCUCUUGAAUUCUUCAUGUUAGAUUUCUCUCUUUGCUUUCCCUCCUUGUAUUCAUGAUUUGCUUUUGGCAAAGGACUAUAAAGCUUCAAAGCUUGGGUUCUUCAUGUAAAUGAGCUUCCAUUUUCUUUGCCAUGGACUAUACAAAGAUCUCCCUCAUUCUUGGAUUGCUUUGGUGAUAAAAAAGCUAUCAAAAACACCAAAACUUAACAUAAUUUGAUUAAAAAUGAUUGCAAAGGUCCUUAACAUGCCAAUUGAGUUAAAAGGUAAUAACUACUACUCAAAAGUGUUUAAAAGAGUUAAUUACAAGCUAUAAAAUAGCACUUUUUGAGUAGUAAUCACUCCCCCCAACCGACAUAUUGCUACUCCCUUAGCAAUGAAGAAGAGAAAAAUAAAAAUAAACAGUACUAUAAUUUACAACAUCAUGCUGAUCACUCCAAAAAAUUUUCAAGUGGCAUGAUGUAGAGCAUACUCUCUCAUGGAACAUCAAAGAAGCAACACUCAACCUUCAACAAGAGUUAUCAAAUCUCUUGCCUAAUCACAAUGUAUAAAGAGUAGGCAUUAUGCAAAUUUAAGUAUCAAAAGAAUUUCCACUCCCAAAGGGUCAAACCUUACUCUUCCACAAAAAUCUAAGUUUUAUUUAUUAUCUUCCGAAUAUAGUAUGUUGAACUAAUCUCUCCCCCCAACCUAGUUCUUUUUCAAAGCUUAGCAAACUGAUCAACCUCCAAUAGGCUAAGAAGACACCUAUUUUAUUUCACACUUUUUUUCAUUGUAGGAGUACAUGGCUUAAAGGUAUUCUUUUCUAAAUUGUCCAUGUAACGGGGGUCCAUCGAUGACUCCCAACCAAUUAAGGCUUAGGGCAUCAAGCUUUAAGGAUCUUUCGACCACUAACUCCUCAGAUUUUACCCCGGACUUUUGAGAAUGAAUUUUAAUACCCAAACACCUAUAGUAUGUUAAACUCCACCUAUUCACCCUCGUAACGAGCAUUGAGGUCGGUGACUCCCAACCAAUGAAGGAUUAGGGCAUCAAGUUUUAAAGAUUUUCACCAUAUACCCCUCAGACCUUGCUCGAGUUUCAAGGCAAGCAAACAUUUUUCUUUCUUUCUUUUUUUCAAAAGCUCAUUGGCCUUUUAUAAGAUGUCCCAACACUAUUAAAUGAGAUCAAAAGUACAAGUCUAAAAUUUUCCUAAGUCAAGAGGGAAAUAGUUUUUCAUCUUAUAAUCGGAACCUAUUGUGCACAGUGUGUGAAUAGCUUAAAGUGGAAGAACUAAGGUUGAAUUCAAUAGAAGUUUCAACAAUUCCUCAACUUUAGUAAGCAUAAUACAAACUCUAAGUCAAGUGAAAAACAAAAAUUCAAUUUCUCUCAUUUUAUUUUCAGAAUUUUUCCUUAAUAACCAUAGAGAGUAGAUAAUAAAAACUUAAAAAAUUUUAAAAUUAAGCAAAAAGCAACUAAAUUACUAAAAUAACUUAACAUUAAUAACAAAACUUUCUUCCUCAACUCUCCUCCCAACCAAGCUGAACAUUGUCCUCAAUGUGACAAAAACGAUUGAAAAAUAGGGAGGAAGUGGUACCUCCUGAGUGACAUGGAGUUUGAGUCAUAUAGGAGAAACCACAUGUUUAAAAAAAAACAAAAGAGUUAGUGAGUAGAGGAAAUAGAAAAAUGUCAAGUUUAAACAAAAAUGAUGUCUAUAUAUGAUGUAUCAUCAGUAAUACAUCCAAUCCCAGAAUAUAAAACAUCAAAACAUAGAAUUAUUUAUACUAAUAUAAUAUGUAAAGACAAAAAUAAAGAGAUGAUCAAGUAAUGGUAGGGUCAUGUGGAGCUAAUGCAUCUGUGGUGGCCUCUUGAGUAGGUUGGAUCAGGACUUUGACCCUCUGUUCUGAUAGUCUCCUUAGAUGGAAUAGUCUCCUCGGUUGGAGCUCUUAGUUGGAGCUAUGGACUCUGAUGGUUUUAGGGAGCUCAGAAAUGGAGUGAGAGACUUCGUGUGUGUGAUCUCAGUGAGAGGGCUCUCCUCUUUAGAUGCAUGGUUACGUGGUUCUGUUGGCAUUUUCGCAACUUCCCUUGGCUUCACAAGGUGUUUUCGCAAACCUCCCCCAUUUCACAGCCUAGAGGCCAUUUCCCAGCUUGGAGGUUAUUUCGCAGCCAUUUCAAAGCCUGAAGGUCAUUUUGCAGCUAUUUCGAAGCCCUAAGGUGAUUUCAUAGCCAAAGGCCAUUUUCGCAGCCAAGGGGCAUUUUCGCAGCCCAUUUCACAGCCAAAAGGUGAUUUCACAGCCAAUGAGCAUUUUCGUAGCCCAUUUUGCAGCCAAAAGGUGAUUUCGCAGCCAAAGGCCAUUUUCGUAACCCAUUUCGCAGCCAAAGGGCAUUUUCGCAGCCCAUUUCGCAGCUUGGAGGCCCUUUCGCAGCCAAAUGGGGAUUUCGCAACUCAUGUCACAGCUUGGAGGCCAUUUUGCAACCAAGGGGCAUUUUCGCAGCCCAUUUCGUGGCCAAAGGCCAUUUUCGCAGCCAAGGGCCAUUUUCGUAGCCCAUUUCGCAGCUUGGAGGUUAUUUCACAUCCAUUUCGAAGCCUGGAGGUCAUUUCGCAGCCAUUUCGAAGCUCUAAGGUGAUUUCGCAGCCAAAGGCCAUUUUCGCAGCCAAAAGGCAUUUUCACAGCUUGGAGGCCAUUUCGCAGCUGCGAAAUGGGAGCGUGGGGCUGCGAAGUGGCACUUGUGUGCCAAGGGGUGGUUUUGCAGCUGCGAAAAUUUUCACAGGGGGUAGUUAUGGGGCAGCGAAAUCAUUUCGCAACGGAGGACCAUUUUCGCAGCCAACCCUUGAUUUCGCAGUGGGCACCUUGUGGUUGCGAAAUUAUUUCGCAGCAGAAGGCCAUUUUCGCAGGGGGCUAUUUUGGGUUGUGAAAUUUCACAGACCACUGAUUUUUUCUUGCUUCUAAGCUCCUUUUGGCUCCUUGAGACGUUUCUUCACUUCUUUUGCAAUUCCUACUGAUUUUGAUCAUUCAAAAACCUAUGUUAAAUCAAAACAAAGUAAAAUUGAAGCAUUGAAAUCAAAAUUAAAACAAGUAAUAAAAUAAAACAAAAAGAUAUGGACUAGUUAGUCUUUAAAAAGACUAAGUCCAUCAAAAAAUUUGAUCCUGGUUCAGCUUGCCCGGAUCCCAUAUGAAGUUUGUAUCUCUCACUUGAGACUUGCUCUAUAUGAUUUUGCCAUACAAAGCUUAGGGAAAAGGUGGAGGCAUGUGUUUCUUCAUCAUUUCUUCCUUGAUGACUAUCCUCUAUGGUUCUUCAUCUAUAUUAAGAUCAUAGUCAUCUCUCUCUAUGCUUUUCCCUUUUUUCCUUCCUAUGAUUUCCUCCCUCUUUUCUUUCUCUGCUUUACAUUUCAAGGUUAGCUUUAAAAGAAAACAUAAAGAUGUUUGAAAAGGUUGGUUUUAAGCUAACUAAAAAUAGUAACUAAUUUUAAUUACAAAGAAAAGUGUUUCUUGGAGUUUCAUAUCACUAGGCUCAGGUUCCUUAUACAAAAAGGGGGUUCCGAUCACUUGAAUCUUUUCCUCACAUUGGGGAUUUAACAUAUAGUUAUUUCUUGAACCGGUGUGGUACAGAUGCUUCCCUUUAAUGGGUUCAAACACUAAUUCCCUCUCACUGAUGCAUCUUGCAAUGGCUCGUGCCUUUCACCUAGCAUUUUCCAUUCAAGGUGAUCCUUAACCUUGGAUUACCCUUCAAAAUCUCACAAGAGAUAACUAAUGGAUGUCUCCUUGGAUUCCAAAAGCUUACCAAGUGUUGGCUAUUCUAGAAAAUCCUACCUUUAAACCACCUCCCAAAGGCUCGCAAGAGAUAAACUAGUGUAACUCAAUGGACGGAGUCCACUUGCCUUACCAAGUGUUGGCCCAGGUGAUUUUAAGGAAUUUUAAGUUAACUAAAAAGAUAAAAACCAUUAACGGGUCACACUUUCUCUUCAUUAAAAGCUUAAACAACAAAACUUCCAAUUUUUGCAUGUGGAAACUUACCCGACUUUCUUCACUCCAAGAGACAAAUAGCCUAGCUACUCAUCCUCUGAGGAAACAUCCUAAGAGUUUGAUUUGCUAGAAAUAAAAAUAACGAGAAAACAAAAAUAUGAAGGAAAAGCAGAGCAAGUGCUCUGUAGAUAUAUUUCUUACUAUGAUCUUCCUCUCGUCGGAUUACAUAUAUCGGAUCUAUGAUCCCUUUUCUUUACAUUGGUUCAAAGAUAUAUAUAUAUAUAUAUAUAUAUAUAUAUAUAUAUAUAUAUAUAUAUAUAUAUAGAAGAUAUUUUCUAAGAAAUAUCCCAAUAAUAUCUAUGACUGAUUACAAGGAGAAAAUAGAAAUUUACACAAAAUAUCUUGAGAAAAAAUCUAACUGAGUCGGUUGCAAAUAUCUGAGAUUGUACAGGUGGAUUUCGCAAGGUGAUUCACACGUUGAUUUAUCCAUUUUGCAAGUUUGAACUUUGAUUUUGCAAGUUGAAUUUGUGAUUUCGCAACUUGGUUGUGAUUUCACAACUUGGAGAUGAUUUGCAACUUGAUUCGCAGCUUGGAGGUGAUUUCGCGACGUGGUUCGCAGCUGCGAAAAUGGAGUUUCAACUUACGAAGUGGCACAUGUGUGCUUGCAGGUGGUUUUGUAGCUGUGAAACACCUUGCAAAAUUUCGCAAGUGGAUUUCAUUUCGCAGCUGCGAAAUUUUCGCUCAACUUUGUGCGGUUGUCUUCAAACGGCCAUAACUUCUUCGUUUCAACUCUAAUUCGCACACCAUUUGAAGCCUUGGACUCCUAACUUCCCGAGCUUCAAAACGACAUAUAGUUUACAUGAAAUGGACUCCAGGAAGUACUCAAAAUGUGUCCAAUAGUUGCUAUCCUCUUGAAUUCUUCAUGUUAGAUUUCUCUCUUUGCUUUCCCUCCUUGUAUUCAUGAUUUGCUUUUGGCAAAGGACUAUAAAGCUUCAAAGCUUGGGUUCUUCAUGUAAAUGAGCUUCCAUUUUCUUUGCCAUGGACUAUACAAAGAUCUCUCUCAUUCUUGGAUUGCUUUGGUGAUCAAAAAGCUAUCAAAAACACCAAAACUUAACAUAAUUUGAUUAAAAAUGAUUGCAAGGGUCCUUAACAUGCCAAUUGAGUUAAAAGGUAAUAACUAAUACUCAAAAUUGUUUAAAAGAGUUAAUUACAAGCUAUAAAAUAACACUUUUUGAGUAGUAAUCAACCACACUGGUGGUUGAAUGUGGGAUACUAACAACAGAGAGAGUUGAGGUGGACUAUCCAAAAGCAGAAGUCGUCUGCCCAAGAGAAGGUGUUGAAGAUUGGAACAAUGGUGAUGAUUGUGUGUUACCAAAAUUUAAGGUAGAACCAAAUGCUGGAGCUAUUCCCUAAGUUGAAGUGGAACAAAAAAUUGAAGGUGAUGACCCAAAACCUGAUGAGCUUGAUGCUCCAAAAAGAGACGGAGAAGAACUAGCUUCAAAUGGAGGAGUUGAUGAUGUUCCAAAUAUAGAGGUGUUGUAGAUGAAGUCGAUCCAAGAAUAGGGGUGCUUGGAGCGCUAAAUGCUCCACUAGAUGCAAAGACUACGACACUUGAAGCACUAAAUGCACUGCCUGUGCUACCAAAUGUUGGACUUGGCGUUGAACUAAAGGCAGAAGUGUUUAUAGCACCAAAUGUGGGCGUAGUACUAGCAACACAAAAUGCUGGUGUGCUUGUGGCCAUAAAGGUCGGGGUGUUACUAGCACCGAAUGCAGCUUGACUUGCACUAAAAGACGUAGAGGAACCAAAUAGACUACUUAUAAAUGUUGGUUGCGCAUGUUGAAAAGCACUUCCAAAAGGACUUGUUUGAAUAGGAGUGGACCCAAAACCUCCAAAACUUGGCUUGUGCCCAAAUAUAGAAGAUCUGCCAAAUGAUGAUGACACACUACCAAAAGUUGGAGUUGAAGAAGCUCCAAAAGCAGGCAAUGAACUUCCAAAAGACGGUAAUGAAGAAGCACUAAAUGUUGUUGUGGAAGGCAAUGGAGGAGAAGAUCAGGUUGCACCCAAACACACUAGUUAAAGUGCCACCAAAUAUUGAAGACACCAAGGUUGGGAACAAGCACGCAAGGGCUGCACACGCAUGAGAAGGAAAUGAAAGAAAUUCAAGUGAAAGAAAUAGUGAGAAUAAUGGGUUUGGAGAUGGGAUGAGUGGGAAAGGUGGUGAGAUAAGUGGGUUUAUAGGGUUGGGUGUUAAGUAGAACUGUAGACAGCGAAGAAAGUGGGUUCGGUGAUGGAACCAGCUGCUAGCAGUGGGCAUGAUAGAUGAUGAGUGAUUGGAUGGGCAUGAUGAUGGGUGUGUUGGGUAUGAAGGGUAGUAAGUUUUACAAAGGUUUUGUUGGGUCAUGCAUGCACGAUUCUCGUGCAUGUGGGUAGGAAACAAAUAGAUGGGCAAUAGGUUGGGCAAGUGUGAAUGAAGUUGAAGGUGGGAGUGUGGUGAUGGGUUCAGUGGAUUGGUAGAAGGUUGAUUAGUGGAAUGACCUAUCUCCUUUGCGAUUGACAAUUGAUCACCUGUAAUCAUCUUAACACAAACUCCAAGGUUAAGUGCCCUGCGGAUGGUCUCAGCACUGUCAUGCCUUGGAGGAUCAAACAAGGGCAAGAACCCACAAAAUGUCCAAGGACCUCAGGAUUUUCUUUAGUUUGUUCUAGAACCUCCUGAUAUGCAACCCCAAGAGAUCGCAGACCCCUUUCAGCGAACUUGUCAAUAAUGGCAUGGACUUUUCCAACAGUUUCUUCUUUCUCUUGGUGGAGAUUUAGAAUUUGUUCAGGAACUCCUUUGCUGGCCCGAAUCCAAUUACCAUUAGAAUCAAUGUAAGUAAUUACAGUACGCUUGUCCAUAGGAAUGAAAGACAGAAAAUGCAUUUCUAUGAUGUUUGCGCGUGCCUCCUUUUCGAGCUAGCAUCAAUAACUCUCCCUUGUAGCCAAGAUACAGGCUUGGCAUAUUGGAAUCAAUAAGCCCAAUAGAAAGAGUCAACUCCACGUCAAUCGCUUUGAUCAAAAGUUCUAUCAUUAUUCCUACCCAAAUAUAGACUUUGCACAGUGGCUUAUAAUUCUUGACUUCAAAGUGUUGCCAUGGUGGUGCCCUCCAAAUCCCACUUUGAGUGUCAAGAUGGUUGUGUGAAGAUUGGCAUCUGAUUGAGGCUUGAGCAUCCGAAGUUGAGAAGUUUUGGAAGAUAGCAAAUAUAAGGACCUUGAGAAUCAACCAAUCACUCACAUGAAAAUAUAGCAACGACACCCAUGCGGUCAUUGCCCAACUUAGAUCCUACACCCAAUAGCGGUGACUCAGAAUAUAUUUCCACUAAACCUAAUCUCAAAUUACAACAAUUGUCUUCUCAAGCAAACCAACAAACUUAGAUCAAGCCCAUGUUUGACAGUGAUUAGACACUUCCCAUAUGAAGAAAAUUGACAGCAUAUAACUUUACCAUUCUUGGUCCAUAUGCGACAAACUUUAGCAAGGGUUGAAUCAUCUGAAGAAAAUUGACAGCAUGUAGCUUUCCGGUUUGAUUUGGGACUCCUUUUAUGCUUAGUUGUGUCAUACAGAUCCUUACAACCACUGUUAUUGAUAUAGUGGUUAUGUUCCAAGUUUAGCAAACGGGAUGCAUCUGUUAGCAUGGUAAAGGCUCCGACCAAAGCAUUCACAACACCAACUUUCUCAUGAUGAUUGAACUCAAGUUUCUUUUCUAUAGACUUUCCAAUGCGGUCCAUAUAGUUUUUCAGGCAUCCGGAAAUCCCUAACCAUAUGGAAAAUGGCUCUCAUGGGGCUCUCCCAAAAACACCCCCUCCCCCCCAACCAAGGUGGCCAACCCUAAAUGAGAUAUUUAACACCCCAAACACAACAAAAAAUAUAGGAAUAAAAGCAAAGAAAGGAAUCAGAAGGAACACUGAGGGUAAAGUAAGUAAGAGAACAUAUAACACAUAGAUGUACAGGACCUCAUUUCAGGUGACGUCCAUGGGCUCAAAACAGAUGGGAUAAACAAAUCAAAGAAAACCCAAAAAUAGAGCAUGUAUACAGAAUACUACAUUCAACUAAAAAAAAUGAAUAACUCUUCUUACCCACACCAAAACAACAAAUUAAUGCUUAGAACCAGAGCUGGAAACAUCAGGAUGAGUUUAAACAGGAGUUAAAACAUGGCUCCUUGAACAUUAGUCGGCAAACAACAUUCAAGAGUCAACAGAAACACUAAACAACGUUUAUCAUCUAAUAAUCAAAAGAUGGAAGAAAUUUAAGUCCUUCCUUAAUUUAAAAUUUUCUUAUAGCUUCUCAUCAAAGAUAAGCUAUCAAUGAGACAACUCUUCAAAACCAUUUUAAUGUCCCUAUUGAUUACCCUCUUUCAUAAUUUAAACCAAGAAAUCAUAAUCAAGUAUAGUCUGUCUUACAUAAGCAUUAGUAUAACGGUUAUGAAGAGCUUGCUUACACACCAUCGGACUUAUAGUUUAUAUAUUGAGUCCAAGUUGAAAUGAUGCAAUCCAAAUUAUCUUAGUGUAUUCCACUUUCAAUCCUUUAUAAUUGAAAAAUCAAGAAAACAAUGUAACACAUGAUUACUGAAGCAUUGCAUUACAUUACAAUGUACAUUGUACAAGGUUAGUCAGACAAAAGAACUACAAGCAGUAGAAUUUAUCUUUCUCUACAUAAUAGGGCUUUUUUCAAAUUCAUUCUAUUUUUUCAUUGCUUGUAAUCUGAACCUUUGUCUAUGCAAUUAUAGACUAAAGUAGAAAUAACAUGAAAAAUGUAUAUAAAAGUAUAAGGCAACAACUAUCAUUCCCACAAAGCUUACAAAGAUGGGUUAUCUAGUAACCUCAAUCAGCAAAAAACAAGGAAUCCUUUUGAAGAAGGUGUCAGACAAAUGAUGAAUAUAUCAAAAAGUCUAUAAGAUAUUCUGGCUGUAAAUCAAAUGGCUCACCAACAACUAUGUGGAUUUUCAAAAACUAAAUCUAGUCACAAAUUUUAGCCCCCAUUUACUUUUUGCCUUUUUUUUCUCAAAAAAUUCCAUUAUGAUUUUUUUUGUCUUUUUUUUCUCAAAAAAUUCGGUUAGAAGAUUGAUAGCCCUUCGAUAUCAUAUCUCAUUAUCUUUGAAGAUAUGAGUAUUAAUCAAAGAAGAAAGUAAGUGGAUUUAAUCUACUUACAGGUUUCUAAAAACAAAAGUAAAAUGUUUGAACCAAAAUUAAUUCAACAAAAAACCUCAAAGCCCUUUUUCUCUAGUUCCCAUAACAAAAAUCAAUUGUGGUCUCCUUUAUUUUUUGAGUUCUUAACAACAAUCAAUGUGGUCCCCUCCAUUUUUGGGAUCUUUAACAAAAAAAUCCAUGGUGGCCCCCUCCUUCCACAUCUGUUUUCUUUAAUGAAAACAAAACCCUUUUUGUUUAUACCAAGCUCAAGAUGAAAAUAAAAUAAAAUAACCAAACACAUCUACAAUAACAAACUAAAAUAAAAUUAAACCAAAUAGAACUAAACAUAUUUACAAGAAAAAAAAUUACUUAAACCAAAAAACUCAUAAAUCUUACCUACACCAGUAACGAAAGAAAUAAAAUGAAAAUUUGGAAAAAUAGAACCUGAACCAAGGAUGAAGCAAAAAAAAAAAAAAAAGAAUGAAUGAGAGGCAAAACCCCUAAAAGGUAAGAAAUCUAACUAAAAAUGGAAAGGAAUUGAAACAGAUCAUAAAACCGUAGUUGGUGACUACGGUUUUGAUUGAUUUAAAAAAAAUAAAAAAAAAUUCAAAAUCGUAGUUGGUGACUACGAUUUUAUAAUGUGGAAUCUUAUGUGACUCAAACACACUAGAUUGGGCAUUAGUUUCAAUCCAGGUUUAAUUUAUGAUUUUUUUUUUUAAUGUCCUAUUUUGGAUCAAAACUCCUUAAAAUGUCUCUUGCUAGUGGCCCCAAAAGGGUGCGAAAAAGGGAACCCCCCAAAAUGAGGGGUCUCCACUAAGAUUUAACUAAAUAAAUUUUUUAUAAUUAGGAUCAUCUACUCACAAGUGCAAAUUAAUCUGCUAAUCCCUAUUCCACCUGAGAUAAUUGUCCAAAAUUUCUGUAAUAAUCUUUAAAUCAAAAUAUUAUCAAGCUCAUUUACAAAAAUAAUAAAAUAGAGUUUAAGUCACAAUCAUCCAUAUUACCCAAAUUAAUACAAGCCCAAAAUUUAACUAUCAAGCUCAUUUACAAAAAUAAUAAAAUAGAGUUUAAGUCACAAUCAUCCAUAUUACCCAAAUUAAUACAAGCCUAAAAUUUAACAUAAGUUAUAACAAUUUUUUUAGGUGAUUCCUCCACUUCCUAAAACUCUCUCUGAUUUGCUUAUGGUUGCUUAGAAAUUAUAUUUUUGCAUUUAAAAUUUUAAAAAUAAAAUAUAAUAAAAUAAAAUGGAGAGUGAGUAUAUUACAAUGCUUCAACCGUAAAAUCAUAUACAAGGAUAAAAUAAUUCUAAUUCAAAACCAUGCAACCAUAUACAAGAUAUAAUAAUUUAUUCACAUUAUAUCACUAGUAGAAAAAAUGCAAGUUAUGACGCUUGAUUCGUUGGCGCUUCAAAAAAAUGUCAAGGAAUUGGGUCAAUCUUGGCGCUUAUAGAAUAUUUUUAAACCUUGGCGCUUUUGUGAUACAUAUAUUGGAUUCAACGGCGCUUUUAAUAUGACACCUUUAAAAAGCAUCAUGGUAGGAAGUGGAGAGUAACCUUGGCACACUUUUAUAAGUGUCAUUGAAAUGAAGAGCAACAUUGGCACUUUUAUCAAGUGUCAUUGAAGUUACUGAUAUAUAUUUCAUUCUUUUUUCCCAUCUAAAUACAAUAACUCAUAUUCCAAACACUUCGAGCCCUAACCUAGGGAAAUCACCCACGUUGCCGGCCACUAACAACAACCAAUCGAUGAGAAAAUGUUACCAACACAAUGAAGGUACUCUCAUUUCUUUUCUUAUUGGUUUGUUUGGUUACCCAGAAAUGGGAGAAAAGAAACGUAAAUCAGAUAGAAAAAAUUUUAAUCUUAAAUCUUGAAUUGGUUGAUGCAAUUGUUUUGGUUAUAUACGAUUUAUUGGUUUUCUACAGUUGAUUGAGAAGAGGGUUAGAGGGAUCUAAGAAAGCAAGAGACCCACUCUUGAACCCUAACCCUUUGAACAAUUCGUCAUUGAAGCUUUCCCAAUCGUAGAGAAGUCGGGCACACUGGUUUUAUCCAAGGAAAGCUUUAGGUGUCUUGGCUUCUUGUAGGGCUUUGGUGUUAUGCCUUUCAAUAAGGCUUUGGGUCUCAGCUUCCAGUUGACUGCGUGGGGGUUGUCUUGAUCUAUGUUGGGUGGUUAACUUUCAAGGUUGUGACUUGAAAACUAUGGAAUCCCAUUUUUGUGACUAAACUGCCCUAUCAUAGUCUUUCUUGUUUUCAGUUGGAAUGAUUCUAGUUGGAAUGAUUCUAGAUUUUACAUUUCCCUCUAUUAAUUUUGUGUACAAAAGCCCAUCAUUAUGCAAAAAAAUAUAUUGCAUAUCACUGAGUCUACUGGAGAAAAAAAUCAAUAAGUGGAAACCAAUUCAAGGAAAAUUGAUUUAUGGUUAAGAUGGAAUGAUUUCCAGUGCAUUUUAUGUCUUUUUAAGUGGAAAAAAAAAAGUGAAAGGUCAGCAGUUUGCUGAAACAGAGCAAAAGCUAUAAGGUAGCUUCAAAACAGAGUAUUCCUUGUCCCCCAAAUGCAAUUCACUGUUCCUCAAAGGCGGGCUAUAUUUGAUCUAGAAAUUCAUAAUGGAAGUUUACAAUUAGAGAGGAACUUCUUCAAUUUAUUAGGCUAAGAGUAGAGGAUAUGAAGGCUAAGAGAAGGAAUGACUCGAAACUGAUGGUUGGAAUUUCGGUAUUUUGGUUAUCAUUCUAAUCCAGCCCCUGGAAGAUUGAAGAUGAAAUACAAAAUGCCUAAUUGACUAUCACGUGGUCCUUAUCUUCGUCAAUGAACAUUUUAAUAGGGUGGAUGAGUUUUUCCCUCAUGCUAAUUUUUAAAGGAUGCCUCUACUGUUAAGCUAAUAGCAAUUGCGAGCAAACCUUCAAAUUUUAAGAUACUUUACAGAUAGCUAGCUCCCCUUGUGUGGGAUGGAGGUAGCCAAGUUUAUUUGUUUUCAAAUUGGUUCGAUGAUUGUCAAUAAAAUGAAUAGCUAAAGGCAGCAAAAUGGUGAAACUGAGGCAUGAUUGUUGUUGUAUUCCAAAAAAAAUGUGGCAGGUGAUAAUGACAUGUUCUGCAUUACCUUCUUGCUUACAAUUUAGCUUAAAUAGAUUCCUUUAAUUUUGGAUUCUAACAAUCCUGUAAGCCUUUGAGACAUCAACUCACAAGGUUUUUAUAUGUUUUAAUUUGCAUUAUCUUUUAUUUGCUAAUUGAACUCAUAUUUAUCCCUUUUUUUCNNNNNNNNNNNNNNNNNNNNNNNNNNNNNNNNNNNNNNNNNNNNNNNNNNNNNNNNNNNNNNNNNNNNNNNNNNNNNNNNNNNNNNNNNNNNNNNNNNNNUGAAUGGUAGAAACCUAUCUCUAAGUUGGUUUUUUUAUUUAUAUCAAAUACUUGGUAGCUUGCACUUUGAAUUCUUAAUAUAUAUUUUUGGGAAUUUUUUUUGCAUGAUGAUAUUUAAAGAAUAUUAAUUGACUUGUUUUUAAAAUAAAAAAAAAUUUAAGAACUCAAUGAUUUUAAUAUUCAAAAAUCAAAUUUCAAAAUUUUAUCAUUUAAAAAAUUCAAUGAUUUUAAUAUAAUAAAUACUUGGUAGUUUAGACCCUACCGGUUGAAGUCUUAAUAUUUAUUUUUGGGAAUUUUUUUGUAUAAUGAUAGUUAAUAAAUAUUAAUUGAAAAAGUUUUUUUUUUUUUUUUUUUUAAGAACUCAAUGAUUUUAAUAUUCAAAAAUCAAAUUUUAUCAUUUAAAAAUUCAAUGAUUUUAAUAUUUAAAAGUUAUUCAUGACUAUCUUAUCAACUUAGAAAGGUAAUUUGGAUAGUGUUUGAAAAGCAAGACAAUAUUUUUCUAUUUAUGGAGAUUAAUUUGAUUUAAUAUUAACUUUAAAAUUUUCCAUUUAAUAUCUUUUUUUAACUAAAAGGCUAUACACAUUUUCAUACUUUCUUUUUUAAAGAAGUUGCUCCAUUAGGAAUUAUAUUAACUAGAAUAUAGUAAUUAAAAAUUAGCCUAAUAUAAUAAUAGCAUAUAAGUUAAACUUAUGGACGGAAACAACCAACAGUGGCUAAGAUUAUUUCCUUUUAGCAAGUGAUGCACUUCAACUUUUAAACAAAUUAGUUUAAUAUUCUUAUAGUGGGUUGAUACUUACAUUCCAAAUGUCAUAACACUAUACCUUAGUUAUUUAGUUAAUUUGCAUCCUUUAAUUAGUAAUUUGACUGGACAAAGUAAUAUCCCAGGGAACCUACCUCAUUGCAUCAUGGAGUGGAAUUCAAGUUGCCAUAAAAAGGCUUAGGGAUGAAGUGAUAAGGAUAAAUUGUGAGUUUUUCAAUACUAGCAAUGAAUUUUGAUUUUUAUUUGUUGCCUUAUUUCUAUCGGCAUAUUGCAUUUAUCUAUCUAAAAGCUAUUGGUUUUAUCACUUCAUGUAAUUCAUUGAGUAGGGUGGUCUUAAGCUAUUGAUUAAUGAUACUAUAAAUUGGCUUGCCAUUCUCCAAGUAUAUGUGAUUAUUUAGGUGUCUAGUUCUAUCAUCAGCAUGUUGCUCAAACUUAUAGGCAGUAAGAAACUAAUUAAAUAUGAUAUUGUUCAAUAAACCUGAAUAUGUGCCAAACACUACAAUGAUGAGAACAAAUCAAAUUAUAUAUGAAUAACUUAUUUUGGAGAAAUUGCAUGUUGAACAACCACACAAAUAUCCUCUUUCUUUUAUAACUCUAUGUAGCCCUUUUUGAUAAACAUCAAAUGUAAUAUAAGAAGAGUCUUAAAUAAUAAGCAAAUAAACCUAAAUACAUUCUAUAAAAAUGUAUCAAACCAAUAUUUACCUCUUGUGAAGUAGAAAUAUAUUUUACCAAAGCCCCAUCAAACACUUCAUCUCUCAAACUCUCUGGAAUUGAAUAUCCUAAACUUGUAAAUGAGAUUUCACCUAACCCCGCUCGGUUAGUGCUUGCUAGCUUGCCAUUACUUUUCUUUAGUUUAAUUGCAAUUUCAUUAUGGUUGUAAAGUAUAUAAUCAUUAUUAAUUACUUUCCUUUGGUUUUAAGUAAAAAUUUCAAUUUUCAAAUUUUCAAUUUUUUAGCACAAAGAUGACCACCAAAAAAAUGAGUUACUUGCUCCAUGGCAAGAUCAAAGUGCAUCUAACCUUUCCAGAUGUUAGCUUCCCCAAGGGGAUUACAAUUCUAGCCAUUGGUGAGGACAAGUGGGUAGCCAUGAGCUUGGAGUUUCAAAAUGAGAAAGGUAAUUAAAUUCUUUUAGUUUCCAUUUUAAAGUAGAUGUUUUAUCUAUGUUGAAAGUUAGUAUGACACUCUUGAUAUAUGUAAAAGGUAUAUUGGAAUAUUCACAAAACAAUUAUAGAUAAAAUACACACAACUACCAUGGGAAUGGGGCUAGGAAUUUACAGACAGACAACAAAUAAGAUAAUAAGCACUCUCAAAUUCAAGUUUAGUUGGAAAAUUUAUUAGAAAAAAUUAUAGUGAUGGUAGGGCAACUGAAAGUCAAAGGUCACACGAGUUUUAACUUGCAACAUUAGUAGUUGUGGAAAUGCUUGUGUAUUUUUUUUAUUAAGGUAAUAAUUAAGUGUUUUUUCCUUUUUAAUAUAAUUUGAAAUCUAGAUACCCCUAUGAUUAAUUUUCAAAUAAAUGAGCUAGAAUCCUUAGCCUCCUUGGAUCCCCAAAACGUAUCUCUCUUCAGCACCUAUAUAUUGUUUCCUACCCUAAGCUUCAGUCCUUAAGGCUGCCAAUAACACUGGCAAGUCUUGAAAUCAUGGGAUAUUGGCCCCCCAUUGCCUACAUCCCUAAAUUCAAAAUUGAUGGCAAAUUAAUGUAUUACAUAGGUCGUGGAACAUAAAUGCAUGUUGAAACCUAUUUGCAUGUGUGAACAUGAAUUGAAUAACUUUGCAUGAGUGAGCUAUAUAAACAAUCUAUGUUAAUUUUUAAUUUUUAGGCAUCUUUAAGGAAUUUUAGAAUAUAGUUAUCUUGUGAAUAAAGGUAAACAUGUCAAUCUUUAUUUUUUGGUUUUUUUUAAUUCACCUCUCUUUAAACAUGAAUGGAAUAACUUUACAUGGGUGAGCUACAUAAACAAUCUCUUUUAAUUUUUAAGGCAUCUUAAAAUAUAGCUAUUUUGUGAAAAGGUAAAUCUAUCAAUGUUUAUUUUUAUUUUUUUUUAAUUAACCUCUUUUGCUUUAUAUUACUCUAAUUUUAUUGAUAACCUCUCUGAAGCAAGAGCCUAAUGAAGAAGACUUUGAUGGGGAUGAUGCCAAUGACAAGGUAAAUGAAGAUUCAUUUUUCUUCACUAUCAACAUAGUAUAAAUCAUUUUAAAAUGGAUAUUUUCAAUAAUUAAGGGAACUAAGACAUAUUCAUGUGGUUGUACACUUAAUAAUUGAGAUAAUUAUCUUACUUAGUAGCAGUAUUUUUUAACACUAAUAAUUUAUAUACUCUAGUAAAACUUUUUACCUUUGAUCCAAUAAGAAGAAUAUUAGUAUGUUUGUUUUAUUGCUUUACUUGAACAAAAGCUAAUUAACGUGUUAGAUUAUUUUCUAUUCUUAUAUCCUCUUUGUUUCAAUUAUAUUGGUUGUUAUAUGUAUAAAUUAAAAGUUUUAUAUUUUUUUAUUUGCAGCUUGCAAAGGAAAUUGGCUUACAAGAAGAAGGGAAAUUAUUACAAUGAAGCAAUACUGAAAAUCAUGAAGAUGAUAUCAUUUAAAUCAUUAGGAGGUUUAACUAGGCAUUUGUUGAUGAUGGUUUCUUUUUGUAGUUAUUGCACCGGUAUUUAUUCUUCUAUUGGAUUUAAAAAUUCUCAUUGAAAUAUUUUGAUCUAAUGAACAAAUUUAUAAUUUUUAUACAAGUAAUUAUACUAAUUAUUCAAACUAAGCCAUUGAAUAUUAAUAUUUGGAGAUAUUUUAAUUUGUACAAUUCAAUUUAAUUUUAUGAUUUAUAAUUGCUUUUGCUUUUAUUUAAUUAUAUAGGAAAUUCAUUAUUUUAAAAACAUAAUAGCAAUAUUAUUAUUAAAAUAAAAUGCUUAAAGAUGAUGCUUCUAUUAAGUGUCAUUGAAAAAUAAUCCAAAGAUGACGCCCGUAGGAGUGUCAACAAUGACAAUUUUAUAAAAAUUAUUUUAGUAAAAACUACUCAAAGAUGGCACUUCUUUAAGUGUCAUUGAAAGUAUCAAUCAAAUAUGACGCUUCCUAAAAGUGUCAUUAUUGACUAAAACCUACAAUGACAGGGGAGAUGAGAACGCUUUAGAGAAGCGUCAUCUUAUACUUUUAAUAACGCUUAAAAAGCGUCAUUAAUUCCCUUUUUUCUUGUAGUGUAUAUAUAUAAAAUAAACUUCAGCCAUGCAAAAUUAAAUGAACCUAGAUUGUGAUUUGUCUAUCACAAUCGUAUAUCAUAUUAAUAUUUUCAAUUUUUUUACACAAAAUAAAUUAUUUAUUUCAUCCUCCAAUAUCAUAUUCAAACAUGUAUUUGAUAUUGUUAUUGUUGAAAUCCAAAAUAGAUUCAAAGAGAAAAAGAGAGAAAAGAAAAUUUAAGAUUUCUCAUUAUAAAUUCUCUUAAAAACAAUACAACACCAUUAUAAUUUAAAUAGGCCUAAUAAAAAGAAAAUAAAGACUAAUUUACCCUUACUUUUAAAAAGAAAGAAAAUAAUUCUAAUAUAGUAAGUAAAUAAAUAAAUAUAUAGUAACUAAAUAUAUAAUUUUAAUAUAGUAACUAAAUAUAUUAAUAAGUUCUAACUUUCUCCCAAAAACUUAUGAUGAAGCUGCAAGAAACAUCAAGAGUUUGUCAACUUAAAAUAAAAAAUGUGAAAGCGAGUGUGACUAGGUAAACAACUUUACUACCAUAUUGUUGAGAAAAUCUCUUCACAACCAAUCGAGCCUUGUACCGCUUAAUUAAAGUACCAAAUACCAAGUAUCAAUCUUAUGCAAAGCAAAAGGUUCUUCAUCCAAAACUUGCUGCAAAAAAAAAAAAAAAAAAAAAAAAAAAUCAAGAACAACUUCUAGGAGCAAUUGUAGGAGGAAAGGAAGGAACAUAAAAAUAAAAAACCAAAGUAUCAAUAUCUAUGUGAAAACCAAAUGUAUCAUCCAAGAAAGGAUCAAUGAGAAAUGUGAAUAAAUUUAGACUUAGAGACAAUGAGAGACUAAGUAGGAAUAAAAAAGGUACAUUCUCAAAGAAGUAGUAAAGAGAGAGAGAAGAAUAAAAAGAAGACAAAACUAAACCAUCAAGGAAAGUGAGAUAGAAGUUGUUACCCCAUGGGUUCUCCUAAUCACGUUUUGAUGAUAACAAACCAUGGUUAAGUUGUUAAUUGGUUUAAAUUAUAAAGAAUUUUAGGUGUUAGUUUGGAAAUUCAUCAAAGGACCCAAUGGAUGUAAGAUCAAGACAACUGGAAGACCUUUAAUCAUAGGAAACAUAUGUUAGAUGAAUACAUGGGUGUACUUAAGAUUUUCAUAUCUUUUCAUGUAUCUUUAAAAAACUCGGUUUAUGCAUUUAAGUUACAUUUCCAUCAAAACUCGAGUUUUAUCAAAUAAACCUUAGGUAAAUCAUUUCAAAACUGACAUAUUAAUUUACCUAAAGCCCUUGCCUAAGUGUUAGAAGAGAAAAUAAUAGAAAAAGAUAGGUUUUUGGUUCAAAAAUGGUGAAUUUGCUAAGGCACUGGCCAAUUGACUCAGCUGGUUAGGGUAUCGAUCGAUCGGUUACACCUUCCCAAUCAAGGUCCGGUUGAGAGAUACAAAAAAUCUUCUCUCUUCCAGUAGACUUGCAUUCCCGAUUUAGGGAUAUGCCUUCCCAAUCGAGGUUUAACGAUCACCUGCCAUGCAUUUAUUGUCCAAUAGAUAGUCAACCAGUUGGCCCCCAACUCAACCGAUCGAGGCAGCUUUUUGGCUUUCAAGGUUAGAAACUUAUAAAUUGAGAGUUCCACUUCAUUUAUGAGUAAGAGAACACCUGCAUUUAUUUGUCUACCUAUUUUUUCUUGCCUCAAAAACUUUCAUUAUUUCCUUGGUGUAUUAUAAAAUAUAUAGUAACUAAAUAUAUAAGUCUAAUAUAGUAACUAAAUAUAUUAAUAACAUCUAAUACUUAUUAUGCAAUUUCUUGCACACAUAAUCAAGUAAAUCAAAUCAUGUAUUAUUGUUUUCUAUCUUUUACAUAUAUGCAUUUGUAUUCAAAUAUAUCCCUCUUUUUAAGUCUUUUCAAGGUAAACUUUUAUUUUAUUUUUAUUUUUUUACGCAAGAACCUCAUUCCUUUUCUAAACUACACUCUUUGGGGUCUUUCAUUAUCAUUUUAUACAACUAUUUUUUUUUUCAUUUUUUAAAAUCUUUUUCCAUAUAACCAUGGAUACAAAAUUAAUGCAAUAUGAUAUCAUUACCUAAUAUCAACUCAUAUCAGUAGUACCCACUAAUAUACAACAAAUAUUUUAAACACAUAAAAUGUAACACUGAACAUAUAAUGAAGCUGAAAUUAUUGCAAUUUAAAUUAUAACCAUUUCAUUUUUCCAUAAAUAAUUUAUAUUCUUUUAAAUAGUAUGGAUCACUAAUAAAUCUUCCUAGAUUGAACUCUAUCUUCCAAACAUAAUCAAAUAAUCCCAACAUUUCAGGCCUUUAAACUUAUUUUAAAUUCUUGUCCUUAUUAAUUCCAACCUUUCUAUGUGCAUAUCAAUAAUUUUAUAAUUCCUAAAAAUAAAUUCAAGUUUAUUUUAUCUAUUCAUUUAUUUAUAUCAAAACUUCUAUAUUUUCAAUUUCUUAUCUUUCAUUUAUCACUCAACCAAUUAAAUUAAAAUUUUAAAAAUACUGCACUUUAUGGCUUUAAUUUUACUAGGCUAAUUACAUUCUAUCAUUAUAAUAAAUGAUUUUUAAUUUUUCAACUCUUUACAACCACAUUAAUUUAAUCCACUCCAUUUAUUAGUUAUAUCUCAUUUAAUGUAUUAGAUGGAACGGAAUUGGUCAUCACAUUUAGUUUGUAACAUAAUUUGUAUUAAAAAUAUAAUUGUUAUGAGAGAGAAUUUUACAUGAAGCAAUCCAGAAUAUAAUGGGCAUGAUGCACCUUCAUCUCCACCAUCGUCACUAGUAUUCACUCCUUCUUCGUCUACUGGACUCAUCUCCAUACCAUCUUCAUCAACAGCAAGUCUAUCACGGUCUUCAUCUUCAUCACCAUAAUCUUCUUUAUCUCCACCCUCCAUCUCUCUCCACCCACGUCCUCAAAUCAACGCCAUCCUUUCUAUCAACUGCGCACACAUCCACCUCCACCUCCACCACCUUCCAAAACCCAUCGCCCCCACUCCUCUCCACCACCUCCUCCGCAAACGAGGUUGUUCUGGGUGUCACGUAUUUCAAGACGGUGCUCCCAAGGUUCAAGCUGGCCAGAAUGUUAAAUACAUAGAGUUGGCGCAGUUGGGGCAGAUGAAACACAUGCACCAGCACUCCAAACACUCCGACGACUUCGGGACUCACAACAUCCUCUGCCAGCAUCUCCGCCGCUUCCAUCAUGUCUGUGCCUAUUACCAGCUGAUAUCAGUAUUUGACGCGGAUUUCCAUCACUCCAAUGGCUUCAGAUGUCGAAUGAAGACCGUAAAAGGACAAGUUGCAGAAGAGGGUGUUGGAUUUCAUCGUGGAUGAGAGACUGAAACUACGAUUUUGUAGGGUAAUUAAUUUUGUAUGAGAGAAGCGAGAAUUAGAAAGUGUUUGAAAUUUGAAGUUUCCCUUUUUCUGGUUCUGGGAGUUCCCUUAUUUGUUGAGAGUUUCCUUUUUGGUGAGAGAUAUAUAAGAGUUUAAGUCCAAUAUAGUCCAUUGGUAGACAAAAAUGGCAAGAAUAGUACUCAUCUCAAAAUAUUUGUCAAACUAAUCUUUUUGCAUCCACGUAAGCAUCUACAUGGAUUUUUUUUUAAGUGUGUAAAACCACCGUUGGUGACUGUGAUUUUAAAAUUUUCAAAAAAUAUCCUUAAAACCACAGUUUGUGACUAUGGUUUUACAAUUUUCUUUAAAACCACCAUUGGUGAUUGUGGUUUUACAAGUUUCAGAAAUUAUUUUUAAUUCAUCUAUGUUUUAAUGAUAUUAUGAUUUUAAUAUUAUUUUUAAAAUACUUUUUACCAUAAUAACCAUAAAACCACUUUUAUUAAGGAAUAACCUAAAAUCAUAAUCAUGGGCAUUAAUUUUUAUACGAAAAUAUAAAAUUUUAAAAUAAUAUAAAUAAUUUAUUUAGUUAUUUUAAAAUUUAAAAAUAAUAUGAAAAAAUAAUUUUCUUUAAUUCAUAUGUGAUAAAAUUCAUAAAACAAAUAAAUAUUUUAUUUACCAUAAAUAUAUAAAUUUUUAUGGAAAUGCAGGCGAAAUUAUUUUCUCAAAAUUUUAAGGAAAAUAUGAACAAAUAAAGAUAAUAUAUAUAUAAUUUUAAAACAGUUGUAAAGAAAAAAUUUAUUAAGGAUAAUUUGUAAAUAAAAAAAAUUUAAACUGAUAGUGAAAAAUUGUAAGAAAUUUUUCCCACUCCAAAAAGAACUUUAAGAAAAUCUGGUACAUCGUUAAGAAAUUUUGGUACAUCCAUAAUUUACACUAAAAUUAAAAAUAAAAAAGCAAAGUUUUAAAAUCUCAUAUUUUUUUAGUUGAUGUAUGGUUACAUGAGUUCCCCUUAAAGAUAUUUGUGAAACUCCACAGUUAGUAACUGUGGUUUUAAAAAAAUUUGUAAAACCAUAGUCUAUGAUAGUGAUUUUUAAGGAUAUUUUCAAAUUUUCUUAUAAUUUUCCAUUGUUGGUUUAAAAUUACUUUUUUUUUUUUUACAAAUUAUCCUUAAUAAAUUUUUUCUUUACGACUGUUUUAAAAUUAUAUAUAUAUUAUCUUCAUUUUUUCAUAUUUUCCUUGAAAUUUUGAGAAAAUAAUUUUGUCUGCAUUCCCAUAAAAAUUUAUAUAUUUAUGGUAAAUAAAAUAUUUAUUUGUUUUAUGAAUUUUAUCACAUAUGAAUUAAAGAAAAUUAUUUUUUCAUAUUAUUUUUAAAUUUUAAAAUAAUUAAAUAAAUUAUUUAUAUUAUUUUAAAAUUUUAUAUUUUCAUAUAAAAAUUAAUAUUAAUAAUUAUGAUUUUAGGUUACUCCUUAAUAACGGUGGUUUAUGGUUAUUAUGAUCAAAAAAUAUUUUAAAAAUAAUAUUAAAAUCAUAAUACUAUUAAAACAUGAAUGAACUAAAAAUAAUUUUGAAACUACAAUUACUAACUGUGGUAAUAAGGAAAAUUGUAAAACCACAGUCACAGACUGUGGUUUUAAGGAUAUUUAUGAAACUUUUAAAACCAUAGUAACCAACGGUGGUUUUACAUACUUAAAAAAAAAAAUCCAUGUAGAUGUUUACGUAGAUGCAAAAAGAUUAGUUUGACAAAUAUUUUGAGAUGGGUACUAUUCUUGCCAUUUUUUUUCUACCAAUGGAUUAUUUUGAACUUAAACUCGAUAUAUAAGAUCUCUCUUGAAUAUUCUUCACUUGGUUUUUGGAAAACGGGUAAACUAACGUUUAAGAGAAGAGAAGAGAAGAUAGGAUGUUUGCAGGUACGUGACCGUUGGAGUUCUAUACAAUUAGAUUGCCUUAGAUACCAUCAUCAUUUGGUUUCUAACAAAAUUACAGAAUGGGGUUGAUUGACAAGAAAUAGAAUUAUUUUCUAUAUUUUAGGGAAUGCUUUGGAUUGAUUGACAGCAAAGAGAAUUAUUUCUUAUCUUUUAGGGAAUAUAUAGAAAGUAAAUCUUAUAGAAAGAAUCUAAUUAAAAAAAUUAUUUUUAGAACUAUAUAUUUUUAAAAUAAAUUGUUUUGAAAAUUAUUAAAGUACUGUUUAGAAAUAGAUGCCUCAAAUAUAGGAUAUGGAGGAAUUCUCAAACAAAUUUUUCUUAAUCAAAUUUCCAUUGUCCAUUUUCAUUGUAGUACAUGGAGUGGACCCCAAGAAAACUAUUCGGGUAUCAAAAAUGAAAUUCUGGCUAUUGUUCUUUGCAUUCAAAAAUUUUAAGAGGAUUUUUUUAACAUCCUUUUGAGAAUAGAUUGCAAAAGAACUAAAGAAAUUCACCAAAAAGAUGUUCAAAAUAUUUUUUAUUUUAAAAUUGAAUUUAUCAAAGGUAAUUCCAACUCUCUUCCUUGAUUUCCCUUUUAGGGAAUUCUUGCAAGGAAAACGAGUAAUUCAAAGCCCAAAAAUAAGCCCAAUUCAAAAGCCUAGUAUGCUAUGAUACCUAAGAGCUUAGCCAUGGAAGGCUCCUUGGUAAUAAUAAUAAUAAUAAGAGUGAGGGAUUAAUUAUUGAGGUAGGGGGGAUGACCUCAUGGUGAAGGAGAGAUGAAAAAUAUUUGGAAAAUGAGUGAAAAUUUUUAAACAAACAUUUUUAAUUCAAAAAGGAUUGCUAAAAAUUGUGUUGAAAACAGGGAAACUUGAUGAAUUGGACUAAAAUUAAAUUAAAAAGGCCUACAAGAUAGUUGAGGAUUGAGGGAUUUCUUGAGCUCCUUUCUUCUCAUAAAAUAAUCGUAAAUUUAACAUAACUACGAUUAUCUAUGAUACUCUCAAACAGAGAAUUUGCUACAUAAACAUAUUUUAUUGAAACCUAAUGUCUUAUACUUGUGAAUUAGAUCUUCAUGUGAAAUCUUUAAAACCCAAUCACUACCUAUUUACUUGCCAAAUCAUCGUAUUAAGAGGUUCAUGAUGAUUGUCUGAAAUCAAAAUAGAUUUUAACCAUCAAGCACUUGAAAUACACUCAAGGAGCCCCUAAACUCUAAUUUCUAAGCAUUAGGGCAAAAUAUUCUAAUUUAAAAAUAGAGAGAAUAAAUUUACAAGUUUAAUUUAUUAACAAACACCUUAGUCUUGAGGGUCAUUUUAUGGGCACAAGGGAGGCCCUAAGGAGCCCCUUCUCCGUAGCUUAAAAUACUACUCAAAAGACACGAGUUUAAAACAAACUACAUCUAAGUUUAAUAAAUGGAAAUGAGUUUGAAACAUUACGGAUCGAUUGAAAAUUGUUCAAGAGAUGGCAAGAAAAGGAUUGUUGCGUAAUAAUGAUGUCAAAAUAUAAUUGAAUUUAUAUGAUGUCAAUGAGAUAGUAGGUCCAAAAGAGGAUUAUUGAGUGGUGUAAACUAAAUUGUAUUGAUAUUAAUUUCUUCAUAGAAGAAUAUUCUCAAUUAGAGGAGAUCAAUUAUGUAAAUGAAAAAUGUUCUUUAUUAGAGGUGGUCGUGUAAAUGAAGGAAGAUUCAAGUUUGAAUAAGAAAUGAGAGAGGGUUAGAAGAUUCAAAGGUAAUGUAGCGUUAGAAGGUUAUGUUGUUAUUCCUAAUAAAGAAAUUAGAGAAAACAAAGAAAAAUAAAACACACAAGUUUAACGUAGUUCAGAAGAAUCCCUACGUCCAUUGGAGAAGGGUUGAAGACUUUCACUACUACUAAAAUUAGGGUUACAAGAAAGGGUAUUAAUUUAUACUAACCCUUAGGUAUUGAAAAUUUUCAAAAAUACCCCUGAACCGUCCCCCCAUACCUCCCAACCUAUCGUUUGUCCUUAACAAUAAAAAUACAAGCUUGAAUGGCAAAUGUCAUCGUUCCACUCAGUGUGCUACAUUCCCCUCGUUUCACUCCGUUCCACUCCAGCAUUUGCUCUUUCUUCUCCAUAUGUCUUUCACUCAAUAUGAGCCACAUACUACAAUAGGUUAUCAAACGGAUAACCAAGAAGUGGGGUUUGGAAUGGGAGAGGUGAGAUUAAUGAAGGAAAACCUUAUCUCUUCAUUUUUUUUUUUUUAUCUUUGGCCUUAUUUAUAGGAGUUAUUCUUUAGUUAGAUAUGUUCGAUUGUGAAGCUUAAAUUAGUCUUGUUGCGUUUCAUAGGGGUGUUGGGGUCUAACUAGAAGUUUUUUUUUUUAUAAAAAAUUAGUCCCUUUUAGGACUAAGGGUUUUGUUUUUAGAGAGUGUAGUUGCAAUCGAGAGAAAAGUGAAAGUCUUCAUCAUUGUAUAACCCUUUCCUUUCAAAAAGUAAGAGCUUUCACCAUUGUAACUUUUUCGUUUAAUUAGUGGAUUUUUGAGUGUUGGUGCACUUCGUAGAUAUAAGGAUUACAUUGAAUGCCAAGCCACAUUAAAAAUCUCUUUUUACUUUUUUUAUUUUUUGCUUGUGUGAGUGUGUGGUUAGGUUAACAAGAUAAUAGCUGGACAAAUCAUGGACUAAUAAAAUAUGGCACUAGAUCUUUUGAUUUGAUACUGCAAAGAUAUGCAACCCCUAUAUAUAUAUAUAUUAAUAAAAAAAUUAAGGGCUAUUUGGAUACAUGGAUCAAAAUGAUUUGAUACUUUUUUUUUCCCCACUAAGGUUAGCUUUCCAUUAAGGAUAUCACUUGAAUUACACUAGAGUUAAGCUUAGUUUACAAAAAAAAAAACAUAUUUAAGGUUAGGUUCCCAAUUAUAAUGUUAAUAUGAACUACACUAUGGUUAGGUUUUCAUUUCAUCUACAAAGAAUUUAAUUAUAAACUAUACUAUGGUUAAAUUUCAUUUAAAAAGAGUUUAACUGAGGUUAAGUUUCCAUUUUAUUUACAAAUCAUAAUUAGAAUGUUCAUCUAGACUGAAAUGUUGGACCCUAGGGCUGGCUAAAAACAAAGUUGGAUUUGAGAUAUAACUAGCAACAACUUUCCAUUUGAUCUCAUGCAUCUUCAAAAAUGGAAAAAAAAAAAAAAACAAAAAACAAAAAACACAAUUGCAAAAAACUCCAACAAAAAUAAUUUUAAAAAAUCCAAACAAAAAACAACCAUAAAAAGUACUAACAAAAAGCAAUACCAAAAAACUUUAACAAAAAACAACUACAAACCCCAACAAAAAACAAUUACAAAAAAUCCUAACUUGAAAUAACUGUAAAACCCUAAAAAUUUGAAGAACCUCUAGCAAAAAAUAAAAAAGAAAGAUGAAUGUGAAGGAUCUUGAAGAUGAAAGAAAUAUGAGAGAGUUGUGACUAAUCUUUGUUCACCGAUCUUUGUUAUGAGCUUGAAUUUCAUUAGAAAAGAGAGAGUCUAAACCUAAAAAAAUAAAAAAUAAAAUAAAGAAUUGGGUAUGAGCAAUGAAAGAGAAACAAAUUAGGAAUGAGAGAGAAAUGAUAUUUUGAGGAAAUAAAGAAGGGUAAAAAGGUCUAAAAAUAGGUAUUUGUUUUAAUUUUUUGGAAAAAUAAGCAAGAGUGAUCAUUCUUCCAAUUUCAAAAGUAUUUUAGGUCUUAUAACCAAAUAUCAGUAAAAAUCAAUAAAUGAAUAUAAAGAAGGGUUAUUUGAUUAAAAGGGAUGGGAUAAUCCCAAAUUUGUAAAUCCAAUGUUGCACAUUUUUCAACCUACAAAAUGACUUAUUUUUGACAAAAAUACCAUCACUUCUUCUUGUAAAUGUAACUUUUUCUUUUAAAAAUAAUCAAAAGUUGGAGGACAUUUAUAUUAAAAAUGAGUUAUUUUUUAAAUUCAAUUAUGAGAGGUGUUAAAUUUAUAAAUUAGAAAUUAUUUUAUUCCUUUUAAUCAAAUAAUUUUAUGAAAAAAUGAUCAAACUAUCACUUCCCUUCGCAUACUAAGGGCAAUCUCUCUAUUUACAUUGUGAAGUGGGUACCUGAAUAGGCUACGUAGGAGAAUUGUCAUGAUAUGCAUCAACAAUAAUUGGACAUUUACCCUCACAAGUAUGUAUCAAAGACUACAACGUAGAGGUCAAGUACACGCACUUAGUUACUUCAAAACCUCGAGUAAGUUAAAACACUUCUUUCUUUUUCUUUUCUUUUCUUUUCUCUUCUUUUUUCAUAUUUUCAUUUCUUAUUAUUCAACACUUCUCUAUAUGCCAUUGUAUGAACAAUUUCCAAAUCUUGGCAUAGGCGGUGAAAAUGCAAUGCUGUAGAAGUUACUUGGAAUGACAUGUAGGUAUCUCUAGCAAUUAAUUGAUAUGACUUCUUGAAAAGUUAAAUUUGAUUUUAAAAGUUUCUAAAAGUUUUGAAUUUUAUUUACCCUUUAAAAGUCAAAGAAAUUAAAUAUUUUAUUUUGAGUUGUUGCUUUUAUUUCUAUAUUUGAGUAAUCAAGCCCCGGAAGGCUUCUAUAUUUUGUUAUUAGGAAUUUCUAUUUAAUUAAUAAGAUAUCAUAUAUUAGAAAAAGAGAGUGGUGUAAGACAAUAAAUUUUUAGUUCUCCCCAAUUUUUAUCUUCUUUUACAUAACUGUUUGUGUUCCUCUUGACUGUAAUGCAGAAAGGAAACCAUUACGCACAAGGAGAGUGAGACGCAUAAGGAAAUUGUAUAUUAUGGCAAGAUGGAAGAUUGACUUAAUAAAAUUUGAUUCAAGGUGGAGACUAGUGGAGACUAUUAAGAAGUGUCUCAAAUUUGCAAUUAAAAUACAUUUCUUUUGUAGAAGGAAUAUUAUAUAGAAUAUUUUUUUAAAGUUUAUAAGUGAUUAUAAUUAGAUUUCUCAUAGGAUAAGGAAAACUAGAAAGAAUACCUCCAUAAAUAUUCUAGUGAUCAUAUGGAAAGAAAGUUAUGAGAGAGAUAUGAGCUUGCGAAGACUAUAUAUGGUGGAUAGAAAUGCAAAGAAGAGUGAGUGAUACUCGAUGGAGUAAGAGGACAUAGGGUUUACAUUAUAAUUGUGAGGAAGAAUAAGAGACAUCAAGUGAAGUAAAAGGGUUUAAGGUUCAAACCAAAGAUACAAAGAGUAAGAGACAUCUAGUGAAGUAAAAAGGUUUAAGAUUCAAACUAGAGAUACAAAGAGUUAGAACAUAUACGGUGUUAUGGAAACCACUAAAUUAAUUUACCAUUUUUGUUAUUUGUAAUAUUAUUUAUUGUAUAGUAAAAUAUUCCCUCUCAUCCGUAAAGGUAGAUAUAGUUGGUUGAACUGUAGAAAAAUUUUAUGUAUCUUUGUAUGUGAUUUGUUUUAUUUUUUAUAUUUUUGCAUUAAUAUGUGUAGAUUAAAGCUUUGCUUGACAUAGUUUUUCAUUCACACAAUAAGUGGCAUAAGAGAUUUCACAUACACAACAUGAUAGUAAAACAUAUCUAAUCACAUCCCCAAAGACUGAUACCGUAACUACGACAAGAUAGUUAGCCAUACCUCCAUAAACAACCUAACCAAAGAAAUCAGGUUAGACCAUCUAACCUUUUCUGAGAAGGACAAGUGUUUCCAUGAAUCAGAUAGGCUCGAUAGGUGAUGCUGACCUCGUUAAAAGCCAUCUCUUCUUCACGUGCCUCCCACCGGCUUCUCUACCAAACAACCAAUGAAACCUGCUACACACGUCCUAGAAACCGAGGGCCACUCAAAAUUUUUGGUGGCAUCAGUCACAUGAAAGUGUUCUCACGUGGUCUCCACUUGCACCAACAAGAAAAUCAGAUCAUUCUAGAUCUUCUCCUAAGCCAUUUUUCAUGAUAUCGUUGGAUGGAAAUGGGCUUUCUUGAAAUUCCUAAACUCAAAACCAAUCUUCCAAAUGCUAUAAAUAUGGCUUCAACUACGUCCCAAAACCAUAAGUUGACUUGGUUUCUCAUCUAUUUUGUAGCGUUUCUUUUAUACCCAUCUCCUUUUGUACAAUGAAGUGGUCUCCUCAACAUGCCAUGAAAGCUUACCUGCAUACACUUCAACUGGUAAAUUCUCAAAUCCCCUUUUUUUUCUUCUUUAAAUAUUCCUCUUUCUUUAAAAGCCCCUUAUAUAUAUAACAACUCAAUUAAUUUCCUUGUAUAACAAAUAUUGCAAACAAAAAAAGUGAUAUAUAUAUUAUGUAAAUUUUAAUAUGCUUUGUAUUAUGUUUUUUGGAUUCUAAAAGAAAUGCAAAAAGGGGAAAAAAAAAAUUUAUGGAGAACAACUCCAAAAGAAAUCCAUUUAUAACAUUUUUCUUUCCCAUCUUCUUUUUAUAGAAAAUUCAGAUAUUUCUUAUUAUGAUUUCUUUGGCAGUCUAAGAUCCAAUAUGGUCAAGAUUGCACUCUUGGCACAACAAAACUUAUUCAACCUCAAUGCAUGGAGUUCUUAUCAGCUUUGGCAGCAGGAAAUCAAGCUAAAGUAAUGGUACAAGUUCUCUCAAAUGAAGGAGUGAACCCAUUAACAAUUGCACUAGCUGUGGCUACAAAGUAUUGCGAAGGUCGGUUCAUUUGUUUUCUUGAUCAACAAGAAGACAUAGAAAACUGCAAAGCUCAGCUUUCUUGCUAUGAUCUAGAAGAUGUGGUUGAGUUUAUGCAUGGAAAUCCUUGUGAGGUUAUCAUAAAGUUAAAGAAAAUUGAUUUUGCUGUUAUUGACUGUAAAUUUAAAGAUCACUUGAGAUUGUUUCAAAUUAUUGAUGUGAAUCCAAGAGGGUCUGUUGUAGUGGUGACUAAUCUUGUGAGGAAAGGAAAUGGAGCUGGUUUUGGUGAAGUUGUUAGAGAGAAGAGAGGAGUUGAAUGUGUGACUCUAUCAAUAGGAGAAGGAAUGGAACUGACAAGGAUUGGAGUGACUUGUAACCAUGAGAAUAAGAGAUUUCAUGUAACUUCUGAAAAUUGAAAUUAACUUUUAUAGAUCUUUGCAUUCAUUACUUGUUAGAUAAUUAAGGAAGUAUUUGAGUUAUAUUAAGGUUCCCCAUCAUAAAAGCUCAAACAAAUGAUAUUCUUUCAUAUGAAAAUUAUUUAUGGCUUGAUACAAAGAUGAAGAACAAUGGGGAAGAGAAUAAAGAAUUGCACAACACUACAGAAAAUGGUAUACAAUAGUAGGUGAUGGGAGAACUGAUAAUCAAGUGAUAUCAACUAAACCCACUUCCUGUUGACAGUAUGUAUGCCUCUAAUUAUUAGAUUAAGAUUGAUUCAAAAUGACUUUUUUUUAGAGUAGGCUAGAUUUAUAUAUGAGGGUAAGAUGUGCUAAUAAGAGUGGAGGGUUAGAUAAAAUGAGAGACAAGAGAGGUUGAGAAUAAUGGCAAUUGCCAUUUUAGAAUCUCAGGUGGAUAGUUCAUAAAAGGGAUUUUUCAGCAAAGUGAAUUGGUGAAAAAUUGCUCUUGCUUUUCCUUCAAAAUCUUUCCACACAUUCUAUGUACACAUGUCCUCUAAACUAAGAGCCACCAAAAAUUGAUCUUGCUUUUUAGCGCCAUCAGUCACAUGAAAGUGCUCUCAUGGAGCCACGACUCUCGACAACAUGCAAGUCAGAUCCUCCUAAGAGCUUUUCCAUUAAAAGCCAUUUGUUAUGAUCUUAUUGUAUCAAAGUCAGGUGUCAUGAAUUCCUAAAAACUGAUACCUUAAAAAAAUCAGAAAGAUACAGACGGGAGCCAACUACUAAGUGGUACACAUUUUAUCGUUUCUUUCGGGACAUAGAUAGUAUUCCACCUGCUUGUGUAAUUUCAUUUGAAGGUCAAAAACUCUUAUACCACUUGUUGUAUCAGCCAAAGUUUCAAUAUCAUGAGAUAGUGUAAAACAAAAAAAUUAUACAAAGACAGAUAAGGUUUUAACUUAACCUUGUUUGGCCAAUUGUGUUAAUAUUUACGGAUGAGAGAAAAUCAUUUUAUUAUAGCAAAAAGAAUAUUAUAGAGGAGAAAAAAAAUUGGUAUAAGUAUUGACCCCUCAUCCCAUGUUUCCUUGCUCCUUAUAUCUACACUCUAAAGUGGAGCCUUAGUUCUACCAUAUGUCACCUAUUGUUCCUCAAGUUUUUAUCUAUCAUGCAUAGUCAUCAACAACAUGAUAUAUGUUCCUUAAAUCUUUAUCUAUCAUUCAUGGUCAUCAACAACCCACCUUCAUAAGUUUUUCCUUGACAAAUUUUCAGUUAGAAGCAUGAUUAAAGAAUAAUAGAAUAAACUAAGAAGGAUUAUUGCCUUGAUUUAUUUAAGUUAUGGCAAUAAUAUAUACAAAUGCAUCAAAUAGCCAUUGGAGUUAGUCAACAUUAGUUGGGUGUCUAAGGAAGGACGUUGCUUAAGAAGGGAUUCUAUAGAAUACUGUGAUUGGAAAAUUGUGGGAAGAAUGGCUAAUCAGAAGGAAAAGUAUUCUGGGAAUGCUAGUGGUGAUCAAAAGUAAAGAAAUUCAUGCAAUUCUGGUAGUGAUCUUAAUUGAAGUAAUCAAAGGGAAGAUUUUGGCAGUGAUAUUGUUGGCGGUAAUUUGUCUCAACUUUUUGCUUUGGUUUCUUAUCAUUCCUUUCCAAGUUGGGAAAGGGAAUACAAUAAACUCCUAGCUUGAACCAAACAAUAGUGUUUGAGUUGCACAGAAGAGGCUUGGUGAGUAUGUCAACAAUCUGAGAUGUAGGAAUAUGACUAGCCACGAGUGCUUUGUUUGUCAUAUUUUUGUGUGUGAUGUGAUAAUCAAGCUCAUUAUAUUUUGUUCAAGCAAGGAGCAUAGGAGUUUUGGACAUGUAGGGAAGCCAUGUUAUCUAUGAAUAGCUGAGGUAGUUUGAGUAACUGAAUGCUAAUAUCCUAAAGAAGGAAGGUAAUCCAUGUGAGUUCAGUAGUUGUAGAAGCUAAAGAUCUAUAUUUAGCUUUAGGUUUAGAAGAAGCAACAGUUAUUUGUUUCUUUGAACUCCAUGAUAUAAAAUUUUCCCUAAGGAAAAUGCAGUAACCUAUUAUGCUCCUUUGUGUAGUAGGACAACCAACCCAAUAUGAGUUUGAGAAGCUAUAAAUGUUUGUAGGACUUUGAGCUAAAAAUCUGAGACUUUUAGGUAUAACCAAAGUCUAGUGUUCCUUUUAGGUAUCAAAGACAUUUUAUAAUUCCCCUAUUUGACCCAAUAGGGCUUUGAAAGUGCUGAAAAACAUAGUUUACAACAUAUGUAGUAUCAAGUCUAGUGAAAGUAAGAUAUUAUAGACUUCCAACCAUACCUCAAUAUUCAGUGGCAUUUGUGAGAUCAUUGUAAUUUGGUAAUUGAACAUCUUUGAGUGACAUUGGAGUAGCAAUGGGAGAGUAGUUGAGCAUAUGAGCUUUGGGAUUACGGUUUCAGAGAGAGAUGAAAGAACUACAUGGAGAAUUAACUGAUCUUGUCUCAGCCAAAGAACACGGGCUAUGUAGGGAGUUGAGGCACCAUUGAGUAGAAUGGUAGGCUCUGGGCAAAUGAAAGUGUCGUUGACAAAGUCCUGAAGAUCGCGGCCGAAUAGAGGACUGUUGAACUGAGCACGCCAGGAUGGAUAGUUUGAAGGUGUUAGCUUCAAUGGCAAGUGAGCCUGACAUUUUAUAGAGAUAAGGUUGGUUAGACUGGGGGUAGUGGGUGGGAUGGUGAGAACUUUUGGUGUUUGAAUACUUUUUGCAGUCUUUUGCCAUGACUUGAGAGGUUUUGAGGUGAAGAGAGAAAGUGGCUCGUUGGAGCUUUUAAAGCUCUGAUAUCAUGCUAAAGAAUAAUAUUGAUGAGAAGGUUGUAUUUUUCAUUUAUAGUCGAUGCUUGAACAGCAGGAUAUGACUCUGCUUGAAUAUGAGGAUGUGAUUCUGCACUGUUUCUCUGUACUUCAAAGAAAUGACUAGCCCUUCGAGAGAACCUUUAUACCACGUGAAAUCCAACCCAUCACGACCAAAUGUUAGAUUCUCCUUACAAUUCUCUAUAGCUUUUUGAAGCUCUUUGUCUGAAAGAUUACGUAUGGGGUUGGAGUACUUGUCAUCAAAAUAGGAAAUUCGCUUCUCCAAUAACAACCCUCCAUUCCUCAACAUCCAUAAUUCUCUAUCCUUCUUGCUCAUUUCAAUAUCUGUUUUCUCUCUUCUUUUUCACAUACCAAACUAAACCCAAGAAUAUCAAUGAAUUAGCAUCCUUGACUUUUCCUUUUCCCUUCCUUCACAUCAAGGAUGUCAAAUAUGAAAAAAUCUUGGCAUUCUUCCUCGAACUGUGCAUGAUGGGUAGCUACUAGUCUGCGAGGAGGAAAAAUAGAAAGUCAUAAUAUUCGAUAUUAAUCUUGGUUGUACUGUAGGGUUUUUUCCAUGCAUGCAUGUAGACAAACAGAAACUGAAGUACAGGAAUCCAAGAAAAGAACUGUUAUCAUAUUCAUGGAAGUGUAACAGUGUUAUAUGUUACCUGAAAGUGUUUUCUUUAAAAGUAUUUUUUAAACUCCGUAAGAGCCCGUUUGGCAGUGAUUUUUAAAAGUGUUUCUACCCUUAAAAACACUUUUAAGUGUUUUUGGGAUGAAAAUAAAGUGUUUGGCAAAUUUUUAAAAACACUUUUGAAAAUCUGAAAAAACACUUGAAGUGAUUUUUAGAGAAUCACUUGACAGGUGUUUUUUAAAAAAAAACACUUCAAUUUUUUUUAAAUAUUCCAAAAAUGCCCCCAGUGAUAAAUCAAUUAAAAAAAUCUUUUUUUUUUUUAGAAAUUAAUAGGUGGUCAUAUAUUGUUUUACUUUUAAAAUUAUCUUUUAUUCAAUGUUUUUUAUUUAUUUAUUGAUUUAGAUGUUUUUUGUAAAUAUUUUUUAAAAUUUUAGUAUAGUAAUAAAAAAAUUAUUAUUUUUAAUUAGAAAAGUCUUUUUUUUAUAGAAAUUAAUAGGUAAUCAUAUAUUGUUUUAAUUUUAAAAUUAUCUUUUAUUCAAUGUUAUUUUUUUAGUGAUUUAGAUGUUUUUUCAUUAAUAAAAAGUUUUUUUUGUUUAUCAUACCAUUUUUUUUAAUUAAAAUUGUAUGUCCUUUUUUGGUAAUUUAUUAAUAUUAAAAGUGUUUUUAUAUUUAUACAAUAUAUUAUCAAAAACGCUUUAGAAUCAUUUUUUCUAAUUAUCAUAAAAGUGUUUUUCACAGAAACACUAUAGCAGAAAACACUUCAAAUAAAAACACUUCCACUAGAAUCACUACCAAACGGGCUCUAAAGCACUAAAACUGAUUUUUAUCAAAUUUUUAAAGUGUUUUUUAAAUACUUCAAAAUAUUUGAUUUUUUAUUUUUUUUUCAAAAAACAUUUUUAAUACUACUUCUAAAGACAAUAUUAGAAUGACUUUUAGAGUGCAUUUAAAUAAUAUUUUUAUUAUAAAUGUUUUUAGGUGAAGUGUUUCUUCUAACAUUUUUAAAAUAAUCAUUUUAUUUUGGGGAAAUGUGUUUGAGAGUGAUUCUAGAAAACAUUUCUAACAAUUCUAACUCUUGUAUGAUAAAAAUUUUCAAGUAUUAGAAAUAUUAAAGGUGAUUUGUAAAAUCACUAUCAAAUGGGUUCUAAGUGUUUUUCUAAAAAACAAAUUGCUAUAAGCGAUUUUUCAACUUUCUAAAAGUGUUUUUUAAAUUUUAUUAAAUAUAUAAUUUUUCUUCAAAUAUGUUUUUUAAUAUAAAAAUAUUUUCUAAAUUCACUACAAAUAAACUCUUUGUGUACGUUUGGUAGGCUAUUAUAGAAAGUACUUUUAGUUUUUUUUUAAUACUUGAAAGAUAAAAAUCUUCAAAUGUACGAAAGUCUUAAAACACUUCCUAAAAUAACUACCAAACGCACUCUUAGAUAAUAACGUUCAAAACACUUUCAUAAAUUAUAUUACGUGAUCGUGUUUAGACUUCAUAGCGCCUUCUAACUUUUACAAAAUAUUGGCAUCCUUAAAUUUUUAUAAAAUAUUUUAUAAUACCAUAAUUUUGAAAAUUCAUUUAUAUUUUUUUUAAAAAAAUUUUAAAUACAAUAAAAUCCAAGUUUACAAGCUUUCUUUCAUACAAUGAGAUCAACUUGCAAAGAAUAGGAACAUGGUAAAAAAUCACUAAUAUUUAUGGUAUAUUCACAAACAUUUAUUUAGUUUCAAAACAAGUGAGGAUUUAUGGAUUGGUUGGCCUAACCAAUAUUUAUGGGUCAAGAACAUAGGGUCUCUAGAGCAAGUACCUUUGUUUAAGAGGAGCCCACACAAAAGAAUACUAAAAUAUUACCAAUAUUAUUCAUAGAAAAGUCAAAGAUAGAGAAAAAAAAAAUGUACAAUAAAAGUAACACAAAAAUUACUUUGGAAUCAUGCUCCUAAGCAUAAUAUAAAUAUAUAUAUAUAUAAGUCUCACCUAAAAAAAUAUAUAUAUAUAUAUAGAUGUAUUAGUCCAAUAUUGUACGAAAGAAAAUGUAUCAUUGUGAAUUGCUCUAUCAUAAAUGAAAUUUCCUCCACAACAUUUAUGUCAUGAAAAAAUAAAAUGGAAAAGCAAAUAUGGAAAAAAAAACAUGAAAAUAGAAAAAAAAACAAAAAAAAAGAGAAAAAAAAUGAAUAGAGAUAAAACGCAUAAGACGUAGAUUAAGAAAAUUAUAUUUUCUAAAGAAAGAACUUAUUAGAGAAAAUGCCUUUUUUUUUUUUUUUUUUGUCUGAGCAAAGACAAUCACUUUGGUUAGAUCACAAUAUGGCUAAUUCAAGUACAAUGUAUAUUUAAAUGUAUUGAAACUUGAUAUUUGAUCUCUAAUAUAAAGUGCUGACUUAAUUCAUCUCAACUUCAAUCCAAUCUUUUUAUUUUUUCAAACUUAAGUUGAGUUUGUGCUAGGCUAGGUAGUUAGAUAGAUUAAAUUCAAAUAAGUUUGACCCGAUUUUAUCCCCAAAUAUUUCUUAUUAUUCUUGUUCUUCUUGUUCUUUUUCUUCUUCUUCUUCUUAUUAUUAUUAUUAUUAUUGCUAUUAUUGUUAUAUAUCAAAAUUUAAAUAGUAAAUAAGUUAAAAAAAACUUGUAAAUAUCCUUUAAAAAUAUGGAAAAUAAAAUAAUAUAUAUAAUAAAUGUUAUUUAAAUAAUAUAAAAAUUAAAUAAUUUAUAAAAAUAUUAAAUCAGAUGGGCUAAGUUACACGGUCAUUAGAAAUGAAGUUGAGUAGAUAGUAAAAAUACUAAUUAAUUUAUGAAUCGUUUUUAUGAAAAAUAAAAUAAAAUGAAAUAAGAAGAAAUGAAAGAAACUUACCUUUGAAUUCAUCUGAGUUGUUUUGCUACAUCCAACAUAAUUGGCCUCUCCUCCGGAUUCGUUCUAGGACGCUCGUAAAUAAGUCGGAAUACUACUUGGAAUUGAUGAUGGUGGGGAACUCCUUCCUCUGCUAGAAUAGUAGGGUCUAUAGUCCCAUUAAUUCCAUGAUUUUUGCAUAGGAUUGUAUGCAAUCGAUCUCAGAAUCAUCCUUUAGAUCAUCCUCGAAAUCAUUGGAAAUUGACAAUAAUAAUUCACAAUAGCCUUUCCCGUUAGAAGGUUGAAUAAAAGUGAGCCAAACUAAAAAACAUCACUCUUCUCUGGAUACACUCCCUAGAAUACUUCAGGUGCUAGAUAUCCUUUAGUCUCGCAAACACCUUCAUUCUCUACUUGGGUUUUGCCCUCAGGGAUUGACAUAGAAAAUAUAAACCCAGAGAGCUUAGCACGUAAGUCUUGGUCCAAGUAGAAAUUUCUAGGAUGUAUAUCACUAUGAAUGCAUGAUUGGCCUGGGAAACGCAGUAUAGAGAGAUAUGUAAUUACUGAAGUAAUCUCAUUUGCAACUUUUAAUCUACUCUUCCACGAUAAACUGGUUGGAUUGAAUGUUGAUCGAUGCUUAAGAUUUCCAUUCACUGGAAAUUCGAAAACUAAAGAGGGGAUUUGUGUUUCUAAGCAACAUCCCAAAAGCUUUAAAGUAUUUUCGUGCCCGCUUAGUUGUGCUGCAACUGAUAUUUCAUUAGUAACGAUUUCAGGAUGACGAAAUCUAAGAGGAUGUGUUGCAAUGGAAUAAUCCACAUACUUUUAGAGAUCACAAUCAUAACACCGGUACUUAUCAAUAUACUUCUUCACAAAAACCACUCUACCUUUAUACCAAUUGAAUUAGACCCCAUAACUAGAUUCUCAUGAUUGUAGUUGUCAGUAACUUUUUGAAGCUCAUUGGCUGAAAAGCGACGCAUGGGAUUGGAGUACUUGCCAUCAAAAUAAGAAAUUCUCUUCUCCAAUAAGGGUUGUUCUAUGGUACCCACUCUUCAUUUUGGGGUACCUACCCACAUUUGACUCCAAUAAAAAGAUGACAUGUGUAAAGUACAUAUCAUUAAAAAAAUUAUAAAAACUUAUCAAACCGGUAAAGAUGACUUGUUGGUGAGAAAUAAUCAUAUGCAUUUCAUAUAUAUCAAAAUAUUACAACUUUUUUAUAAUUUAUUAUUAAAUAUCAAAUAUAAUUUGUUAUUUAAAGCAUUACCUAACUCUAUCUAAAAAAAGAAAAUCCUACCUACUACUCUUAUACUCUCAUUAUUCAUAUAUAAAAAAAAUGAUAGUAAUUUAAUAUGAAAAUUAAAUAAUUUCAACUACCAAAUUACAAAAUAUGUAAGAUGUAUUUUGAUGAAUCAAAUUUCAAGAUCAUGUUUAAAACUUUUUUAGAGAGAAAAUUUAAAAUUUGUAUUAUAUGAAGAAAAUGAAGGAUUUCAAGUGACUACAAGUAUCAAAGGUAAUAUUUGAUAUUUUUUUUAUCCAAAUAUAAUUGUUGUAGGAAGAAAUGUGAUGUUAAAUAACGAUUUUAGAAUUUUUUAUGAUUUUAUUAUAAAAUUUUGUUAUCAAAUUAUUAUCAAUAUUUUUAUAUAAUUUUUUUUUUUUGUUCACAGAUUAAAUUUGAAGAUGAAGCUUUAUAUGUCUUGAAGGAUGUCAAGUGAUUAUAAGUGUUAAAAGGUAACAUUUGAUUUUUUUUUUUCCAUUUACAUAUAACUAUUGUAGGUAGAAAUGUCAUGUUAAAUGGCAUUUAAAUAUGUAAUGAUUUUUAACAUCUACAUUUUUAAAUUUUUUUAUGAGUUAUUAUUAACCAAAUUGAGAGCAUUUAGUCAUUUGUUAUGAAAUUGUCAUCAAUAUUUUGUAAGAGAUGAUACGAAUUUUGUAAGAGAGGGUAUGAACUUUGUAAGAGAUGGUAUGAACUUUAUAAGAGUGGGUACGAACUUUCUAAGAGAGGGUAUGAACUUUCUAAGAGAGGGUACGAACUUUCUAAGAUAGGGUACAAACUUUUUAAGACAGGGUACGAACUUUCUAAGAGAGUGUACGAACUUUCUAAGAUAGGGUACGAACUUUCUAAGAGAGGGUACGGACUUUCUAAAAGAGGGUACGGACUUUCUAAGAGUGGGUACGAACUUUCUAAGAGUGGGUACGAACUUUCUAAGAGAGGGUACGAACUUUCUAAGAGUUGGUACGAACUUUCUAAGAGUUGGUACGAACUUUCUAAGAUAGUGUACGAACUUUCUAAGACAGUGUACGAACUGUCUAAGACAGGGUACGAACUUUCUAAGAUAGGGUACGAACUUUCUAAGACAGGGUACGAACUUUCUAAGAGUGGGUUCGAACUUUCUAAGAGAGUGUACGAACUUUCUAAGAGAGGGUACGAACUUUCUAAGACAUGGUACGAACUUUAUAAGACAGGGUACGAACUUUCUAAGAGAGGGUAUGAACUUUCUAAGAGAGGGUACGAACUUUCUAAGAUAGGGUACGAACUUUCUAAGAGAGGGUACGAACUUUCUAAGAGAGGGUAUGAACUUUCUAAGAGAGAGUAUGAACUUUCUAAGACAGGGUACGAACUUUCUAAGAUAGGGUACGAACUUUCUAAGACAAGGUACGAACUUUCUAAGAGAGGGUAUGAACUUUCUAAGACAGUGUAUGAACUUUCUAAGACAUGGUAUGAACUUUCUAAGAGAGGGUACGAACUUUCUAAGAGUGGGUACGAACUAGAUAAUGUAAUUUUCUAACUACUCUAUCUUUUAUAUUUCAGUUUCUUCAUAGAUACGAUGGACAAAGGCAAAUGAAAGGAAUUUAUCAUUGAUUUGAACGAUGAAGACUUUGAUUACCAAUAUGAUAGCAUUGUUAAAACUGAGUUUGAUGAAGAGGCCAUUCUAGUUUCGGAAAAGAUUUUUAAUGAUUUAAUUGUUGAAGUUGUAUCGAAGAUGGAGUUUAGCUCAGUAGAGGAGGCAGAAGAAUUUUAUAAUUUAUUUGCUAAAGUUACCAGAUUCAGUGUUAAAAAGGAUGAUCUGAAAUGAGAUAAAAAUCAAAGUAUAGUAUCUCGUAAGUGGGUUUGUUCGAAAGAAGGAUAUCGACAUAGAGUGUGUUUAGAGAAUGAAAAUUGAAAAUGAGAACCUAAGGUAGUAAACUCGAGUUGGUUGUGAGGCAACAAAUAAAUGAACAAGUGGGUUGUGAAAGAGUUUAUGGCUGAUCAUAAUCAUCCUUUAGUGGAAAAAAAUACCCAAUUCCUUUGAUCCCAUAGGGUCAUUAAAAAUGUAGAUAAGGCUCAACUAAAUGCAAUGCGAGGUGUUGGCAUAGGAACUAGCCAAAUUAUGGAUUACAUGGUGCAACAAUCAGGUGGAUAUAACAAUGUUGGCUUUUCAAAAAAAUAUCUAUAUAACCAUGUUGAUGUUGAUCGUAGAGUUCAUCUAAGAGAUGGUGAUGCAGAGGGUGCUUUGGCUUAUUUGUGUGGAAAGUCUGAAAUGGAUCCAUCAUUUUAUUACAAGUACAAUGUUGAUGAAGACAACCGUCUAGCAAACCUGUUUUGGGCAUAUUCUACAAGUAAAUUGGAUUAUAGUUGUUUUGGAGAUGUGUUAGCAUUUGAUGCAACUUAUCGGACUAAUGCUUAUAAAAAACCAUUGGUCAUACUAGUUGGCAUUAACCAUCACCAUCAAACUAUAGUGUUUGGAUGUGCAUUAUUGGUAGAUGAGAGUGUUAGCACUUAUACUAGGGUCUUGGAGACUUUUUUGGACGUAAUGAAUAACAAGAAGCCUCUUUAUGUUAUUACUGAUGGGGAUAAAGCAAUGCGUAAAGCCAUUAAGAGGAUAUUUCCAGACUCUUGUCAUCGAUUAUGUGCUUGGCAUAUUCAACGCAAUGCAUUCACUAAUGUCCAUGUCAAAGAUUUUACUAAUCAUUUUUCUAAGUGCAUGUUCAUGGAAGGCACCGUUGAAGAAUUUGAAUGUGCAUGGAAUGACAUGUUGGAAAUGUUUAAUCUUCAUGAACAUAAGUGGGUGACAGAUAUAUAUAUAUAUAUAUAUAUGCUAAGCAUUCUAGAUAGGCAGAGGCUUAUUUAAGGGGGCAUUUCUUUGCUGGUAUGAAAAGCACACAAAGGUGUGAGAGCAUGAAUGCAUACUUGAAUCGUUUCCUUAAAACCCGUUUGAAGCUGUUUGAGUUUGUCAAGCAUUUUGAUAGAGCACUCUCAUGUAUUCGUCAUAAUAAGGCAAAAGCAGAGUUUGAGACACAUCAUUCUUCAACUGUUCUAACAACCGAACUCUAUGCACUUGAGAAAUAUGCAGGGACUGUUUUCAUAAGGCAAUCUUUUCUAAAAUUUAGGGAUGAGAUGAAGAAUGCAUAAUUGUUUUUCCCUAUCAGUACAGAAAAUCAUGGACGUUAUCGUGUCCAUACAUUGACCAAGUUUAGAAGCCCUGACAAGAUUUGGAAAGUAUCUUAUGGUAAUAGUGAUCGGUCUAUGAAAUGUACUUGUAUGAUGUUUGAGUUAGUUGGUUUUCCAUGUCCCCACAUGAUUGUUGUAAUGAAGAUAGAGCACCUUGAAGAAAUACCUGAGAGUUGUAUUAUGAAAAGGUGGUCUAAGUUAGCAAAGGAAAUGUUCCAAGUUCAUCAUGAUAAUGAAAGUCAAGGUGAUGCAACUAACAUCAUAUGAUAUGGUGCACUCAGCUCUAUGUGCUCACGGAUGUCUUAUUUUGCAUCUCAAUCGAAAAAAGCUUUUAAAAAAGCUAGAUGUGAAAUACAAAGACUCACUUGUCAAAUGGAAGAACUUUGUAAAAAUUCAGUGGAAGAAAGUGAACGAGAAGAUUUGAAAGCUACAAAACACCAUGUUCGAGAUCCUAUCAUUGUGAAGACGAAAGGUAAUCCGGGUAACUUAAAAGACAAAUUUAAGAAACCAAGGCAUUGUGGGAAAUGUAAGAAAGUACGACACACUAUUCAAAAAUGCCCAGAGUUCGUCAACACUCACAAUGCAUUUAUCAACAUUGAAGAUUCAAUUGAAGAUAUGGCAUGUUCAAACACACAUUCACUAAAUUCAUUAAUUAUUCACUUUAUAGUUAUUUUUAUUUGGUUAAAUUGGUUGAAAUAAAAAAUUGAAUUCUUUAUAUUAAUACAGGGGGACAUGCCUUCAUUACUAAAUCACAACAUGGAAGGUGGAUCAAGACACGAGACAAAUGAAUUUUCUCAAAAUGUAAGUUUAACAUUUUUUAAGUAAUUUUUAUUAUGAUGUGAAAAAUAUUAUUUAUUAGAGUAAUUGAAAAAUUAAAUCAUAUUACAGACAACACUUUGCACAUUUCAGAAUGGUCUAGAAACAAGCUUAUAUGAUUCAUGGCUUGGGUUACAUCCACCAAAUUACUUCACAAAUCAAGUAAGAGUCAUAGAAUAACUUAUAUACAUCACAUAUCAUAUAUCUAUCUAUUGACAGAAGUUCCUAAACAUUUAGUAUUUAAUCAUAUGGAUUUUCAUUCAAAAUAUUAUGUAUAACUGUAAAUAUUUUCAAUGUAGGUCACCAUGAAUCACUUUACAUCCAGAAUUUCGGGAGCAAGUUCUACAUAUCAUAAACAAUGAGUUCUACUACAAUGCAAAAACUUAUGUACAAAAAAAAAAUCAACUCUUGAUUGUAUUCUAUACUCUUCUUCUCUUUAUUUUUGCAUGAUUCUGAACUUUAUCUAAUAUUAUAGCUUUCUCACUAUUUUCAUUAUCAAGAAGUAAUUCGAUUGCCAAUUUGUGUCUUAUAGUUAUAGAGUCCCAAUGGGAAGGGGUUGAACUUGAGUCCAUGAAAUCGGAUUUUCACAUAUGAUUAAUGACAUGGACUCCACAAUCCCACCUAACAAAUAAAAUGAGUAAACAUUUAUCUAGUUAGUACAUAGAAAUAUUAUCUUGAACACAUUAUAUUUGAAGAAACAAUUAUGCUUGCUUGCCCAUUGGCUUGCACAUCUACCCAUGUAGGUCUUUCAAUGGGAACACUUGAUAAAUUCUUUAGAUGCCCAUUGAGAUUAAAAAAAUGUGAACACUCUUCAACCUAAUAUUCAUAUCAUUAUAUCUUUUAGCAAAAUAAAACAUGCUAUUUAACAACUAACAUUAAAAAGUAAUAAAAUUCAUUAAAAUAUAAGAUAUACCACAGUUCUCACAGAUGAAGUUCGCAUGUCAUCCCUUUCUAUUGAUGGUAAUGAAUCCAAUAUAUGAAUAUUACGUUGAUGAAGAUUUAUAACACAGUUACCAAUGAUCCGGACAUGUAUCGUGCAUCAGGAUGUAUAUCUAAACAAAAAACACAUUUUAGCAUUGAUAAUUAUUUACAACUAUGAUAUGAAUACAACUUCAUAUAUGUACCUUAUCGCAAUCAUUCAUUUCAUCCAUGUGUUUGAUAAUAUGUGUGAACAUCUUGGUAGCAGUUGCCAAUUUUCUACCACCAUGUAAGAUUAUUUACUAUGCAAAAAAAAAAAAAAAAACACAUAUAUCACAAUAUUUAUUAGGUUUAUUUUUUUUCUUUAAUAAGAAAUAUAAUGGAUGAACAUACCGUAAAUGUGGUGGGUAAGUAGCAUUUGGUAGGCCGUAUUCCUUUGAAUUUGUUCUCAAAACUAUUAAGUUUGCAUGCAAAUACAUUUAUGAUCUAAAAAUGAAACACAAAAGUUAACAAUGUUAAUUAUGUAAUAUAAUUAAUAAGAAUUGGGUUUAUCCUUGUAUUACUCACUACAUCGAGUAAUUCUUGUCUAGGCCCCAAAGUUAAGAAGUAUGCUCGAUUUGCAUGCUCAUAUUGAAAAUUAACAAGAAGUUCACUACAAAAUAUAAGAUAUUUAAUAAGUAUAACUUUUAAAACAUGACAUACAUAAAGUAUAGUCAAAAUAAUUGGUUUACACACCUUUUGUCCAAUGAAAUAUCAAACACGUAAGCAGCAACUAGAGACUCAAGUGUACUCAAGGAAUGUGAAUCCUUCACGUUCGGCAAAAUGGACAUGGGGAUUGUCUAUAUUGAAAAAAUCUCUAACAAACAUUAGUUAUCUUUCACUAUAUUAUUAAGUAUUUAAAAAAUACUACAUCAAUGAAGUAACAUAUUACCUCUAAUACCUUUUGUGAUCCAACAACUAUGCUUGGGAAUCUCUUAGGCUUUGGAAUCUUAUUGGAUUGAUGAAUGUAGGGUGACACCUUGAAUUUACUAGGCUUGCGUUCCAUUGUUGUUCGUGUUUUCUUCAAUUGACGUGGGAGCACCACCAAUGAACUUAGUUGUUCUUCUUGUUUUUCAACAUAUGGAACAUCAACAUUAACCUAUCAUGUAUUUGAACAUUAGUGUAUAUAUAUAUAUAUAUAUAUAUAUAUAUAUAUAUAUAUAUAUAUAUAUAUAUAUAUGUAUGUAUAUAUAGAACUUUGUAAAAAACUAGGUCUUCAUAAUAUGCAAAUACCUUUUCAUCUUGACAUUGAUUGUUGACAAUGGGAGAAACAUGUAACUCCAUGUCACCAUAUGAGUCAUUCUCACUCAAUCUCUCUUCUACGACAACAUUGCUCAUAGGAAAAAACAAACGUUUCAAUUCCAUAUAUUUUUCUUCAAAUUAGCUAAAAGUUGAUUCUUUACAACUUUCAUCCAUAUCAGAAACAUUUGUUUAUAACACAAAUUUUUUCAACUUCUCAAAAGCUUCCUCCAUACCCAUCAAACUUUUUUCUUCAACCUAGUAACAAAUAAAAAUUUCCAAUAUCAUGAAAAAAAAAAGUUUGAGAUGAAUAAACUAAUGUAUAUAAAUAUAGUAUAAAAAAGUACCUUAUGCCCUUCUUCUUAUUGUUCAUGAACUUUUGCAUCUUAUUUAUCACCAUCUUCUUCAUUUCUCAUAUCAUUAUCUUUAUGAUCACUUGUUCUCUCAUCUUUCUCAACCACCUUCAUUUUUUCAUCAUUAUCAUUUUCUGCACCAUUAUUUUGCUCCAUAUCCACACUUUACCCAAUUUUUAUAAUCCAUAUCGUGACCUAUAAUUUAUCCAUAAACUUUAUUAUAAUUGCAACAUCACAUAAACAAAUAAGCUUUUCAGUUAGUAAAUGUAUCUUACCUUUGGAUCAUCAUAACCUCCAAGUGUUUUGAUUUUACGUUUCAUCCUAGAAACCUCAUCAUCUCCCCAUUCAUUUAUACGAGGGCUAUAUGCAUUGAAACGUAAGUUCAUACCCUUCUUUAUGGAAAUGUGGUCAAGGUAGAAAAUCUGCAAGAAAUAAAUUCCAAAAUAAUUAUAGAGUUGAAUAUAUCACAAACUCUAUUAUUGUUAAAAAUAUCAUAAUAUAUCAACUUUGUUAAAAGUGUAUUACCAUUAGAAAAUAUAAACAUCCAGAAAUCCCACUACUUCGUUUCUUGGAUUUAAAGUCGUUUAUGCCUCGUACAAGGAAGAAGAAUACUAUUUGGGCCCAAUUUAUCUUCUUUAUUGAUGCGGUGUCUUGAAGGAGAUGGAGGAAGGAAGGCUUGACACUAACUUUCAUCGUUGGACAUAACAAGGCACCUAAAACAAAUAAUACAAAACGAAUUUUAAAUUCAUCCCCACAUUCCUUUUUUUGUCGUAUUUGGUUUUCUAACAUCAACAAUGGCAAUUUUCCUUUCCCAUCACAAUACAUGUUGUAUAAAUCAUUCUGUUUACUUGUGCAUCUCUCUAUAUCUACCUCCACUCCCUUAGCCUUCAAGCCCAAAAUUAACUCAACAUCCAUUGGGGAUAAUUUAAUGGAAGUGUUAUGCACACUUAAUGUGCAUGAAAGAGUGUCAAAAUUCUCUACCAACCAAUGACAUAAACUAUGAUCAAGUUUAAUACAUCGCAAUCCUAAAAUACCUCCAAACCCUAUUUCUUGUAUGACGACCUUUUGAUUAGGUUGCAAGUGUUGAAGUAGUUUAUACACCCGAUCAGGCAAACAACGCAUGUGAAGAUACGACUAGAAGUUAUAAAUAUACAUAAGCAUAUAUAUUUUAAAUUGAAAGAAAAUAUUAUCAUAAUUUAAAAACAUAAAUUUCAAAUUUCUUACCUUUGAUGCAUUUUUUGAGUUUCGACCCUUUUGUUUUAUAUAUUCAUGAGGGCAUUUUUUAGACUUCUCUAAGAACUUUUUUUUUCUCCAUUUGAAAGGGAUUGCCACUUUUUCCCAAUCUCUUUUCGCAACUGUAAUAUUAAAUUAGUUAAUUAUCAUAUAGAGUAUAAAAGUUGACUAAAAAACAUAUUAUGCAAAUAUUCAUUUCUUUUCUUACAUCAUGAUUUAUUAUCAAUUCCUUGUUAUCUUCUUUUCUUGCGAGUACUUGUUCUCGACUGCAAAAAACAUCACAUAAAAAUGAUUAUAUUUUCAACAUAUGAAUAAAUAUCCAAAAUGAAUUAACUAUAUAUGUAUAUAUAUUCUUACAAAUAAUAAAGCCAUGAACCCAUAGGAAGUUUUGGGUUUGAAGGGGGAUCAUUCUCCUCAAAUGAUUGUUUGCUCCUGUUUAAAACACAACAUUAUGAAUGUAAUUUACAACUAAUUAAAACUAUGUACUAUAUUCAAAUAAUUAAGUGACAAAUAUAAAAUCUUACAUAUUUGGCUUUCUAAGUCAAGAUGUAGUAAGACUGCUCAAAAUAAGAUAAACUCCUCUUAUAUUAAGCAACUGUGUAGCCUGCAACAUAGUGAGCAUAUUGAUAAGAAUUAAGUUUUGAAUUUGACAACAAUGAGUUUGAAAAUAUUUGUAACAAAAUGGAGUUUUUUUCUAAAAAUAUUAAUCAUUAUUUAAUCAUUAGAUCGAUGAGUUAAACUAAUUAAAAUAAAUUUAAAUUAUCAAAUAAAAAUAAUUUAUUUACUUUAAAUAUAUAUAUAUAUAUAUAUAUUAUCUUUUUCACAUGGCAUAGCAAAAAGGCAAAUUUUAAAAUUAUAUCAAUUAAUUUAUAAUUUUUUUAAAUAUAAUAAUGUUGUAUUGGAUUAGAAAUAGAAAAUAAAAAAAAGGUUAAAUUUAGAGUAUGCUAUUUUAAAAAUUUUUAUCUUUAAAAAAAAGUCAUCAGUGAGCAUAUGUCCAAAUGUUUUAAGCUCUUUUAUCAUUCUUUUCAUCUCCUUAGGAUCUUGUUUCAUUGUAUGGUUCAGUCACAUUUUGUAAUUUCCAAAUUUCAUUACAAGUCCUCUCAGCUUCGUAGUUGAAAGUCCACCAUACUUUUCUUUUAACGCUUCCCACAUUUCAUGAGAAGUUUGAUAUACUUCAUACUCAAUCAUGAGAUCAUCUUGCAUACAACUUAACAACGUAAUGCGAGCUAAAGAAUUUUUUUUUGAGAGAGGCCACAACAACAAGAUAAAUAUACAUGUUAUGUCUGGCAUAUCAAAUUAUUUACAUGUUAUGUACAAAACAUAAAAGAAAAUGUAAUAAAUAGAAGGAAAACUAAUCUUCUCCCUUGAAACUAAAAGCAGCAAUGUUAGGAUUAUACACAGUGUCUUCUAUAACUCUAGAAGUUGUUUUCAAUAACCAUAACCCUCUAAGAUUUUUAUGCCUACUAGAAUUUGAAAAUCUUGCAUUUCGCAAGUUAGGAGAAAUAGAAAGCACUAUUGUUCGUCUAAUGGCAUUCUUCACGGAGCAUGUUUCCCUGUGUUCCUUGAAAAUAGCUACUAGGUCAUCAAAAGACCUAUUUGUGAAACCAUGAGGCCCUUCUUGAAUGGAUUCCCAUAUAUUUUCAAGAACUUUUUUCUCAGGUUCUGUUAAUGACAUUUGUAGAAUAUGCUUUUUACGGUUUGACUCUAAGAUAUAUUCCUCUUCGAAACGUUUGAACAUAUUAGCCACAUGAUCCACAUGUUCAUUUGUAGAAUGGCUAGGGUCCCUCUUGUAGUUCAAGAUUGUAUCCAAACACGGCCAAGGUCCUCUACCCCUUAGUACUUUCCUAGUUCUCCUCAAUCGUACCAUUUUGCACCUAACCAAAAGAAUUUAAUUUAAUUUUAAUGAGUAACAUAUACUCAUACUUUAAUUAAAUAUUUGAACAAAUGAAAUUUUAAUUAGAAACACACAAUUAUUAAAAAAAAAAUGUCUUUUAUUGUCCCUCAAAUUUUUAUUAUUAUUUUAUACACAAGUCAACAUUCAUAAUUUCAAAUAAACAAUAUAACACUAAUAAAUGGUAUUUUAUAUCAUAUCAAGGUACUUUAGUGGUAAUAAAGGAUUUUUUUAAAAUGAUAGAGUUAGGUUAGAAUCCAUGUUGCGUUAUUAUUUCUAACACUAAAAGGUUCAAUAGUCUAGAAUUUUAUUACAUUUUAAAUGAAAAAUAAAAUUAAUUUAUAUAAAAUAUUUUAUUUGAGAUUUAGGUUCGAAUCCAUGUUGCAUUAUUAUUUCUAACACUAAAAGGUUUAAAAGUCUAGAAUUUUAUUACAUUUUAAAUGAAAAAUAAAAUUAAUUUAUAUAAAAUAUUUUAUUUGAGAUUUAGGUUCGAAUCCAUGUUGCAUUAUUAUUUCUAACACUAAAAGGUUCAAAAGUCUAGAAUUUUAUUACAUUUUAAAUGAAAAAUAAAAUUAAUUUAUAUAAAAUAUUUUAUUUGAGAUUUAGGUUCGAAUCCAUAUUGCAUUAUUAUUUCUAACACUAAAAGAUUCAAAAGUCUAGAAUUUUAUUACAUUUUAAAUGAAAAAUAAAAUUAAUUUAUAUAAAAUAUUUUAUUUGAGAUUUAAUUUCUAAAAUUUUAUUAAAAAUAUGUGAUAACAAUUUUUUCUAUUAACAUUAAUUUAUUUAAAUAAUUAAAAUUAUUAAUAAUUUAUCUUACCAAAUUAAUUUUAAUUCAUAAAAUAUCGAUAAUAAAAUUCGAAAGUUCAAUGGUAAAGAUUUAAUCAAUAUACACAUGGAUAAUUACUAAUUAUUUAUAUAUAGAGAGGAAUUCCUAAAAAGCCCUAUUUUUACUACUUCUCUCACUCGAGGUUGAUGCGUCAAAAAGCCCUUUUCUCCCUCCAGACUAGAGAAUCCCUAAAAAGGCUCCAUUUUACUUUGCCACUCUCAAUCCUCGUAGGUACUAAUCUAAUCAUGCUAUCAUUUUUUUUUUCAAUAUCCGUUUGAUUCGCAACAAAAUCCAUCCCCCAUUCGAUUUUUUGGAUCUGUUUCAGGAGUCUUUUUGCUUUUGUGCCAUUCGAUUUAAAUUUCAUGAACCCUAAAUCCACGAUUUUUUAGCCAAGAUGAAAAACACAACCUUUGCCUGCAAAUCAUGAUCAGAUUACCAAAUAACAUCUUCUGUUUUUUUUUAAAAAAAAUUGGACAGAUUUUGUAUCCUGUGCGCGGCCUGGACUGGUAGGAAAUAUCGAAAAAUUUCCCAAAAAAAAAUCGAUAAAAAUACCAAAAUUUUGGUGAUGUUUUUUAAUCGGUCAAAGAUGAGUGAAGUACUUGUUCUAGGAGAGUGGGUAGAGUUGCCUGCAGGGGGAGAUUGGUUUCAGAUCCACCAAAGCCUGCCUAAUUCUUUUCUUGCUGAUUUCUCCUCUCUCUGAUUUCUCCUUCAAAAUCCCCACUCAACUCACUCUCUCUGUAAAUAUUCAUUUCACCUGAAAAUUCCAUUUCCACACCCUCAAAUUUCUGAAGCUUAACUCUCUAAAAUCCGGGAAAAGUUGUAAUGCCCAUCAAACUAAUAGCUCACUUCUCCGAAAAUAGGCGUCAAGUGUAAUACCCAUCAGACAAAUUUUUGUCUUUAGACAAGAUUAAGCAAGAUAGAAGUGGGAAAUCAAGGUGACCGAUAACCUGCUUUUAUUUUUUUAUAUAUUUUUAAAUUUUUUUAAAAUACAUAAUCUAAUUGGACGGUCCAGACUGAACCAUCUUCAUCCAAUGGUCAAAACUGUUUUUUCGGUAGGUACCGAAAUGGUACUGUAGAAUUUUCCCUUCAAUAAUUCCUCAACAUGCACUCCUUUCUCUCAUUCUUUCCCAUCUCAAUAUCAUUUUUCUUUAUUCUUUUCCACCCACCAAACUAAACCCAAGAAUUUUUCCUUCAAUUUAAGGAUGUAAAAUAUGAAAAAUUCUCAGUCUCCUUCCUCAAACUAUGAUGAUAUGGGUAGCUACUAGUCUGCUUGUAGAAAAAAGAAAAGAAAAGAAAAGAGCCAUAAUAUUCAAUAUUAACUUGGUUGUACCCUAGCUAGAAUUUUUUCCAUGUAGUAUAAAACAUAAUUAAUUGAGGACUAAGAAUCCAAGAAAAGAAUUACAAUAUCACCUAUCUAGAGUUCUAGUAAUUAAUCUAAAUAGAAAAAUAGCUAGGUAACUCUUGGAGAAGAUCAUCCUCCCAAACCUUGAGAAGGGUUUCAAAUCUUUAGGUAAGGUGAAGCUAAAAGAAAGAGAAUAGCCAUUCCCUUGAAGUCAUUGCAAGAUAGAAGUCAAUUUUAAAGAUGUUUCGGUGGAGUCCUCGUGUUUUUGUCAAAGUAGAGUUUGAACAUAAAAAAAAGUAGCUUGUUGACACAAAAGAGCUCAAGGGGUGUUUGGUGAUAGAUUUUUUUAAAAAAACAAUAGUGUAGUUUUGAAAAAUAUUUAUUAAAAUAUAACACUUUUUGUUGUAAAACAAGGAUAAAUUCAAUGCAAACAAAGUAGUAGAGAUAAAAUAUAUCUUACUUUAACAAUACAUAUAAUGGGAAGAAGGAAUCAGAGAAGAGAGUUGAGAAAGUUGAGAGAAUAUGAGAAAGUAAGAAAUUUCUUUCUUGCUUAGGGAUACAUAUUACAGGGGAUGGGAAGCCCUUUUAUAGGCUUUCCAAAUGGCUUCCAUUAAUAUUCCAAUUAAUGAAUAUUAAUGGAACUCAUAAAUAACAUUAAUGGUUUCCAUUAAUCAGUAUUAAUGGAAGUCAUAAAUAAUACUUAAUUAACAUUUAUUAUAAUUAAUGUGGUGACAUUCAUUACUUCAGUUACAACAGUCCCCCUUGGAUGUCCACCACAUUGAAGAAUUUGCCUCAUUAAAACCUUGCUAGUAAAAAACCCUAUGGAAAAAACCUAGCGAAAGAAAAAGAGUGCAAUAUUCUUAUACUUCUUUAAGUUUCUCUUGGUAUGUUAGGACUGCCUCAUUAAAAACCUUGCUAGUAAAACCUAGUAGGACAAAACUUGGAUGAAGGAAAAAAUAGUAUAGUACACUAACACCCUUUUACCAGCAUACUCCCCCUCAUGUUGAUAUCCUUAAGUUGAUGCAUUCCAAUCUUGUGUAUUAACUUCUUGAAUGUUGAGGUUGGUAAUGAUUUUGUGAAUAAAUAUGCUAGAUUAUCACUUGAGUGUAUUUGUUGCACAUCAAUUUCACCACUCUUCUGGAGUUCAUGUGUAUAAAAGAAUUUUGGUGAAAUAUGUUUAGUUUUAUCUCCUUUAAUAUAACCCCCUGUUAUUUGUACAAAUCAUGCAGUAUUAUCUUCAAAUAAUAUUGUCGGGUCACCUUUGAUAGAGGAGAGUCCACAUGAUUCCCAAAUAUGUUGGAUCAUAUAUCUUAGCCAUAUACAUUCAUGACUUGCUUCAUGAAUUGCCAAUAUUUCUGAAUGAUUUGAUGAUGUGGCCACCAUUGUUUGUUUGACAAAUCUCCAUGAAAUAGUAGUACCAUUACAAUUAAACACGUACCCUGUUUGUGACCUACCUUUAUGUGGAUCUGAAAGAUAUACUGCAUCUACAUAUCCAAGCAAUUGUUGCUUUGAUUCCCUUGAGUAAAAUAAACUUAUAUCAAUAGUUCUGCGAAGAUAAUGCAAUAUAUGUUUGAUACCAUUCCAAUGUCUUCGAGUUGGAGUGAAACUGUAUCUUGCUAAUAAAUGGACAUAAAAAACAAUGUUUGGAUGUGUACAAUUGGCAAGAUACAUAAGUGCACCAAUAGCACUAAGAUAUGGUACUUUAGGACCAAGUAAUUCUUCAUCUUUUUCGCAAGGACAAAAUGGAUCAUUUUUCACAUCAAGUAAUCUGACAACCAUUGGAAAACUUAAAUGAUGCGCUUUAUCCAUAUAAAAAUGCUUCAAAACUUUCUUAAUGUAUGUUGAUUGAUGUACUAAAACUCCAUUUAGAAAAUGCUCAAUCUGCAGGCCGAGACAAAAUUUUGUUUUCCCUAGAUCUUUCAUCUUAAAUUCCUUUUUCAAGUAACUUGUUGUUCUUGUGAGCUCUUCAGGAGUUCCAACAAGAUUUAAGUCAUCAACAUACACUACAAUAAUUGCAAAUCUGGUUUCUGAUUUCUUAAUGAAGAUGCAUGGACAUAUAAGGUUAUUCACAUACCUUUUUUUUAGUAAGUAUUCACUAAGGCGAUUGUACCACAUGCAUACAGAUUACUUUAAUUUAAUCUAUACAAGGAUCAUUGUAACUUGAUUAAGUACAUGCUACGAGGCUUUGUACUAUUUGCUUCAAGCAAUUUAAAUCCUUUAGGGAUUUUCAUGUAUACAUCAUUAUCCAUGGAUCUAUAUAAAUAUGUUGUAAUAAGAUCCAUGAGAUGCAUAUCCAGACCUUCUGAGACUGCUAAACUAAAUAAGAAACAAAAUGUGAUUGCUUCCAUGACAGGAGAAUAUAUUUCCUCGUAGUCAAUACCAGGUCUCUACGAGAAACCUUGUGCUACUAAUCAUGCUUUAUAUCUUAUGAUCUCAUUAUUCUCAUUGUGGUUUCAUACAAAUACCCAUUUGUACCCAACAGGCUUUACAUCUUCAGGUGUUUGGACUACAGGUCCAAAAACUUCCCGUUUUGUUAAUGAGUUUAACUCUGCCUGUAUAGUUUUUUUCCAUUUGGGCCAAUCAUUUCUAUGUCGGCAUUCUUCCACAUUUCGUGGUUCAGGAUCUUCAUUAUUUCUUAUAAUAUCGGGGGCCACUUGGAAAGCAAAAAUAUUGUUAAGAACAAUAUUAUUCUGAUCCCAUUUUUCUCCCGUGUGUACAUAACUUACUGAGAUUUCACAAUUUUCAGGUACCUAUGCCUCUUUAAGGGCUUCUUGUUCAAUAUGUGCCUCUUCAGGGGAUUUCUGCAUUAUUUGUGCCUCUUCUAGGGCUAUAGAUUUAUCAAUUUUAAACUGAUCAGUCAUUUUGAUGGUCUCUUCUAGAGUGCCAAGUUUUUCUUGGGUUCUCCUCUUUCGGGGAGUUAUAUCCUUUGAGCCAACAGGUCUACCACACUUCAGGUGUAUCUUAGAUUCAUUUGUUAAUUGUCCUACAGGGACAUCAAUCCGUGUUGGAGUAUUUGUAGUCAGGAUAUGUGACUUUGUCACUUUCUUUGUAUCAAUGAAUGCAUUUGGUAAUAGAUUUGUAAAAUUUUGCAAAUGAAUGAUUAUUUGAACUUCUAGUUCACAUUGACUUGUACGAGGAUCAAGAUGGGUCAUAGUAGAUGCCUUCCAACUAAUUUCUCGAUGUUCUUCAGGAAUCGACUUUUCUCUCCCUUGUGAGCAGGCAUCACAUGAGUAUUCAUUAGGCGAAAGAAUCUUCUGGUUCUUUAGUAGAUGCCCAUGUGAGUGUUCAUUAUUCGAUGCAUCAUUAAUGACCUUGGGUGACCUAGCUUGUCUUGCCAAAUGACAAAAACUUUUGGGUCAUUGAACUUUUGGUUCAUGACAACAUAUGAUUCAAUGGGCUUUAUAGUUUUAUGAUACAACCCAGAUGAGAAAGCCGAGAUUUUUUCCAUUAUAAGCUUCUAACCAGAUAUAAUGGAAGUAACGUAAAGAUAUUCUUCAUUAUAUUCAUUCAUAGUUUCAAUAUGAUAUCCAUUUUUGUGGAUAUCUUUAAAACUAAGCAAAUUUCUUCUGGAUUUGCUAGAAUAUAAAGUUUCAUUUCUAUGGAAUCUAGUUCCAUUUGGCAACGUUAUGUUUUCUUUUCCAGAGCCUUCAACUAAGUUUGUAGUACCAGAUAUGGUACUUACAUUAGCUUUUAUUAAUGUCAAUUUGAGGAAAUAUCUUUUAUCUUGAAGAAUUGUGUAUGUGGUUGCAUAGUUUGUCAGACAUACAUCAUCCUCAUUCAUCUUGAGACCAAAUAACACAUGGAUUUCAGAUAUAACUAAAUAAAAAAAACAAGGCAUAAUGUAAAUAAAAAAAGAAAAUCAUAUGUAAAUAUAAGAGAUAAUAAUAUAUUAUUUCAUAUAUAAAGUAACAUCAAUCAAUGUUAAUUUUCUCAUCAUUUAUUAAAUGGUUUUUUUUUUCACUAGGACCUCCAAAGAAAUCAAUGUCAUAGUAGGUUGGGUCCAAUCCAUUACUAUUAGUAAAGUUCAUCUCUAUCUCUUUUCCUUUUACUUUUAUUGAUGCUUGGUAAAGGUCGACCAAAUGUUUGGGUUUAUGACAGGUACGCGACCAAUGACCCUUCAUACCACAUCUAUAACAAUUAUUUUCAUGGUUCUUAGGAAGUUUAUCUUCUAAAUACUUCCCAUUUUCUUGUUUUGCCUCAGUAUUGUUCCAUUUCUGGUGGUGCAAUGAGGUUUUACUUUUCUAAGAAUUUGAUAAAUUAUUACCAUAAGAACCAUGGUAUCGGGGAUUUCUUCCAUGACCACUACCACGACCACGUCCUCGUCCUUAUCCACGUCCACGAGUUUGGGACGAUAUUGCAUUGACUUUAGAGAAUAAUUCAGAUCUAGUUGGACGAGACUGAUGAUUUUUCAUCAAAAGCUCAUUUUUUUUAAACCUUCAUGGAGAUGAUGAUGAAGGAAAAUCAAUGUUUUUGCGCGAUCCUGCAGAGAUGCUUGAUUUCCCUCUUUGAUCAUAGCUCCAAGAUUCAUUGCAUCAAGAUGUAUUUUAGCAUCACGGAUGCAAGAAAGAUAGUUCUUUCCCGAAAUGUUAAGUGCUACAAAUUUGAGUUUUGUGAGAUUCGACAUUGUCAAAUAACUUCAUAUAUAUAUGAUAAAACAAUAUUAUUAGAAUGAGUUAUAAUAAAUUGAUAGCAUUGAUACAACUUUGAUUAUAACCAAAAUCAAAUAACUUGUUUAUAACUUUUAACAAUAUAUAACAAAACACAUCAACAAUAAUAUAAAUAUGUAAAAUUUUAUUCUAUAUAAAUAACUUCAAGUUUAAGAUAUGAGAAUUACCUUCAAAGCAAUUCAUGCUAAUAACGUGUUGUAAAACAAGGAUAAAUGCAAUGCAAACAAAGUAGUAGAGAUAAAAUAUAUCUUACUUUAACAAUAUAUAAUGGGAAGAAGGAAACAAAGAAGAAAGUUGAGAAUGCAAACAAUAUAUAAUGCAAACAAUAUAUUUUGGAGUGCCGUCAUGGCCAAUUCCCUAGUUGUUCACAUCAUGCUAAAGGAAGAAAGUGACGUCUCCCCAAAACUUCAAUUCAAUUGGAGUUCAUAGGAGCAGGUUUGAAUAUGGAGCACUUGGGCUUGUUUCGAUCAUAUCUCCCUCAUCUGUACUCGGAAUCGCGCACCAUUUUUUUAAUGGACUCCUUGUUCUUCAAGGAAUAUUAUAUCAAAAUUUCAAAUUUUUUCUCAACCGGCUCAACUAGUCCCCAAAGUUCCAGUUCAGCCAGAGUUCAUUGGAGCAUGUCUGAAUUCGGAGCACUUGGGCUUGUUUAGAUCAUAUCUCCCUCAUCCAAACUUGGAAUCGUGUAUCAAUUUUUUUAUGGACUCCUUGUUCUUCAAGGAAUAUUCUAUCAAAAUUUCAAUUUUUUUUAUCAACCAGCUCAACCGGUCCCCAAAGUUUCAAUUCAGCCAAAGUUCAUUGGAGCAUGUCUGAAUUUGGAGCACUUGGGCUUGUUUUGAUCAUAUCUCCCUCAUCCGAACUCAGAAUCGUGCAUCGUUUUCUUGAUGGACUCCUUGUUCUUCAAGGAAUAUUCUGUCAAAAUUUUAAAUUUUUUCUCAACCAGUUCGUUGGGCUAGCUUGUAUAGAGCACUGAUUUUGGUGAUUUUGGAGCUCAAAUCUUACAUGGCUUGGGCCCAUAAGCUCCAGAUCGGUCUUGGGCAAUAUUUUGGAUCCAUUUGGGGCCUUGGUUCGGGUUCCUUGCAACCCACCAGGAAUCCAUAUGGAUUCUUGGUGGUGGAGCAAGAGAGUAAAUGUGGAGAGAGCGGCUCACCUCGUGACUGUGAGAAGUAUUUAUGGAGCUGGUUUCUGAGGUUGGUGGGGGCACUUUCCAAAGCUAAAGGAGGGAAAAAUGAAGGUGGAAGUGGGAAGAGCGGGGGUUCUGGUAUAAAAAGGCAGAAUGGAAAUAGAGAAAGACAUUUUUCCUUUGUAUUUUUUUUCUGUGGGGAAAAACUCUGUCCAAGUUUGGUGAGGGAAAAUAAUAGAGUGUGGAGAAGAUUUUGAGCAUCUAAGAAAGUUCUAAGUGCAUGUGAAGUGAGCAAAGAGGGAGGAAAAAUAGAAAGUUUGAGGUUUUAGAGUGGAAAGACUCUAUGUGGGGAUUUUUCUAGUUAGAUCCUUGGAGUGAGGUUCUACUUGUGAGCCUCUAUGUGUUAAGGCAAAUAGAAGGAAGGCAUUCUUGAAGCCAAGUAUAUUUCUGCUUGAGGGGAGAAUAAUAUGGUAAGCACUGAUUCUGGUAUCUCAUUCUUUUCAUUUUAGAUUUUCUUCUCUGUUUAAGAGUCUACUGAAACUUCUAUGGCUAUUUCAAAUAAGGAGUGUUUGAGGAUUUGGUAUUGUUCCUCUUUGCUUCCUUUUGAUCUAUUUCUUAGUUCAUAGUUCAGUUGAUAUGUUUCUCCCUACAUCGAUUUAGAAUGGCAUGGCUCUGUUUUGAGUUUUCCUUUGAGAAAUAGGAAUUUGCUUUAUUGUCCUCCCUCUAGUUGUAAGUUGUAUUCUGUUUGCUUUGCUAAUGGUGUGUCGAGUUGCACCCCUUGUCAAUACAUGAUGUUCAUGAAUGGAGCUCUAGGUUUAUAAUAUUCUUUUCCACCUUUGAAUAUCUCAGCUUUCAUGUUUAUCCUGGGAGGAAGGUUCUCAGUCAUGGUCUUUUGGAUUGUUGUUUUUCUUCUUUAAUUUUGUGGCAUAAAAGGGAGAUUCUACACUGCUCAUGAUUCUCCAUGCUUCUUUUUUUAAUAGUCACUUUUUGAAUGCUCUUGAUAUGUAACUGUUGCAUGGUUUCAUUUUUUAUGUUUGUUGUGGAUGUCUCAUUUUGGGUUGGUUCUGGUCAGGAAUUGGGGGGGGGGGGAGUGACCUACUUUUGAUGUGUGAAUAAUAGGGUAUCUGCCUUCAUUAGUUUUGGUUUUGGUUAUAGGUCAUUGUGACCUCUUAAUUGUUAGGGGAAGGAUUCUUAUGGCCUUGUAGCUUUGGAUUGAGGAACUUCUUACAUGCUAGAUUCAGGUGGCUAUGUUGGUAUGGGCGUUUCUACCACUUGGUUUUUCUUGAAACCUCCCUUGCUUAGUAUUGAGAAAGGGUCUCCAUGACCUUCUCUGUUUUUUUAAUUUGGGUCUACCCAUCAAUAAUCUGGACUUAAAACCCAGGUCUUGUGGCUACAUGUAAAAGUUUCAUGUGGCUGAAAUUUUGGUUUACUUCUUGGAGAUUCCAGUAGCUGCAUUGGGGGGGCUUUAGGUGGCUGAAUUUCAGUUGGAUUCAUAGGCUAUAGGAGACUGAAAUUUCAGUUUGUUCAAUGGGAUUUAAGUAGCUGUAGGUGGGAGGCUUCAGGUGAAUGAAAUUUCAGUUUGGUUUUAGGGGAUUUAGGUGGCCGCAUGUGGAUGUCCAUGUGGCCAAAUUUUCAACUGGGUUUCUUGAGUUCAGGGGGGCUGCAUUGUUGGUUGAUUAAUGAGCUAUGUGGCCUUAGUUUUAAUAAGGUUGGGUGGCUCGGGUUUGGCCUUCUACAAGGAACACGUUGCAUUGUUUUGGUCGGUUCUCCCUCAUUUGGGCUCAGAAUUGAGCGCCGUUUUUUUGUUGGAUUCAUUAUUCUUCAAGGAAUCUACUAGUAAAGUUUGAGAAUCUUUCUCAAUCGAUUGAACUAGUUGGGAACCGGUUCAACAGGUUCUGCUAGGCAGCCCCAUUUUAUAAACACAUUGCAUUGUUUCAGCCAGUUCUCCCUCAUUCGAGCUCGGAAUUGAGCACUGUUUUUUUUUUUUUUGGAUUCCUUAUUCUUCGAGGAAUCUGCCGAUAAAGUUUCAAAAUUUUUCUCAAUCGGUUGAACCAGUUGGGAACCGGUUCAACAGGUUCUGCUAGGCAACCCCAGUUUUAGCAUGUUUUGACCCUCAUUUUUGUUGUGGCUUGAGCCUUUAGGCUCCAAGGCACUUGUGGGCCACCUUUAGGGUUAGAGUUCUGUUUGGUUAGAUUUCAUGUGAGCUCACUUCAUAGAUGGAAAGAAUGUAGGUUAAGCGAGCAUGGUUUGGUUUGAUGGAAUUUAGAGCAAUGUGUACUAAAGAAAUCAAACCAUUUAUUUCAUUUCGACCUGCUUCCCUCCCUUUUGGGUAUGAGAUUUGAUGUUUGAUUGAGAGUGCAUGUUGUAUGCUUGUAUUACUUACCUCACCUUUUCCUUGCAGCGCAUAGCGGGGGACCACAGGUAUGCACUUCGACUUUGGAUAAUGAAAUUCACAUGAAUGCUUGGUGCAUGAUUGCUAUGUAUAUUUGUUGUGCAUUUGAGCUUAUUGACUGACCUCUUCUACAGCGCUUGGUUAGGGACCUCAGGUAUGCACUCUGAUUUUGACUUGUUGAGUGUAUGUGCAUGCUAAAUACUAGGCGGGUCUAUGUGAUUCAUGUCAUUUGUUUAGCCCAAGGUUUGUUUGAUAUUUGACCCAUAUGCUCCCAUAUACCCAAUUCAUUAGUAGAGACCGAGUUCCGAGCCUAGUGGGGUGUUACCUCGCAUGAAGUGCCUUCCCGAUAGGUAACCUGAUCCCCAAACCCAUAAUCUAGUUUUCACAGACCAUUUUUUCCUUACUGGAGUCAUGCUGGGGUUUUUGUUCUUACUUAAAUUUCCCCAUUUAAAAAUAAAAAUAAAAAUAAAAAGUAAGUGGCGACUCUAAACAAAACCAUUCCUCACUAGGACUACACAAUCCCACAUCCACCACCACCCCUAGUUCAAUCAGCGCCACAGACAGGGGCCUUUGUCUUACAUGGUCAGACUGAGACUACGCCACAUUUUGUUAUGGCCCCUACACAGGUUGCAGAUGAUACUCAAGCCCACAUUGAGAGGAUUGAGCAGAGGAUGAGGUCACUGCAUGUCACCAAUGGAGUCAUGAGUUAGGAUAGGUAUGAUGACCUACCUAUUGCAGCUUUGUCGGUUGAGUUCUGCAUGCCAGACAUUGAGAGAUACACGGGGAUCGGGUGCCCUCGUAUUCACUUGCAGUUGUACACUGUUGUUAUGCACGGGCAUAGGUUAGACGAGACACAGAUGAUCAUGUUGUUUCCUCUGUCCCUGAGUGGUGCCGCCCAGCCGUGGUUUGCUUCAUUGGACCCCUCAUGACGCCGGACAUGGACUGAUCUGGCAUAGGAGUUUCUCAGACAGUAUUCCUUUAAUACUGUAGUUAAUGUAUCCCGGAGAGAGUUAGAGGCCCUCAGACAAAGGCCGGAUGAGAUAGUUACCUCCUUCAUCUCCCGCUGGAGGGAGAAGAGAGCACAGAUUAUUGACAGACCCGCAGAGCAUGAUCAGAUCAACACGAUUAUGUGCAAUCUUCAGCCCUGCUGCGCUAGACAUCUCAUAGGCUUUCCGUAGAUAGACUUUGGCUACUUAGUGCAGGCCCUCUAUGGCAUUGAGGAGGGUAUAUCUAGAGGAUUAUGGGCAGAUUCUCCCUCCUCAGACUCAAAGGGGAAGAAACCAGGGUCAGGACCCAGGCCAUCAUAUGUUGGCACCAUUGGUAUGAUGGGGCAUAGGUCCCUGCGUCGGCCUCAGACUCAGAGGCAAUUUUCAGAAAACUCUUAUCAGAUGAUACAACAUGAUCAGUACAGGCCAACUAUUCCCAUCAGGCUAGCAGGGCUUGCUUAUCUGCAUCCGUCGCCACAACCAGUAUAUGCUACAAAGGCAUUCCAGAGGCCACCCAUGCAGUUCAUCAGUAUAGAGCACCGCCUCCACCAAGGCCAACUAGACAGUUCACACAGCUUGGGAUGCCAUUGAGUAAAGCAUUUAAGAGAUUGGUUGAGGGGGGAUUGAUUGCCCCAUUAUCGCCCAGACCACAAUUAUAGCCUACCCUACCAGGAUUCAGGACAGACCUUCCCUGUGCUUACCACCAGAGAGUGAGCCAUGAUACAGAUAGUUGCUCAGCACUGAGACAUGCUAUACAGGACUUGAUUGAUCAGGGUUUGGUUGAUUUGGGAUGACUCGUAGUGACCAAAGACCAGUUACCUACUCAUGACACUAGAGCUAUACCUCCACCCCCAAGGGGAAUCCAUUUGAUUGAGCACAUAGAGGGUGAUGUAUUUAUGAUGGGAUGGGAUGGAGAGGCUCCUCAACCGAUCAGUUUGUAUGAGGACUCAAUUUUAGUGGAUAUACCCAUGGACAGCAAGUCCUCAAGCCAUUCAGGUUAGCCCCAGAUGAGAUUCCCCUUCAGCCCGCAAUCUCACCAGUGUAUUUAUAGCAUGUGCCACCUUUGACACCCUUCAUUAUGUUCCUAGAAGGGUAUGGGCUCGCUCACAGAGAUGUUCAGAUAGUCACGCAGAGUGGGAGAGCAGCACAUCCUCCACCUGUCAAUAGGCCAUUUGCUGGUACAGCUACUAGGGAGGAGAUUCAGAGAGAGGAUGAUGAGAUUUUGCGCCAACUGCGCACUACGCAGGCUUGCAUAUCCAUUUGGAGCCUAUUGGCCUCAUCUAGCACACAUAGAGAUGCAUUGAUCAGAGCUCUCAGUCAUAUUAAAGUUGAUACUACUACCACCCUAAAGGGACUGAUUCACUUUCUAACAGUUGAUAGGGUUACAUGCAUUGUGUUUUCCGACGAUGACUUGCCACCAGAGGGGUCAGAUCAUGUUCGACCGUUGUUCAUUGAUGUUGCUUGUUUAGGCCGCAAAGCGUCGUCGGUCUUGCUGGACAACGGCUCCACCCUGAACGUUUGUUCUUUAGUUACAGCCAUUGCCCUUGGCUUUUCUCCAUCUGAUUUUAGGUCAUCUACAUAGACCAUCAGAGCUUAUGAUGGGACUCAAAGGACAGUUAUGGGUACUCUCAUUGCACACGUUAUGAUUGGGCCAGUCAGAUAUUCCGUGCUUUUCCAGGUUCUGAGGAUUCAGUCAUCCUUUAACCUGCUUCUUGGUCAUCCUUGGAUUGAUAAGGUUGGUUCCAUACCAUCUCCCCUUCAUCAGAAGGUGAAGUUCAUACACGAGGGUCGCAUUAUCACAGUAUAGUUUGACCAGGAUGUUGUCACUUUUUUCGAGCCAGUAUUACAUAUUAGUCACAAUGAAGAUGACUUGCUUUUGACCAAGUUUACUUUUGAUGAGGUUCAGGUUGUCAAUUUAGAGGAUGACAGCAGAGAUAUGGUGCCUAUGUCAUUCGACUAAUACAGUAGCACCUUGGUGCUUAACAUGAUGAGGGGCAUGUCUUAUAUACUCGGCUUGGGAUUGGGUCACCGCCAGCAUAGACCACGCGAGUUUAUUUUCACAGUUGAUCAUGACAUACCUUGUGGGUUAGGUUACACUCCUAUGGAGGAGGAUGCACGUUACAUGGCAUGACUAUGCAAGGACAGAGUAAGGGCCCGCUUGUCUAAGGUUCCAUUUGAUUACCUCCUUCGCCCAUACACCUUUCAGUUGACUGAUUACUUUGUCAGAGGUUUAGAUCAUGCACCCCACAUGGAGGGGAUCAUUUGUAUUUCAGAGGCUGUUGAGGUUUAGGACCUCCAGCGAACCGUGGGGCAGAUGCAUUUGGGUACCGAGAUCCCCAAGACACCUGAUGUUAUGAUAGUUGCACCCCCGUCGCUUGACCGAGCCAACAUGUUCUCUGUAAACUUCCCGGAUGCAAUUUCUGAUUAUGAUAUACUUAUGGAUACUGUGAUUGAUGCUAAUGGAGUGACUCUACCUGAUGCUCGUAUCGACGAGAUGGACAUGAUAGGGGUAGGUCGUAUUCUCGAUGCAGCCCCACACGGUUCCCACUCUGAUUUCAAUUUGUUCAGAGUUUCUAUGAUUGAAACUGAUGAUGUGACUCUUUAUGAUGCUUGCACAGACGAGAUGGAUAUGAUUGGCAAUAGCCGUAUUCUGGAUGCAGCCCCACAUGGGCCUCGUUCUGCUUUGGAUAUGUUUGGGGCUUUUAUGCUUAAGAUAGAUGAUGAUGACUUUGUUACUAUUGUUACUCCUGAUGUUAUUAUUGUUAAGGGAGUGUUUGAUUCUAUGGACCCACCUCUUUCUUUUGACACUAUGUCCGGGUUUGUCACCCACUUUGAUGAUGUGGCUAGUGGAAAUAAUAAUGAUAUGAGUGUUUUCGAGUAUUCACCUGUAUCACUGCAUUUUCCUUUGAUUGUAUCAUCGACACCCAUGACAUAUAUACAUGAUGUUGAUGAUGUGAGAGGCCCAGAUGGCUCAUUAAGUGAUAAGUCGGAUUUUGAUUCAGAUUCGGAGAAAAGGAAAGUAACACCCAUUUCUGGUAUCACUGAGUUGGUAGAUUUCGGGACCCCUUAUCAGCCCAGGGAGUUGAAGAUUGGCACCUCCUUAUCUCCUGACGAGAAGAGCAGACUGAUUGACUUGCUUAGGUCAUACCUAGAUGUAUUUGCAUGGUCAUAUGAGGACAUGCCAGGCCUUGAUCCCUCUAUAGUCCAACAUCGCUUUCCCAUCCUGCCACAUGCUAAACCAAUUAAGCAGAAAUUGAGGAGAUUACACCCUCGAUGGAGUUUGUAGGUUAAGGAAGAGAUUUAGAAAUAGCUCAAUGUUGGUUUCCUGUUAGUGGUUGAAUAUCCUGAGUGGCUGGCUAAUGUCAUCCCUGUUCCUAAAAAGGAAGGCAAAGUUAGAGUCUGUGUUGACUUUCGAGAUCUGAACAAGGCCAAUCCUAAGGAUGAUUUUCCCCUCCCACACAUUGAUAUGUUGGUUGAUAGAACUACAGGGCAUUCGAUGUUAUCAUUUAUGGAUGGGUUUUUUUAGGUAUAAUCAGAUUUUGAUGGCUCUAGAGGAUAUGGAGAAGACUUCUUUCAUCACUAAGUGGGGUACUUACUGCUACCGGUCAUGCUAUUUGGGUUGACGAAUGCAAGGCCACCUAUUAGAGAGUUACUACUACUCUGUUCCACGACAUGAUGCAUAGAGAUGUUGAGGUAUAUGUGGACGACAUGAUAGUGAAGUCUCGAGACAGGGCAGAUCAGCCUUAAAGAGAUUCUUUGAGAGGAUCAUAUAGUUCACGUUAAAGUUGAAUCCCAAAAAGUGCAUUUUUGGGAUAACUUUUGGGAAAUUGCUAGGGCAUAUCAUUAGUGAGUGUGGUAUAAAGAUUGAUCCAUAAAAGAUCAGAGCCAUACUUGACAUGCCUACUUUGAGGACUAAGAGAGAGAUCAGAGGCUUUUUUGGUAAAUUACAGUAUAUCAGUCGUUUCAUGGCCAGAUUGACAGACAUAUGCGAGCCUAUCUUCCGUCUUCUGAGGAAGAGCCAGCCUACAGUUUGGGAUGAUGAUGGCCAGCGCACUUUUGAGAAGAUUAAGGAGUGUCUUCUUUCUUCUCCAGUUUUAAUACCGCCUACGCCAGGACGCCCUCUACUUCUGUACUUGUUAGUAUCGGAUAUUGCCAUGGGAUGCAUGUUAGCUCAGCUCGAUGAUUCAGGAAAAGAGCGAGCCAUUUAUUAUCUGAGUAAGAGGAUGCUCAAGUAUAAGUACAGAUACAUUAUGAUUGAGUGCCUCUGUUUGGCACUGGUUUGGGGCACCAGAAGGCUGAGACACUAUGUGAUCGAGUAUUCUUUAUUAUUAGUCUCACGAUUAGAUCCAUUGAGAUAUCUAUUCGACAUGCCCAUUUUGACUAGUAGGCUCAUGAAAUGGUUAGUGCUACUGAUAGAGUUUGAUAUUUAGUAUGUCACACAUAAAUCAGUAAAAGGGGGCAUUGUUGCAGAUCAUUUGGCUUCUUUGCCAGUAUCUGAUGAUAGACCGGUUGACAAUGAUUUCCCUAAUGAGCAGUUUCUCUCAAUGACUAGUAUUGUAGGAUAGCGGUUGUACAUUGAUGGUGCCGCCAAUUAGUCGGGGUUUGGUAUUGGCAUCCUAUUGAUAUCACCUCAAGGUGAUCAUAUUCCCAGAUCAGUCCGGUUGGCAUUCUCUGAUCAUCACUGACCGACGAAUAAUGUUGUUGAGUAUGAGACAUGCAUUACAGGUCUAGAGAUUGCGCUCAAUCUUGGAGUUAGACAGUUGGAAAUCCAUGGGGAUUCCAACUUGGUUAUUCAGCAGACUCAGGGUAUCUGGAGGACUCGGGAUGAGAAGUUGAAACCCUAUCAUGCUUAUUUGGAUUUGUUGGUUUAUAGGUUUGAGGAGUUGAGAUAUAUACAUCUGCCUAGGGUAAAAAAUCAGUUUGCUGAUGUGCUAGCCACCUUAGCUUUUGUGAUUGAGAUCCCUGCGGGAGUGACUGUGCGACCAUUGCUAAUUGAGAUCAAGUUCAUACCAGCUUAUUGUUGUCUAAUUUGAUAUGUUGAGGAUCAUGAUGGACUACCAUGGUACCGUGAUAUUUAUCAAUUUUUGUCAUUUGGCGCUUACCUUGAGUCAGCCACUGUCAAGGAUAGGAGAGCUUUGAGGUAGUUAGCCACUAGAUUUGUGAUUUGUGGAGAGUCAUUGUAUAGACGAUCGCCCGAUGGCCUAUUGUUAUUAUGUCUAGACCAUGCCUUUGCAGAUCGAGUGAUGAGAGAGGUUCAUGUAGGAGUUUGUGGCCCACACAUGGAAGGAGACAUGUUGGCUCGAAAGAUUAUGAGGAUAGGUUAUUUCUGGUUGACCAUGGAGGCAGAUUGUUGUCAGUUCAUUCAGAGAUGCCCAGAGUGCCAAACGCAUGAUGCGACUCAUGGUAGCUUAGCUUUAAAGGUGUAUCAACAAAAUUUAUACCUUAAAUACUAUUACUAAAGUAGCCAAGCUACUACAGCAUAGUGGUUCUAGGAUCGUUCACUGGGAAGGGUUUUCGCAAACACAAGUGAUAUUCAAAUUAGGAAAAUAGGUGAUUUUCUUAUGGAUGUUAGCUUUAAAAGAAGAUGUAAAUGUUUUAGAAAGAUUUAAACUAAUCUAAGCUAACAUUAAAGACUAAAAUGAAAGGGUGUAAAAACAAGUUUCUCAAAGAUAGGAUAGCUAUGCUCUGGCUCUUAUGCAAAUUGGAAAUCUCAGGAUAGGCUCCUCGCGUUGGGGUUGCAACUAUGGUGAUGCUUGCUUCCCGAACCGGUAUGGAUUUAGCAAAUCAAGUUUUAAUCCUUUAAAAUGACAAAACAGAUGGUAGUGAAUUUCAUCAAUGGUUAUUCACCUUAGACUUCCUUUGAAUGGCUCGUAAGAGAUAACUAAUGGUCUAAAGCCAAAAGCUUACCAAAUAUUGGCAACUCAAAGUCAUUCCAGGUGAUAAACUCACCUUUCAAUGGCCAUUGAAAUUGGUUCUAACAGAUUAAUGCAAAACUUGGAAUUGAAAACCUCACCUUCCAAUAGCUCGUAGGAGAUAACUAAUGGAUAGAAAUCCAAAAGCUUAUCAAGUAUUGGCCGUUGGAAGUUGUCCAAAGGAAAUAAAAACCAAACUUUGCAUUAAUGAACCGUUAAUGAAAAACGACUACCUUACCUUCCAGGUGCGAGAAAUUUCCAUGGGAUUGCAUCCAAGCCAUCACAUAACAUCCAUACUUUGAGAAACUAAAAGUUUUAGCCAAUCAUCCUCUGAGGAAAAGCCCUCAGAGGCUGUUUGGCUACUAAGAAAAUAGAAAUGGGGAAGAACAGGAGAAGAGAGAAAAACAGAGCUUUAUAUAUUCCUAAGUUAAUGUACAGAGGAUCGAUUCCCCAAUCAUCCCAUAUCCAAUAUCCAAUAUCCCAUUUUGGAGGUGUUGUGCACCUCUAUAUAUAGCAAAAUUACAAGAUAAAGCUUUAUGUCGGCUGAAUACAAGGUUACAAAAGGAAUUUACACGAGAAAAUAUCAAGUUAAAAAUACUUGGGAAGUCGGUGGUGCGUGCGUGGAGAAACAGAGGAUUCAAAGGAAUUUUGCAAGGUGCCUAAAUCCUCCUUGUGAAAUUUUCGCAAGGUAUUUCUUCAUGGUGCGAAAUGGCCAAAUUUCGCACCAUGAGGAAAAUCUCCUUGCGAAAUUUUCGUAAGGUAAAAUUCACCUUGCGAAAUUGGUCAUUUGGCAUGAUGCAGUUGUCUUCCGAAGGCCAUAUCUUCCUCAUUUUAGCUCCAAAUCAUACACGGUUUGAAGCGUUGGAUUCUUGACUUCCUGAGAUUUGAAAUGGUAUAUAGAAUGUAGAAAAUGGACUUCGGGAAGUGCUUCAAAAGUACGAAAGAAGACUGCAGCUGUUUUCUUCACUCUGUUUUCCUCUUCUCCAUUGCUUGUGCUCGUGUUUCCACUUGAAAUUCAAGCCUGUAAUCAUCCAAAAUCCUUGCUUAACUCGCCCAAAUAGCUCCUCCAUCAAUUGGCAUGCUUGAAUUGGUUCAUAAGCUGAUAAAAACAUGUAAACUUGCCACAAAAUGGUUAAAACCAAUUACUAAGGACCUUAAUGAAUUAAUUGGGUUAAAUGAUUAUGAUUACUACUCAAAGGUGCUUAAAACCAUUAUUAUUAGGUCUACAAAAUAGCACUUUUUGGUAGUAAUCAACGCACGAUGAUCUCAUUCACAUGCCACAUUCGGAGUUGCAUGCAUUCACAUCCCAUUGGUCAUUUUCAGUGUGGGGUAUUGAUAUUAUUGGAAAGAUCUCGCCUAAGUCUUCCAGUAGGCACGAGUACACCUUAAUAGCCAUUGAUUACUUUACCAAGUAGGUGGAAACCGCUUCUUAUGCCAGAUUGACAGCAGCCAAGGUGGCCAAGUUUAUCAGAUCACAUAUCAUCUACUGAUAUGGAGUCCCUCAUGAGCUGAUCUCAAACAAAGGGUUGCAUUUUAGAGGCGAGAUGGAUACAAUAGUUAAGGAGUAUGGCAUUCAACAUCAUAGAUCGUCUGUGUAUAGGUCGUAGACUAAUGAGGUAGUUGAGGCCGCCAAUAAGAAUAUUAAGUGGAUUUUGAGGAAGAUGAUUGAGACUUCUCGGGAUUGGUCAGAGAAGCUCCAUUUUGCGCUAUGGGCUUAUCGCACUUCUUUUCAUACCUCUACCAGAGCUACGCCUUACUCCUUGGUGUAUGGUAUGGAAACAGUGCUAUCUGUUGAGAUUGAGAUAGGAUCUUUGAGAGUAGCAUUAGAGCAGCAGAUAUCCGAGAUCGAGUGGGCUCAAUCUCGUUAUGAUCAAUUUAGACUUCUAGAUGAGAGAAGAUUGAGGGCAACAGAUCAUGUUCAGGCUUAUCAGAGGAAAAUGACCUGUGCAUUCAGGAAGAGGGUUAAGCCUGGAAAUUCCAAAAAUAUGACCUAGUUUUGAAGGUCCUCAGGGGAUUGAUCAGCAACCCUAGAGGCAAGUUCAGACCGAGCUGGAGCAGGCCGUAUGUUAUUCGAGAUUUGACCUGAGAGGAAGUUGUCUGGUUGACAGAUCUGGACGAAAAUCAGUUUUUGGAGCCAAUCAAUGUGGAUCAACUGAAGAAGUUUUACUCGUGAGAUCAUGGUUAAAGGAUGGGUGGCUAUCAUUUUGAGUAGCCAUAUUCCUUGCUACAUACCCACACAUUGAUAGAUCCCAUUACUAGCUUGUUGAGCCUCACACGAUUCAUUAUGACCUAUUCGUUCACUUAGCCUUGCAUACCUUUUCUCACCUAGGUUGGGGGCCUCCUCUUGUGCACUUUGCAUUUAUUGUCUGGAUUGGUGAGUAUUGUGAGUCCAUUGUGUCAUUGUUCGUUUGUUUCAUUUUUGGGUCAUUCAUGAUUUCUUCUUUCCUACAUUGUGCAUCUUCACUUUGUUUGUCUUCGAGUUUUGUUUUUAUCAUUUUGAUUCUUUUCGCUUCUAUCUUCUCUUGUGUGAUGAUGACGCGCUCUCGUGUCGAAGCUGCAGGUUAGGCUUGUCAUACCGUUCCACCCUUAGGUUUUGAACUAGGAGUUUUAGUUUGAGGAGACCAUUUGGGUUUGGAAUUUGAGGUACAUUUGUUACAUCAUGUUGGUAUGGCCGUUGGCUUACUUUGUCGGUUGUUCCGCAAAAAAAAAGAAAAAAAACUUGUGCUUGUUUGAUGUUCAUGUCAUUAAUAUUUGGCUUUUGCAUGGUUUGCCAACAGUAUCACGACUUGAUCUUCAGAGGUCAUUUUGGGUUUGAGAGACUUAUUAUUCUUCUUUAAGUCGAUGAGAGCAUUGUACAAUCCUUUUCUUCAUGGAUUUGGGAGACAUAUUGGGAGUGAGGUUUGGGUUUCCUUUGCACUAGGUUCCUUGGAUCAUUAUCUAUAUCACCACUCCCAUCAUACAGUGACUUGCUUCGAUUUGGCGUUCAUAGGAUGAGUUUUUCGUCAUUAUCACACAUUGCUACACUUUUAUCCCAAUUUGUUUCUUCAUUUUCUUCUACACCCAUUCAUCAUUCAUCUUAUCCCUUUUUGUCUUCUUUUACCCUCGUCGAUCAUCGUCUCGCUUCAUGAACGACAUGUUCUUUAGUGCACAUCACUUGUCGUUGGACAUUGUUCAUUUGGAUGUAGGGUUGAGUCACCUUACUCACAUGGUCCUCCGAUAUUUGACAUUUCACACACAAAGGCUUGGCAUUAUCUAUUGGGUAUUUGGGUCUUUGUUUCUCGUUGUUUCAUUCAUCUUUUACCCCUAGCCUUCAUUACGGUCCAAGUCAUAAGACCACUCUAAGGCCAUGAGAUCUCGUGUUUGCUUCGACGGAUUUCAUUUGGAUAGGCUCCAUCUACUGAUUGAAGUACGGGAUGACGACAGGGCUCCAUUUCUUGAGGGAUAUCAAGGAUCGCAUGCUGCUUUUCUGUUUCGUCUCUUCGCCUUUGGUCUACGAUCAGAGACAGAUGAUGCAAAGAGCCAAGACUAUCCAGGGCCCCCUCCGCUUGCUGGUUUAUUAUAUUCAUACUAGGGAAUACCCCUAUCCUUGCAUAAUGGCAUCAGUUUUUACACUGGGACACAGACAACCUAUUUCACCAAGUGACGCUUGGCAUCAGUGUUUGAGUAGGCCCCCAUAUUUAGCUUGGUUUCCUUAUACAACAGCUUGCUUCUAAGAUAUGGCCCGGGAUCAGAUUCAUGUGUAUUCGUCGACCCAGUGGGUGUGCACACUAGGGCAUACCCCAUACUUUGUCAUGUUCGCUUAUCCACACGAUUGGGUCUUCAGUGAUAUAUUUUAGAGUUGUUUUUUUACUAAGGCACUUGCAUAUUAGAUGUACACACUGGGACAUACGCCCUAUCAGUUUUUUUGUGGAUAUUGGAUGUUGCGAAAUAAAGUCGAUGUUGUUAUAGGAAUGAAUGUUUGUGAUGUUUUCAGCUCUCUGACUUUGACCAUAUGUACGGUUAUGGGAUUCUAACAUGGUAUGAAUAUCUUAGACUGGGGCAUAGCCUUUUCUUUUCACCUCUAGUCACAUUUCUGAGUUGUUCUAUAGGGGCAUACCCCAUUUCUUUCCAUCUUGUUAAUGGUGUUCUUGUUUUCUCGCUUGUCAUUUAUUGGCAUUUUCUAGACGUCACACUCAGGCAUACCCAUUCGUCUUUCGUGAUUGAGAUGUUUGAUUUCUUGCUUAUUCAAAUCAUUUAAUGGCGUUCUCAUGUUCAUACCGGGGCAUACAUCUUCUUUCUUUGUGUUAUUAUGCUUGGCUAGUUUUGUUUUUAGGUUUUUCGGUACUCGCCCCGACCCUUUUGCGGUACUCACCUAGAUUCUAUCCCUUUCCCGAUACUCACCCGGACCCUUCUCCGAUACUCACCAUGAUUCUACCCCUUUCCCGGUACUCACCCGGACCCUUCUCUGGUACUCACCCAGAUUCUACCCCUUUCCCAGUACUCGCCCAGAUAGGAUCCCUUCUCUAGUACUCACCCAGAUUCUACCCCUUUUUGGUACUUGCCCAGAUACGAUCCUUUCUAUCUUGGAUUCUCCGGUACUUGCCCCGAUUCAAUCCCCCAUCUGUUUCAUAUUCUCCGAUACUCACCCGGAUACGAUCUCUUUUCCAGUACUCACCCGGAUAAGAUCAUUUCUAUCUUGAAUUCUUCGGUACUCGCCCGGAUUCAAUCCCCUGUUUGUCUCGUAUUCUCCGGUACUUGCCCGAAUAUAAUCUCUUCUCCGGCAUCGUGCUCGGAUUUCCUUGGAUUCUUCAGUACUCGCCCAUACUUGAUCCGUUUUCCUUUAGUCUACUUCGGCAUCGUGUCCGAAUAUCCUGAUCUUUUCAAGCAUCGCUUCCGGUUUCCUUUAGUCUUCUCUGGCAUCAUGUCCAAAUUCCUUUAGCUUUCUCCGGCAUUGUGCUUGGAUCUCCUAGUCCAUUCAGUCAUAAUGACUCAUUUCCCUUAGCCUUCUUUAGUGUUGUGUGGGGACAAAAUUGUUGGUCAUUUGAAUUCUUCACUAGAGUUCAUUUCACUCAUUCAUUGCUUGCACUUCGCACUCGCGUUUCACUCAUUCAUUCACUCUACUAAAUAGGGGCAUAUUUUUAGACCCUCAAUUUUGUCCUUCGACACUUGCAUUUAUCUUAGGGGUGUCACAUGCACCUAAUUUUUUCCGUAUGGCACCACCAUGGCCUCCCUUUUGGGCUUGAUCGAUUUUCGAGCCUCGUGUAGGUUCAUCUGCAGUCCAAUGUAGUACAAGUGUGUAGUUCAUUUUGGAGUAUCGUCAUGGCCAAUUCCCUAGUUGUUCACAUCAUGCUGAAGAAAGGAAGUGAGGUCUCCCCAAAACUUCAGUUCAGUUGGAGUUCAUAGAAGUAGGUUUAAAUACGGAGCACUUGGGCUUGUUUCGAUCAUAUCUCCCUCAUUCGAACUCAUAAUUGCACACCAUUUUUUUUAUGGACUCCUUGUUCUUCAAGGAAUAUUCUUUAAAAUUUUCAAAUUUUUUCUCAACUGGCUCCACCGGUCCCCAAAGUUUCAGUUCAGCCAGAGUUCAUUGGAGCAUGUUUGAAUUUGGAGCACUUGGGCUUGUUUCGAUCAUAUCUCCCUCAUCUGAACUCAAAAUCAUGCACUAUUUUUUUUUUUCUGGACUCCUUGUUCUUCAAGGAAUAUUUUAUCAAAAUUUCAAUUUUUUUCUUAAUCGGAUCGACUAGUCCCAAAGUUUCAGUUCAACCAGAGUUCAUUGGAGCAUGUUUGAAUUCGGAGCACUUGGGCUUGUUUUGAUCAUAUCUCCCUCAUCCAAACUUGGAAUCACACACAAUUGUUUUCAUAGACUCCUUGUUCUUCAAGGAAUAUUCUGUCAAAAUUUCAAAUUUUUUCUCAACCAGCUCGACCGGUUGGCAACCGGUUCGUUGGGCCAGCUUGUAUAGAGCACUGAUUUUGGUGAUUUUGGAGCCCAAAUCCUACAUGGCUCGAUCCCAUAAGUUCCAUAUCGGUCUUGGGCAACAUUUUGGAUCCAUUUUGGGCCUUGGUUUGGGUUCCUUGCAGCCCACCAUGAAUCCAUAUGGAUUCUUGGUGGUGAAGCAAGGGAGUAAAUGUGGUGAGAGCAACUCACCUCGUGACUGUGAGAAGUGUUUAUCGAGAUGGUUUUCGAGGUUGAUGGGGGCACUUUCCAGAGCUGAAGGAGGGAAAAACAAAGGUGGAAGUGGGAGGAGCAGGGGUUCUGGUAUAAAAAGCCACAAUGGAAAGAGAGAAGGACCUUAUUCCUCUGUAUUUUUUUUCCUGGGGGGAAAAACUCUGUCCAAGUUUGGUGAGGGAAAAGAACAGAGUGUGGAGAAGGUUUUGAUCAUCUGAGAAAGUUUUGGGUGCACGUCAAGUGAGCAAAGAGGGAGGAAAAACAAAAAGUUUGAGGUUUUAGAGUGGGAAGACUCUGUUUGGGGAUUUUUCUGGUUGGAUCCUUGGAGUGAGGUUCUGCUCGUGAGCCUCUGUGUGCUAAGGCAAAUAGAAGGAAAGACAACCUUGAAGCCAAGCAGAUUUCUGCUUAAGGGGAGAACAAUCUGGUAAGCACUAAUUUUGGUAUCUCAUUCAUUUUCUUUUAGAUUUUCUUAUCUGUUUAAGAGACUGGUGAAACUUCUAUGGUUGUUUCAAAUAAGGAGUGUUUGAGGAUUUGGUAUUGUUCCUCUUUGCUUCCUUUUGAUCUAUUUCUCAGUUCAUAGUUCAGUUGAUAUGUUUCUCCCUACAUCGAUUUAGAAUGGCAUGGCUCUGUUUUGAGUUUUCCUUUGAGAAAGAGCAAUUUGCUUUAUUGUCCUCACUUUAGUUGUAAGUAGUAUUCUGUUUGCUUUGCUAAUGGUGUGUCGAGUUGCACCCCUUUUCAACACAUGAAGUUCAUGAAUGGAGCUCCAGGUUUAUAAUCUUCUCUUCCACCUUUGAAUAUCUCAGCUUUCAUGCUCAUCCUGGGAGGAAGGUUAUCAAGCAUGGUCUUUUGGAUUGUUGUUUUUCUCCUUUAAUUUUGUGGCAUAAAAGAGAGAUUCUACACUGCUCAUGAUUCUCCAUGCUUGUUUUUUUAAUAGUCACUUUAUGGAUGCUCUUGAUAUGUAACUGUUGCAUGGUUUCAUUUUUUAUGUUUGUUGUGGAUGUCUCAUUUUGGGUUGGUUCUGAUCAGGAAUUGGGGGGGGGGGGGGGGGUGACCUACUUUGAUGUGUGAGUAGGGUCACUACCUUCAUUAGUUUUGGUUUUGGUUAAAGGUCAUUGUGACCUCUUAAUUGUUAAGGGAAGGAUUCUUAUGGCCUUGUAGCUUUGGAUUGAGAAACUUCUUACAUGCUAGAUUCAGGUGGCUAUGUUGGUAUAGGCGUUUCUGCCACUUGGUUUUUCUUGAAACCUCUCUUGCUUGGUAUUGAAAAAAGGUCUCCAUGACCUUCUCUGUUUUUUUAAUUUGGGCCUACCCAUCAAUAAUCUGGACUUAAACCCCAGGCCUUGUGGCUACAUGUAGAGGUAGAGGUUCCAUGUGGCUUAAAUUUUGGUUUACUUCUUGGUGAUUCCAGUAGCUGCAUUGGGGGGCUUUAGGUGGCUGAAUUUCAGUUGGAUUCAUAGGCUAUAGGAGGCUGAAAUUUCAGUUUGUUCAAUGGGAUUUACGUAGCUGUAGGUGGGAGGCUUUAGGUGAAUGAAAUUUCAAUUUGGUUUCAGGGGAUUUAGGUGGCCGCAUGUCUCCGUGGCCUUAGUUUUAAUAAGGUUGGGUGGCUCAGGUUUGGCCUUCUAUAAGGAACACGUUGCAUUGUUUCAGCCGGUUCUCCCUCAUCCGAGCUCGGAAUUGAGUGCUACUUUUUUUUUGGAUUCCUUAUUCUUUGAGGAAUCUUCUGGUAAAGUUUCAGAAUCUUUCUCAAUCGGUUGAACCAAUUGGGAACCGGUUCAAUGGGUUUUACUAGGCAGCCCUGUUUAUUAAACAUGUUGCAUUGUUUCAGCCAGUUCUCCCUCAUUCGGGCUCGGAAUUGAGUGCGGUUUUUUUUUUGGAUUCCUUAUUCUUUGAGGAAUCUUCUGGUAAAGUUUCAGAAUUUUUCUCAAUCGGUUGAAUCGGUUGGGAACCGGUUCAACAGGUUCAACUAGGCAACCCCGUUUUAUAAACACAUUGCAUUGUUUCGACCGGUUCUCCUUCAUUCUGGCUUGGAAUUGAGUGCUGUUUUUUUUUUGGAUUCCUUAUUCUUUGAGGAAUCUGAUGGUAAAGUUUCAGAAUUUUUCUCAAUUGGUUGGACUAGUUGGGAACCGGUUCAAUAGGUUCUACUAGGCAGCCCUAGUUUUAGCAUGUUUUGACCCUCAUUUUUGUUGUGGCUUGAGCACUUAGGCUCCAAGGCACUUGUGGGCCACCUUUAAGGUUAAAGUUUGGUUUGAUUAGAUUUCAUGUGAGCCCACUUCAUGGAUGGGAAGAUUGUGGGUUAAGCGAGUAUGGUUUGGUUUGAUGGAAUUUAAAGGAAUGUGUGCAAAAGAAAGCAAACCAUUUAUUUCAUUUCGACCUACUGCCCUCUCUUUUGGGUAUGAGAUUUGAUGUUUGAUUGAGAGUGCAUGUUGUAUGCUUGUAUUACUUGCCUCACCUUUUUCUUACAGCGCAUGGCUGGGGACCAUAAGUAUGCACUUCGACUUUGGAUAAUGAAAUUCACAUGAAUGCUUGGUGCAUGAUUGCUAUGUAUAUUUGUUGUGCGUUUGAGCUUAUUGACUGACCUCUUAUGCAGCACUUGGCUGGGGACCUCAGGUAUGCACUAUGAUUUUGACUUGUUGAGUGUAUGUGCAUGCUAAAUACUAGGCGGGUCUAUGUGAUUCAUGUCAUUUGUUUAGCCUAAGCUUUGUUUGAUCUUUGACCCAUAUGCUCCCAUAUACCCCAGUUCAUUAGUAGAGACCGAGUUCAGGGCCUAGAGGGGUGCUACCUCGCAUGAGGUACCUUCCCGAUAGGUAACCUAAUCCCUGGACCCAGAAUCUAGUUUUCGUAGACCGCUUUUUCCUGACUAGAGUCAUGUUGGGGUUUUUGUUCCUACUUAAAUUUCCCCAUUUAAAAAUAAAAAUAAAAAGUAAGUGGCGACUCCAAACAAAACCGUUCCUCAUUGGGAAGAAUUUUUCAAAAUUAAAAAACGAGUUUUCCCUUUCACCUUUAAAAUUACGAGUGGCAUCGGUCGAUAGAUCAGGUGAGGGUCCACAGUAUUUUCUAAGUGGAGAUUAUUUUUCAAAGUUACACCUACUGUACAAGACCAAUUCUAGAUAGAUAAUAUGUUUGUGUGAUUUAAAAAUUGUUUUGCAUGCCUUUUUUUUAUGUAAACUAGACACUUGAUUGAUAUUUUUUUUUUUUUUGUAUGAUUUUAGGAGACCUUUGGUUAUUUUUUAAAAUAUUGGUUAAUACAUGCCAUUCCUCUUUAAUUAGUUCUAGAUCUUUCAAAAUUUUUGUAAUUUUGGAAUUAAUCUAAACCUUGAAUGAUUAUUCAACCACUUGGAUGAUGAACUAGACAUAUAGAGGAUAUUUCUUAGAAUUUUUUGUAAUUAAAUUCACAUUCUAGACCUUUUUUAGGAUUUGUUUUAUGAGGGCUUCUAUUUUAACUUAUUGCUAAUGAUAUUGUAUUGUACUUAACAUGUUAUUUAUUUUGGAGUUAUUUGACAUAACUUGAUUUGACUUUUGACUUGUGUUCUAUAAUAUAGAUAUGAUGAGAUUGUUGUAUGAUUUUUUUCCAUGAUGAGGUAUUGGCUCUAGAUAUUUAUUUAGGAUUUUUCUUAUGAAUGUCUCUAUUCUGAGUUUGCUUAGUGUUUGAAAUAAGUUAUCCAUUUUGACAUCUUUAGUUCACUUGUAAAUUAAUCUAACUUUAGUUAUGUGUUAUGAGCAUGUCAUUCAACACAAGAUUUUAUUUAAGUCUUAGGAGAACUUUUGGCACUUUAUGAGGUUUCAUUUUGUAAUUGAAUGUUUGCUGGAAAUAUGAACCUUAGUGUUGUAAAUUAUUCGAAUUUCCUAACUUUUAAUUUAAGUUGUAUAUUCAUCAUGUAGAAUAUGAGAUUUUGAUCAUGUUAAUUAUUACUGCUUGUAAGCUAACCCUCUUCUAGCUAUAUGCAAGCACAUUAUGAGUUAUGUAUGUUAUUCAGGUACGUUCCUUGCACUUUCUACUUUAUUUUUGUAAAUAUACAAACCUUGUUUGUGAGCUUUCUAAUGUAUGAUAUCGUUUUGAUUACUUUGAUUAUUGCUUGAUUAUUUGAAUGGAUUGAUCGAAUACAUGUUAUAUGCUAUAUUUGUUAAACUAGUUUUUAUGUUUUCAUGAAAACACUUUGGGAUGCAGCUCAGGUAUGCCAAUCUCCUUUUUCUACAUGAGUGUUUCUUUUAGUAUGAUUGUUUUGUUGUACUUAACAUGUUGUUAGAAUCACCUUCAACCUUUCUUGGUACCAAAAGUCAAUCAAUUAAUUGUCACACUUCCCUCAACCUAGCCAAUAGAGACCUUUUUAAGGCUUAAAGGGGUGUUAUUGUUUUAAGGUACCUUCCCAAUAAGUAGUCUGAUCCUUAGACCUAGACUUGGGUUUUUCGAAGACACAUUUUUUCAAAAGUUUAAGGAGUUUUUUUUUUUUUUUUUUAGGAUUUUAGUUUCUUAUUUUAUUUUCUCUAUAGAAAAAUAAAAAUAAAUGAUGACUCUAAUUUUUUCUUUUAUGUAAAAUACAAUUUGUCACUUAAAAAAGGUGAGUCUCGUCAUCGAGUGAGGAUGCACAUGAAAAAUGCCCACUCAAUAUGACAUAAAAAUAAAUUUAAAAAAAAAACACAAUUUUCAUAAAUAAAGAAUUUCAUUAAAGUCAAUUGCACUUGGAAAUCAUAUGUGAUUCAAAGAGUCAUAGAGAAAGAAAAAAGAGGAUCUAUGUUUUCUUAUUCUAACCACUUUAAAAAAAAAAAAAAGAAGGUAAAACUCAAAUGGAAUUUAAACAAGUUAAAUAAGAAAGAAAAUGACUAAUUUACCCUAACUCCUAAAAAGGAAGAUAAUAAAUCUAAUAUAAAAAAUAAAUAACUCUAUCAUUAUUAUAAUUUAUUAUUAUUUAAUUACAAAAAGAGAGGAUUUAUGUUGUUUACCGCAGGAGAUGGUUUGAGUAAAAAGAAAUUCGGGAUUAUAACAAAAGAAUACUAAAAUAUUAUCCAUAGCAAUGCCAAAGAGAAAGAAAAAAAUGUAAAGAAAAAAGUAAAACAAAAAUUAUUUUGGAAUCAUGCUUCGAAGCAUAAUAUACAUACAAAUAUAUAUAUAUAUAUAUAGUAUAUAAGUCUCACCUAGAAAUUAAAAUAAAAUGUGCAGUCUUUAACACACUGAUUUAAUACCAUAUUACUCGAGAGUCUUUUGGUGGCACAAGAGAUGUGUUGUACGUUUAAAUAUACUAGAAAAGAAAAACAUUCAAUUAGUCACCGGAAUCUUCUGCCGGCAUGCUCAGAGGAACAUUGUGAAUAAAAUGAAAAGCAAAACUACUAUCGAUGUGUUUCUGUACUUCUGCCAAUUAUGAGGCUUGCUGAUCAGGCCUUUUCUCUGAGCCAUAUAUUAUGACCAAGGCCUCACUCCUUCCCAUUCUCAGAUUCCUGGAGAACUCUAUUUUUCAAAAGAUUCAGUGCAACACUUCAUGUUCUCGUCUUUCUUGGAUGUCGGUUUCUCGGUCUCUCUGCUUUUCCCUUAUAAAUAUGCCUUCGGCUUUAUUAUGUUGUUUUUGGUGAUGCCUUACUUGUAUGCCAAUAUGACCAAGUACUUUCUUUACAAGAUUCCUGUCAUUUUCUGUUCUUUAAAAGAUUCAAAGUAACACUUCAUUUCCAUCUUAACUGGAUGCUGAUUUCUCAUUCUCUCUGCUUUUCCCUUAUAAAUGGCCACAAAGAGUCACAAUUGUUAGACAUUAAGAUUGGAAUGCCAUAAAAAAUCAGUUCCAGCAGAGCCAACAAUGCUAUUAAUUACAUGUAAGUUCAUAGUCAUCCAAGUAACUAGCUCGUUUUUUUAUGUUUUUAUUAUGUAUGAUAUUCUUUUCCCAGAUAUCAUCUUUUGUUCUUCAUUUCUGGCUCCAAUAUUUUUGAAUGUUUAGUUGUCAGCAGUUUGAUUUUCAUGGAGACCAGGCGGGUAAUGCAGAUUUUCCAAAAAGUGUGCUCAGGCUUUGGAAUGAAUGGGAGGUCGUGCGACAGUUCUACUAAGCCUCUUCCUAUCCGAAGAAAGCACACAGUUAAACCCUGGAUCAGAAUCCUUGUUUGGUUUAAUACUCGUCAGCAGAUUGAGUGGCAGCUGUUUCACUGGGUACCCUCUCCAACAGCCAAGGAGAUUUAGGGGUAUCCUCUCCAACAGCCAAGGGGAUUUAGGCAUAAUUUGAUAAUUGCUUUCUAAAAGAGUUGUAAAAAAUAGUUUUUAAAAACUAUUUUUUAAUAUUUUUUAGAGCAAAAAUUUAUUCAAGAACUUGAAAUGUUUUUAAUUUAUUUUUAAUAUUUUUAAAUAUGUUUUAAAAAUAAAUUUUAUAUUUAAUGUUUUAUUUCUAAUCAUUUUACGUGUUCUUAUAUUUAUUUUUUAAAAGAGCUUUUAGAAAAUAAGUGAAAACAAUUAAUUUUUUUUUAUAUAUAUAAAACACUAUAUUUAUGUUUUUAAUAAUAGAAAAAAAAUUAUUUUCUGAUUAUCAAACGUGUUUUUAUGAAUUUUAUUUUUUUUUUAGAAUAGAAAACUGUUAUUGAAAAUAGUUGCCAAUAAGACCUUACCUUGUAAAUCUCUGGAUCUAAGCUAUAUGCUAAUGGUGUUAUGGACACCAUUCCUUAAUUCAGAGGCUCCUUACUUCCAUCUCCUAGAUAUCUUAAAUUCGUGCAAGAGUGAUUUUUUUUUUUUUUUUUUUUUUGAGAACAAAAAAUUGUUAUCGAAAAUAGUUGCGAAACAAAGCCUUACCUUAUAAAUCUCUAAAUUUAAUCUAUAUGUUUUGGGAACCAUUCCUUGCUUCAGGGGCUCCUUACUUCCAUGUCCUAAUUAUCUCAAAUUCAUGCAAGAAUAUAGGUAACUUAAAGUUCAAAAUCAAAGGGCGACAUUCCUCACCAUCUUAAAAUCUUUUAGAAUAAGUGCAAAGCUAUGUUUGGUAUGUGGAAAUAAAUAUUUUGUUUUCACUUCUAUUUUUUCUUGAAUAGGUAUGAAUUUGGUGAUUUUAAUUCUUGUAUUUUUUAUGGACUUAGAGAGGUAAAGUUAGAAUAAUUAUUUGUUUUCAUUUUAAUGUUUGAUAAUGAAUGGGAAAAAAAUGAUAAUAAUAACCUUACAUUUAGUUUAAAAUUAUUAUUAUUUAUUUCUUAUUUAAAGAAAAACAUCAAUUAAAAGUUUUUAUUUCAUUCCCAUUGUCUUUUAAAUUAUCCAAAUAUAAGAUGAGAUGAAAAAAUGAAUGAGACGUCCAUUCUCACUCUUAAUUUCCUUACAUCAAAUAUGACCUAAAUACUUUUGAGAUGUAAUAGUGUGCAUGAAUUCAACAUAGUUUGACAAUAGCUUAGGUGAGGUAGUAGUUCCUCGCUCAUAUUUGCCUGAUCUUGUGGCAUAUCUUGGUUUUAUUAGUGAACAGAUCCAAAUCUUAGAAAGUGAAGUCAAAAGGUUGAAUGACUCAUAUGUUACCUUCUCUCUUCUUCUCCUUAGGCAUAGGGUUUUCAAUUUUCUCUUCAUAAUCAGUUCCUUAAUUCACUUGGCCCACAAUUUUACACAGAUAAAUAUCUUCAACCUGCCAUAAGUUACAGAUAUAUUUAGAUGGAAAAGCCACAAUAUCAUCACCCUAACAAUAUGUUGGAAAAAAUAUAUAUUUUCAUUUAUUUUAAAAAUAUUUCCGAUGGAAUAAUUGUAGAAUCUAUGCUUCAGAAUGAUCCACAUACAUAUAUAGAGAUAUCUGAUUUUUUAAAAAUUCAAACAUGUACAUCAUGGUGGCUGCAUACACUCUCUCUUGAUUUGGACCUGGGCCGGGUAGAAUAUAUCCAUGGGUGACCCGUUUCACUAACUCAAGUCUAUUAUUCCAUGGAGUAAAAAUUACUAUUAUUAUUGUACUAAUUUUGGGGGACCAUUGUCUAGUUGAUCGAUAAGUAAUUAAGCCAUUGCUUCUUUUGGUUAAUUAGUUUUAACCUUUGUUUGGUUGCAGAAAAAUUUAAGAGAAAAGAGAGAAAAAAUGGAAGGAAAAAAAAAUUGAAAGAAAAUAAAAAAUAAAUUUAAAACUAAUAAAUUAUAUUUAUAUAAUAUUUCAAACUCAUUUAAUUGAUUUUAACUUCCUUUAUUCUUUUUUAGUAUUUUUUAAAGUACAAUUAAAUUAAAUAUGAGAAAAUUAUUAUUAACAUUUUCAGGAAUCGAAUAUAACCCUAAUGUCAUAUCCUCGAAUCCUAUAUGACCCAAAACCCGAUCAUCCCGGAUUCCAAGUGACCCAAAACCUGGUCAUCGUCUCCUCUUUUCUUCAUCCUAUCAUCCUCCCAUACUGCAAUCCAGGACUUCUGCAUUAUACUUGACAGCCCCCAUGCCACAAGCCUUAUAGGCUACUCAUGCAAGAUCAAGCUUGAUCAAACAAAUCUGUGAUAAACAUAGAAUGCUAGCUUUCAUGUUAUCCCACAAGUUGGACAAAUGGUUUAUCUUCUUCAACAUUAAUGCUAUGCCAUGACUUGGUCAUCCUCUUAAUUACCUCUAAUAUGAUCAACUCUCCAAAAAAAAAAAGUCUUCUUUGGAAUGAUGAAGAUUGAUGACUAAGCAUUCACUUGCAUCUUUAUCCAUGAAAAUAAUCACAUGCAAGGGAAGGCCACUUUGAAUUUGAAGUCCCACCAACUUCUGAUCUAUAAGAGGUUUUCCAUACAAAAAGUAAUUCCCUUUCCAUACAAAAAAUGGCGCUCCCCCAAGACUAAAACGCUUCAUGCUAUAAAUACUAAUCAAGGUUUGGUGUAAUGGAAUCAAGUACUUAGCACCACAUCUAUCAUAUACCAAAAUCACCAGACAAAAUGCUUCACAUUCUUGCCUUGUUUUCCUUCCUCCUCGUCUCCUCCUCCCAUGCAGCAGUCCAAGACUUCUGUGUGGCGGACUUGACAGCCCCACAAGGCCCUGCAGGCUACUCCUGCAAGACGCCUGCAGAAGUAACAGCUGAUGAUUUCGUGUAUUCAGGCCUAAGUGUGCCUGGAAACACCUCAACCCUCUUCAAUGCCGCCAUCAACACAGCAUUUGUUGAAAAGUUUCCAGGCUUGAAUGGCCUUGGCGUCUCCAUGGCACGAGCAGACAUAGCCCCUGGCGGUGUGAUUCCAAUGCACACUCACCCCGGCGCUUCAGAGAUAAUUCUUAUAGCCAAGGGCUCUGUCACUGCUGGUUUAAUUUCUUCGGAUAAUACCGUCUACUUGAAGACACUCAAAGAGGGGGAUAUCAUGGUUUUCCCUCAAGGGUUGCUGCAUUUCCAGGUGAAUACUGGUCGGACACAGGCACAUCUUUGGGCUAGCUUCGGUAGCCCGAACCCUGGCCUCCAAAUCCUCAGCAAUGCGCUGUUUAGCAACAACUUGCCUUCUGAAUUGAUAGAGAAGACCACUUUUCUUGAUGAUGAUGAAGUGAAAAGACUCAAGGCUCUUCUUGGUGGAUCUGGGUAAUUCAGCUUGGCGAGAACUUGUUAAUUUCUUGUCACCCUCCCACUAAGUAUGUAAUUCACUUUAAUUAGUCUUUCAAGCUAUUGAUUCUUUGGAUCAAUGGCAUGUGUGGAGUUCUAUAUUUGGUUUUCCAGUGUGAGAUUAAUUACCUUGUAAUAAUGUUCGUAUAUUGCUUUGCAACAUCAAAUGUAGACCAUAAGUCUUGCCUGUUUUUCUUCUUUUAUAUAUGCUAAAGGGGUGUUACCGUGCUGAAAACCCCACGCGUGGAAAGAUAACUUUUGUAAAAUCUAGAUGAAGUUAUUUUUUUUUAGAGAAUCAUCCUCAAAGUAAUUUUUUAUUGUAAUUUUAGAUGUAUAAAAUACCAAUAUCUUAAUGUUUAAAAAUUAAUUUUAAUUAUUAGGUAGUGUUUGGUUUGAAAAGCAUUUUUAGUUUUCAUUUUUUUUUUCUUUUUCGAAAAUACAUUUGAUUAAGAAAAGUAAAAACUGUUUUUUUUUUUAUAAAAAAAAAAACAAAUUUGUAAAAUCUUGUGUGAUUUUAAGCCUUCAUUGAUCUAAACACUUAUGAAAAAGAAAUCUUAGCAAAAUUUUAUAUAAUUUAUAUGUAAUGUUAUAAGAUCAUCAUUUUAAUGAAUAAUAUUGAUUCUUUAUAAUAUAAAUAAUGUGAUAUUAUAUAUUAUUUUCUAUUUUUUUUUUAAAAAUUAAUAAAAUAUUCUACUAUAUUUAUAAUUAAUCAAUUAAAUUAUUUUAAUAUAAAAAUAUAUUCAUUUAUAAUAAUCUAGUCUAAUAAAUAAAAAUUAUUUAUAACGCAUAUAAUAUUUAUUUUCAAACAUAUAAAAUAAUGUUUUUUAUAUUAAUAUUUCUUUCAUAUCAAACAAAAUUUUAUUUCUUACAUAUCCCCACCAAGUCUUGUAUUUAAUUUUAUUAUUUUAUUGGUUUCAACCUUUUUGAAUAAUGUAAAUUAAAUUUUUAAUUAUAUAUAUAUAUAUAUAUAUAUAUAUAUGUAGAUUUAUUAUUAGUUAUUGCAUCUUUGUUCAUCAUCUAAUGUAUUUCUUCCAUCUUUCAUUUAUAACCAAUCAUUUAUUCAUGAUAAUCAUAGUCAUAUAAAAACAACGAAACAAAAGAAAAAAAUGUUAAUUUUUUAUGGAAAAAAGAAGAGAAGGAAAUAAUGUUAAUUAUUUUUUAAUAUAUUAGAUUAGAAAAUUUACAUUAAAUAUAGGAGUUUUCAAAAUAUAUUUGUUAUUAAAAAAAUAGUUUGUUGAAAAUUAUUUCCUUUAAAAAUUUUAAUAAUUAAAAUAAUAUAUAAAAUAAUAUAAUGAUUUAUUGUGUUUUUAAAAUUAGGAAAUAUUAAUGUCAUUUAUAUCAUAAAUCGUCUAAAAUUUUUUAUUAACUUAUGUCAUUCCGUUGUGUUCUUCCUCACCAUCAUUGCCCUUUUUCACUCAUACUUCUUCACAUUUUUACUAUAAUUUUACAUUUCUAAUCUUUUAUUAAUUAUUCCUAAAUUUUUCCAAUUAAUCUUCUAUUUUUUGAAAAAAAAACAUUUAAAAAAUGUGGGUAUUCAAAUUAUAGAACAUAAAGUCCCUUUCAAAUAAUUAUCAAUUAUAUAUAUAUUGAAAAAUGUUAGGAAAUUUUUUUAAAGCAAGAAAUAUAAGAUUUAUUUCCAUAAAAACAUAUCCAUAAUUUAGAGUUUUUUUAUCCAUUUUUGAAAAAUUAAAAAGUUUUAUUUUUAAACUCAAUAAGAGUUUUUAUGUUUGUGACUAAUUUUGUUAAAGAAUUUUAAUAUGGAUGUAGGAAAAGGUUGUUUGAAAGUUUUAUUUGCAUUUAUACAAUAAUUUUUUUCAUAUAUAAUGAAAAUUUUAGAGUAUUUCUUUAAAAAUCAUAAUAUUAACUUUCAACUAAGUAAAAAAUAUAGAACUAUCCAAUCGAAACCUUAUUUUAUAUAAGAAAUUACUUUUUAACUAAUGAAUAUAUAAUAUUAAAAUUAUAAUUAUAUUUUGAACCAUAAUAUUUAUCUAAAAUGAUUUUUUAUAAUGUUUUCAUUAUUUCUUUAAAAUAAUUUCUUUAACUUUGAGUUUAUUUUAAACUAAGAAAAAAUUAUAAAAAUAUUUAAAAGGAAACCAUAUAAUUAUUUAAAAAUCUGUAAUUUAUAGCUUUAAAUAAUAAUAAUAAGUUUUAAAUUAUUAUUAGUAGUAGUAGUACUAGAAGGUAAUGUUCAUUAUGGUGGGAGAAGGAAAAGCCUAUUUGAAAAAGACAUCUUUUAUUAUUAUUAUUAUAUUAUUUGAAGAUAAUGCUUAUUAUGGUUGAAGAACGAAAAGUGUAUUUGAAAAAGAUAUUUAUUAGCAUCAUUAUUAUUAUUAUUAGAAGAAGAUGAAGAAGAAGAAGAAGAAGAAGAUAAUGUUCAUUGUGGUAUGCGAGAAUGAAAAGUCUAUUUGAAAAAGUCAUCUUCAAAUACUGAUUAGAAGGUAAUGCUCAUUGUGGUUGGAGAAUGAAAAGUCAAAUGCUCAUUAAAAGUUAUUAUUAGAACAAGAAGGUGAUUAUCAUUGUGAUUAUUAAAGGCAUCUUCUUUUAUUAUUAUUAUUAUUAUUAUUAUUAAAAGAAGAAGAAGGCAAUGCUCAUUCUGGUGGAAAAUGAAAAGUCUAUUUGAAAAAGAUCUCUUCAAAUGCUUAUUAGAAGGUAAUGCUCAUUAUAGUGGGAAAACGAAAAAGUCUAUUUGAAAAAGACAUCUUUUAUUAUUAUGGGAAAGUUGUGUUUUCAUGUGCCAAUAUGGUAAUAAUAUUGUUUUGGGAACCCAAUUUUACAUAUUUUAAAAUUGAUAAUGUAAUUAGAAAAUAUUUGGAGAAUCAUGCACUUUCAGCUUAUGUGUAUUUCAAUACCAAAAAUACCCUUCAUCUUGCCAGCUAAGCGUUCCACAUCUGAAAAUUCAAAAGAGAAAAACCCUUCGAAAAGCCACAAAACCAAUAUCUCUCUCGUAUUCUGCUUUUCCCCUUCUCUCUCCCAUUCUCAAUCUCAGAAACCCAAAAUGUUGUAAAACCUAACCUCUUUCAUUUCUGUAACAUUCUCGUCUCCCAUUUUCGUAACCUUUUCCCCAAAUUACUUGAUCCAGAAACCCUAAUUUCUGAAACGAAGAUCAGAUCCGGGGAAAAUUGGUAAUCAGAAUCAAUGGUGGGUGCAUCGAGCUCAUGGUCUCGCGCAUUGGUUCAGAUCUCACCCUCCACUUUCUCCGUCAUCGGUAUCGCCAUCGGCAUCGGCGUUUCCGUCUUGGGUGCCGCUUGGUACUUUCUUUUCCCUUCCUCCCCUGCAAAAUCCACCAAAAUAGAACAACUAAUAAAAUUUUUGCAUUCUUGUCAAACCAGCGGAGGUUUAGGUUAAAUCGAUACAUUAUAUUUGAUUUUUUUUUUUUGUUGGAUCGUUGUUUUGAUGGUUGCGUUAUUGCUGCAUUUUUAGGGGAAUUUAUAUAACUGGAAGUAUUUUAAUUGGUGCCAUCAAAGCUCCUCGGAUUACUUCAAAAAAUCUGAUUAGAUGAGUACUUCAACUUUCUUUCUUUCUUUUUUUCUCGCUGGUUUUAUGGAUCAUUGAUGUGGCUGGCUUAUUAAUGAGAGGUAACUGACAACUUUCAUGUGUAAAAAAAAUUGAAUUAUGCCACCACUUGCUAGAUUGUCCGGGCAUAGGUUACAUGGUCGUAGGAUAACCUAAUACGCCUAUUUACCAUCAAUAUCAAUGAGUGUCAAUUCUGAAAUCUUACUGAACAUACAUUUGGACAAAUCAAUAUCAAUAUUGCGGCCAAUAUUUCAAUAUGGUUCAUGUUGAUAUUCUAUAAUAUUAUUGGUAUUCCUCAUUUACUUUGAUGAACUGAAGAUUUUUGUGCUCAUUUCCUAUGCAAUACUUGCUUGUUUUGAGCUUAAUUUGAAGACUCAUUCAAGAUUGCUGCUAAAUUCACAAAGUAUCGGCACGUUGUUGGUGACUUGGAGGCAUGAAGGGGCAAUUUAGGAACAUAAAAAGGAGUCAGUAGAGAGUGCAUAAAAAUGAUAAUAUUUUCCACUUUGACGGUGCAAUUUCCUAUUCCAGCUCAUUGGGGUUUAAAUCCCAUAUUAUUUUCAAAUAGUUGUAUUAAUACAUGCAUAAUGCUUGUAUUGUUAGUCAUUUUCCUACUAUAGUGGCUAUUUUUCAUUGCAUUUUUGAAUAAAGAUACUAGUUUUAGAUUUUUAUUCACAUGAUUUCUCAUUUGCCUAGCCUCAUUGCUUAUAUUGGAUUUUCAGAAGUUCUAUGCAAGUAACUAAACAAUUGUGUCAAGUAGUUGUGGGAGAAAGAGAUGGAGAAAUCCAAAAAAGAGAAUGGAUAUAAAGGAAGUAAUAGGGUAGGUUCUCAUUUUUUGACUUUGCAUCAUUUACUUGAGUGAAAACACAGUAAGCUGGUACUACUCUUCCAUAUCUGGAGAAGAAACUUGCAACUAGAAACAUCUAACACCCCUUUGAUGGCCCUUUGACCCUCUCACGCAAUAGUUGCUCUAUCUAUUUGGCUCUAAUUUGACAUGUGAAAUUUACUAAUUAUCUAUCUUUCUACUUAAAGCAUGUCCCGCAAUUUUUUGUUGAUGCAUUUGUUGAGAAUCAUAGGCGUAUAUAUGAAGUGGUUAUAUUGAUUAUUACUUCAUCUGACAUGAUUUUUCAGUAGUGUAAUGCCUGCAACCUUUAACUACCAUGUUACAAAAUUUUACAUCAUAUCAUAGUGAAUUAUUAAAUUCCAAGCCUCGGGCUUUCUUUGUGACCCUUAGAGUAUCCCAUUAUGUGGUUCUCUUGAGUGCUCAAGAGGUCCACCAAAUGUUUUUUGGGACUGUAGCUUAGGUACUACCUUAAGGGCCCUUAGGUACUACCUUAGUGGCCUUGAGGUACUACCUUAAGGGACCCUAGGUACUACCUUAAGGUAAACUUGAACUCAACUUCUCCCAAGCCUCGGGUCUUCCUUGGUGACCCUUAGAGCAUCCCAUUAUGUGGUUCUCUUCAGUGUUGAAGUGGUCCACCAAGGGUUUUUUGGGACUGUAGCUUAGGUACUACCUUAAGGGCCCUUAGGUACUACCUUAGUGGCCUUGAGGUACUACCUUAAGGGACCCUAGGUACUACCUUAAGGUAAACUUGAACUCAACCUCUCCCAAGCCUCGGGUCUUCCUUGGUGACCCUUAGAGCAUCCCAUUAUGUGGUUCUCUUCAGUGUUGAAGUGGUCCACCAAUGGUUUUUUGGGACUGUAGCUUAGGUACUACCUUAAGGGCCCUUAGGUACUACCUUAAGGGCCCUUAGGUACUACCUCAGUGGCCUUGAGGUAUUACCUUAAGGGACCCUAGGUACUACCUUAAGGUAAACUUGAACUCAACCUCUCCCAAGCCUCGGGUCUUUCUUGGUGACCCUUGGACCAUCCCAGUAUGUGGUUCUCUUCAUUCCUCAAGUGGUCCACCAAUGGUUUCUUGGGACUUUAGCUUAGGUACUACCUUUAGGGCCCUUAGGUACUACCUUAGUGGCCUUGAGGUACUACCUUAAGGGACCUUAGGUACUACCUUAAGGGACCUUAGGUACUACCUUAAGGUAAACUUGAACUCUACCUCUCCCAAGCCUCGGGCCUUCCUUUGUGACCCUUAGACUAUGUCAUUAUGUGGUUCUCUUGUGUGCUCAAGUGGUCCACCUUUGGUUUUUUGGGACUGUACCUUAGGUACUACCUUAAGAGCCUUUAGGUACUACCUUAAUGGCCCUUAGGUACUACCUUAAGGGACCUCAAGUACUACCUUAUCUAAAGUUUGGUUUUUUGUGACUGGCUUGUUGGUUCAAGUGGGUUUUCCCUAUUUUAUGCUGUCUCUCUCGGUUUGGUACUUCUAUCAUGCUACAUUGAACUUCCCAUGUCAAAAUUGAUGAUUUUGUGAAACCUUCUACACAUACCAGAUAUAGGAUUCUUAGUGCCUUAUUUGUGUUCUAAUACAGAUAUCUAUUCAUAUUUGCAUCUACUUGGUGAAUUUAUUCUAUCAUAUGGUAUCAUGUAAGACUUGGCUUUCUUGCUAAAUUAUUUCAUUAAUUAUUUGUUCAGGGAAAAUCAGCUAAUCAUGUGAGUGAAGUAGAGCUUGGAAGGGCUACUUGGACUUUUCUCCAUACUCUUGCAGCUCAGGUCUGUUUAAACUUGUUGCUUUGGAGGUUUGGAUAUGAUUUUGACAUUAUCAAUUGGUUGACUUCUACUUAGGUCUCAACUGUCAAUUGUUAUUUACUUCAAAUCAAUCUAAUUUGGACAAUCUUGAUGCAAAACUAAUCUAAGAAACUUAAAAGCAAAACCACUUUAUUUGAUAAUCUCUGCCAUAAUAGUUUAUCUGAACUUGAAUUUUAAACACUAUUUCUGAAGUAUGUUAAUAGCUUCAUGUACUUUAACUUGUCAAACUUGGUAAUUUGUGAUUGGUAUGGUCUUCAGAAGGAUUUAAGUUGGGUUUAAAUCAAAUGUCUAAAUGCACAAGGAGAAGGCCAAGAUGUGGCUGGAGUUGAUGGGAAAAUGUUCCAUUUCACAUCUCUAACCAAGUAUGACAUCUGCAUUCUGAAAUGGGUGAAACUUAGAUAGAGUAGAUCCAAUUGGUAGGGAAAAAGCAUUAUUGAUCAUUUUAAUGUUAGAUAUAUGGAUAACCAAAGAUAAGGAAACUAACUUUCCAGGACAUUCAUUUAUGCACUUUUUGCACCUUCUCAGAUAGAAAAGUAUCUUACCUGGAUAUAUCUCGUAAUCUUGUUAAAAAAUGGAUAUUUCUUCUGUGAAUCAUUGACAGAGCCAAUCCUGUACAAGCUGGAUCUCAAGCUGAGUUCUCACAGUGGCUAUGUCACGUGCACAAUGUCGUUAACAGAAGGUGAGAGAUUACCCAUACUGGUUCCAUAGAAUUACUAUUUUACUAAUGUUUCAUAUACAUAUUCUCCUAAUCCCCCCUGCUAGUUGGUUUUUCAUCUACUAGUUUGAACAUUCAUCUCCUGAAAAUACGAUGGAUACAAAGAUGAAACCAAAUAGGUAGCCAACCAUCUGUUUUUUUGCUGGGUUUUCAACAUGACCCAUUUUACCAAAUCAAUUCAGGUUUCUGAUUUGAUGAAUGAAACCAAGUUUCUCAUAAACCAGAAUGGGUGUUGCUCGACAUGCAAGUUGGUUUUGUUUGUGCUAAUUUGCAAUUGUUUUGUGUUUCAACAGCCUUAAUAAACCAAUAUUUCCUUGUAAGAGAGUUGAUGCAAGGUGGGGCAAGCUGAAAUGCGAGCUGCGUGCAUGUUAUCUGCAAGGAACUCCAGAUUUUGGUGAAGGAUGACAUUAACAUAAUUACCAUAAACCAUCAACUGAUGUUAUUGUUUGAUUUUCAGUGUUACUAUUGCAAAUAAUAAGAGUCAUAUGAAAUUAAUUAAUAUAGGAAAUCAUUUGAAUGUCUUGUAUAACUCUCUUUGGUAUUGUAUAAAACAAAAUCAGUUUCCCUUAAUUAUUUCAAGGAUAAUUUCAACAAUGGUUGUGAACAACUGGUUUUUUCUUAACAACCAACCAGAACCCAACAUCCUUCCCAAUUUCCAAAAUGAGAAGAACAAAAAAAAAAGGACUCAAUAUGUACUAUGUUGAAACUUAAUUGCCUGAAGUUGAAGCUUUUGCUUGAUUAUCUGUGGUUGGAAAUGGAGGGGCCUGGCCAAAUUUCAGUAUACAUGCAGUUUCAUAAACAAAGUGGAGUUACAAAAUCGCUUGAGCAUCCAAAUAUGCAUCGCAUGAGAAACACUAAAAAGAUAAAUCACUGUUCACAAAGUCAAAAGAGGAAACUAAUGGAGUUGGUGUAGAGCUUCCAUCCGAUGAUGUCAAACAAGGAUUUGAACUUGUUUUUACAUUUAGCUCAUUCCCAGAACUCUGAACACCAACCAAUAACUGGUGCGGGGGCGGGACAACACCAUACACCUUACAUGAGGAAGCCCUGCAACAGUGAAAAAAUGACCAGAAGUCAUUACCUAAAUCAAACUACCAUAUGAUGUGAAUUUAUAUAAAUUCUAAUAUACGAACUUAUUCAUAUAGACCGCAUAUGAAGAAAUAUGCAUAAAUUGAUGUGAUAUUGAAAACUGAAAAAGUAGUUAAAAACAAAAUUUCCCACGACCAUCACAUGGAACUUUAUAGGCUGGUUGAAAUUCAUAUUAAUAAACAUCAGAAUAAUACUAAAAUCUAUACUCAUUAAAUGAAGUGGCACAAUAUUUUGUGAGGGAUAACAGCUGGUAAUGAUACAGACCUUUUAUUACAACAAAAUUAUAGUAUUUAACACAGUCUAAAUAGAAGCUAUCUAUGAAGAAAAUAAUAUUCACAUUCCCCUCAGACUAUAUUUAAGAGGGUUAAUCAAAUUACCUCCAAACCCAUGGUGUGCCAGGAACACCAUUCUUUGGCUUUUUUUUCUUUUUGAUAAACAAAGAGAAGAAAAAUGAUUAAAACACGCCUAAAAGGGGGCGCUCCCCAUGUACACAGGCAGUAUAUAAAGAAAGCCAAACCCAAGGCCACAAAAACAACAAGAGACUAAAAAGGAAAACAGCUAAACUUCAACCCCAUCACCCAAAAAAAUCAGAAAGGAGAGAUAAUCAUAAUUUAGUAUACUCAACUUAUAAAAUUUAGUAUCCAUCAAUUCACUAUAAUGAAUUAAUUUCAAAAUUUCCUCCCUCCUCACCUCUGAUCCAAGUUUCAGAUAUGAAAAAGAUUUAAAAAUACUGUUUCAAUUCACUUAAUUAUAAAUCCAAAAUACCCGGUUCCACAUUCAAAUAAAUUGGUACUAGAAUGAGCCCUGCCCCACUACUAUGUGUGCCUGUUUUCUCCUCCCUCUUUCAUAAUUUUGACUUGAGCUACUUCAAGGGAAAAACAAAAUAACACCUACUUCAAGGGAAAAACAAAAUAACACCACAAUGUUUUUUUCCUUAACAAAGAAAAAUAAAAAUAUGUUAUGCCAAUAUAAGAACAUAAUUCUUAACCAUUUGAUGUUUGGGGCAUGUAAGCCAUUUCCAUGUGAGCCUUAGAAGUUCAGAAUAGUGAGAGAUUCUCUCUCUCUCUCUCUGUAUCUUCUUCUAUUUUUUAUGCAGUAAGGACUUGUCACUUUAAACACAUUGAUUCCAAAAAUAAACAAAACAAAUAGAAUGUAAAAAAGAGUACUGUCCAUUUCUUUCAAUAUACUUGUAACAGAGAAUUAAGGACUCACAAAUGAGGGUUGGCAUCAAUCUUGCUGAAAAAAUCUCCACCAAUGGGAUGCAAAGAGCUUAUUAAUCUGUUCAGGACAACAUCUAUAUCCAUAUUGAAAUAUUGUGUAUAUGAUGAGAUGCUAAAAACUCCCUUCCAGUUGCUCAUUGAUUGUUGUGGUCCAUCUCCUUCUGCAUGAACCGACAUAUAGAAAGAUCAUUUGAACCAACGACCUUUAUCCCAAAAAGAAAAGAAAAAAGGAAGUGAUUAGAACGGAAUGCAUUAGGUGCGAAGUCAUACUCGUUUCUGAAGAAAUAUAUGCAAGGAAAGCCGGAAACAUACCCACAGACAAGGUUGGCAAAACCCAUAAUAAUUCCAGAGGCAAAGAUUGCAUAUCCGACUCUAAGGGACUCUGGUGCAUAAAUAUUGGAUGCAGGCACACUCUCUAGCUUUGUUUGAAGAAUGAUUGCCACAAUAACUCCAUAUAUAGCAACAACCUCACAGAAUAUGACACUAAGAACUGAACACCCCAAAAGAGAAAAUGACCAAAAAAAUAAGUCAAAACCAUCAUUUCUUAAGGGGUCUGCAUUUUGUAGUAUCGUUGUGCAUAAAGUGCAGCAAAAGAAGUCUAAUUUUUGUUCACAAAAAACAUUCUACAAUUCUCCAAAGUGGAGGAUUACUUUCCUUUUCAUUUUGUUUUUUCUUAUGCUUUGAAGAAAACUUGGAUAAGCGCAAUGUGUUCAUCUCCUAUUAUGCAACUACUUCGCUAGCAUAUUAACAUGAUACAUGACUCAUCCAACACAUAAAAAUCCUCUUUUUGGUGUUUUCAUUUUCCACCAGGCUUUUCCAUGCACACACAAAGGCAAAAGUACCAAGACAUUAACUCACCCAAGCCACAAAUGGACAUCUACAUUGCAUAGAUGCAACUCUGCAAUUAAAAUAACUAUUGUAGGCGACUAGAAAAAAAAAUUCCUCCUAUUGGCUUUUAUUUUUCCUUUUAUAUUGUUCUCUCAACAAUACCAGAAGUGGUCAACUACUUUCAGCCACAAUCAUAACUUUACUUGGGAAGUGACAUAUAUCAAACAUGUGGGAACAAGGUUGGCAUAAGGGAAAACAAAUAACCGCACUACUCACUGCAUGCAAGCUCUAGUUUGGUGGCAAUUCAUAUCUGACCAUCAUUAGCAAGUGAAGGGGGGGCUUUUUUAUAAAUGACUUUUUUAUAAAAUUGAAAUCAAUGUUGUAUACAUAACUUUGCAAAAUGUGAGUCCAAGGAAGCCAAGAGUCCAACAAGGCAAAAGACAAAAAGUGCAAUAUAUCUGAGUACUAAGAGGAUAACUACAACAAUAUAACUGCAUCUGAUCCUCACUAUCUUUAGAUUUGAUUCCACUAUUUUUUAACUAUGCUCUAAUAGUUAUAUCCCCAUUAUUCCAUAUCCCAUUGUAAUUUACAGUUGGUUAUUCCAUCAAAAGGCCAUCUCCUACCACUAUUGCAAAGCAACAAGGUUUUUUACACCCUCUUCUUCUAAACAAUACUGUGAACAAAUUAUUCUUAAUAAUUUUCUCUUCCUCUGUUUCUUCUUCAUGAUAUUUUUGGUAUUCAGCCACUUUAAGCUUGCUUUGGUAUUCAGCCACUUUAAUAUUAUUAUUAUUUAUUUUUCUAACUUCUUUUGUCCACAUCUCAAUUUUUAUCAGAAACUGAUUAUAAUAACUUGUGAUCAUAUUCCCUUCAGAUCACGACUAGGGGCUAUACAACCAAAGAAAUUAAGAAAUUCUUAUUAUUCCAAUUACAGGCAUUGUAUUGUUUAACAUCAACUUCACAUGAAGUACAAAGGGAAUUAGAGUUUGAAAUACAGUUCUAGACCUAUUUCAAUAGCUGUUAUAACUGCUAUGACCAGAAGCUUUAUGCAUAUUAUUCAUUACUCUAUUUCUUCCUUUCAGAGACCUUAUACCUUCUAAGAGGGUGCAUACCAUAGGAUAAUACAUCAAGUACUUGAACAGUCAACAAGUACCCAUCUUGGAUGACAAAGAAAAACAAGAAUUUCAAAGAUGCAUAAAAACUUAUAAUAAGAACCUCCCUUCACUCCACUAGGCACAUAUCUACAAUGCAAGAGACAAAAAAUAAAUAAAUAAAUAAAUAAAUGGCCGCUAAAAAACACUAGGGUUUCAAUAUUAAUGAAUUCCAACACAUUGAAGCAGCUGGAAUAAUCCAAAGGAACAAACAGGUUGUAAUCCAAAUGAAAAAAUAAAAAUAAAGUCUAUUACAAUUCUAUAAUGCCGAUACUUUGUGAAUUUAGCAGCAAUCUUGAAUGAGUCUUCAAAUUAAGCUCAAAACAAGCAAGUAUUGCAUAGGAAAUGAGCACAAAAAUCUUCAGUUCAUCAAAGUAAAUGAGGAAUACCAAUAAUAUUAUAGAAUAUCAACAUGAACCAUACUGAAAUAUUGGCCGCAAUAUUGAUAUUGAUUUGUCCAAAUGUAUGUUCAGUAAGAUUUCAGAAUUGACACUCAUUGAUAUUGAUGGUAAAUAGGCGUAUCAGCUUAUCCUACGACCAUGUAACCUAUGCCCGGACAAUCUAGCAAGUGGUGGCAUAAUUCAAUUUUUUUUACACAUGGAAGUUGUCAGUUACCUCUCAUUAAUAAGCCAGUCAAUGUAAUACCACAUCAAUGAUCCAUAAAACCAGCGAGAAAAAAAGAAAGAAAGAAAGUUGAAGUACUCAUCUAAUCAGAUUUUUUGAAGUAAUCCGAGGAGUUUUGAUGGCACCAAUUAAAAUACUUCCAGUUAUAUAAAUUCCCCUAAAAAUGCAGCAAUAACGCAACCAUCAAAACAACGAUCCAACAAAAAAAAAAAAAAAUCAAAUAUAAUGUAUCGAUUUAACCUAAACCUCCGCUGGUUUGACAAGAAUGCAAAAAUUUUAUUAGUUGUUUUAUUUUGGUGGAUUUUGCAGGGGAAGAAGGGAAAAGAAAGUACCAAGUGGCACCUAAGACGGAAACGCCGAUGCCGAUGGCGAUACCGAUGACGGAGAAAGUGGAGGGUGAGAUCUGAACCAAUGCGCGAGACCAUGAGCUCGAUGCACCCACCAUUGAUUCUGAUUACCAAUUUUCCCCGGAUCUGAUCUUCGUUUCAGAAAUUAGGGUUUCUGGAUCAAGUAAUUUGGGGAAAAGGUUACAAAAAUGGGAGACGAGAAUGUUACAGAAAUGAAAGAGGUUAGGUUUUACAACAUUUUGGGUUUCUGAGAUUGAGAAUGGGAGAGAGAAGGGGAAAAGCAGAAUACGAGAGAGAUAUUGGUUUUGUGGCUUUUCGAAGGGUUUUUCUCUUUUGAAUUUUCAGAUGUGGAACGCUUAGCUGGCAAGAUGAAGGGUAUUUUUGGUAUUGAAAUACACGUAAGCUGAAAGUGCAUGAUUCUCCAAAUAUUUUCUAAUUACAUUAUCAAUUUUAAAAUAUGUAAAAUUGGGUUCUCAAAACAAUAUUAUUACCAUAUUGGCACAUGAAAACACAACUUUCCCUAUUAUUAUUAUUAUUAGUAGUAGUAGAGUAGUAGAAGAAGAAAAGGUAUUUGCUCAUUGUGGUGGGAGAAUGAAAAGUCUAUUUGAAAAAAACAUAUUCUAAAAAGGCAUCUUCCCAUUAUAUGAAGUCAUUAUACAAGGAAAUAACAUUUGAAAAGAUAUUUUUCAUAUAAAAAAGGUAUUAUAUAAGAAAAUUAAAUUAAUUAUUUUUUUAUAGCGUGUUUUUCAGUAAAUUAAAAUGUUUUACAAUAUUAUUUUUAAUCUAAUGAAUAUUUAUAAUAUUAAAAUUAUGCUUUUAAAAAUUUAGUUUUAUUCUCAACCUUAAUAUUUAACUAAAAUGAAUUUUUAUAAUAUUAUCAUUAUUCCUUUAAAACAAUUACUUUAGCUUUGAUUUUUAUUUUAAACUAAUAAAAAAGUAGGAAAAUAUUUAAAAUGAAACCAUAUAAUUAUUUUAAAAUAGUUAAUUUAUAGUUUUGAAUAUUAUUAUUAUUAAGUCUAAUUAGAAAAAGGAAAUGAUCAUUAUGGCAGGAGAACGAAAAGUCAAUCUAGAAUAAUGGUCAUUAUUGAAAGAGUUACUAUCUAAAAAAGGCAUAUUCUCAAUAUAAUGGGGAGUUGCGAUAUGAAAAUAGUAAUUAUUGGGGAGUUGUUAUAUGAAAAAAACAUCUUCCUAUUAUACAAAGAGUUGCAAAAUAUAUCUUCUAUCUUUCAUCAUGUAUUUGUAGACUCUUCAAUUUGUCCCAAAUUUAUUUUUACAUUGAUUUAAAACCCAAUUUUAUCCUUAAAUUUAAAUCUUGAUUACAUUUGAAUUUUUUUGCCCACUCACUCUUUAAUUUUGAGUUUUUAUUAUUAAUUAUUUUGUUUUAUUUUUAUUUUGUAUAUUAUUUUAUUUUUCACUAUUAAUAAAUUAUUUGUCAUUAUUAUUAUUAUUAUUAUUAUUAUUUUCUAUUUUUCUUUUUCCUCUUUCCUCUCUCUUCCCACUUACCUUCAACUACUCUACACCUACCCCCAUUCCCCACGUUAGGAAACCUAUCCCCCCCUUUCCUCUCUUUCAUCUUCUCUCUCUUCUCCUUUUCAUUUUCUUUUCAUUUUUCUUCCCUUUUUUUUGGGGUCGACCUUUUUUUUUUCUUCUUCCUCUCACGCCCCUUUCAUUUCCCCGUUUCCUUCUUUCCAUUUCUUCUUCUUUCUUUUCCCUUUUCUUUUUUUUUUUUCUAUUUUUUUUUAUUUCACGUGAAACCCAUGGCCAGUCAAUCAUCGCUAGCGAGCACGGAUGACCACCCUCUCCACCUAUUUCUCAACUCACUCAUUUUUUCCGUUUUAUUAUUAUUAUUAUUAUUAUUAUCAUCAUCAUCAUCAUUAUUAUCAUCGUUAUUAUCAUUAUCAUCAUUAUUAUCAUUAUUAUUAUUAUUAGUAUUAUUAUUAUUAUUGCUUUGAUUUUAAUACUAAUGAUUGUUUGUGAGAUUUGGAUUGUUGAAUUAAUAUGAAAUUUGGGCUAAUUUAUUGUUGGUGAAUUAAUUUGAAAUUUGUUAAUUUGGAUUAGAUUAGUUGAUAAUUUAUAUGGUUGUACUCAUUUAAAUUAUUUAAUUUCGACUUGAUAUACAAUUGUAGUAUAUUUUGAAUGUUAUUUUGGGUUUGCAUAUUAAAUUGGGUUGAUUUUGGUUGUAAAUUUGACUUUGUAUAUUAAAUUGAACUUGAAUUUGGGGAUAUUGAAUUUAGGUCUAGUGGAAUUUAUUUUAAUUUGUCAUAUUUUGGGCUCAUUAGAUUGUGCUUGCAUUUUGGUUAUUAUUUCUAAAAUUUUGGACUAAGGAUUAUGGCAUAUGAGAUAUUUCUGUUGGUUUAAAUUUGCUAAUUUAGGCCCAUUUUUAAUUAAUAAAAUUUAUUGGACUAAUUUAAAGUUUGAAUAUUUAUUUUUAACUUUGUACAUUUCUAGAUAUUUACUUUUGGGCUAUUUUUGUUUUGCAUGGGUCCAUUCCACUGAGUAAGGAUCAAUGACACAUGGAAAAUUGAAUUUCAUGGAGGAAAUGGAGGCACAUGAAGACAUUGAGCUUAUUGUAGGCUUGUUGGGGUACACAUUUCGUUUUCCUCUUUUAUUUGGUUUUAUUACUAUUGGUUCUUGUAAAUAUUUGUUUGUAUAUAUUUAUUAAGUGUGUAUAGAAUUGAAUAUCGAACAAACCAAAAUUUUUGUUUAAAUAAGAAAAAAUUAGUAAAUAUGUUUUAAUAAAAUAAUAGUUCUAAAAUAUUCUCCUUAAUAAAAGAAAGUUUUUUUAUGAAUAAAAAUUCAAAAAAAUGUUUUUAGGAAAAUAAAAAAAAGAAAUUUUUUUAACAAAAUUCAAAAAAAUUGUUUUUAAUAAUAAUUGUCCGAAAAUUUCUUUAUUUAAUAAAAAUUGUUCAAAAAUUUGUUUUGCAAAUAAAGUUGUCCCAAAAACUAAUUUUUAAUAAAAUUUUCCAAAAUUUUUUUUCCUUAAUUGAAAUGAGAUUAAAAGUAUUUUUUAGAAAUAGAGGAUUUAAAUCAUUUUUCUUAAUGAGAAUAGGAUGAGAGUUAUUUUGCAAAUUAAAGUUGUAAAAAUCAUUUUCUUAAUAAAAUUGGAUUGAAUUUUAACAUUUUUGUAAAUAAAGCUAUAAAAGACUUUUUUUUUAAUAAAAAAUUCUUUUUCAAAUAAAGUUAUAUUUUUAAAAAUAAUUUGUAUAAAUCACUUUUCUUAAAUAAAAAUAAAUCAAAAUACUUUUGUAAAUAAAGUUGUAAAAAUUCAUUCAUUUCUAGUAAAAGCAAGUAAAAAUAAUUUUGUUGCCAAAUUGAAAUUUUGUAAUAAAUUCUUUUGAUACAAUAAGUGUAAAGAACUUUUUUGAAAAAUGACUACAAUGAAAUUGAAUCAAAUCGCUUGAAGAAAAUAAAUUGACUUUUUUUUUCUUUUGUAAAUAAAUAAAUUGAAAUUAUUAAUUCAAAGUUGUUUUUAAUAAAAUCCUUUGAAGUUUCUUGAAAACUAAUUUUUGAAAUAUCUUUUCUUUAAAAUUAGUUUAAUAAAUCAAUUUGUAUAAUUUUCAUGUCAUUUAUCAUAUGCAUUCUCGUAAUUUGAUUUCAUCAUUAUUUUUGUGUAUAUUUAUGUUCACCAUGACUUGUACAUAUUUAUUUGUAUUAUUCUUGUAGUAAAGACCAUAUGCAUAUGGGCUUAGAGGAGUACUACGACUCACUACCGUACCUUCCUAAUAAGUAACUUGAUCCCCAAAUUUGGACUCGAUUUUUGCAAACAUGUCUUUUCCAAAUAAGGAGUCACAAAGGGUUUUCGUUCUUAUUUUGUUUUCCAUUAAAAAAAACUAAAAUAAGUGGCGACCCCAAAUCUUUUUCUAAAAAUCAAAUUUUCACCAAAUAAAAAGUGAAUCUUGUCGUUCAAGUGGGGACUCACAUGAAAAAUGCGGGUCCACAAAAUGACGACUCCACUAGGGAUUAAACAGGGUCAAACUUGAAUUCAAGUUGAUUAAACUGUGGCGUUUGAUUAAUUGAUCGAUUAAUACCUUCUCAUAGUGCCUUUGUUAUAUAUUUGUAUCUUUUAGGGCAUGUGAGCAUUGACAUAAUGAUUUUUUUUUUAUAUAUUGCACGUGCCUUACUAUAUGUUGAUUCUUGUUAUCAUGUGUGUUUGUACAUAUCUAUUUUGGCAUGAUUUUGGAUAACAUGAUUACUCUUUUUCUAUAUGAUGAUUGUCUAUGUUUGAUUGCUAUGUUCAAUUUUGAUAUAGACUUAUUGAUUAUAUCGAUUGAUUCUCUUGCCAUGAUUAUCCUGCUCGCUUGGACAUGUAUAUUCACAUUAUUGUAUAUCUUAUUUGUCUUGAUCUCUCUUAUACAUUAUUUUGAUCAGCUUUGAGUAUGUUAUUAUUUAUUCUUGGUGUAUAUUCAUCUCGCUUAUCUUGUUUCAUGUUUAGCAUGUGUGUAGAUAUGAGUGAUAUACAUGUUCUUUGCAUGACUGCUAUUUUUCUAUGUGAUGCAUGUGUUGCUUGUCUAUGUGGGUCACACAUCUAUUCCCCUACCUCCAAUUUCUUAGUUUUAGUCAACCUUGUUUCCCUUGAUCUUGUAUUUGAUAUGAAACUUGUUGCUUCGUUUGUUCUCCGACCGAGCUAGUGAUUUGGAGUAGGGUUUAGUGCUGGGCUAUAUCUAUGUUUGGGAGCAUUUUGGAGGUGGUCGACACAUUUAUGUUGAUUGGAGUCCGAUCUUUGCAAACAUGUAUAGCCUAAAGCAAGAUUUCAAGAUAUUUGUGUGACUAGUAUGUUUUCUCUUUGCUUUAGCUUCAUAGUUCUUCGGAUGCACCCACACCAUUCACUGUGCACCUUAGAUUACAAUUGAGUAUUGAGAGAUGUGAGAGCCUUCACCAUUAGGAAACCCCUUACAAUGCGAAGUAGUGCAUGUGUAGAGGUGAUGACCACCUUGCAUGGAAGCACCCCGUCUUUUCAGAGGUGUGCAGGAGGUUGUGCACUGUCAGAGAGUACAAUCGUUUCUACUAGGGAUCCUUUAAAGUCCACUCCAUUUUCUUUUUAGAGUCAUCUUGACCUUGUAGGUUGAGCCUUAGAUCUUUCAAUUAGAAUUCCUUUCGUACACAUGGGUUCAUCUAAGACCCUUCGGGGUUGUUUUAGUAAUAGCUUAGGUCUAAUACUCUCUCUUUUGGUAUCUAGUUGAGAGUGCUCAUAUAUUAGUGUGAGUUUGAUAUCAGUUGGACCACCCUUUGUCAUAUAGUGUUGACUCAUUCUAGUCUUUUGUUCUGUCUAACAUGCUCUUUUCUUGGGGUUUUAGAUAGUUUUCCUUUCUUGAGUUAGCAUUAUUCAGUUGUUUUUCACUAUGCUUGACAUUUUAGGAUAUGCUCAUUGAUCAUGCUCUCCCCUUUACAUUCUUCACCUAUCAUGGGCUUGAUACUUCAUUCUUUGGUCAAUUUGUCUGAUUCUAUUUUCAACUCGAUAUUUUCAAUACAAAAAGGUGAAAGACAUGUGAGAAAAUAAAGGUUAUGCUUAAUUAAGAAAAACACCCAAAAUGGGGGAGGGGGGGUGUGAAUUGGGUUUCUUUUUCAAUCACAAAAAAUUCAAGCACAAUAUAAGAAAAAUAAAGAAAUGGAGUUAGAGAAUUCAAACUCGGGUUUUAUAGUGGUUCGGCACUUCCUUGCAUACGUCUACUCUCCUCAAUCUUCUAACCGAGUGAGGGUUCCACUAACUUGAAGCUUUAACCAAGCUUCCAAUCUUCUUACACUUGGAUUCCGAUUCCAAUGGGCUCUUACACAAUCUCUUCAAGAUUCAAAUCUCUUGAAGGCUUUAACACUCAAAUUUUACAAGAAGGAAUCCCUCAACCUAGCUUAAGGAUAGCUCAAAUACAAGACAAAGCUAGGAUCACACACAAUAGUGUACUAAAGGAUAUGCAAGUGAUGAUUUAAUGCACUAAGAAAAAAAUGAGAGCUUUGUGGUCAAGAACAGGUAGGUAGACAAUUGAUUGCAAGUGUUCUCUUGUCAAGAAAUGAAGUGGAGCUCUCAAUUUAUAGGUUUCUAAGCUCGGGAUUCAAAAAUAGCAAAAGCUAACCUCGAUCGGUCGAGCUAGGGGUCGAACGGUUCACUAACCAUUGGAGCACUUAAUGCAUGACACGUUACCGUUGCCUCGACCGGACCUCGACUGGGAAGAGAAUCACCUCAACUGGGAAAAGAAGGCCACUAGGAGAGAGAGAAAGUUUUUGGUACAUCCUAGACCGGUCCUCGACCAGACGAGGGCAACCGGUCGACCGGCUCCUCAACCGGUUGAGCCGGUUGGCCCCGAAAACCUAUCUUUUUCAAUUCCUUUCUUUUCUAACACUUAGGCAAGGUCUUUGAGUGAAUUAUUAUGCCAAUUAUAAAACAUUUUGCCUAAGGUACAUUGGUUAAAAACUCGGGUUUUAAUGAAAUCGAAGUUUUAAAGAAUAAAUCAAGUUUUCUAAGUUGCAUGAAACGUGUGAAAAUCCUAAGUGCACUCAUGCAUUCAUCUUACAUUAGUUUCCUAUGAUCACAGGUCUUCCAAGCGUCUCGAUCUUGUAUCCAUUUGGUGCUUUGAUGAAUUUUCGAGUUUAUGCCUGAGAUUCUUAACCAUUAAACCAAUUAGUCACUUAACCAUGGUUUGUUAUCAUCAAAACCCGAUUAGGAGAACCCUUGAGCUAACAAUCUCCCCUUUUUUUUAUGAUGACAAACCUUGGUUAUCUAGGAGAGAAAAAAAAUCCCCCUCUCAAACCAAUCAUGGAUCAAUCAAACAAUUUUCAAUAAGAAACAAUGUAAAUCACGAAAAUUUAAAUAGGAAACAAUGGAUCAUGAAAAUAUCAUAUCAUAUAUAUGGUAACCUCACAUGUACAUAACAUAUAUGCUAAUCAAGCUAGAUAUGACAAUGAUAUGCAUGAGGGUCUCCUAGAUCUUAUAUAUUUCUCCCUCUUUGGCAACAUAAAAAAGAAACUGAAGGGGAACUUUAGAUAAACUCAAGGCUGAGGGAAUGGAGAAGGAAACACAAAGCGGAGGUAAGCCAUCAUCUCCUCAUGCUGACUCGCCUGGGACUCUCAAUGCCAUCAAUACUCUAUUAGAGAUGCUCGAAUGUAACCUACUGCUGAUCCAUACACUCCUCUAUGUGCUCAAAUCUCUGCUGGAAGUGCUCAAAUCAAGAAGUGAAGCCAGUCUGAUAUUAAUCUAUGCGCUCCUCCAUAUAGUAGAAACGAGUGUCAUAGACUAAAGCAAGCUCCUCCGUACGAGUCCCAAGGGAGCUAAUCUGAGCUGAUACAUCCAUCCAAUGCGCAUGAUCAGGAGCAUGAGGUGCCUGAGAUGGUAUCUCUAUGUGAGGAAGCUCGAUAAAUGAUGGUUGAGAUGCUGGUUCUGUUGUGUAAGACGGCUCAUUCAUCAUAGGCUUUGAGAAAGUGGCCUCAACAUGAAUACUCUCUGACUGAGGUGGAGGCGAAAUGUCAAGCUCGGGCCCUCUCUACUCAAAAUCCCUCUAAGGGUCUAACCCAUCCUCCAUCUCUCUGAUCUCAGCCUCCUCCUCUGCUUCGGGAUGCAUCUGUCCCUGUCCCUGGACCUGUCGCUCAGCUCUCCUAAUUCAGGAGCCAUCGGGUGCCUUCUCGAACUUCAUUCGCCCCAAGGACUGCUCAUCGUAAGUGUCAUAGCUAGUAGGGGCCUCGAAGUCCGUCUCUCUACUCAAGUUCACCCCAACAUCCUUGAAUACUCGGGUAAGGAAGCGGUCGUAGGGGAGUACUCGGGUCGUGCUCUCAAUGCAGGAUAUCAUAUGCAUCAUCAUCAGAUACCCCACGUGAAUCCGUUCCCCUGUCAUAAUCGAGUCCACAAUGAAUGCCUCAAGGUAGGAGACCUCAUCUCGAUGUCUGCCUCGUGGCAAUAAGAUGGAGUAGAUCAUGUGAUGAAGGACUCGGCUGGACACGGUUAAGCUAUGUGCUGAUGGUUUGCCCAUCCCCUGGCCAUCUGCAAGUCCACACAACCUUUGAAUAGCCUCUCUAGGCUUGAAUCCCGGCACAGUGGGCCACGCCUUGGCCUCAUAUACCCGGAGUCCAAUUGAAGGAAUGUCGAGAAUGUGGCAAAUACUCUCCGAGUUUAAUAUGAUCUCACCUCCUCUAACCGUGAACAUGACCGGUCCUCCAAGACCAUAGGUCACCCGUGAAUAAAAUGCCCACACCAGAGUCGGGAAGAUCGGCUCGAAAAUCGUCAAGAUUGGCAGCCAUCCCAUCCGACUGAAGAGUCCCUCAAACCCAAAGUGCUGAAGUUGGGAGAAAUUGAUACUUUUCCUUGGAACGACUUUCCUCUGGGCUAAUUUUUGUUUGUACCAUUGAUAAUCUUCGACAGAACUGAAGAGGGUCGUGUCAUACCUCACCUUUCGGCAAGCCUCCAUCUACUUAGGCUGAGAUGGCUCAGCAGGGCGCUUGCCCUGAGCCUUGGAGGUGCCUGUCUCUCACCUAGGCGCCAUCCAAAGAACGAAAAAGGGAGAAAAAGCACAGAGAUGAGGUUGAAACCAAACGAGAGAGGAUGAAGUCCAACCUGAAGCCCUAAAUGCACGGAGAUGAGGCUAAAUCCAAGCUUGAGGUGCACGAUCAGAGAGAAAAAGCUCCCAAAACUGAAAAACCUUAGGUUUCAGAAUGAAACCUAGCCUCAAAAGUGUUCCAAGAUCAACUCCAAAGCCUUCAAUCAAUCCAAAAUCUAACCCAAAAUUGUCUCUGGAAGCAGGUAUGUGAAGGGUUUUCAAGGAGUGGAGGAGAACAGUGAGAAAAAUAACGUGAGAGGGCCUAUUUAAAUUCCCAGCCCUGAAGAAUCAGUCAACCGCUUGGUCAACAGUCAAUGGUCAAUGGUCCAAUUUUUUGCAUUUUCUUGUCUCGUGAUCCUCCCCUUGCCCUUUUCAGUUGAAAUCCCCAAUUUUUUUUUAUGUCCAAUGCCAAGGGAAUUUUGAUUUUUGGUCAAAAUUUGACAUUUUUCCUAAGAUUAUUUCUAUAUGAUGCAUAUAAUAUGAAAUUCACGCAAUCAUAAGGUAUAUUCAAUCAAAAAUUCAUCAAGCAAUCAUUUGAUCAUAAAGAAAUCACCCCUAGUUGUCUUCUAAUAUCAACAAAUUGUUCUUCACUUAGAGGUUUUGUAAAAAUAUCGGCAAGUUGAUCUUUUGUGCUUAUAAAUUCAAGUGUAAUGUCACCUUUUUGUGCAUGGUCUCUAAGAAAAUGGUGUCUAAUCUCUAUAUGCUUAGUCCUAGAGUGUUGCACCAGAUUUUUUGAAAUGUUUAUGGCACUAGUGUUAUCACAUUUAAUAGGAACAUGUUCAAAAAACAAGUUGAAAUCACUAAGUGUUUGUUUCAUCCAAAGGAUUUGUGCAAAACAUAAACCGGCUGCUAUGUAUUCGGUUUCCGCUGUAGACAAAGCUACCGAAUUUUGCUUCUUACUAUGCCAUGAAACAAGUGAGUGUCCUAGGAAAUGACAAGUGCCACUAGUGCUUUUCCUUUCAACUUUAUAACCGGCAAAGUUGGCAUCCGAGAAUCCAAUUAAUUCAAAGUUAUCACCCUUAGGAUACCAUAAGCAUAUGUCCAUUGUCCCUUUUAAAUAUCUAAGAAUUCGUUUUAUGGCACUUAAAUGAAAUUCUUUAGGACAAGAUUGAAAUCUAGCACACAAGCAUACACUAUACAUGAUGUUGGGUCUACUAGCGGUCAAAUAUAGUAAUGAACCUGUCAUGCCUCUAUACAUAGUUUAGUUGACGGACUGACCUUUUUCAUCCUCACUUUUAUAUUAAUUUUGUGUAUUUCAAUUUGUACAUACUACAUGGAGUGGCUCAUAUGCAUUUCUGAAAUUUAUUAGACAAUUGAACAAGUGGAUGAGAAAGGUAAUGCAUUGUGAUUAUUGAGUGUGAAGUUUAGACUUUGUCCAUGCAUGUCAUGAUGAAUUGGAUGUCAAAAAAUUGCUAGGUUAGUUCAUGGUACUCAUGGAUUAAUGGGCAGUAGUUCCUUGCGUGCCUAGGAUAGCGAACAUUUUGGUCAUGGUUACUAAAACCAACAAGUGGGUUAUCAAUCAUGACUUUUCCUUUGCAUGCUUAUCCACCUCCUCCUGAACCUUAUAUUCUAUUAUAAGUAGUGGCAUUCAUAUUACUUGUUUUGUAGGUGCAAUUCAUUUGCAUGAUCAUAUCACUAUGGUUUUCUUUUAGUUGCCUUAUUAUUUGUUUUUCAAGAUAAUUACUUAUUGUGCAUUUCAAAUUUUCAAAUCAUAUUAAUUUGAUUAUAUUUAGUGUGAACCCUUUUUGUAGAAGAUGUUGGUCUAAGUUGUGAAAAGGUUCUUAUGGCUCCAUCUUAAAUGUUAUAUAUUUGAGAUAAACAUGAUAGAAUGAGAGUUAUGUUGCUAUGUUAUAAUAAUUCAAUAAAUCAUUAUAAUGUUUUAAUUUUAAUCAAACAUGCAUGCAUAAAACCUUAGAGUUCCCAUUCAAGUAUCAUUGGAAGACAAAAGAUUCUCUUAUUACAUAAUAAAGACAUUUAAGUUGUCAAAUGGUGAAAAUGGUCUAUCUAUGCCAUUUUCAAGUUGACGACUUUUAAAUUUGUCUAGCAUGUGAUAAAGAUCUUUUCUCUACAAAUGAUGCUUGAAUUGUAAACAUAAUAUAUAUGAAGUUAAUUGUUUGUUCUUAAUUCAAUUUUUAGAAAGUUUGAUAGUCUUUCCUCUUGUUCUCUGGGUACAUAUUUGGACAAGGUUACCUAUUGUGCAUUGUCCAUUUUGUGUACUUAGAGAACUAUAGGAAAAUGCUAUUGAAAUUUCUUUAAAAUUAAAUUGAGUACAUUGGUAAUCAAUACAUAUAGGGAUUAUGUAUUCCUAUAUGGGAUAGGAACCACUACUUAAUUAAGGAUGUUGGAGAUGUUAGAAUGCAUAAAUCACUUGCUUUUACUCAUCGAAAGCUUAGCCACAUUAGUUCACUUUUUUAGUUCAUGUUAUCAUUGUCUCCUCUAGGAGUAAAUUCAAUGAAACUGUUGAAAGCUUUAUCAUUGAGUAUCAUCCUUCUACUUACCUUCCUUAUUUUGUGCUUCAUCGAAUAAGUGAACUUUUAAGUCUCAUUUUAAGUACUCUAUCAAAUUUUGAUGGAGUAAGCCCAUUUUUUCCUAUUAAUUGAAACAUUUGGAAACUUUUGUUGUUUUCCAUAGUGAUAUUUAUGUAUUAGUUGGUAUUAUCUCAAUUAUUACUCUUUCAUAUGUCUAUGUUUGAUACUAUUCAACAAUCAAGAUGAUGUUAAGAAGAUACUUAGAUUUAAAAGAAAUGAUUUUCAACCCAUAAUUAAAAAGAUAUUUCUAUCCAUAUGUCUUGCUCAUCUUGUGGCAUUAUAGAAAUGAUAUGUUUUUGUAUUUUUAAACCUUUUAAAAUUUCAAACUUGGUGUACUUGAUAAUAGAACACAAGAUUGAGAGUUACAUCUAACUUUUGAUUCCUAUUCAUGCACAGACCAAACAUAAUGAUGGAAUUCAGAUCCAUUUUUUAUUCUAAUUUUUUAAUAACUUAAUAUACUAAUUAUAUUUGUUGUCAUAUUGUUUGUAGUUAGAUGACUUACACAUUAUUGCUUUUUGGAUUGGUAAAAGUUUUUGUGACAAUGUUUGAAAUUUGAAAUUGGUGGAUCAUAUAUUUUGAGGCUAUUAAUAGGACAAUUAUUAAUAACUUUAGUGGCUGGUGGUAUCUAGGAGCUUUGUUUCUCUCUUAUACAUCAAAUGGAUCAUUCUUGGAUGUCAAAGGAUAGGAGAUCAAGGGAUUAUGCGAAUGGGGUAGAACAUUUUAUCGCAUUCACAUUAAAACAUUCCACAUAUUAAAACACCAUUAAAUGCCCAUGCCUUCAAUGUGGUAAUAUAAUAUUCCAUACUUCUCAAAAAAUGAGAGAGCAUUUAUUUUUCUAUGGAAUUGAUCAAAGUUACUAUACAUGGUAUUGGCAUGGAGAUGUUGCUCCAAGUGGAUCACCAACUAGUAGGGCAAAAUGUCAUCAUAAGGUUCAAUUUACUGAUGUGGAUAGUACAGUAGAAAUGGUUCAAGUUGCACAUGAUGAUUGUAAGAAUGACCAUAAUUUUAUGAAACAUUACUUGAAGAUGCUCAAAAACCUUUAUAUACUGGUUGUAGAAACUUUACAAAGUUGUUUGCAUUGGUCAUCUUGAAAGCACGAUAUGGAUGAUCUGAUAAAAGUUUUUCAUGGAUUUUAGGAAUUGUUGGAGAUAUGUUACCUCUAAAAAAUGAGUUGCCCUUGUCUAUGUAUGAAGCAAAAAAGACAUUGAAUGCAUUGUGAAAGAAAUUUGAGAAAAUACAUGCUUGUUUGAAUGAUUGCAUAUUGUAUAAGAAUGAUUUGAAGGAUUAUCUUCAUGUCCAACUUGUGCAACUUCACGAUGGAAGUUAGAUAGAACAAAAACUAAAAAGAGGAAAGGAGUCCCUGCAAAAGUAAUGUGGUAUUUUCCUCCUAUUCCAAGAUUUAGAAGAUUGUUUCGGUCCCCAAAAAUUGCAAAAGGCCUCAUAUGGCAUGCCCAAGAAAGAGAAUUUGAUGGCAAAUUGCAUCAUCCAUCCGACUCCUCAUCAUGGAAACUAGUUGAUCACAGAUGGCCUAAUUUUGCUUCAGAACCUAGAAUCCUUAGACUUGUCAUUUCAAUAGAUAGUAUAAAUUGUCAUAGUUCAAUGAGUAGUAAACAUAGUUGUUGCCCUAUUAUAAUGGUCAUUCAUAACCUUCCUCCUUGGUUAUGGAUGAAAAAGAAGUUUAUGAUGUUCUCUUUGUUAAUAUCAGGUCCCCAACAACCUAGAAAUGACAUUGAUGUUUAUUUAGAACCAUUAUUGGAUGACCAAAAAAUGUUGUGGGAGGUGGGGGUUGAAUCUUAUGCUACACAUCAACAAGAGCUCUUUACAUUAAGAGUUGUUCUACUGUAGACAAUCAAUGAUUUUCCUAUGUAUGGAAACUUAUUUGGUUGCAUAGUUAAAGGAUAUUUUGCAUGCCCCAUAUGUGGGGAAGAUACAUACUCUCAUAGAUUGAAGCAUAGGAAAAAGAACUCAUAUACAGGUCAUAAAAAAUUUCUUCCUUGCAAUCAUCCUUUUAAGAAACUAAAAAAGGCAUUUAAUGGGGAACAAGAGUUUCAAUCACCUCUGCAACCAUUGAGUGGAGAGGAAAUUCUAAGGAAAACUGAUGUCAUUUGUAAUUCAUGGGGAAAAAAUAAUAUCACUUGAGGUAAGUUGAAAGUCAAAACUAGAAAUUGUUGGAAGAAAAAGUCCAUAUUCUUUUAUCUUGAGUUUUGGAAAUACCUACAUGUUCAUCAUAACUUGGAUGUAAUGCACAUAGAGAAAAAUGUUUAUGAAAGCAUCAUCAAUACCUUACUUAACAUUCCAGGUAAGACAAAGGAUGGACUUAAUUCUCGUUUAGACCUUAUGGAGAUGGGCUUAAGGUGUGAAUUAAGGCCAAGGUUUGAAUCAAAUCAAACUUAUCUCCCAUCUACAUGUUACACACUAUCUAAAGUGGAGAAUAAGCUUUUUUGCCAAACUUUAUCACAAUUAAAGGUUCCUGAAGGUUAUUGCUCUAACAUGAGAAACCUUGUGUCAAUGGAAGACUCGAAACUUUAUAGUCUUAAAUCCCAUGACUAUCAUGCAUUGAUGCAAUAGUUAUUGCCAGUGCCAUUACGAUCAGUUUUUCCAAAGCAUGCAAAACAUGCUAUUUGUAGAUUGAGUUUUUUUUUUUCAAUGCUCUUUAUAGCUAAGUGGUUGAUGUGCCUGCAUUGGAUAAGUUACAAAAUGAUGUAGUGGUGACAUUAUGCUUACUUGAGAAGUACUUCCCACCUUCUUUCUUUGAUAUCAUGCUUCAUCUUACUAUGCCUCUUGUAAGAGGGGUCAAACUUUGUGGACCAGUUUACCUAAGGUGGAUGCAACCUUGUGAAAGAUUCAUGAAAGUUUUGAAAAGGUAUGCACAAAAUCGUAACCGGCCCGAAGGUUGCAUUGUCGAAUGCUAUAUUGCGGAGAAAGCUAUCGAAUUUUGUACAGAGUACUUAUCAAAUGUAGAUGCAAUUAGGAUUCCUGUUAGUGUAAACAUUAACCAAAAAGUUGGGGCACCCAUACCUGGAGGUCAAGUUGUGAUCGUUGAUUCAAAUUUGUGGUUGCAUGCAUAUCAUUAUGUUUUAGAGAAUACAACUAUUGUCCAACCUUAUAUCGAGUAAGAAUUACUAACACUUAAUAUUUAUCUGUUAUACUUAAAUUAAAUAUAGGACAAUAACUUUGAACUUCUUAUAAAUAAUUGUAUAGAGAGCACAUGGAAUGGUUGAAAUUGAAAAAUCCUCAUCAAUCUAAAAGACAAAAGUGGCUUCAAGAUGAACAUAUGCGAACAUUUACUUAUUGGUUUCGAAAAAAGGUAUCGAAUUGGUGCUAAAAUUUGAACUAUUCUUUUGACUAAUGUUGAACAUACAUAGUAACUAUUAUUUAUAAUUGCAGAUUGAAGCUGAAAUUAGUAACAAUGAACCUAUCUUUGGAAACCCUUAAGUGGAUAGCUCAUGGUCCUAGCCACUAUGUCUCGAAAUAUCAUGGAUAUGUCAUUAUUGGAUGUCGAUACCAUAACAAGGAGCGUGAUGACUUACGAGCUACCCAAAAUAGCGAAGUUAGUAUUGUAGCUUCAACAAUACAAAUUGCAAGUGCCAAUGAUCAAAAGCCAGUGUUUGGUGAGCUUUGUUUCUAUGGGAUUAUUAACGAUAUCUAGGACCUUGAUUAUACCAUGUUUAGGAUACCAGUUUUCAAGUGUGAUUGGGUUGAUAAUAAGAAUGGCAUAAAAGUUGAUGAUCUUGGCUUUACAUUAGUUGACUUUAACAAAAUUGCUCAUGAAUCAGAUCCUUUCAUUUUGGCAUCUCAAGCCAAGCAAGUACAUUAUGUGCAAGACCAACUUGAUCCAAGAUGGUUAGUUGUUUUGUCAACUCCUCAAAAAGGUUUCUUGGAUAAGGAGAGAGGUGAUGACCUUGUGGACAAUUCUAUUGAACACCAUCCCUUUAUAGGGACAUUCCUAGAAGUUGAAGCGUUUGAUGCAAUGGAUGACUCAGAUGCAAUAUGUAUAAGAGGUGACUAUGAGGGGAUUUGGAUUGACAACAAAUCCUCUAUGUAGCUGAAUUGUAAACUUCUAAUAAUGAUGUACAAAUAAAGGAUGUCGAGUGGGUUGCAGAUCCCACAAAAUAGGUAAUUUUUAUUCUUUUUGUUUCUAGAGAACAUCAAGUUGAUUGCCUAAGUUGAUGCCAUUUUGAUGUUAUUAUUAUUAUUAUUAUUAUUAUUAUGAAUUGUAAACUUCUAAUAAUGAUGUACAAAUAAAGGAUGUUGAGUGGGUUGCAGAUCCCACAAAACAGGUAAUUUUUAUUCUUUUUGUUUCUAGAGAAAUCAAGUUGAUUGCCUAAGUUGAUGCCAUUUUGAUAUAAUUUUCUUCUCAUUAAAAUUUGAUAUACUAAAGCAAAUAUCAAAUAUGAUUCUUGUAAAAUUCUUGUUUGUAAAAAAUAAAAUGUAAUAAUUCAGUUACAUGAAAUUUUUAGUUUUGAUAUGAACAAGUUAACCAUUUGGGAAGUUAAAUAUGCAAUUCUAAAAGGCUUUCAUAGGAAAAUACAAAAGAAAAUGACAAUGGAUUAGCAAAAAUAAUAAGAGAAACACAUACUAGAAUAUACAACUUCAUAAAAUAAAACAAAUUUAAAUUAAAAUAAAUCAAAUGAUCAAGAAAGAUGGAGAAAAAAAUAGCUAAAUUGAAAUGUCAACUUCGUUAUGUGAUGAACCAUUCCAAAAAAAGGUCCAUGAAAUUUAUGAUCUAAAUACAUACAAUUCACUAAAAAAAAAAAAAAAUUAAAUAACAAAAGGUAUAAAUAACUUAAGCACACAACUAAAUGAAGCUAAUUAAAGACUGUCUUUGUCUCACUUUUAUGGCACAAGUGAAUAAGAAACUGAGAAUAGAUUAGGCCCUUUCAUUGGUGGCAUUUCAUUAUGCAAUGAUGAGGGAUUGUUUUGUCUAAAAUUUUAUUUUUACAACUCUUCUCUAACAAGGUUAUACCUAAUAUAAUGUUAAGUAAUCUUUAUUAGUUUUGUUUUGGUUUUUUUUUUUUUUUUUUUGUUACAAGAAUGGAUCUAGAGAAAGGAGAAAACCCCACAAAAAGGAAGUACAAAGGAAUGACACAAAAGUCCAUGAUUACCAAGAACAUGAGCAAAGGGAUCAAAUUGCAGGUUAAGUACAAUCUUAAUGGCAUUUUCAUAGGAGAAUCGACAGUUCAUUGAACAAGCUGUUUAGGUGUAUUAGCACGCACUAUGGUGCUAAUAAGAUAUCAAACUUAGCACAUUGUACAUAAAUGGUUGAACAAUAAGUUAUGGGACAACAUUGAGGUAACACAUUCUUACCUGCAUCACCUUUAUGCAAAACACCAAUCAUUGCUAACUACAUGAAGUUACUAAAACGUAUACUAUUAAUGUGUAAGGUGUUUUUUCAUUAAAUCACAAAAGUAGGAGGAAUUGUAUGCUAACAAUUGGAAAAUGUUUUUGAUCAUUUAAGAACAUGCUAACAAUGAAGUACAUUCUUCCUUUCAAAGAUCAACCGAAGCUCCUCAAAAAACUAGCAAUUCAAUAUAUUUUUAUUGAGGAUGAAGAUUGGACAAUGUUUGUUAAAGAUCGAUUUUCUGAUAGAUUUAAGGUAUAAUUACAACUCCUUACAUAUCUUGUAUUCACAUUCAUUAAUUAUACAUUUUUAAUUUAUAGCAAUAUCAAGAAGUUCAAAAAGAAAGAAGAAAGAAACACAUUUAUAAUCACGAUCUAAGUAGGAAAAGAUAUGUUGGUCUUGAGGAAAAGAUGGUAAGUUUAUACUAAUUUAUAGUUUUUUAUUUAUUUUAUACAUAAUACAUAAUAGUGUUAUAUAUUUAUUACAUUAUAUAUUGUCUCCUUUUAGAAGAUGGUUGCAAGUGGGUCAACUGAAUCUAUUGAUCAAAGCAUAUUAUGGAAGAAAACAAGAGAAAAAAUGAUGGCACCUUUGAUGAAGUGGCCACACCAGUGAUUGAGAAAAUAGUAAGUGGAUAUUUUCAACCUUAAUUUCAUUUAUUUAUAAUAACUAAUUUAUGAUAACAAAUUUGUAAUUGAACUUCAUAAUUAACAUUUUUUUUUAAGGAUAAGCUAUUGAAAGAGUCUCAAGAGAAUGAUAGGAGUGUCAAUGGGAGUAAUGAUAUACUUGUAGAAUCAUUAGGUACUCCUGAGUAUAGUGGUCGAGUUAGCGCCAAAGGAAAGCACCACACACCUCGUCAAUAUUUUAAUAGUGUUGUAGAUCAUGGUGUCAGGGAUUUUAUAGCAGCAUCUAAAGAAGAACAAAUAAACUUUCAGGCAGAAGUGCUAGCAAAAUUGUCUCAAGUGAGAGCAAUCACUCCCCAAUUUGAUGUUAGCAAUUCGAACAUGAAACAAAAACAAUUUCUCCUACUAGAAGUAUUGGAGAAGCUAAUCCAUAGAGGUGAAGAUUCAGCCCCACUAGUGCCAAUAGAACCAAAGAACAAGGUAUUUAUCUAGUUAAGCUAAUUUGAUGAUAAUGUUUGUUGUAAUAGGAGAUAUAAUUUAUGUAAAUUUUUUUGUUUGAAUUUAAUUCAAUUGUUGGUGGCAUAUAUAUGGUCUUCUUUUAUGUGGUGCAAUAUAAGAAAAUCAAAAGGUCGUCAAAAAAAUAUUUUAGCAUUUUGUUCAUUCACAAAAUAGAUAAUAUAAUUUAGUUGUCUACAUAAUUAGAUCAUAUGGGAUUUUUAUUUCAUAUAUUAUGAAACUUUUAAUAUUCAGUAAUUAUUUUUUAUUUAUUAUGCAUUACUAACCUCUUUUAUUUUAAGAAUAGCUAUUAUUUAUAUAACCACAUAAUAAUUUUCAUGCCUUAAUUCAAUCUUUCCAAUGUUAUUUAAAAUUACUUCAUAUCUCAAAUUUUUGCUUGUACCUUAUAAAUGGUUUUCAAUAUUCACCAGUAUUAAUUUGAAGAUGUAGACUUGAAAGAAUGAAAUAGAGAAAUAUUGGCUCAUAUCUAAUAAUAUUACUUCAUUUUGUAGGUUACAAAAUGUGAGUUGGCCAUGGAGACCAAGGCAAAUAUAGUGGCCAGUGGCACAAUUAUACCUGAAUGUGGUCCUAACUAUCUAGUAGUUGUUGAUGCUCCUUAUGAUUCAAGUGCACCCCUUCCCAUUCCUAUUCCUGGACAAACUACUAUUGUUGGGACUGAAAUUGGUUACCAAGUUUUAUGGCUAGCUCACUUAGUUAUCAUUCAUACUCCUAUCUCAGUAAGUAAAUUUAAUUACCAAGCUUUAUGAUAACCUUAAAUAAAAUAAAAAAAAUCAAUUUUUUUUGCAUAUUCAACUAGUUGAUUUGAUUUGUACCAUGGUUCUUAAUUGUAUAGACAUCUAAGAAAGGAAAGAAACAAAAAGAAAAUGAAGUUGAAGUCAAAUCUAAGGGUGAAAAAACACAAGAUAUCAAGAAUUUUGAGGCAUUGGUUGGCCUCAUGCUGAGUACCUCAAGAGUACAUCCUAUUGACUUCCCAAAUGAUGUUUUUGGUUAGAGUUUCAAGACCUUCCUAAUGAAAGAAGAUAUGGACAUGAUUGUAUCAUUAAAAGAAGUGUCAUCCAAUUAUAUCUUAUACUACAUCUGGUGAGGGAUUUUAUAAUUUUUUUUAAUUACUCUUCACAAUUUUUUAAGGUAAAAGGUUAUUUGCUAAUGACCUAUAAUGAUUGUUGAUAACUUAUUAUGCGUCAUUUAAUUAGACACCUACAUAGAAAGUUGAUUGAUGGAAAGUAGGUUGAACGAUAUGUUUUUGUCAAUCUAGCAUUGGUUUCAAAAACUGGAAUGAGAGAGGGAAGUAGAGAAAAUAGGUCAAGGGUCAUUGCGGAUCAACUAAGGAAUGCAAAACAUGUUGAAUAUAUGCUUAUUCCAUACAAUCCAGAGUAAUCUUUUAUCCCAAAUCCCGAUAUGGUGUAUAUAAGUUAGUUUGUGAUGUAUUAAUUUGUGGAUAUUAUAUUCCAAAAUUAAUUUUUCUUUUCUUUUUUCUUUAGUUUCCACUAGAUCUUAGUGGCACUAGAAAUGAAGAUAAUGAUCGCAUAUUACCUUGAUCCAAUGGCUUGUCAACCAUGUGAUGAUCUUAGGGAGAUAGUUAACAUGUAAGUGUGUACUUAUCAUAUUUUAGUAUAAUGCAUAUUGUCUAUAAAACAUCAUUUCUUUUUUAUAGGGCAAUUAGAAUCAACCCACUAGAAAAACAGAAAACAUAAAAGAGAGAGCUGACUUGGGUGAAAGUGGUUGUAAGUACUUAUUCCUUUAGAUUAAAAUAUAUUGUUUGACCACUUAAUUCACUACACAAAAUUAGGAAAUGGAUGGUUAUUAAUAUGAUGAUCAGUUAGAUACUAAAGAAGUAAGAACAUUAUUCUAUGCUUGUUGUAAUUGUUGAUACUUUUGCCAUAGUGUCCAAGACAACCAGGUAGUGUGGAAUGUGGGUAUUACGUGAUGAGAUACAUGAAACAAAUCAUUGCUAAUCCAAACCAACUAACAUCAAAGGUUUGUACGCAAUGCAAUUCAUAUGGUUGGUCAUUUUAUUAUAGCACUUGGUUUUUCAAUUCAACUUAGUGAAGGUGUAUGUUAUUCCAUUUCAGUUUAAUGGGAGAAAAACAUAUAGUGAAAUGGAGAUUAAUGAAGUUUGCUCAGAUUGGGUUAUGCUAAUGACUCAAUUAAUCAUUACUCAUGCUUGAAAGUACUUUGUUUGACUUAUAGUCUAAUAUAACUUCAUAUUAUUCUAAAGAUCUAGUGAAUAUUUUGUUAAUGUUAAUUUUAUAAUUUAUUCUUAUUCAUGAUUUGUUAAUGCAUAUCUUGGUACUCCUAGUUGGUAGUGUUUUCAAUAUGGAUCAUGCAAUGGUUGCUCUAUUUUGAUGGAUGUGUAAUUGGCAAAUUGAGAGGUGAAGCCUAGUAAACAUGGUAGGUGUCACAACCUUGGUGUAUUUCCUAUACACAUCCUUAUUAGUUGGAUUUGUACAAAUCCUAGUGUUUUAAUGGUACUAAAAUUCAUGCAUUUUCAAAGUCUUUAGUCUCAUUAUAUGUGCAUGCAUUAAGAAUAUGUCUAUCCUCAAAAAAACCAUUUUGGAUCCUUAAGAUCACUUGCUUUAUAACUUUUUUCAAUCUAAAUUUGUAAAGGGCUCCUCCUAAACUAGUGUGCUAAAAGUUUAAAAUAUCUUAUACUUAUGUUUUCUUUGACAUUAAAAAAUAGAAAGUUAGAUUAAGACUUCUUACAAAUAAGCCUAUGGAAAAAAAAAUAGCACCUCAUUCUCCCUAAAUAGGCCUCCAAAGCCUCUUUGUCUAGAAUAGGGUAUCAACUUGAAUACUAGCUCCUCAAUCUAAAUACAAUUGUAAGGAAAGAAACUAGUCAUUCUGACAUAAUAUUUUUUUCCUCCACAAAGGCCCUUUUACUUUAAGUCUGUUGAUGAUUGUUACAAAAAUAAACCCUUUGUCCAUAUCAUGUAGUUUUUGCUAUCUUUGGUGUUAUUUUACUCUUUUAAUCAAUAAAGUAUUGCCAAUGUAUUAUUUUUCAUGGAUUCAUAACAGUCAAGUUAAAAGAUUAAUUUAAUUAUAAUGUUUUAGCUAAAAUUGAUUUCUCUUCAUUCCUAGUUUCUUUAUCUCAAUUAUUCUACUACCUUUGGCUACCAACCUUCUUUGAAAUUAAUAAGCUUAUUGAAUUUAAUGUGUUAAAACUUUUAAGAAUCUAAUUUGUUGCUAAAUUGCUUAUUGUAUAUUCUUCAGGUUGUAGUGAAAGACAUAGGUCAUUAUCUUAAGUACGCCACUACUACUCUUGCUUAUUUAGACCUGAACAUGAUCAAUGACAUGAAGGACACCCUGCAAUAGUUGAAAAUUUUCAUAAAAGAAUAUUGAGGUAAGAUGUUUAGGUUAUUGUUAGUUUUAUGAAUAAAUUCCAUGUUUAAAAAAUGAUUUCAUGUAAGUUUCAUAUUUAGAAUGUAUACUUAGGAUAAUAGAUAUCCUCACAUGAUUAGAUGUUAAUGUACCCAUGCAAGCUAGCCCUUCUCUUGACAUUAUACUUCAUACCAACUACAUUAAUAGGUUAAAUAGAUAGAACCAAUAAAUUGUAAAUUUCAUGUAUAAUAGAUAUUAACAAUAGGAAGAACAUAGAUAUUUUGACAUACAAUUUCAUAAUUUUACAUAGAUAUUUUAACUUAUAACUUCAUAAUUUUUCAGACUUGUAGUCUUUUCCUUUUAAUUCCUUACUUGCUUUCUUUGCAAGACAUCCAGUGUCUUGUAGGACCUAUAAGAAGGAUGAAAAGAUGUUAAUGGUUAAAGUUUCAUAUAUAAGAUAUAAGUCAUACCAAAAUAGUCACUAAGAUCAAGACUUUUCUUUUUUGAGUUUUUUAAGAGUCUGAGAGACAUUUGUUUAUACAUAUAAUUGAUGACUUGUAAAGGCCAAUUAGGUAAAAGGGCUAAAAGAUCAUUAAAUAAUGGAGAUAGUUGAUGAACAAUGGGUUCCUUUGGCUAAUUGUAAUUCAUAGCAAUGCCUAAUUAGGGAAGAAGGUGAUUCGUGCCCAAUUGGUGUCUCAGCUGAUUCAUGUCCAACUGGUGUUCCUUGAUUGAGGGAGUAAUCAACAAAAUUUAUAACCUAUUACACCAUGAACUAGGGUAGCAAAGACAAAGCUACUAUAGCAUAGUGGCUCUAGGAUCGUUCACUGGGAUGGGUUUUCACUUCACAAAUGAUAUUAAUUCAAAGUUAAAUUGGUGCCUUUUCAUUUCAAGGUUAGCUUUAAAAGAAAACAUAAAGAUGUUUGAAUGAAAAAGGUUUGGUUUUAAGCUAACCAAAAAUAGUAACUGAUUUUACUUAUAAAGAAAAGUGUUUCUUAGAGUUUAGAUCACUAGGCUCAGGUUCCUCAUACAAAAAGGAGAGUUCCAGUCACUUGUUUCUUUUCCUCACAUUGGAGAAUUAACAUAUAGUUCAUUCUCCAAUCGGUGUUGUACAGAUGCUUCCCAUUAAUGGGUUCAAACACUAAAUCCCUCUCACUGAUGCACCUUGCAAUGGCUCAUACCUCUCACCUAGCACUUGCCAUUCAAGGUGAUCUUUAACCUUGGAUUACCCGUCAAAAGCUCGCAAGAGAUAACUAAUGGAUGUCUCCUUGGAGUCCAAAAGCUUACCAAGUGUUGGCUAUUCUAGAAAAUCCUACCUUCAAACCACCUCCCAAAGGCUCACAAGAGAUAAACUAGUGAAUCUCCAUGGACGGAGAUCACUUGCCUUACCAAGUGUUGGCCCAGGUGAUUUAAAGGCGUUUUAAGUUAACUAAAAAGAUAAAAACCAUUAACGGGUCACACUUUCUCUUCAUUAAAAACUAAAACAACAAAACUUCCAAUUUAUGCAUGUGGAAACUUACCCGACUUUCUUCACUCCAAGAGACAAAAAGCCUAGCCUCUCAUCCUCUGAGGAAAAAUCCUCAGAGUUUGUUUGGCUAGCAAGAAAAUGAAAAUGAAAGAGAAGGAAAAAAAACAGAGCAAGGCUUUGUAUAUUCUAUAUAUUUCUAUAUCUAUCUCCCAUUGGAUUACAUGAUGCUAUAUUACAUGAUAUAUAUAUUACAAUGGAUGCAAGGGAAUAUAUAUAGAGAAGUUUUUCCAACCUUCCUAGCUAAGAAAUCUUAUGGUUGGUGGAUUACAAGGAGAAGAAUGGAAAUUUAUACAAAAAUAUCUGAAGAAAAUAUCUAAAAGAGUCGGUCUCAAAUAUCGGGAAGCACUAGGGACCAUUUCGCAGGUGAAAACGAGGUCUACGAGAUUUCGCAGAUGCACACAAAGGGCUGCGAAAUCACUUCUCAGCAAAAGGGUAUUCUCGCAAGGCUGUGAAGUUGUCUUUCAUGUUGAGGUUCUCAGCUUCCAACUUGUCGCAUAUAUCGGGCAACUUCAGGAGGAAUUCCAUAGCACUAUGCAAAAUGGCUGCGAAAUCAUUUCGCAACAAAAGGGUGAUUUCGCAACACUUUUGCAAAAUGCUUUCUUCAGCUUAGAGUGAUUGACUUGCAGUGGCUGUAACUUCUUCGUUUCAACUCCAAAUUGCGCACCGUUUGAAGCAUUGGAUUGUUGAAUUCCUGAGCUUUGAUAUGGUAUAUAGAAUGUAGAAAAUGGACUUCGAAAAGUGCUCCAAAAGUGCAAAAGAAGACUACAGCUGUUGUCCUCUGUUUUCUUCACUCUGUUUUUCCUCUCUCCAUUGUUCUUUCCUUGCAUACUUUGAACGACUUUGGCAAAGGGCUAUGGAGCUCCAAAGCUUGGUUCUUCAUGAAUUUGAGCUUCCAAAAUCUUUGCCAUGAACUAUAUACAGCUCUCCCUCAUUCUUGGAUUGCUUUGGUGAUCAAAAAGCUAUCAAAACACCAAAACUUAACACAAUUUGAUUAGAAUUGAUUGCAAGGGUCCUUAACAUGUCAAUUGAGUUAAAAGGUAAUAACUACUACUCAAAAGUGUUUAAAAGAGUUAAUUAUAAGCUAUGAAAUUGCACUUUUUGAGUAGUAGUCCCUCCCCCCAACCGACAUAUUGCUAGUCCCUUAGCAAUGAAGGAGAGAAAAAUAAAAAUAAACAAUACUAUAAUUUACAACAUCAUGCUUGAUCAAAAAAACAAUUUUCAAGUGGCAUGAUGAUCUAACUCUCACAUGGAACAUUAAAGAAAUAAAACUCAAACUUCAACAAGAGUUAUCAAAUAACUUGUCUAAUCACAAUUCUUAAAGAGAAGGCAUUAUGCAAAUUUAAGCUUCAAAAUAAUUUACACUCCCAAAGGUCCAAACCUUACUCUUCCACAAAAAUCUAUGUGUUAUUUAUUAGUUUCCGAAUAUAGUAUGUUGAACUAAUCUCUCCCCCCAACCUAGUUUUUUUUUUCAAAGCUUAGCAAACUGAUCAACCUCCAAUAGGCUAAGAACGCACCUCUUUUUUCACAAUUUUUUUCAUUGUAAGAGUACAAGGCUUAAAGGUAUUCUUUUCUAAAUUUUCCAUGUAACGGGGGUCCAUCGAUGACUCCCAACCAAUUAAGGUUUAGGGCACAAGCUUUAAGGAUCUUUCAACCACUAACUCCUCGGAUUUUACCCCGAACUUUUGAGAAUGAAUUUUAAUACCCAAGCACCUACAGUAUGUUAAACUCCACCUAUUUACCCUUGUAACGAGCAUUGAGGUCGGUGACUCCCAACCAAUUAAGGCUUAGGGCACCAGGUUUUAAAGAUUUUCACCAUAUACCCCUCGGACCUUGCUCGGGUUUCAAGGCAAGCAAACAUUUUUUUUUUCUUUCUUUUUUUUCUUCAAAGACUCAUUGGCCUUUUAUAAGGUGUCCCAACACUAUUAAAUGAGGUCAAAGGUACCAAGUCUAAAAUUUUCCUAAGUCAAGAGGGAAAUAGUUUUUCAUCUUAUAGUCGGAAUCUAUUGUGCACAGUGUAUGAAUAGCUUAAAGUGGAAGAACUGAGGUUGAAUUCAAUAGAAGUUUCAACAAUUCAUCAACUUUAGUAAGCAUAAUACAAACUUUAAGUCAAGUAAAAAGACAAAAAUUCAAUUUCUCCCAUUUCAUUUUGAAAAUUUUUCCUUAAUAACCAUGGAGAGUAGAAUAAAAACUUUAAAAAAUUUUAAAAAUUAAGCAAAAAACAACUAAAUUAUCAAAAUAACUUAGCAUUAAUAAAAAAACUUACUUCCUCAACUCUCCCCCCAACCAAGCUGAACAUUGUCCUCAAUGUGACAAAAACGAUUGAAAAAUAGGGAGGAAGUGGUACCUCCUUAGUGACAUGGAGUUUGAGUCGUAUAGGAGAAACCACAUGUUUCAAAGAAAACAUAAGAGUUAGUGAGUAGAGGAAAUAGAAAAAUGCCAAGUUUAAACAAAAAUUGAUGUCUAUAUAUGAUGCAUCAUCAGUAAUACAUCCAAUCCCAGAAUAUAAGACAUCAAAACAUGGAGCUAUGUAUACUAAUAUAAUAUGUAAAGACAAAAAGUAAAGAGAUGAUCAAGUAAUGGUAAGGUCCUAUGGAGCUUAUGCGUCUGUGGUGGCCUCUUGAAUGGGUUGGAUCAGGACUUUGGCCUCUGUUCUGGUAAUCUCCUUAGGUGGCAUAGUCUCCUCAGUUGGAGCUAUGGGCUCUGAUGGUUUUAGGAGGUUAGAAAUGGAGUGAGAGGCUUAGUGUGUGUGAUCCCAAGGUGCGCGGGGCUCUCCUCUUCAGAUGCAUGGUCGCGAGGCUCUAUUGGCAUUUUAGCAACUUCCAUUGGCUUUGCAAGGUGUUUUUGCAAACCUUCCUCCAUUUCGCAAGUCAAUUUCGCAAUUUGAAGGCCAUUUUGAAGCUUGGAGGUGAUUUCGCAGCCAUUUUGAAGCUUGGAGGUUAUUUUGCAGGCAAUGGGCAAUUUUGCAGCCCAUUUCACAGCUUGGAGAUGAUUUCGCAACCAUUUCGAAGCUUGGAGAUCAUUUCGCAGCAAAGUGGCAUUUUCGCAUACCAUUUCGUAGCCUAAAUGUGAUUUCACAUCCGUAUCACAGCUUCGAAAUGAGGGGAACUGUGCUGCAAAAUGGCACUCAUGUGCCAAAAAGUGGUUUCGCAGCUGCGAAACACCCUUCCAAAUGGCGUCUCAGCUGCGAAAUUCCCGCUCAGCUUUGCGCGCUCGUCUUUAAACGGCCAUAACUUCUUCAUUUCACCUCCAAAUCGCGUACCGUUUGAAGCUAUGGACUUCAGACUUCCCAAUAUUUGAAACGAGAUAUGGUAUACAUAAUUUGAGCUCCAAUAAGUGCUUCAAAAAUCUGUCCAACAGUUGCAAAAUGGAGGUGCGACAUUUCCGCUCAUGGUUUGCACAGUCAUCUUCAAACGGCCGUAACUUUUCCGUUUCAAAUCCAAAUCGAGCACCGUUUAAAGCUAUGGACUUCUGACUUCCCAAGAUUUGAAAUGAGAUAUUGCAUGCAUAAUUUGAACUUCGGGAAGUGAUCAAAUUGUGUCCAACAAUUGCCGAAAUUGGGGUGCGGUUGUGACAUGUCUGUUCAUGGUGUGCGCGCUGAAGGAUUUUAAGGUGUGGAGGUUUCGCAGCCAUUUCGCAGCUGCGAAAUGAGUGUACGGGGCUUCCAAAUGGCACUCAUGUGCCAAAAAGUGGUUUCGCAACCGCAAAAUACCCUGCGAAAUAGAGCUUUGGCUGCGAAAUUGGAAGUUUUUACGCUUUGUGAUUUCGCAGCCAUUUCGCAACUGCGAAAUGAGGGUCACUAUGCUGCGAAAUGGCACUCGUGUGCCAAAAAGUGGCUUCGCAGCUGAGAAAUCCUCUGCGAAAUGGAGCUUUCCCUGCGAAAAUAGGAUCUUUCAUGCUUUGGUGGUUCACAGCCAUUUCGCAGCUGCGAAAUGGGGGUUCCUGUGCUGCGAAGUGGCACUCGUGUGCCAAAAGUGGUUUCGCAGCUGCGAAAAUUUUCGCAAAGAGGGGCCUGAGGCUGCGAACUGGUUUCGCAGCAAAGUGCCGAUUUCGUAGAGGCUGCGAAAUCUCGUAGACCCCUAUUUUUCCCCUGUUUUUGCCCUGUUUUUGACCCGUUUUUGCUCCGAAAGACUUCCUUUCAAUUUCUUUGCAAUUCCUCCUGAUUUUGAUCAUCCAAAAAUCUAUAUUACAUCAAAACAAAUUAGAAUUAAAGCAUUGAAAUCAAAAUUAAAGCAUUGAAAUCAAAAUUAAAACAAGUAAAAAACAAAAUAAAAAGAUAUGGACUAGCUAGUCUUUAAAAAGACUAAGUCCAUCAAAAAAUUUGCUCCUGAUUUAGCUUGCCCGGAUCCCAUAUGAAGUUUGCAUCCUUCACUUGAGACUUGGUUUGUAUGAUUUUCCCAUACAAAGCUUGGAGAAAAGGUGGAGGCAUGUGUUUCUUCAUAAAUUCUUCCUUGAUGACUAUCCUCUGUGGUUCUCUUUGUACAUUAACAGUAUAGUCAUCUUUCUCUAUGCUUUUCCCCUUUUUCUUUCCUUUGAUUUCCUCCCUCUUUUCUUUCUCUGUUUCACUCUCUACCUUAUGCUCUAGCUUGCAUGUGGGCAGAUCAACCUCUUUACCACUCAAAGUGAUAACCGUUUUAACUUCCUUCACCAUUGAAGAUUCUCCCUCUUGAGCCUCCACUUCAUGGAUACUCAUGGAAUUUUGAUAAGGUUGAGAAGGAGAGUUUUCUUUCUCUUGCACUGUGUUGAGGUUGGCAAACCUUGAGAUUGAAUCUUGGAGAAUAUCUAUCUUCUGAGAUAGAUCAUUUUGCACUUCAUCCAUCCUUUUAAUCAAUGAACUCUCUACACUGUCAAUUCUUUGACUAAGCUGAGCAUUGAUGGAUUUCUGAGCUCCAACAAAGUCUCCCACGAACUUGCUAAGAUUCACCAUAGCUUGUUCAAGGCUUGAGGCUUACGGAAGUGCUUGAACAUGUUGCUUGUACUGAGGCGGCUGUGGUUUCCAAGAGAAUUUUGGAUAGUCCCUCCAAUUGGAAUUGUAGGUGUUGCAAUCACCAAACAUUUCCCUCUCGGUUGGAAUGGUAGGACACUCAUCCACCAAGUGCUCAUAUGAUCGACAAAUGGCACAAGGCAUAGCUUGCAAUGGUGUCUGAGAGAUGGCUUGCACUGGUUGCAUAUUCAUCAUUUCUAGCUCUUCCAAUCUCCUUUCCAUAAUUGCAAUUUUUACCUUCAUGUUUAAGCUGUCAUUCAAAAUAUACAUCUCACCCUUAGCAUUAGGUUGAGACGUCAUUCUUCCCAUAUCUCGAGCAUUUGGUUCAUCCCAUCCUCUUGAGACUUCAACCAUAUAACUCAUGAAGUUCAUGACUUCCUCUGCUAUCUCGUAUUCAAUAUGGCAUGCACAACUAGCAAUUUGUGAAUUAAAAACAGAUAACACAAAAGAAAACAAAAGAAAAACAAUUCAAAGAAAGAAAAUUAAGGUAAACUAAAAACUAAAUAAAAGGUAUACUAAAAUAUGAACAAUAAAGAAAUAAAAAGAGUUAGUAAAAGGAAAAGAAAAGUCACCAAACUUGUGAUGAAGAUCACAAGUACUCUGAAAAGGUGAUAUCAAUGUAAAGUGGCACCAUCCCCAGCAACGGCGCCAUUUGAUUCAUGCCCAAUUGGUGUCUCAACUGAUUCAUGUCCAGCUGGUGUUCCUUGAUUGAGGGAGUAAUCAACAAAAUUUAUAACCUAUUACACCAUGAACUAGGGUAGCAAAGACAAAGCUACUAUAACAUAGUGGCUCUAGGAUCGUUCACUGGGAUGGGUUUUCACUUCACAAAUGAUAUUAAUUCAAAGUUAAAUUGGUGUCUUUUCAUUUCAAGGUUAGCUUUAAAAGAAAACAUAAAGAUGUUUGAAUGAAAAAGGUUUGGUUUUAAGCUAACCAAAAAUAGUAACUGAUUUUACUUAUAAAGAAAAGUGUUUCUUGGAGUUUAGAUCACUAGGCUCAGGUUCCUCAUACAAAAAGGAGAGUUCCGGUCACUUGUUUCUUUUCCUCACAUUGGAGAAUUAACAUAUAGUUCAUUCUCCAAUCGGUGUUGUACAGAUGCUUCCCAUUAAUGGGUUCAAACACUAAAUCCCUCUCACUGAUGCACCUUGCAAUGGCUCAUACCUCUCACCUAGCACUUGCCAUUCAAGGUGAUCUUUAACCUUGGAUUACCCGUCAAAAGCUCGCAAGAGAUAACUAAUGGAUGUCUCCUUGGAGUCCAAAAGCUUACCAAGUAUUGGCUAUUCUAGAAAAUCCUACCUUCAAACCACCUCCCAAAGGCUCGCAAGAGAUAAACUAGUGAAUCUCCAUGGACGGAGAUCACUUGCCUUACCAAGUGUUGGCCCAGGUGAUUUAAAGGCGUUUUAAGUUAACUAAAAAGAUAAAAACCAUUAACGGGUCACACUUUCUCUUCAGUAAAAACUAAAACAAUAAAACUUCCAAUUUAUGCAUGUGGAAACUUACCCGGCUUUCUUCACUCCAAGAGACAAAAAGCCUAGCCUCUCAUCCUCUGAGGAAAAAUCCUCAGAGUUUGUUUGGCUAGCAAGAAAAUGAAAAUGAAAGAGAAGGAAAAAAAACAGAGCAAGGCUCUGUAUAUUCUAUAUAUUUAUAUAUCUAUCUCCCGUUGGAUUACAUGAUGCUAAAUUACAUGAUAUAUAUAUUACAAUGGAUGCAAGGGAAUAUAUAUAGAGAAGUUUUUCCAACCUUCCUAGCUAAGAAAUCUUAUGGUUGGUGGAUUACAAGGAGAAAAAUGGAAAUUUAUACAAAAAUAUCUGAAGAAAAUAUCUAAAAGAGUUGGUCACAAAUAUCGGGAAGCACUAGGGACCAUUUCGCAGGUGAAAACGAGGUCUGCGAGAUUUCGCAGAUGCACACAAAGGGCUGCGAAAUCACUUCGCAGCAAAAGGGUAUUCUCGCAGGGCUGCGAAGUUGGCUUUCAUCUUGAGGUUCUCAGCUUCCAACUUGUCGCAUAUAUUAGGCAACUUCAAGAGGAAUUCCAUAGCACUGUGCAAAAUGGCUGUGAAAUCAUUUCGCAACAAAAGGGUGAUUUCGCAACACUUUUGCAAAAUGCUUUCUUCAGCUUAGAGUGAUUGACUUGCAGUGGCUGUAACUUCUUCGUUUCAACUCCAAAUUGCGCACCGUUUGAAGCAUUGGAUUGUUGAAUUCCUGAGCUUUGAUAUGGUAUAUAGAAUGUAGAAAAUGGACUUCGGGAAGUACUACAAAAGUGAGAAAGAAGACUGCAGCUGCUGUCCUCUAUUUUCUUCACUCUAUUUUUCCUCUCUCCAUUGUUCUUUCCUUGCAUACUUUGAACGACUUUGGCAAAGGGCUAUGGAGCUCCAAAGCUUGGUUCUUCAUGAAUUUGAGCUUCCAAAAGCUUUGGCAUGAACUAUAUACAGCUCUCCCUCAUUCUUGGAUUGCUUUGGUGAUCAAAAAGCUAUCAAAACACCAAAACUUAACACAAUUUGAUUAGAAUUGAUUGCAAGGGUCCUUAACAUGUCAAUUGAGUUAAAAGGUAAUAACUACUACUCAAAAGUGUUUAAAAGAGUUAAUUAUAAGCUAUGAAAUUGCACUUUUUGAGUAGUAAUCAGAAGGCAACCAUAUGGAUAUACCAUCUUCAUUGAUGAAGGGAAACCACCUAACCUAGUUAUUUAAUUGGUUCAGUUCUAUCAAUAAUGAAUUAGUCCAAGUAAAUGAUUAAGUGUAUACAUGCUUUAAAUUUAAGACCUACUUGGACUUAUGGCAACCCCAAUAUGUUGGUAGCAUAUUUUGAUAACCAUAGGAGAAAGUCAUCAUCCACUCAUGGUUACAACAUGAAUGAUAACAUGAGUUGGACAAAAUUAAUUAUUGCAUUCAACCCAAGUUAGAUAUACUUAUAACAUAUUUUGAUAACCAUGGGAGCAAUUCAUUAUUCACUCAUGAUUACAAUAUGAAUGAUAAUAUGAGUUGGACAAAAUUAAUUAUUGCAUUCAACCCAAGUUAGAAAAAAUCAAAUAUUGCAUUUGGGAAAACACUAUAAAGUGGUUUAUUGUUUCUGUUCUUAAACACAUAACAAGAGUUCAAGGAAUAGUUAGAAAUUUGGUGUAACAAAAUUGAUGACUACUCAAAAAGUGCUAUUUGAUAGCUUGUAAUUAACUCUUUUGAAAACUUUUGAGUAGUAGUUAUUGCCUUUUAACCCAAUUAACAUGUUAAGGACCCUUGCAAUCAAUUCUAAUCAAAUUGUGUUAAGUUUUGGUGUUUUGAUAGCUUUUUGAUCACCAAAGCUAUCCAAGAUUGAGGAGAGUUCUUUGGAAUCCAUGGCAAAGCAAUGGAAAGCUCAAAUUCAUGAAGAACCAAGCUUUGGAGCUCCAUAGCCCUUUUCCAAAGUCGUUCAAAGUAUGCAAGGAAAGAACAACGGAGAGAGGAAAAACAGAGUGAAGAAAACAGAGGACAGCAGCUGCAGUCUUCUUUUGCACUUUUAGAGCAAUUCCCGAAGUCCAUUUUCUACAUUCUAUAUGUCAUUUACAAGCUCAGGAAGUCAACAAUCCAAUGCUUCAAAUGGUACGCAAUUUGGAGUUGAAACGAAGAAGUUACAGCCACUGCAAGUCAAUCACUCUAAGCUCAAGAAAGCAUUUUGCAAAAGUGUUGCGAAAUCACCCUUUUGUUGCGAAGUGAUUUCGCAGCCUUUUUGUACAGUGUGGUGGAUUUCCUCCUGAAGUUGCCCGAUAUAUGCGACAAGUUGGAAGCUGAGAACCUCAAGAUGAAAGACAACUUCGCAGCCCUGCGAGAAUACCCUUUUGCUGCGAAGUGAUUUCGCAGCCCUUUCUGUGCAUCUGCGAAAUCUCGUAGACCUCGGUUGCACCUACGAAAUGGUCCCUAAUGCUUCCCGAUAUUUGCGAUCGACUCUUUUAGAUAUUUUCUUCAGAUAUUUUAGUAUAAAUUUCCAUUCUUCUCCUUGUAAUCCACCAACCAUAAGAUUUCUUAGUUAGGAAGGUUGGAAAAACGUCUCUAUAUAUAUUCCCUUGCAUCCACUAUAAUAGAUAUGUAGAAAUAGAUAGAUAUAUCAUAUAUAGAAUCAACGAACAGAGCACUUCCUCUGUUUUUCAUAUAUAUUCUUGUUUUCUCGUUAGUUUUCUUUCUAGCCAAUCAUUCUCUGAGGAUUUUUCCUCAGAGGAUGAGAGGCUAGGCUCUUUGUCUCUUGGAGUGAAGAUAACCGGGUAAGUUUCCGAAUGCAUAAAUUGGAAGUUUUGUUGUUUUAGUUUUUAAUGAAGAGAAAGUGUGACCCGUUAAUGGUUUUUAUCUUUUUAGUUAACUUAAAACGCCUUUAAAUCACCUGGGCCAACACUUGGUAAGGCAAGUGAUCUCCAUCCAUGGAGAUUCACUAGUUUACCCCUUGCGAGCCUUUGGGAGGUGACUUGAAGGUAGGAUUUUCUAGAAUAGCCAACACUUGGUAAGCUUUUGGACUCCAAGGAGACAUCCAUUAGUUAUCUCUUGCGAGCUUGUGACGGGUAAUCCAAGGUUAAAGAUCACCUUGAAUGGUAAGUGCUAGUGAGAGGCAUGAACCAUUGCAAGUUGUAUCAGUGAGAGGGAUUUAGUGUUUGAACCCAUUAAUGGGAAGCAUCUGUACAACACCGGUUGGAGAAGGAACUAUAUGUUAAUUCUCUAAUGCGAGGAAAAGAAACAAGUGACCGGAACUCUCUUUUUUGUAUGAGGAACCUGAGCCUAGUGAUCUGAACUCCAAGAAACAUUUUUCUUUGUAAGUAAAAUCAGUUACUAUUUUUGGUUAGCUUAAAACCAAUCCUUUUUCAUUCAAACAUCUUUAUGUUUUCUUUUAAAGCUAACCUUGAAAUGAAAAGGCACCAAUUCAGCUUUGAAUUAAUAUCAUUUGCAAAGUGAAAACCCAUCCCAGUGAACGAUCCUAGAGCCACUAUGCUAUAGUAGCUUUGUCUUUACUACCCUAGUAUAUGGUGUAAUAGGUUAUAAAUUUUGUUGAUUACUCCCUCAAUCAAGGAGCACCAGCUGGACACGAAUCAGCUGAGACACCAAUUGGGCACGAAUCAAAUGGCGCCGUUGCCGGGGAUCGAACCCCGAAUCAAAUGGUGUCGUUGCCACUGCCGCUGCUAGGGACGAAUCAAAUGGCGCCGUUGCCAGGGAUGGUGCCACUUUAUAGUGAUAUCACCUUUUCAGAGUACUUGUGAUCUUCAUCACAAGUUUUGGUGACUUUUCUUUUCCUUUUACUAACUCUUUUUAUUUCUUUAUUUUUCAUAUUUUAGUAUACCUUUUAUUUAGUUUUUAGUUUACCUUAAUUUUCUUUCUUUGGAUUGUUUUUCUUUUAUUUUCCUUUGUUUUCUCUGUUUUUAAUUCACAAAUUGCUAGUUAUGCAUGCCAUAUUGAAUACGAGAUAGUAGAGGAAGCCAUGAACUUCAUGAGUUAUGUGGCUGAAGUUUCAAGAGGAUGGGAUGAACCAAAUGCUCGAGAUAUGGGAAGAAUGAUGUCUCAACCUAAUGCUAAGGGUGAGAUGUAUAUUUUGAAUGACGGCAUAGACAUGAAGGCAAAGAUAGCAGCUAUGGCAAGGAGAUUGGAAGACCUAGAAAUGAAGAAUAUGCAAGAAGUGCAAGCCAUCUCUCAAACACCAUUGCAAGCUAUGCCUUGUGCCAUUUGUCUAUCUUAUGAGCACUUGGGGGAAGAGUGUCCUACCAUUCCAGCCGUGAGGGAAAUGUUUGGUGAUUGCAACACCUACAAUUCCAAUUGGAGGGACCAUCCAAAAUUCUCUUGGAAACCACAGCCGCCUCAGUACAAGCAAGAUGUUCAAGCACUUCCGCAAGCCUCAAGCCUUGAACAAGCUAUGGUAAAUCUUAGCAAGGUCGUGGGAGACUUUGUUGGAGCUCAGAAAUCCAUCAAUGCUCAGCUCAAUCAAAGAAUUGACAGUGUAGAGAGUUCAUUGAUUAAAAGGAUGGAUGAAGUGCAAAAUGAUCUAUCUCAGAAGAUAGAUAAUCUCCAAGAUUCAAUCUCAAGGUUUGCCAACCUCAACACAAUGCAAGAGAAAGAAAACUCUCCUUCUCAACCCUAUCAAAAUUCCAUGAGUAUCCAUGAAAUGGAGACUAAGGAGGGAGAACCUUCACAAAAGAGGGAAGUCAAAGAAGUGAUCACUCUGAGGAGUGGUAAAGAGGUUGAUCUGCCCACAUGCAAGCUAGAGCAUAAGGUAGAGAGUGAAACAAAGAAAGAAAAGAGGGAGGAAAUCAAAGGAAAGAAAAAGGGGAAAAGUACAGAGAAAGAUGACUAUAUAGAUGAAGAACCACAAAGGAUAGUCAUCAAGGAAGAAUUGAUGAAGAAACACAUGCCUCCACCUUUUCUCCAAGCUUUGUAUGGGAAAAUCAUACAAACCAAGUCUCAAGUGAGGGAUGCAAGCUUCAUAUGGGAUCCGGGCAAGCUAAAUCAGGAUCAAAUUUUUUGAUGGACUUAGUCUUUCUAAAGACUAGCUAGUCCAUAUCUUUUUGUUUUACUUAUUACUUGUUUUAAUUUUGAUUUCAAUGUUUUAAUUUUGAUUUCAAUGCUUUAAUUUUGAGUUCAAUGCUUUAAUUUUGAUUUCAAUGCUUUAAUUCUAAUUUAUUUUGAUGUAAUAUAGGUUUUUGGAUGAUCAAAAUCAAGAGGAAAUGCAAAGAAAUUGAAAGGAAGUCUUUCGGAGUCAAACGGAGUGAAAACAGAGCAAAAACAGAGAAAAACAGGGCAAAAACAGGGGUCUGCGAGAAUUUGCAGCCUCUGUGAAAUCAGCACUUUGCUGCGAAACCAGUUCGCAGCCAUAAGCCCCUCUCUGCAAAAAAUUUCGUAGCUGCGAAACCACUUUUGGCACACGAGUGCCACUUCGCAGCACAAGAGCUCCCAUUUCGCAGCUGCGAAACGGCUGCGAACCACCAAAGCAUGAAAGAUCCCAUUUUCGCAAGGAAAGCUCCAUUUCGCAAAGGAUUUCACAGCUGCAAAGCCACUUUUUGGCACACGAAUGCCAUUUUGCAGCACAAUGACCCUCAUUUCGCAGUUGCGAAACGGUUGUGAAAUGCCAAAACGUAAAAACUCCCAAUUUCGCAGCCAAAGCUCCAUUUCGCAGGGUAUUUCGAAGCUGCAAAACCACUUGUGCCAUUUGGAAGCCCCGUACACUCAUUUCGCAGCUGCAAAAUGGCUGCGAAACCUCCACACCUUAAAAUCCUUCAACGCGCACACCAUGAACAGACAUGUCACAGCCGCACCCCCAUUUCGGCAAUUGUUGGACACAUCUCGAUCACUUCCUGAAGUUCAAAAUUAUGCAUGCAAUAUCUGGUUUCAAAGCUUGGGAAGUCAGGAGUCCAUAGCUUCAAACAGUGCUCGAUUUGGAUUUGAAACGGAAAAGUUAUGGCCGUUUGAAGAUGACUGUGCAAACCAUGAGCGGAAAUAUCGCACCUCCAUUUCGCUACUUUUGGACACAUUUUUGAAGCACUUCUUGGAGCUCAAAUUAUGCAUACCAUAUCUCGUUUCAAAGCUUGGGAAGUCAGGAGUCCAACGUUUCAAACGGUACGUGAUUUGGAGGUGAAAUAAAGAAGUUAUAGCCGUUUAAAGAUGAGCGUGCAAAGUUGAGCGGGAAUUUCGCAGCCGAGACGCCAUUUGGAAGGGUGUUUCGCAGCUGCGAAACCACUUUUUGGCACACGAGUGCCAUUUUGCAGCACAGUUCCCCUCAUUUCGAAGCUGCAAUACAGCUGCAAAAUCACCUUUGAGCUGCGAAACCACUUUUUGGCACAUGAGAGCCAUUUCGAAGCCCCGUACACUCAUUUUGCAGCUGCAAAAUGAGCUGCGAAAUCAAUUUUGGGCUGCGAAAUCACUUUUGAGCUGCGAAAUGGCUAUGAAAUGAUCUCCAAGCUUUGAAAUGGCUGUGAAAUGAUCUCCAAACUUCGAAAUGGCUACGAAAUCACCUCCAAGCAUCGAAAUGGCCUUCAAAUUGCAAAAUUGACUUGCAAAAUGGAGGAAGGUUUGCAAAAACACCUUGCAAAGCCAAGGGAAGUUGCUAAAAUGCCAUCAGAGCCCCGCGACCAUGCAUCUGAAGAAAAGAGCCCCGCGCACCCUGGGAUCACACACACUAAGCCUCUCAUUCCAUUACUGACCUCCUUAAACCAUCAAAUCCCAUAGCUCCAACUAAGAGCUCCAGUUGAGGAGACUAUGCCAUCUAAGGAGACUACCAGAACAGAGGCCAAAGUCCUGAUCCAACCUAUUCAAGAGGCCACCACAGACACAUCAGCUCCGCAUGACCUUACCAUUACUUGAUUAUCUCUUUACUUUUUGUCUUUACAUAUUAUAUUAGUAUAGAUAAUUCCAUAUUUUGAUGUCUUAUAUUCUAGGAUUGGAUGUAUUACUGAUGAUGCAUCAUAUAUAGAUAUCAUUUUUUGUUUAAACUUGGCAUUUUUUUAUUUCUUCUACUCACUAACUCUUUUGUGUUUUUUUGAAACAUGUGGUUUCUCCUAUAUGACUCAGACUCCAUAUCACAUGAGGUACCACUUCCUUCCUCCUUAUUUUCGAUUCAAACAUUGAGGACAAUGUUCAUCUCGGUUGGGGGGAGAGAUGAGGAAGUAAGUAUUAGUUUAAAUUUUUAUCAUACUUAGUUAAAUUAGCUACUUUUUGUUUAAAUUUUAAAAUUUUUGCUUUAAACUCCAUGGAUAUUAAGGAUUAACUCUCAAAAUUAAAUGAGAGAAGUCGAGUUUCAACUUGAUUACAUGAGUCUUAGAGUUUGUAUUAUGCUCUUCUAAAAGUUGAUGAAUUGUUGAAACUCCCAUUGCAUGCAAACUUAUCUCUUCCACCUUAAGCUAUUCGCACACACAUACAUUAGAUUCCGGUUAUAAGAUGUGAAACUAUCUCACCCUCUAAGCUUGAGAAAUCAUAAUUCGACACCUUUAACCUCUCUUUAAUAGUGUUGGGACACCUCAUAAAGACCAAUGAGUCUUUGUAGAAAAAAAAAAAUUAUAGAAUAAACUUCUUUACUUACCUUAAAACCUGAGCAUGGUCCGAAGGGGUGGUGAAAGCCUUUAAAGCCUGGUGCCCUAAGCCUUUAUUGGUUGGGAGUCACCGAUCCUCUGCUUGUUACAUGGGUGAAUUGGUUAAGUUUAGUAAGUGAAAAGAAUUGUGAAUAAGAGGCGCGUUCCUAGCCUAUCAAGAGAUGGUUAAUUUUGCUAAGCUUAAAGAAAGACUUAGGUUGGGGGGAGAUGAUAGUUAUCCAUACUAUACUCGGAAGCUAAUCACAUUAACACUUAGCUUUUAGUGGAAGAAUUUGAUUUGGAUCUUUUGAGAGUGGAAAUUCUUUUGAUGCUUAAACUUGCAUAAUAUCCAUUCUUUGUACUCUAUGAUCAAGUGAAUGCUUUGACAACUCUUAUUAUAGGUUGAGUUUCACAUCUUUAUUGAUCCAUGGAUGUCCGUCAUGCCACUCAAUUAUUUUUUGGAGUGAUUUGCAUGACCUCUUUUAUGUAUAUUAUUAUGUUUGCUUAGUUUUUCUCUCCUUCAUUGCUAAGGGACUAGCAAUAUGUCGGUUGGGGGGAGUGAUUACUACUCAAAAAGUGCUAUUUGAUAGCUUGUAAUUAACUCUUUUAAACACUUUUGAGUAGUAGUUAUUGCCUUUUAACCCAAUUAACAUGUUAAGGACCCUUGCAAUCAAUUCUAAUCAAAUUGUGUUAAGUUUUGGUGUUUUGAUAGCUUUUUUUAUCACCAAAGCUAUCCAAGAUUGAGGAAAGUUCUUUGGAAUCCAUGGCAAAGCAAUGGAAAGCUCAAAUUCAUGAAGAACCAAGCUUUGGAGCUCCAUAUCCCUUUUCCAAAGUCGUUCAAAGUAUGCAAGGAAAGAACAACGGAGAGAGGAAAAACAGAGUGAAGAAAACAGAGGACAGCAGCUGCAGUCUUCUUUCUCACUUUUGGAGCAAUUCCCGAAGUCCAUUUUCUACAUGCUAUAUGUCAUUUCAAAGCUCAGGAAGUCAAAAAUCCAAUGCUUCAAACGGUACGUAAUUUGGAGUUGAAACGAAGAAGUUACAGCCACUGCAAGUCAAUCACUCUAAGCUCAAGAAAGCAUUUUGCAAAAGUGUUGCGAAAUCACCCUUUUGUUGCGAAGUGAUUUCGCAGCCUUUUUGUACAGUGUGGUGGAUUUCCUCCUGAAAUUGCCCGAUAUAUGCGACAAGUUGGAAGCUGAGAACCUCAAGAUGAAAGCCAACUUCGCAGCCCUGCGAGAAUACCCUUUUGCUGCGAAGUGAUUUCGCAGCCCUUUCUGUGCAUCUGCGAAAUCUCGCAGACCUCGGUUGCACCUGCGAAAUGGUCCCUAAUGCUUCCCGAUAUUUGCGACCGACUCUUUUAGAUAUUUUCUUCAGAUAUUUUAGUAUAAAUUUUCAUUCUUCUCCUUGUAAUCCACCAACCAUAAGAUUUCUUAGUUAUGAAGGUUGGAAAAACGUCUCUAUAUAUAUUGCCUUGCAUCCACUGUAAUAGAUAUGUAGAAAUAAAUAGAUAUAUCAUAUAUAGAAUCAACGAACAGAGCACUUGCUCUGUUUUUCAUAUAUAUUCUUGUUUUCUCGUUAGUUUUCUUUCUAGCCAAUCAUUCUCUGAGGAUUUUUCCUCAGAGGAUGAGAGGCUACGCUCUUUGUCUCUUGGAGUGAAGAUAACCGGGUAAGUUUCCGAAUGCAUAAAUUGGAAGUUUUGUUGUUUUAGUUUUUAAUGAAGAGAAAGUGUGACCCGUUAAUGGUUUUUAUCUUUUUAGUUAACUUAAAACGCCUUUAAAUCACCUGGGCCAACACUUGGUAAGGCAAGUGAUCUCCAUCCAUGGAGAUUCACUAGUUUACCCCUUGCGAGCCUUUGGGAAGUGACUUGAAGGUAGGAUUUUCUAGAAUAGCCAACACUUGGUAAGCUUUUGGACUCCAAGGAGACAUCCAUUAGUUAUCUCUUGCGAGCUUGUGACGGGUAAUCCAAGGUUAAAGAUCACCUUGAAUGGUAAGUGCUAGUGAGAGGCAUGAACCAUUGCAAGUUCUAUCAGUGAGAGGGAUUUAGUGUUUGAACCCAUUAAUGGGAAGCAUCUGUACAACACCGGUUGGAGAAGGAACUAUAUGUUAAUUCUCUAAUGCGAGGAAAAGAAACAAGUGACCGGAACUCUUUUUUUUGUAUGAGGAACCUGAGCCUAGUGAUCUGAACUCCAAGAAACAUUUUUCUUUGUAAGUAAAAUCAGUUACUAUUUUUGGUUAGAUUAAAACCAAUCCUUUUUCAUUCAAACAUCUUUACGUUUUCUUUUAAAGCUAACCUUGAAAUGAAAAGGCACCAAUUCAGCUUUGAAUUAAUAUCAUUUGCAAAGUGAAAACCCAUCCCAGUGAACGAUCCUAGAGCCACUAUGCUAUAGUAGCUUUGUCUUUGCUACCCUAGUAUAUGGUGUAAUAGGUUAUAAAUUUUGUUGAUUACUCCCUCAAUCAAGGAGCACCAGCUGGACACGAAUCAGCUGAGACACCAAUUGGGCACGAAUCAAAUGGCGCCGUUGCCGGGGAUCGAACCCCGAAUCAAAUGGUGCCAUUGCCACUGCCGCUGCUAGGGACGAAUCAAAAAUUAUUGGGGUUUGUUUAGUUCUUCGAACAUGUUGAAAUUUAUUGUAGUGGAAGAAAUAUAUCUUGAAAAUUUUAAAAAUUAGUAUAUACACAUUUCAUUUAUAGAGUUGUUUUUUUCUUUACUAUUUGUCAAUAUUAGUUAUAUGUAAACUCUCAAUUAUUUUUGCAAGUUGAGCAUCUAGAACGUGAGUUGUAACCAUCCUUAUGCAUUUUGAAGAAAGAUGAUGUAGAACUAGAUGCAGCAAAAGACUAUGAACAACUCAAAGUUGAAAAAGAAAUUGUAAAAUUUUUGGUUUUUUGAACAAUUUCAACUAAAUUUAAUGCUAAGCAAAUUCAUAAUUGAUUAUGUCUAACGUUUAUUGGUAAAUUUUAAUAUUGAAAGAGGAACACCACAAUUAGUACUUUUUCUCCUAGGACUUUCUUAAAUUAACUUUUUAUUACUCAUUCAUUGUUUGUGGAAAAUUAUAAAAUAGGGCAUAAUUAGGACUUUUAUGGGUUAUUAAAAUUUCGAAUGAGAUAAGAUUACACUUUUUAAAAGUGUCAUGCUUUGUUCUCAUAGGAUAUUAAAGGCAAAAGAUGACACUUAUUAAGAGUGUCAAAUGUCAACGUCACUUUAAUCUAUACAAUAAUGCCUUUCAUAAGCAUCAAGGUUGAGGAUUUCAAAACAUGCUUUUUUCGAGCAUCAAGGUUGAAAAUUGCUAUAAGAUGACACUUAUCAAUCGUGUCGAUGUUGCUCCUACCUGUACAAUGACGCUUUAUCGAGUGUCAAUAUUGAGAUGAAUGAAAUUGCAAACUUAUAAUGACACUUAUAGAGGGCCAAGGUUUAGACUAAUGAAGCUUUCUAUGAGCGUCAUGGUUAACCGCCAAAGAAGAUGGCGCUUGUGAAAAGCAUCAACAAUUGGGAAUUCAUAUGAUGACAGCCUAAGAUAUGAUGCUUUUGGAAAGCAUCAUCUUAUAUAUCUAUCUUGACGCUUAAAAAACAUCAUCUUUUGACAUUUUUCCUUGUAGUGAAUGGAUUUCAUUGGAGCACAUCAAACCUUGUAUUACAAAUUUGUAGAACUUUGAUGACCUCAAUAGAAAAGCCAAUAGUUGAUUUCAACCCCUCUAGACUCAUACUCUUUAGUAGACCUUCAAAGCCCACAUUACACGACUUGAACUAUGAAAACCAAACCACACUAGGGUUUUCUCACCCACAAUCUGAUCAUUGUAUAGUACAUGAUUUAUUUUUUUGUCUCGUCCUUACCCAAAAGUUUGUUUGAAUCUUCUACAUAUUGUGACAUCCAAUAUCAAAAUCCAAAAAAAAAAGUAGGAAGUAACCGAACAUGGUAAAGGGCUUUUAAAUAAUCAUAAUUAGCUUUCCCUAUUUGAACACAUUAUUGUUAAGUUCCCUAGGGGUUAUCAUUAAUAGCUUUUUCUUGUAUAUCCUAAUCUGGCUCUAAUCUCUUGAUAACCUCCUUUAAUCCAAUUUUAAUUUUUGGAUGGUUGGAGAAAUACUUUGAAUAUUGGAACAUUGGAUUUAAAAAAUAUGUUGCCAUAAGUUAAAUAAUGAUCAGUUUAUAAUAAUUUGUACUUUAAAAAAUAAUAAAAAAUAUAUAAAGAAUUUUUUUAUUACCUACAACAUGCAAAUAUCUGUGCAAUUGACAUUCUCACCUUCUAUCAAUGACUUCCCAAUACUUUUCCCAUUGCUUGACCGAUGCCUUGAUAACCAAUUUAGUUUUGGCCAUUGCUUCAUAAAUGAUUGAUAGUGUGGGCUUUUUAUCUUGAUCAACCAAUUUCAAUACUUUGACGAGAGGUUCCAUGAUGGUUUGAACUUCCCCUACCUUCUUAAAAAAUCGAUCAAUUAAGAUAAGGUUGGAUACCUUAUCUCUUAGACUUUUUCUGCUCUUAUCUUUAUUGAAUUCAUUCCACUCAUUUGUUGUGCACAUUCUCUUCAAAUCAGCCUCAUAACGUAUAAGACUCUCAAGCGAAAUGAAUUUAGUGGAAAAACGGUCUAUUCUUGGUCUUAAAAGAUCUUCAUCCUUGGUGAACACUUUCAUCAAAUUCACUACUUUCAAGCUAUUAUAAAUAAAUCCUUUGAUCAUCUUUGCUUGAUCUAAUGUCUCUUUAAUCUGCUUCAUGCUUGCAAUAUCUUCAAGCAUUAAAUCAAUACAGUGGGCUGCAUAAGGAGACCAAAACAAAUGUUUCUACUUCUCCAUCAACAACAUACCGGUUGCUUUAAAACUUGUCUCAUUAUCAGUGACUACUUAAACAACAUUUUCCUCCCCAACCUCCUCUACAACUUUAUCUAUAAGGGAAAAGAUGCAAUCUACUAUCUUAGGUAUGUUGGUAGUGUCAACUAAAAAAUGGUAUAUCAUACUUCUAUCACAAUUAAUCAUGAAUCGAUGAUAGGAUUUCUAGUCCUAGAACUCUAACCAUCACACAUGAUUGUGCACCCAUAUGUAGGUCAUUUAACCUUCAAUGUUGUUAUAUAUACCUCAAGCUCUUGCACCUCCUCUUCCAAAUAUGUAUUUCCAAUUUGGUAUCCUGUGAGACCCUUGAUGCCUGAACCUGCUUCUGCUAUGGUAUCAAUCAUUGAUUGAUAGUAAGUCCUAGUGUCAGUUGCAUUAAAGGGUAUUGCAUUAAAGAGAAAGAAUUUAGAAAUAGCUUUACCCACUUUUUUCACGUCUUCAGUAGAAAACAAGCUUUUUAUUGAUUUCUACUUUGAUGGGAACAUGUAGGGAUCAAUUCUUUUUGGAGGUAUGCUAGCUCCUUCUCUUACACUGAAGCUACAUGUUGGUCCGCGCUUAAUCCUAGCAUUAGAAGGUUGUGAGGAACUAGCACCCUUCUGAUGCUCUUGUCUACCUUCUUCAAAAAUUCGACAACUUUCUUUCAUUGCUAGUUUCAUUUGUCUUCUUUCAAAAUCAGUCAUAGCAACUUCCUCAAUUUCAUCAUCAAAAUCACCCUCAUCAAUUUCAUAAAAAUUUUCUUUAUUUAAGGAACUCAAACGCAGUUCUUUUUUUUUUUUCUUUAAUUGUGCUUUUUCUUUUGAAGUAUCAGACAUAUGUUGUCUAGCACUAUGUCACACUUCUACCGGUACACGUGGACAUCCUUCCACUUGUCCGAAUAUGUGCGAUGUGUUGCUUUAAUCUUGUUAUACCGACAUGUAUAACUUUCUAACAAUAUUUACACUUCGUGGUUCUUUUACUACAACCAACAGGUUCUGCAUGCUCCCAACCAAUAUCAUGUUUUGAAGCCAUUUUGAAAUUUUAACCUAACCAUGUAUAAAAGGAAAACAACUUACUUUUCAAAUUAAAUAUAUAUAAACACAUUUAUAUAAGAAUUAUGAUAUUCAAUUUUCCACUCACUUAUAUGUUUCAUAUUGUUACCAUAUAAAAAUAAAUUAUACUAAAAAAGCAAUAAACACGAUCUCAGCUAAGUUCACCAUCGUUUAUUUUCCACGUAUUUAUAUGUUUUUUUUAAUUAAAAUAAAUGAACAUUUUUAUAAAAAAAAAUCUUUUAAAAAAGUUUGUUUUGAUAAUUAUUGAUUUCUUAUUGUAGUUUAAUUAUAGAAUAUUAUAAAAUAAAAUAUCUACAUGAUAUAAUGAAGUAAAAUUGAUUUAAAUAUAAAUGUAAUUUCUCUAUACCAUGUAAAAGCAUACCCUUCAACCCGUAUUAUUAAAUCAUUACUUUUAUAGUUAUGAUUAUUUAAAAAAAUUGUUUUAAAUAAUUAUUAAUUUUCUAAUGUAAUUUAAUUUUGCAAUAUUAUAAGAUAAAAACAUAAAUUAAAAAUAUAAUAUCUAUACCAUAUAAAUGUAUUUUAUAUUAAGAAAUAUAAUUUCUAUACUAUACAAAAAUAAUUUAGUGAACCAAUUUAAUAUUAUAAGAUAAAAAAGUUACAUAAUUUAAUAAAUUAAAAAUAUAAUCUCUAUAAAAAAUAAAAACAUUACAUAUAAAUAUAUUUAAUAUCAUCAUAAUAUUAUCAUUAUGAAUUCUCCAAUUUCAUAUAAACAUUACUUUCCAAUUCUUCAAUUUCAUAACAUUACAUCUAAGCAUUACUUUACACUACAUACAUGAAUUUCCUAAUUUUACCAAUUUAAAUACAUGUAAAUCAAUUUAAUAUUAUAAAUUUAAAAAAUUACAUAAUUUAAUAAAUUAUAAUUAUAAUCUCAACAUAAUAAAGUAAAUCAAAUUUUAAAUAUGUUUUUAAUUGAUUCAAAUUAUGUAAUUUUUUUAAUCUAAUCUCAAAUUAUGAAUCAAAUUAGCCAGUAAAAUAUAAUUUACCAAUUUAUAUAAUUUGAUUCAAUAAAUUAAAAAUAUAAUCUCAACGCGGUGUGAUUGUGUCAAAUUUUAUCUUCACCAAUAUAUCUUCAAUUUCCUUUUUGUUGGCUUGUCUUCCCCAAUGACCCAACACACUACGAUUUGUUGGCUAUCUUCCCCAAUACACCACAUUUUGCAGAUUGUCAGACCUUCCCCAACACACCCACACUACCACACACAGUCACACGUUUGUAGUAGUCAUGACACCACACAACCACAAUCAGAGGAAAGAGAGUUGCCUUACCGGCGUCCAAUCACUGUUGCGGCACUAGUGGUGCACCAAAGAUCUACACUCUGACAAUGGUAGAUUUUGGGUCAAGUAAGUAAAUGUUCAACCAUGUCUCAUCCUUUGUUGAUUUUUCUCUUUUUAAAGGCUUUUGAAAGGGUCACAUGUUUGUUUCAAACUUGGUUUUUUUCUUCUUCUCGUUUGAUGUUGUGGUUGAAAGAUUGGGUUCGUGAAUCACAGAUUCAUGGGUGUUUUCUUUUGUAGAGGAAUCUCUUAUUUCUCUGAAAAUCUUUUAUUCUUGUUGUGAUGGGAAAUGACAAUGAAUCUCUUGAUUAGUUUUUUUUUUUUUUAAUCGAGUCUGCCAAGUUAACUCGGAAUAUCAGCCAAGUCAUUCGAGUCCAAUCGAUUCAAGGUCGAGUCUAGGUAUAAAUUUAUCUCUGGUAUCAUACUUCACGUUGCCGACGUCGAAGCGGAUACGACUCGACUGAUUUUUUGAACCUUGACUCUGAUAGUCAUGAAUAUGACCUAUUUGUUUAAGUUUGAUGAGGUCACCAAAGAGGUCUAUUAGUUACCAUUUUUCCUUUAAACUAAAGUUGUUAGAAUUUGAACCCACAAAGUAUAUUAUAUGCUAACACCUCCCUCACAUGUGACCCCAUACUUGCAUGUAGGAAGCAUAUAGCAAUAACUGUGGAAAUCAUAAUGCAACCUACAGUUUGCUUGAGAUCUAAUACCAUGUUAAGUUAUCAACUUUUUCUACAAGAUUAAGCUAUUAAAAUUUGAACCCAAGAUGUGUAUCAUACUCUAUCAAAGUCUUUGGAUUGAGUGGGUCCAUGACUCUAUAAUGUGUAUACAAACCCUCUUUAAAAACUUACCAUGUGAUGAACCUCCUCUUCUUUAACAAUUAACACCAUGAUUGGGCAUCUCCUUCUAAAAAAGGAUUAAAAGAUCAAAAAUGAUGAAAAUACUAGUGAUUAGAUUUUUCAAAAUAUUGCAAAAUAUUGGAAAUAUUGAACCAAAAUUUGGACAAAAGAUAUUGAUAGUACGAAAAUUGAUUAAACAUAGAAAUGUUAAGAAAAACUUCAAGAAAUGAUAUUACUACUUCAAUAAUACACAUAUUAAAGUUGUUUAAUAUAUAUAUAUAUAUGAAAGAAUUGGUUUUUUUUAUAGGUAAUAAAAAGGUACUUGCAUUAAAAGUUUUUAAAACACGACAAAACAAGUACACACAAAGUAUACAAACAAAGCCCAAAAAAAACUAGUUUGUAAGGAAGAAAAAAGAAAAAAAAACAAAAUAUUUCCCUUACCUGACAAAUAACUAAUCUACAAAAUCAAUCAAAGAUGUGUGAUCCUCUAUAUACACCCUAACUCAAUUCACAAAAGUAUACAUGAAAAUAGAUUUAAUUACUUGGUCGGACCACUCGACGUCAUUGAAAUCUCUUUUAUUCCUUCCUUUCCAAAUACUACACAAUAAGCAUAAGGUGGCAGGCCUCCACUCUUUCUUCCAUUUUUUUACCCAUAAAAGAGUUGUGUCAACCCUAACAGAUUUCUUCUAACUAAGGAAUGCAUAACUAGGGUUCAAAAAAUCGGUUGAGUCCGAUACAACUCAAUUGAGUUGUAUCUGCCUCAACGUCGAUCGCGACAAGUCCAAUACCAAAUACAAAUUUAUACCUAGGCUCAACCUUGAAUCGGUUGAACUCGAAUGACUCAGCUAAUAUUCCAAAUUAACUUGGCAAACUCGGUUAAAAAAAAAAACAAAAACAAAAAACCUAAUCAAUAGAUUCUCUCUCAUUUCCCAUCACAACAAGAAUCAAAUAUUUUUAGAGAAAUUAGAGAUUCCUCUGCAAAUAAUAAUAAUAAUUAUUAUUAUAAUUAAAUUUUUUAAAAGAAAAAGUCAACCUUGAAUCUAUGAUUCACGAACCCAAUCUUUCAAUCACACAUCAAACGAGAAGAAGAAAAAACCAAGUUUGAAGCAAACCCAUAACCCUUUCAAAAUCCUUUAAAAAGAGAAAAAUCAACAAAGGAUGAGACAUGGUUGAAGAUUUACUUACUUGACCCAAAAUCUAUCAUAGUCAUAGUGUAGAUCUUUGGUGUGCCGUCGGUGCCGCAACGGUGACUAGACGCCAACAAGGCAACCCUCCUUCCUCCGAUUGUGGGUGUGUGGUGUCAUGACUGCUACAAAUGUGUGACUGUGUGUGGCAGUGUGGGUGUGUUGGGGAAGGUCCGGCAGUCUGCAGAACAUGGUGUGUUGGGGAAGAUAGUCAGCAAAUCGUGGUGUGUUAGGUCCUUGGGGAAGACAAGCCAACAAAAAGGAAAUUGAAGAUAUAUUGAUAAAGGUAAAAUUUGAUUUACCUUAUUUAAAUCAACACACCCACACAGUCACACCACGUUGAGAUUAUAUUUUUAAUUUAUUGAAUCAAAUUAUAUAAAGUGGUAAAUUAUAUUUUGCUAGCUAAUUUGAUUCAUAAUUUGAUAUUAGAUUAAAAAAAAUUACAUAAUUUGAAUCAAUUAAAAAUAUAUUUAAAAUUUGAUUUACCUUAUUAUGUUGAGAUUAUAUUUUAAAUUUGUUAAAUUAUGUAAUUUUUUAUUUUGUAAUAUUAAAUUGAUUUACAUGUAUUUAAAUUGGUAAAAUUAGGAAAUUCAUGUAUGUAGUGUAAAGUAAUGUUUAGAUGUAAUGUUAUGAAAUUGAAGAAUUGGAAAGUAAUGUUUAUAUGAAAUUGGAGAAUUCAUAAUGAUAAUAUUAUGAUGAUAUUAAAUAUAUUUAUAUGUAAUGUUUUUAUUUUUUUAUAGAGAUUAUAUUUUUAAUUUAUUAAAUUAUGUAACUUUUUUAUCUUAUAAUAUUAAAUUGGUUCACUAAAUUAUUUUUGUAUAGUAUAGAAAUUAUAUUUCUUAAUAUAAAAUACAUUUAUAUGGUAAACUUUAUAUGGUAUGGAUAUUGUAUUUUUAAUUUAUGUUUUUAUCUUAUAAUAUUGCAAAAUAAAUUACAUUAGAAAAUUAAUAAUUAUUUAAAACAAUUUCUUUUUUCAAAUAAUCAUAACUAUAAAAGUAAUGAUUUAAUAAUACGGAUUGAAGGGUAUGCAUUUACAUGGUAUAGAGAAAUUACAUUUAUAUUUGAAUCAAUUUUACUUUAUUGUAUCAUGUAGAUUUUUUAUUUUAUAAUAUUCUACAAUUAAAUUACAAUAGGAAAUCAAUAAUUAUCAAAACAACAAUUGGUUCACUAAAUUAUUUUUGUAUGGUAUAGAAAUUAUAUUUCUUAAUAUAAAAUACAUUUAUAUGGUAAACUUUAUAUGGUAUAGAUAUUAUAUUUUAAAUUUAUGUUUUUAUCUUAUAAUAUUGCAAAAUUAAAUUACAUUAGAAAAUUAAUAAUUAUUUAAAACAAAUUUUUUUUCAAAUAAUCAUAACUAUAAAAGUAAUGAUUUAAUUAAACAUAUUGAAGGGUAUGCAUUUACAUGGUAUAGAGAAAUUACAUUUAUAUUUGAAUCAAUUUACUUCAUUAUAUCAUGUAGAUUUUUUAUUUUAUAAUAUUCUACAAUUAAAUUACAACAGGAAAUCAAUAAUUAUCAAAACAAACUUUUUUAAAAAAAUUUUGUUUUAUAAAAAUGUUCAUUUAUUUAACUAAUAUUUAUUUUAAUUAAAAAAACAUAUAAAUAAGUGGAAAAUAAAAUAUGGUGAACUUAGGUGAGAUCGUGUUUAUUGUUUUUUUAGUAUAAUUUAUUUUUAUAUGGUAACAAUAUGAAACAUAUAAGUGAGUGGAAAAUUGAAUAUUAUAAUUCUUAUAUAAAUGUGUUUAUAUAUAUUUAAUUUAAAAAGUAAGUUGUUUUCCUUUUAUACAUGGUUAGGUUAAAAUUUCAAAAUGGCUUCAAAACAUGAUAUUGGUUAGGAGCAUGCAGAACCUAUUGGUGGUAGUAAAAGAACCAUGAAGUGUAAAUAUUGUUAGAAAGUUAUACAUGGCGGUAUAACAAGAUUAAAGCAACACAUCGCACAUAUAUUUGGACAAGUGGAAGGAUGUCCACGUGUAUUGGUAAAAGUGUCACAUAGUGUUAGACAACAUAUGUCUGAUACUUCAAAAAAAAAAGCAUAGUUAAAGAAAAACAAAAAGGAACGACGUUUGAGUUCCUUAAAUAAAGAAAAUUUCUAUGAAAUUGAUGAGGGUGAUUUUGAUGAUGAAAUUGAGGAAGUUGCUAUGGCUGAUUUUGAAAAAAGACAAAUGAAACAAGCAAUGAAAGAAAGUUGUCGAAUUUUUGAAGAAAGUAGACAAGAGCAUCAGAAGGGUGCUAGUUCCUCACAACCUUCUAUUAAGCGCAAACCGACAUGUAACUUUAGUGUAAGAGAAAGAGCUAACAUACCUCCAAAAGGAAUUGAUCCCUACAUGUUCCCAUCAAAACAGAAAUCAAUAAAAAGUUUGUUUUCUACUGAAGGCGUGAAGAAAGUGGGUAAAGCUAUUUCUAAAUUCUUUCUCUUUAAUGCAAUGCCCUUUAAUGUAGUUGAUAAUGGGCCUUACUAUCAAUCAAUGAUUGAUACCAUAGCAGGAGCAGGUCUAGGCAUCAAGGGUCCUAUGGGAUACCAAAUUGGAAAUACACAUUUGGAAGAGGAAGUGCAAGAGCUUGAGGUACAUAUAACAACAUUGAAGGCUAAAUGGCCUAUAUAUGGGUGCACAAUCAUGUGUGAUGGUUAGAGUUCUAGAACUAGAAAGCCUAUCAUCAAUUUCAUGAUUUAUUGUGAUAGAAGUAUGAUAUACCAUUCUUCAGUUGACACUACCAAAAUACCUAAGAUAGCAAACUACAUCUUUUCCCUUAUGGAUAAAUUUGUAAAGGAGGUUGGGGAGGAAAAUGUUGUUCAAGUAGUCACUGAUAAUAAGACAAGUUUUAAAGCAGUCGGUAUGUUGUGGAGAAGCGGAAGCAUUUGUUUUGGUCUUCUUAUACAGCCCAUUGUAUUAAUUUAAUCCUUAAAGAUAUUGCAAGCAUGAAGCAGAUUAAGGAGACAUUAGAUCAAGAAAAGAUUAUCACAAGAUUUAUUUAUAAUAGCUUGAAAGUGUUGAAUUUGAUGAAAGUGUUCACCAAGGAUAGAGAUCUAUUAAAGCCAGGAAUAACCCGUUUUUCCACUAAAUUCAUUUCACUUGAGAGUCUUAUAUGUUAUGAGGCUGAUUUUAAGAAAAUGUGCACAACAAAUGAGUGGCAUGAAUUCAAUAAAGAUAGGAAUAUAAAAAGUUUAAGAGAUAAGGUAUCCAACCUUAUCUUAACUGAUCGAUUUUGGAAGAAGGCAAGGGAAGUUCAAAUCAUCAUGGAACCUCUCAUUAAAGUAUUGAAAUUGGUUGAUCAAGAUAAAAAGUCCACACUAUCAAUAAUUUAUGAAGCAAUUGAUGGAGCUAAAUUGGCAAUCAAGGCAUCGGUCAAGCAAUGGGAAAAGUAUUGGGAAGUCAUUGAUAGAAGGUGGGAAGGUCAAUUGCAUAGACAUUUGCAUGUUGCAGGUAAUAAAAAAAAAUUAUAUAUUUUUUAUUAUUUUUUUCAAGUACAAAUUAUUAUAAACUGAUCAUUAUUCAACUUAUGGCAGUAUAUUUUUUAAAUCCAAUGUUCCAACAUUCAAAGUAUUUCUCCAACCAUCCGAAAAUUAAAAUUGGAUUAAAGGAGGUUAUCAAGAGCUUAGAGCCAAAUUUGGAUAGACAAGCAAAAGCUAUUAAUGAGGUAUAAUAAUAGUUUGUGACCUUUAUAUAAUACAUUUUGUAUAUGUAAUGUGUAUUAACAAAAAAAAAUGUUAAUGUAGGUGAAAUUAUUCACUGACAGCUAAGGAGAAUUUGGAAGUGCACUUACAAAGAAAACAAUAAAUCAAUCUCUUCCAAGUACUCAAUACAUUUACAUCUAUAAAAAAUAAGAAAUUAUCAUCCUUUUUUGUUAAAAAUAUCAUAGUGACUAAUAAGUAUGCAUUUUCUUUAUUAUAGCUUAAUGGUGGAACAACUAUGGCAAUGAAGGACCACAUCUACAAAAGAUUGUUGUUAAAAUUUAAGCCAAACUUAUUCUUCAUCAGGUUGUGAAAGAAAUUGGAGCACAUGGUCAUUGAUUCACACAAAGCUGCUCAACCAUUUGACAAUGAAAAAAUUGCAAAGUUAUUUAUGUGCACUACAAUAUACGACUUCGAGUUAAGAAUUUGAUGCAAUAGCAAAACAAUGAAGAUUUAUACAAUCCAAUUUAUCUUAAUCAUAUCUUUAAUGAUGAUAUAUUAGAUGAGUGGAUACAAGAAGGAGAGGAGCCUAUUUUAUCAUAUGAUAAUUUGGAUUGGUUGGAUAAAGGUCUUUCCCCUAAUGAAGAAGGUAGAGAAACGGUUCAUGAAAAUGAUGGUGCCAUAAAUCGUAGAGUUAGUAGGCGUACAAGUAAAGCUACACAAGAAAGAGAUAUUGAUUCCCAUCGUAAAGGUAAGGCUCCUAGAACAAUUUCGUCUAGUUCUAGUAGUGAUGAUGGUGACAAUGGGGGCAGUAGGUGGGGUGGUGGCACUAGUGGGGGCAGUAGAGGAGUUGGUGGCACUGAUGAGGGUACUAGAGGAGAUGGUAGCAUUGGUGGCGGUUAUGUUAGUCAAGUAGAUCCUGGCAUGUCAUGGGCACAAGGAAAUGAAAAUUACUAUGCCACACAAGAUACAGAUCAUGGAUAUCGACCAGGGAUAUGGGAACAACAAAAGCAUUUGGAAAGACUAACUACAUUUCCUAGUGGGCAGGAUUAUCAUAGAUCAAAUUAUCACCAUAUUGAUGAGCACUUACAGCAUUUGGGUAUAGGAUCAAGGCCGUAUUUCAAAGGAGUAGAUGAUAGACUAUAUCACAAUUUUAGAGAUCGUGAUAGUUCUUCCUGUACUUUUAGUAGAAAUGAUUUUGAUUGAUUUCCAAUGAUGCAUCCAAAGGAAUAUUCAAAUACUAGAACACAAGCUAGUGAUUCUUAUGGAUAUGAUCAAUCUUUUAGUAGCAGUAGCAUUGCUUAUCGAGGUUUUGGAUACUAUUAAUACGGUGUUGAUCCCGAACAACCUUUGAAACCAUAUUUUCUUAAUUAUGGAUCAUCAAGCCAAUCAUCUCAGCCAACAUAUUUGAGUUAUGAAGAACUCUUUCAACCAUAUUCUCACUACGGGGAUUACCAUUUUAAUUUGUAAACUCGUCAUAGGAUUGAUGAUGAUGAUUUUGAACCCCCUCGUCAUUCAACAUGGAAUUGAUUAUUGUAUUGUAUGUUUGUUAGUAAAAAUGUUAUUCUAUUUGAAAUAAAAUAAUUUUCUUUAUUAGCAUUAUCAUAAAUAACUUUGAAGGGAUACUUUUAUAACUAUUUAAAUAAUGUUAAAUUGAGAAAAUUUUAUUUUAUUAAUUUUUUGAGCUUAUUUAAUUGUUUUUUUUUUUUUUUUGUUGAUUUACAUAAUAUUUUUAUAAUUUUUUGAAUUUUCUAAUUAGCUUAUUUUACAUACCAUCCAAUACCAAGUCAAUACACGGAAACCGAUAUGCCUCGGGACCCUUCGAGUCAAUGAUCGAUACCGUGACUUUGAACCAUGUGCAUAACACACUAUACACCAAAGAGGGAGUAAGUAAAGUUCCAAAACAUUCUAGUCGGGUCACAAAACAGAAGUAGGUGAUUUGUAGUUUCCUUUUCUUUUUUUUUACACAAGUAACAUUUAUUUGGUAUGUUCCAACCCCUCUUUUUCAGCUGGUCAAGAGUCAAAAGUUUGCUCCAAGUCACUUCCCUAGAUAAAAUUUGAAUUUCUGAUAUUCAGUAAUAUGCAAAAUCUGAAAACAUAUUUACUAUUAAAAUAAUGAUCUAAUUAGUUUAGAUGUUGUUAAGGGUAAAAAUAGAAAUGAUGAUAUAUGUAUAGUUAUUUUUCAAUUUAAAAAUCUUUAUAAUUUUAUUUAUAAGUUUAUGUUUUUAAAUAUUUAAUUACUGUAUAAAAAAUAUUCAUUAAGAAGAUUAUUAUGAUGGUUUUUACAUUUUAAUUUCAACAAUCAAUCAAAUGGAAUUUGAAAAUAAGAUAAUUAAAAUUAAUUUAUUUUAAUAUUUUAUUUUUUGCAAGGAGAUGGUAAAAGAUUGUAUUAAUAGAGUUUAUAAUAUAUAUUAAAAGUGUGCAUCUAAAGAAAUAUCAAUUAUUUUGGUAGAUUUUCAGCUAGCCGAAUUUUUCACCCGAUUUUCCAUAUUUGGUUGUGUGAUACAUGAAAUUUCAGCAAUAUUUCGCCGAUACAUGAAAUUUGGGUGAUAUUUUGCCAAAAUUUUGGGAUAUUUUCAUCUGUGGUUCUAAAUGAUAAUCAACUAAUGAUACUUGCUCCUCUACACAUGGGUGUGCUGAAACUCAAAAGUUACUCAACGAGGCAUGUGCAACUAUGAGGGAAAUUUAAUUUGGCAAGCUUAGGAAGAAUUGAGUAAAGUGAGUUGAUUUGUCUCAAUUCCAAAUUGUCAUUAACUAGUCCAACCAUAUUUUGAUGGGUAUAACUCUCUCCUUCGCCACAACCUAGUAAAAGCUAUCAGAGAAAAUUAAUGUUAUCCUUAAUUUAAAUAUUGAUAUUUAUCUAUUUAUUAUAUAAUAGUUUGAAUUAGAAUAUAAUAUAAAAUUUGAAUUAGAGUAGGAGAUAGAGUUUGAAUUAUAGUAGGACUCAAAUAUAUUUGUAUAUAAAUAACUUUCAUCAUCAAUGAGAAUGGUAUGUCAUAUUUUCUUUCUCGAUAUGGUAUCAAAGUCUUCAAAUCCUAAACCCUAGUCUCAACUUGAACCAAAUUUAGGGUGCAAGGCUUAGGCCCAACAUGCCUCCCCCUUCCCCUACCCCUACCGCAAAUGGUAGUGACUUUGCUAUGCCUAUGUAUUGUCAAUGUCUCCUUCCCUAUGGUCUCCAAUGUAAUAUCGUAGUUUCAAUGCUUCUUUCCCUAUAGUCUCCAAUGCAAUAUUUUGAAAUACCUCUUCAUAGCCAAGAGCUCCAAAUUUUCUUGGUUCAAACCUACUAAAAGUUCCUUUUCCUUUGCUUCCUACCAGUAUUGGGUCCCUUAAUUUAACACGUACUUUUUUUUAUUACCUUCAACUAUACCUUCCUCUCUUUCUCUAAAAGCUUCCUCAAAGAUUUGAUUGUUUUCUUGCAUGUCUUAGGAAAACAAACAUGCUCUUCCUUCAACAAACUUUCUUUCUACAAGUUCCUUAAAGUUUCCUAAUCAUCUACUACAUUAUCUAGUUUGAUGCCAAAUAAGGUUCCUAAUCAUACUCUUCCUUCAACAAACUUUCUUUCUACAAGUUCCAUAAAGUUUUUAGAAAUUCGGCUUAGAAAGAUCCUACUACUUUUGCCUGAUCUUUUAGCCAUCAAGUCAAAUCCACAUGUCAUCUAGAUCCAAGGAGACAACCCUUCACAGAAACAAGGAGACCGCUCUCCAUUAAAACAAAGAGACCGCCUUCCACGAAAGGCUAAUACAUCACAAUCUAUUUUCUUUCUCUCAAGACCAAGAUUGGAAUCUUCGAUCGGAGCUCCAUCUUGCUGAGAAAAUUAAUGUUAUCCUUAAUUUAAAUAUUGAUAUUUAUGUAUUUAUUAUAUAUUAGUUUGAAUUAGAAUAGAAUAUAGAAUUUGAAUUAGAGUAGGAGAUAGAGUUUGAAUUAGAGUAAAACUCAAAUAUAUUUGUAUAUAAAUAUCUAUCAUCAUCAAUGAGAAUGGUAUGCCAUAUUUUCUUUCUCUAUAAAAUCUUAAGUUCAUGAUUGGGAACAUGUCUUGCAUUUCCCUCAAAGUUCUUUCCUACCAGAGCCUACUUCAUCUCUUCGGCCUCAAGUCUAUUAUCCAUUGGUCAUCAAUGUUUGAAUUUGGCUCUUCUAACAAGAUGUUAUCUUCAACUCAGACACAAUGACUGCCUCAUGCCUUUCUUGGGUCUAUAUUGAUAAAUUACAUAAAAGAGAAAGAAAUGUAGAAAAAAAGAAUGGAUAAUGGCUUUACUUUGAGGAGUACCUACCUCCCACAAACUCAGUAACAAUAAACUUUUCUCUGACAAUCUAAUUUUAUUGUGAAAGACUAAUAGGAAUGCUCAAUAGAUAGGAUAAUAUCACUCUUAAUGCCUAAGAAACUAAUCCACUAAAACUAAAUAAUACCUCUGUCUCUCUCGUAAAAGGUAGCUAACUGAUCAGUCAAAACUAAUUGCCUAAUCACUUCAAAUAUGUUUCAGUUAAAUAAGUGCCUAACUCUGUGUGGAUGGGUGUGUGGAUGUGGGUGUACUUGUAAUUUUAUACUAUGAUUUCUAUUUGUUUGAAUGAGGACUUGCUGUUGUCCAAUGGUUACUAUAUAAUCAAGAACGAACACUCUUUUGUUUGUGACUAGUCAUGGAAAAUUGGGACAAACUUGUAAACUUCUCUGCCAAGUGCUACACACUACUAUUCACUAAUGCGUAUUACUGUUUUUCACACACAUAUGCAAGUUGAAGCACUUACAUAAUUAUAGAACUGUUUUGGUUUAAAAAUUGAAGAGUACCCCUCCUUGGCAUUGAAGAAAAUUAUUACAAAAUAGUAGUAUAUGCUUUUAUGUCGACUAUUACUCCUUCCACCACAGCCUGGGUAGUUGUCAAAGUGUGUAUCUCUUCUUUCUGGUGUUGAACCAUGUAUAGUAAAAGAAUUCAACCUAUGAUUUUCUAUUUGCCCUAAUGCUGGCCUCAUAGCUGGUGAUAAUUUUACUGGCCACUAUUGAUUUGGCUGUGAUUGAAUGGACCUAAUUCAUUUAUUGCCUCAGCAAUAUGAGACCUUAGUGAAGGAACAAAUGUUGCAUGAGCUGUUUGCAUGCACUUGCCAUCUAUGCCAAAUAGGAAGACAUAGGUAUGCAUGCCAGUUUCGGUGUUUGUUUAGGUGCGAGACUGGUCUAAUUCCCAGAUCUUAGGACCUAGGGACAUUAAGUCAACAUGUAAAACACCUGUUCACAUGGGUUCUUCAUUAACUCCACACAUAUCAGCUAGAUCUGGCAAAACAUAUAGUUCAGCUGGAAAAUGUUGUUAUCAUCUUUUGGACACUUGUGUUAGGUGCAUAUCAGGUAGUAGGUGUUUGGAUGCAUAUCCCAUACCCAUACUCAUGCUGUCUCUUGUAUGAAAUGGGAAUUUAUCUGUGUAACACAAGUUGUUCUCUUCACAACAUUUCAUGGAAAAGAAAUCACUACAUGGUUACUUAUUUAAGCUUGGAUUGAUUUGAGUAUGAUCUUGGACUCAUCACCUAUUGCCGGUUUGACAGUCAGCAGACCUUCUAGUCCACAACAUAAAAAAUCCUAAUGGAAACAUCAGAAGCUGAGAACCUAAAAGUUAUUCUAAUACAAGCAAAUGAAUGAAACGGUUAAAGAAGAAUAUAUUGAGUGAAAGAGCCAUGCUAAAUUAUAUAUAAAAAGGUACGCAGAAGGCCCAGUUCAUCAUUUGCCUGUUGACCUCUCAUUUUUAAAACACUGCAUCUACUUGCCUUUUUAUCCUGUUAGCUGCCAGCAGAUGAAUAAUGUUCUUCAAUAUAACAAAAAAUAAAUAAAUAAAUAAUUAAAAAUAUGCUUUUUGACUUCCUCCGCUCUGCCUUUCCUUUUCUUUCAAAAUUUUAUUUGCUUGUGGGUCUUUAGCUCUCCUCCAUUGAAUUUGGGUGUUUGGAGAUAAAAAGUUUGCUUCUUGUAUUUGAGAAAAAGAAAGUGCAUAAAUUUGGUAGCCAUACACAUGUAGAUUCUCUCUCCCUCUCACCCUCUCUUUUAUGGCAACUUGAUAGGUGCAUAUUCCCAUUUCUGUUAUUAUAAAAGUUGACCCUCUCUUUUGUUUGAUCUUGGUAUAAUGUAUGUAUAGAAUUUCAGGGAGGGAGGGAAGGAGCAUUUGAGGCAAAGAGAGUGGUGGACAUCCAUCCCGAGUCCAGACAUGAGUCUAGCAUGUCUUGUGUGCCAGAGCGUAGAAAGCCCAUCUCAUUCAUUUAGGAGUUACUCGGUCUCAAGUUCAGACAAUGAAGGAAUAUGCUCUGCAAUUGCCAACUUCCUGGCCAGGAGGGCAUCUCUUCCAGCCCCAACAACAAACUCCUCGAUCAUACGGUCAUCCAAAGUGACACCACACCCAUCCAUCCCAAAAGGUAGCGGCAUUCCAGGGUCGCCAAGGCUGGUCCGAAGCUGUGCAGUGAGAAGGGAUAUUGUGAGGGACUGGAAUUUCGAGGAGGUAGUGAUGGAGCAUUAGUAUUUUACUAGUAGCAAGUAUGAAAUAUAGCUAGCUGCUUUGUUUUGGGUACAACUGGAUCCCCAGCUUCUUCUCUGUACAAGAAGAGUUUGAGCCUCUGUCUCUGCAAUCAUCCCAGACAAAAAUCCAAUGUGAAACUUUGUUCAUAUUUUGGCUAAUCGCAUUCCCUUCUAUAAUUGCUGCUGCUGCUUUCAGUGCCCCUCUCACUCCACUUUGUUUCCAUUUUCUAUUAUGCUUGCCUUCCACCAUUUUCAUGUUGAUUUGCUGCCUCCACUUCCCACGGCUCUUACCAAUUAUUCAUUUUCUUUUUUCUUUUUUUUUUUUAAUUAAUUACAUCAAUCUUAAAUAUACUUACAACCCUGCAUUAUGUUUGUUCCAAGUAAAGAAAUAUCCUUUACUUCGAUGGCGUCUAAAGUUCUUCAAACAAUGUGAUAUUUCGCACCAAGUAAAUCCUUAACUCUUUCCCCUCUUACUAAAAGACUACAUAUUGUUCUUGUGAAUUAUGACCAAUAUCUAAUAUAUAAACAGUGAUUUUAAAUCCAAAGGUUAAUCAUACUUGACAAUUUUACUCAAAGUUUGGUUUUUUUGGGGAUGAUAGUAGAAAAGUUGAUAGAUAAAUCACCUUUACCGCCACUCUUUAAAAUCAUAAAUGAGAUUUCCACCUCAUACAACUCUUUAUUCAAUUUUUUUGAAAUCAUUGGGCCUUUUCCUCGUCCGAGAAUCUCCUCCCCUCUUCCACUCCAUCCUAAAGAGUAACUAUGAGCAAUUCAAUCACAUUUUCAUGUUCCAAUUGAACACUUUCCAUUUUUUAUUAUUCUCAAAUCAAAAGAGAAUAUUAUUUUUACCAUAUAAAAAGUAUAAAUUUGUUUGUUUUUUAAUUAUUUAUCUUUAUAUAGAAGGGUUAAAAUAAAUUAAAUAAUAUAUAAAAAUAGUUUAUUAAUUUAAAUUUUUUAUUUAUUUUCUUUUUCUCAAUUUUCUUGAAUCAAACAUAACCUUAAUUUUUUUUUAAAAAAAAAUUAUAACCAUGUUACAUAUAUAUAUUAAAAGAAAUUAUAAAUUAUAUAUAUAUAAGAGGCAAAAUCCUAAAUGGCAAUGUAUUCAAACAAAUAGAAAUGUUUAUAAAAACCUAAAAUAUUUAUCAUUUAACAAUGACUCGACAAAAUAAAACCUAAUUAAUACAAUAAAACUAAAUCAGAAAGAAAGAACAAAAUUAAAUGAGUCCAUCGAGUGUUUGAUGUGGAUUUCCAUGAUCCCAAUGGCUUCAGAUAUGGAAUGGAGACCGUAAAAGGACAAAUCGCACAAAAGGGUGUUGGACUUCAUUGUGGGUGAGAGUAGCCGAACUACAAUUUUGUAUGAGAGGGUUUUGCUAUAUCCAAAUAUUUAUAGAUAGACACGAAGGAGAAUUAGUAACCGAUUGAGCUUUGAAGUUUCCUUAUUGGUGAGACAUGUUGAAGACUCUGCUGGUUUGGUUUGGUUUCUAAAACCGGUGGAAAGUAAAGCUUCAAAGGAGAGGAGAAGAUAUAGGAUCGUUACACGUAGGUUACCGUUGGACAAUAAAAGGAAAGUUUAUUCUCUAUUUCUAAACAAUUGGAUUUCCUUGCAUACGUGAUUAUUUGGUUUCUUUUGUCGCUAACAAAAUUAGAGAUUAUUUUUUUCCAAAAAAUAGAAAGCUUUGGAUUGGUUGAUAAGAAAUAUAAUUACUUUCUAUUAUUAGUUUGCGAUUUUAGCCACGUCAUCGACAUUUGGAGUGGUUUUUGAAAUUUUGAAUUGGGCUUCCAUGGACCGGGCCAAGGGACAUCCUGCACGCAUUCAUAGUAUCUUUUAUGCCCAGCCCGCUAGGCACAUUGGAUACCUUCCAGCACUUUGUAUAUAUAUCUUGUUGCCGGCCGAUGUGGGAUGGCCUCGCCGCACCAUUAAGCCAACCUUGCUGUUGUUGUCAUAUCGUGCAUGUUUUAUAUAUGUAUUUAUAUUACAAACUAACAUUAUAUCUAAGAUUCAUGAAUGUAAAUCCUACACUUAUGUAAUUAUAUUAUAAAUAUCUCAUAAUACAUAUAAAUUAAUUAGAAAAAAAUUAUUUUAAAUAAAUUAUUUUAAAUAUAGUGUAUUUUACAUAAUAUUUAAAUAUAAAAAUAAAUAUAAAUUUAUAAAUAAAAUUAUCAAUGUUGAUACAUAUAUCAUUGUUUAUUUUUUUUUUUAUAUCAUUGAAUACAUCCUCUAAAUGUAUAUUUAAAUUAUGAAUAUUAUCAGUGAUUAUCAUAAAUUAUAUCUUAUAUAUAUAUAUAUAUAUAUAUAUAUAUAUAUUAAUAAAAAAAUCUCAAAAUAUCUAUUAUUACUUCUUAUAUAAUUUCUUAGAGUUUUUCUCAAUAUUUUCAUGAAUUUUGAUCAAUUUUUAUCUCAUUAAUAUCUUAUAUCAAAACAUCUAUCAAUAUUUUUCGAUAUAUUCUGAUACAUCCAUAAAAUUAAAUUACUGAUAUAUUCAUAAAAAUGAAUAUUUUUAUCCUUGAUCAUAGUCAUAUAUUUUCAAUUGUCUUACACAAAUAAAUUAUUCAUUUUAUUCUUUAAUAAUAUAUUCAAAUAUACAUUUGAUAUAAAUCAUCUUCCAAAUAUCAUUAUGAUCCAAAUGUCUUAAUUUACCAUCUCUUAGCUCUUCUGAUUUCUCAUUUUCCUUUUCUUUUUCUUUCUUUUUUUAAAAAAAAAAUCUACAUAUUAUCCUAUUUAGGAUUUUUUUUAUUUUCAUUUUUUCUUUCACUUUUAUUUCCAUUUUACAUAAAUAUUUAUUUAUUUUUAUUUCUCAUACAAGCAUAGAUACAAAAUGAAUGCAUUAAUAAUACCCAAUUUUAAUACUUUUUUUUAUCACAAUUUAGACAUAUAAUAAACCUGAAAUUUAUACAAUUUAAAUUGUCACCCUUUCAUAAUUCUAUAAAUAAUUUUUAUUAUUUAUAAUAUUAAUAUAUCAUUAACUAAGCAUCCAAAAUUUCACACAUCAAAUUAUUUUAAAUUUGAUUCCUUAUUAAUUCCAACCUUUCUGAUUUUAUAUACUAAUAUUCCGAAAAAUAAAUUUUAUUUUAUUUUAUUUAGUCAUUUAUUUAUAUCCCAAGCUUCUAUAUUUUCAAAGAUUUCUUCUCAAUUAUAAUUUCAACUUGAAUCUCUAAAGGUCAAGCCUCUCUGUAAGUAGCCAUGUUUUUAGAGUUUUAUCUCAAUGUAAGCUAACGGAUAGGCAUUUGUGAGACUUUUCAGGGAAAUCCAUGCAAAGCCAAAGGAGGAUAUGUGAAAAUUGAUUUUUGAAAGCAAAAAUGUUUAGAAUAAUUAGAGUUUGUUUCAAACAAAGCCCAAGAGAAUACAUGUGUAAUAUAAUGUAGACCCUCUUUGCAAGCCAGGUGUUAGUAGCUUGUUGCUACUAGCCUUAUGAUUUGAAACAAGAGGGCAUUGCAUGACCCGGGAGAGAAAAUUUUCCAUUUUUUUUAGUGAAGGGGGGGACACCUCCCAUGAACCCAGCUGCAUUGGACGUGUGGCAAGGGAGAAUGGCUGCCCAUGAGGGUGGUUGCAAGGCCAUGCUUGCUGAUGGAGAAACAGGAGAGUAGGUGAUAGCUGGGAUAGGAGGGCUUUCAGGUUGGACGGCAGGGGGGAAGCUGGAGUCUAAGGUAGGGGGAGUUUUCUGAGCUUGGGAGGACUCUUGAGGAGGAUGAACAUCAAUGGAGGGGGAUUCUCUAUGGUAGAAGCUAUUACAGAUGGAGUGAGAAGGGUAUCCUGAGUUCGGAAGAGAGGAUUGGUCAGAGAGAAGCUAGGGAGGACAUCUUGUGCAAUUUACAGGUAUAUCAUAUUUAACCAUACUUCUUGUUAUUCUGAGCAUCACUCCCAUGUCUUUGUUGAUUUACUUGACGUUUUUUUUCCACUUAUGCUGUUGGUGUCUUCUCUGUUGCAUCAAUUUGGCUUGAAUAAUGGAUGAGGGUCUCUAUCAUAUUCAUUGUGACAUCCAGAUUUAUGUAUGGUAUUGUUUUUUUGGUUUUGUGCUUUGGAAUCCAUUUUUUUUUCUCACCAGCAUGAGCGUUGAGAACCAUGCAAACAUGGCUGCAUCAUACCCAUCUUCCACCUCACCACCCCAUCACUCACAUUUCCCAUCCACUUUCCCCCAUGCUCAUCCCUAUCUCACCCACGUACCUUCCCUUCUUCAAUGGGCGGAAAUUCACCCUGCGCCUCCUGCAAGCUCCUCCGCCGCCAGCACGCCAAGGACUGCAUCUUCACCCCCCUGCUCUCUCUCUCUCUCUCUCUCUCAAUGGUUCUUCUCAUCCUUCUUUCCCUUGCUUCACUCCUCUCCUUUCUCACCUUGGUUCAUGCUUGAAUCCUCGGCGUUUACGCCAAUGGUGCCACUCCGGCAGCCCCCUCCAUCUUCGUCACCGCCACCAACUUCUGCCCGCCUGACUACGCUCUUCCCAGCGACAAUGGCGGCUGGUGCAACUCUCCUUGUCCCCACUUCAACCUUGCCAUGCUCGUGUUUCUCAAGAUCGCCGGGUACCGGGCCGGAAUUGUCCCCGUUGCUUUCCGUCGGGUACCCUGCUGAAAGAGUGGCUGCUUGUAGAGCUGGUUCAGCUAUCCCGCUGUCCACUGAUCACAAACCUGACAGAUCUGAUGAACGUCAAGGGAUUGAAAAUGCUGGAGGUUUCGUUAUUCCCAUUUCUGUUAUUAUAAAAGUUGACCCUCUCUUUUGUUUGAUCUUGGUAUAAUGUAUGUAUAGAAUUUCAGGGAGGGAGGGAAAGAGCAUUUGAGGCAAAGAGAGUGGUGGACAUCCAUCCCGAGUCCAGACAUGAGUCUAGCAUGUCUUGUGUGCCAGAGCGUAGAAAGCCCAUCUCAUUCAUUUAGGAGUUACUCGGUCUCAAGUUCAGACAAUGAAGGAAGAUGCUCUGCAAUUGCCAACUUCCUGGCCAGGAGGGCAUCUCUUCCAGCCCCAACAACAAACUCCUCGAUCAUACGGUCAUCCAAAGUGACACCACACCCAUCCAUCCCAAAAAGUAGCGGCAUUCCAGGGUCGCCAAGGCUGGUCCGAAGCUGUGCAGUGAGAAGGGACAUUGUGAGGGACUGGAAUUUAUGGAGGUAGUGAUGGAGCAUUAGUAUUUUACUAGUAGCAAGUAUGAAAUAUAGCUAGCUGCUUUGUUUUGGGUGCAACUGGAUCCCCAGCUUCUUCUCUGUACAAGAAGAGUUUGAGCCUCUGUCUCUGAAAUCCAAUGUGAAACUUUGUUCAUAUUUUGGCUAAUCGCAUUCCCUUCUAUUAUUGCUGCUGCUGCUUUCAGUGCCCCUCUCACUCCACUUUGUUUCCAUUUUCUAUUGUGCUUGCCUUCCACCAUUUUCAUGUUGAUUUGCUGCCUCCACUUCCCACGGCUCUUACCAAUUAUUCAUUUUCUUUUUUCUUUUCUUUUUUUUAAUUAAUUACAUCAAUCUUAAAUAUACUUACAACCCUGCAUUAUGUUUGUUCCAAGUAAAGAAAUAUCCUUUACUUCAACGACGUCUAGAGUUUUUCAAACAAUGUGAUAUUUUACACCAAAUAAAUCUUUAACGCUUUUCCCUCUUACUAAAAGACUACGGAUUGUUCUUAUGAAUUAUGGUCAAUAUCCAAUAUAUAAGUGGUGAUUUUAAAUCCAAAGGUUAAUUGAACAUUGACAACUUUACUCAAAGUUUGGUUUUUUGGGGGUGAUAGUAGAAAAAUUGAUAGAUAAGUCACUUGUACCGCCACUCUUUAAAAUCAUAAAUGAUUUCCAUCUCAUACAAGUCCUUGUUCAAUUUUUUUGAAAUCAUUGGACCUUUUCCACGUCCGAGAAUCUCCUCCCCUUUUCCACUCCGUCCUAAAGAGUAACUAGAACCAAUUCAAUCACAUUUUCAUGUUCCAAUUGAACACUUGCCAUUUUUUAUUAUUCUCAAAUCAAAAGAGAAGAUUAUUAUUUUUACCAUAUGAAAAGUAUAAAUUUGUUUGUUUUUUAAUUAUUUAUCUUUAUAUAAAAGGGUUAAAAUAAAUUAAAUAAUAUAUAAAAAUAGUUUAUUAAUUUAAAUUUUUUUUUUAUUUUCUUUUUCUCAAUUUUCUUGAAUCAAACAUAACCUUGAUUUUAAAAAAAAAUUAUAACCAUGUUAUAUAUAUAUAUAUAUAAUUAAAAGAAAUUAUAAAUUAUAUAUAUAAGAGGAAAAAUCCUAAAUGGCAAUGUAUUCAAACAAAUAGAAAUGUUUUUAAAAACCUAAAAAUAUUUAUCAUUUAACAAUGACUGGACAAAAUAAAACCUAAUUAAUAAAAUAAAACUAAAUCAGAAAGAAAGAACAAAAUUAAAUGAGUCCAUCGAGUAAGUCUUUCUUGCAAUUAAUUUUGAACCACUCCAGAAUACAUGACUCGACCACUGAAUAGGAUCUAAACAACAGCAAGCCUAACACAGUCUUCGUCUUCAUCAUCAUCACCGUAAUCAUCUUCAUCUCCACCCUCCAUCUCCCUCAACUCAACAACAUCCUCUCUAUCAAUUGUCCUUACAUCCACCUCCACCACCAUCCAAAACCCAUGGCCCCCACUCCUCUCUACCACCUCCUCCAUAAACGAGGUUGUUCUGGGUAUCAGGUAUUUGAAGACGGUGCUCCCAAGUUCCAAGCUGGCCAGAACGUCUGAUACAUAGAGUUGGCGCAGUAGGGGCAGAUGAAGCACUUGCACCGGCACUCCAAACACUCUGACGACUUUGGGACUCACAACAUCCUCUGCCAGCAUCUCCUCCCCUUCCCUCGUGUCUGUGCCUACUACCCGCUGAUAUCGGUGUUUGAUGUGGAUUUCCAUGAUCCCAAUGGCUUCAGAUAUGGAAUGGAGACCGUAAAAGGACAAAUCGCACAAAAGGGUGUUGGACUUCAUUGUGGGUGAGAGUAGCCGAACUACAAUUUUGUAUGAGAGGGUUUUGCUAUAUCCAAAUAUUUAUAGAUAGACACGAAGGAGAAUUAGUAACCGAUUGAGCUUUGAAGUUUCCUUAUUGGUGAGACAUGUUGAAGACUCUGCUGGUUUGGUUUGGUUUCUAAAACCGGUGGAAAGUAAAGCUUCAAAGGAGAGGAGAAGAUAUAGGAUCGUUACACGUAGGUUACCGUUGGACAAUAAAAGGAAAGUUUAUUCUCUAUUUCUAAACAAUUGGAUUUCCUUGCAUACGUGAUUAUUUGGUUUCUUUUGUCGCUAACAAAAUUAGAGAUUAUUUUUUUCCAAAAAAUAGAAAGCUUUGGAUUGGUUGAUAAGAAAUAUAAUUACUUUCUAUUAUUAGUUUGCAAUUUUAGCCACGUCAUCGACAUUUUGAGUAGUUUUUGAAAUUUUGAAUUGGGCUUCCAUGGACCGGCCCAAGGGACAUCCUGCACGCAUUCACAGUAUCUUUUAUGCCCAGCCCGCUAGGCACACUGGAUACUUUCCAGCACUUUGUAUAUAUAUAUCUUGUUGUCAUAUCGUGCAUGUUUCAUAUAUGUAUUUAUAUUACAAACUAACAUUAUAUCUAA
rnacentral:lncRNA from 1 species